rnacentral:lncRNA from 1 species
AAAAUAAAACAAGAUGUCAAGAAAUAAAUUGAAACAACGCAUAUAGAUUAAGCUCCAUCUAUUGUAAUUUAACACUAUAUUUCUCCCGAAACUUGGAAAUUUAGAAGCAAAUUAUUUAAAAUCAUACAACAUCGAGCUACCUUAGGUUCAAAUGUGAUUACGUACAAAUGGUAACCUGAUUACAUACUUAGCGAGCACCUUCAAGUUCAAAUGUGAUUUUGUUAUUUAUGCUAUCAUACCCCAUCCCUAUCGAGCUGCUUGUUACACCAUCAUCGUAAGUGCUGGGAAACUUACCAAGCAAGUAUUCAGAUUCUUCGCUUACUAAAUUACUUUUACUCCAAGGAUGUUUAGCCAUUGCUUGCAGUCCUGCUAAUUCAUGGGCAACUUCCUUCAUUGUUGGCCUUUCCUCUCCCUUCACUCUCACACAUCUCCUAGCUAAAAUUGCUACUUCCAGAAGCUGCUCAACAUUUUCAUCAUUAAGCACUCGAGGAUCGAGAAUGUCGAGCAAACGGUCUUCUUUCAUCAAAGAACUGAAGUACAAUGGCAAAACUCGAUUUUCUUCCGGUCUUUUGAAACAUACCACUUUUUGUCCCGUUAACAACUCCAUAAGCACAACCCCGUAGCUGUAAACAUCACUUUUUUCAGUAAGAAGGCUUGAAAGCAUGUAUUCAGGAUCCAAGUAACCGAAAGUUCCUUGCACAAUUGUAGUUAUUUGUGCUUCGUCGGAUGGGAUCAAUCUGGAAGCCCCAAAAUCAGAAACUUUUGGGGUGUAAUUGUCAUCUAACAGUAUGUUUGCCAACUUGAUGUCUCGGUGAAUGAUUGGAAUGGAAGCUGCAGAGUGCAAAUAAGAAAGGGCUUCUGCUGUUUCAGUGGCUAUUCUCAAACGGGUCUCCCAUGAAAGAUAAGAUGUAGCAUCAUCAUUAUGCAAAUGGUGAAAAAGGGUUCUGUUGGUGAUAUAUUCAUAAACUAACAGCGGAACUUGUGUCUCCAAACAACAUCCUAGGAGUUUGACAACAUUCCUAUGGUUGAUUUUGUAGAGCACCAUUAUUUCAUUAAUGAAUUGUUCAACUUGGCUAGGAUCUCCAAUUAUUGACUUUUUGAUGGCAACAAUUUGAUUAUCAGCCAAUAUUCCCUUGUACACUGUCCCUUGCCCUCCCUGUCCUAAAAUUCUGCUUUCAUUGUAAUUGUUUGUUGCCUUCUCGAGUUCCUCAGCUGUAAAUACUUUAACAUCUUCACGGUACCCUUGUCGUUUUGAAAGUUGUUCCCGUAACAAAAUGCCACCAUUUUGCUGAAAGUUAGCUUCUCUUAAUUUGGAAAUUUGCCUUUGCCUCAGCAUCCAACAGCACAAUACUAUCCCCAAGAGAAGACCAAGAAACCCAAUGGCAACCCCUAAGGUCAAAGCAUAAAAUAAUAAUAAUAGUUACAUUAGCCAUGGUAAUGUAAUCUAAAAGUGAAAAGUCAUGCAAAAUUGUAUAUUGAGAGUAAUAAAUAACAAAAUUGUUUGUGUCAAGCAGAUCCAAUUGACUCAAGAUUGAGUUGGGUAAGUUAAGGAUGAGUCCUGCUUGUAAAUCUAGUUCCACUUGUUUACAAAUUACUUCAUAAAAAUAUAAUCGAAAUUAUUGUUAGAUAUAAAAAAUAAUUAUUCCAUAAUGGAAAAUUGUGGUUAAAGAUGAACAUGGACUCACCCCAAGGCUGCAGAGAAGUUUAUUGAUUUUUUUAAGGAUAAAUCUCAAAAUUAUACAUGAAUUAUGGUUUAUUGUGUAAUUGUAUACAUGAAAUUUUGAUUUGAUCCAUUUUUUUGUAAUUUAUUAAUAUAAUUAUUGAUAUAACAUCAUUUCAUGAUUAUGUAUUGUAUACAUAAAUAGUUGUAUUUAUUCAAUAUAAAAAUAAAUUGAUGUAUUUAUUUUUUUAAAUGCGUAUGAUUAAAUCAAAAUUAAAGUUUCAAAUAUACAUUUGAACCACAAUUAGAGUUUCAUGUGUACAAUUGCACAUUAAACCAAAGUUCAUGUAUAAUUUUGAGAUUUAUCUCUUUUUUAUUUUAAUUAUUUAUAUUUUAAAUAAUUUAACCGGAGUAAGAGAACAAGUUGGAUAUGGAUGAGUGUAUAAUAAUUUCAUGUCUUUAAAAAUUGAUAACGAGCCAAAAUUUUAUUGAUGCUUAAAAUCUUUAACUUCAUUUAAUUUUUGAAAAUAUUUUCUAUUUUUUUAAAAAUUAAAAAACAUGUUUGAUAAAGAGGAAUAAAAUUUUGUUUUCAAUAAUGAAAACAGGAUUGGUAAUUAUUUUUCUAUAAAGAAAUAUGAAAAUUGAAAAAAAAAUAAUGAAAACCAAAUUUUUCUAUUUUUAUUUACAAAGUCUUUUUAGUACAAAUAAUGAAAACAAAAUUUUAUUAUUUUUCUAAUUUUUACAUAUUUUCAUAAUUUUUUAAAAAUUAUUUUCAAAAAUUAGAACUAAACACAAUUUCUUGAAUGUUUUUCAUUUUUCAAGGAAAUGAAAUUGGAAUUUACUCCCUGAAACCAAACGGAGUAUUUUAAUGUAUAAUUCGGGGUUACUAACCUAGAGCAACAAUAAGAGGAGAUGUCUUGGACUGAUCCUUGUUGGGUAAACUGCAACCUGUUCCACUUUUCUUACCAUCGCCUUCAUAACCCAUCGGACAUGAACAAUUGUACGUCCCAGGUAAGUUGGUACAUAUUGCCGUUCCAUUGCAAGGGCUCAUACUUUCACACUCGUUUAUAUCUGAAAUUUGCAGAUUGUAUGCAAGUAAUAAAUAACACUAUCUUUAAUGUUAGAAACUACAAAUCUAUGGGGUAUAUAUACCUAUAGUUACCUUGACAUCCAUUAGGGAGGUAAGGGUUCCCCAUGUAACCCUCAAGACACUUGCACAAAUAUCCAGAGUUAUUUUCUGAAUCAACGCAUUUACUAUACUCUUUGCAUGCGAAAUUGUUUACAUCCAUAUUCGCUUCGUUGCAACUCGUAUUCCCGAUUUUCCAAUCAAGAGUGAUUGGAAACUGCCUUCUUUGAAACUCAAAACCACGAAGAUCUGAAGCAGAGAAGGUAUAAUUAUCGACCUCUGCAACAAAUGCAUAGCUGCAGGGGUUUUCGGGCAACACAUUGGUAUGGUUGGCGUAGCUUUUGAGACUUAUGUUGCAGCUCCUCACAUCCCUUGGGAUACUUGUCUGACAGCAACCAAUCCCAGAGCAAGACCCGUUUGAAACAUCAGCGAUGUUGUUACAGAACGACAAACAACCAGUUGCGUAACGUUGUCCGUAGGAAUCUUGCAGGACAGCAUAAGUGUCGCACCCGAUUGCAGUAAACUUGUUCUUGUUAUUGUUUAUUGAAAAUUCAGAAAAUCCGAAGUAGUAAAAUAACCCAUUCCCGUCUAAUGUGUUGUAACAAUCAUAGCUCGUAGGAGAAAGGAUGCGCAACUGACCAUCGGUAGAUAUGUUGAUGACUUCGACGUUACUGUUGCCUAAGAACGCUUUGUUGGGUUUAUUACUGGUGCUACAUGUGAUGAGAAAGUGUUCAGUGAUGUUGCAAUCGCCGCCGGUACCGAACGGGUAUGGGAUGAUAACAUCUCCGCAGCUUUCUCCGCAGCCAAGUUUUGCUACUGCUGGUGUUGAAGCUUUUACUGUCAAUAUAACAGUAAGCAAGAUCAUCAGCUGCAUAAGCACUAGUGAUCUGAUGGAACCCAUGGCUGUUUUUUUCUAGACUGGGGGAUACCAAUGCUUCAAUUUCCAAAUUCGGAAACAUAUAAAAAAGGUUAGGGAAGCCUGCUUGACCUUACUAAAUUCUAACAGGAGGGAGGACGUAAAGUGACCCAAUAGACGAGUGGGGAAUAUCAGUGUGGUCCGUUCUUUGGCUUUCGCUGUUGAAUAGCGCGUGGUGACUUUGGACUGUCCACAAUUUCUUGGAAUGGAUGAGAUGCUAACUUUGAUUCUGUCAAAUUAUAUUUAGUGCUUCCAUAUUUAGUGUCUGAUGGCUUUCUACGGCAGAUAUAAGCUUGUUCUCAAUGUUAGAUGAAAAAUCAUUUUGCAUUAAUUGUACAAGAUAAAUAAAUAUUGAAAAAUUAUUUGGUAAAGAAUUUUUAGAAUUCACGAGUUUCCAUAUGUGACAUAAAUAUUUAAGUAUUAGAAAAAAAAACACACAUGCGGAUUAAGCAUUGCUACUCCAAAAAAAUAUUAAGUGAUUAUUAAAAACAGAUAUUUAAUAUUAAUUUAAAAUUUAUUGAAAAGUCAUAUCUAUCAAAAUCAAGAUUGUGUAUGUUAAUGAUAAAUAUUUAAAAAGAAAAAAGAAAAUCAAAGCAACAUCAAGUUUUACUACUCCAGACAAAUAUGAAGUGAUAGAUGAAUGCAGUUACAACACAAUACUUUCACAUGGAUUAUAAAGUAAAGAUAUUAGAAUUUUUUAUGGAGUAAUGAUUUAUUACAAAUAAUAAAAGGGUUGACGUUUACUUAAAGCUGAUUGGUUAGUUUAACAAAAAAUUCUUGAAGUGGAUGUUAUCAACUCUUUUUCGCAUACUUUGAACUCAAAAACCAAGUAGGUAAGCGUGGUGGUCCAAGGCCAAGGCGAAGACAAAGAUUAACUACGAGUGAUUUUGAAAAUUUUUAAUGGUUAAAUGAUUAUUUAUGUAAUUUAUUUAAAUAUAUUCAUGUAUAUUUAAUAUAUAUGAAAAACUAAAUUAAUUUUUUAUUUAAUUUCAAUAUUUUAUAUUUUAUAUUAUUAAAAAUAUUUACAUAUUUUUAUGAAUGUAAUUAUAUCCAUCUUGCAUUUUUUCAUAUUAUUUUUCUUUUAUAAUUAUUUUUUAACUUAUUAAAUUUUAUUAACUUUAAUUUUUAAAAAUUAUUUUUCGAAACCAUACAAUUAAAAAUAGUAAAGGAUGUAUUUUAAGAUGGUAGCAUUUUUAAAGGCUUGAUAAAUUUAAAUUUUCAAAAUGUUUUAUCCACCCUAAAAGAUGAAAAGAGGAAGCAUAUGUAAUUCUAGUGGCCCAAAUCGAUGGAAAAGGAGACCAAGACGAAUGGGGAAAUGACUGAUGAGAUCAGAAAACCUAUCGAGUCACUUACCAAGUCUUUUCUUCUAGAUUUUUUUUUUCAUUUAAUUCAGUGAUAACUAUCUGAUAUUAGACAUUCAAUCCCCUUUGGUUUAUAUGCAAUUUGCUUUUAAAAUUAUUGUUUUCCUCUGCUUGCACAAGGAAUAUAUAUAACACUAAAUUAGCACAAUAAUAAAUAAAAUCAGUAAAAGAAGUGAAACACAUCUUUGUCUAGUGGAUUCCGUUCUCGUAAUUAAAUCUUAAUCUUUGAGAAAAUUAGAAGAUUGGUAAAAUAAACUUAAAUUAAGAUAAAAUAUGAAUAUAUAUCCAAAAUAAAGAUAUUUAAUUAGAAAAUAUGAAUCCGUAACUAUACAAUUCUUACAUUUAGACAUAGACAUCUAAAACUUGAUAGCAAACAUACAUGUACAAAGUUGUAAUAAGUGAAAAACUUAGGUCUUUUCACUUGGUUUUGCAUGCAAUACAAGUGGAUUUUAUGAUUUUUUUCCAUGAUAAUAUAAUAUAACAAAGUGAAGUUAAAAAUAAUUGAAAUGCGGAUAAAUUUGAUGUGAAAUGAUAAUAAAAUUAUAUAUUUUAAGUUAUCAAGGUUGACUAGGUUUUAAAUUAAGUGUUAUAUAUAUUAGCUGUAAGAUCUAACCUGAAUUCUUUAUUAAUUAAUUAUGAGAUGAAUAAAGAUGUCCUAUGUAAAUGAUAUUAAAUAAUUAAUCAAACAUAAAUCAAAUCAAAGUAAUUGGUAAAAAUAUUUUUGUUUAAGUUGAUUUGAUUUGAUUUGAAUGUUAUGUUUGAUGAUGAAUCAAUUAGUUUGAUCUUUAAAAAAUUGAGUUCCUGUAAGUAUGUUUACUUUUCUUUAAUAAAGAAAAUAAAAGUUAGAAAUAAAUAGUGAAAAAAAACUAAUCAAAUGAAGAUUUUUCAUUUUUAAAUAAAGAUGAGCUUCCAUCAAAAUACUUGGUGGAAAAUUUGUUAGGAAAUAAUAAUAGUAUGAAUGAACCACAAAAUUAAUUGCAUUCUCUUUUAUUAAAAAAUUUAUUAAAAAGUCCAAACUCCAAUCUUUAGAGUUCAAUUGUAAACUCAAAUGGAAUGAAUAAAGUACAACACAUUGAAUAGUCUUUGUUAACAUUCCAAUUGUCUUAAUCAUCACAACUGUACAUAUUGACUAACAAUCUUCAUCAUCACCAAGUAAUUACUCCAAAAUUUGUCGAAACUUAUAUUUAAAAUAUUCUUUAUCUUCCCUGUUUUAGACCCAUUCUAAGCAAUAAACUUCUUGGAAGUAAUCAUGGCUUGCAAAUGACCCUUAUAAUCAUGCAAAUUCUUAAAAGUAAUAGCAAAACGUUUCUCACUAGGACGACAAUCAACCCAAAGUCUAUUUGUGAUUAUACACAAAAAUUGUAAUAAAAGAAGCAUGCUAAACUAAACUUUUAAAAUGAGACGUUUUAUCAACAUCCUUCAAAAUUAAAUUGAUACAAGGUGUUGCGCAUGGUGACCAAAAGAUUUUAGGAUACUUCUCAUGACAAAAUUUCCUAACAACUUUAUAAUUUGCAGCAUUAUAUGUAAUUAGCUAGACCACAUUGCUCAAACCAACAAUUUUUACAAUCUUCGCAAAUAAAUUGCAAAGAGUAUUGACAUCUAAAAUCAUGUCUGAUGUGUUAACGAGUUUGGUAAAGCAUAAUCCUUUAGGAAAAUAGACUAGAAAAUUGGUUGAUGACUUUUGUUUCGUAUCUUUCUACCCACCUCCCAUUAUGGUGCAUCCACAUUCCACCCAAAUGCUGUAAAUCCCUUUUUGAGUAUUCUAGUAGAUUGGUUCACAAUGUAUGAUAUGAUAGAGUUUUGUAUCUCAAUCCCAUAGAUGCUAUGGCAUCAAGGCAUAGUUGAAACUUGUCAAUCUUUGAUUCUAUUUGUGGAGUCUAAAAGCUCCAUUGGCAAUAUACCUAAUAAAUUAUUUAUCUUUUUAAUAUUUUACUAUACCCCUAGAGAACACUUAUCAAUCUCCUGACAUUGUUUAUGGAGUCUAAAAAUUUUAUUGGUAAUAUACCAAAUAAUAUUCCAAAUAAAAAAGUAUUAACUUGACAGUGUACUUUUUUUAUUCCACAAGUAUUGUUAAAAAAUUGGCAUUGUCUUUUUUUUUAAUAUCUAUUUUUUAAAAAUUUCACUAUACUCCUACAAGACAUUUGUCCACCCCUAAUCAUGCUUAUGAAGUCUUAAAAUUCUACUAAGUGUAUCUUGUUAUAAAAUAAAGAGAGAUGGAGAGAAUAAAGAAUAAAGAAAAUAUGGAAGCAAUAGAGAAUGUACUUUAUUGAUCAAUUGGGGUGAUUACAAUGCUUCAUCAUAGUCUCUAUUUAUAGGUAUAAAAAAUAUAAAAGAAGUAGAGAUCUAAUUCUAAUAACUAUUAGAAUUAAAAGGACAUUAAAAUUUUAUCUUGAUCAUGAUGGACAUCCACUUAAUAAGGUGUUCAUAACACUCCCCUUGGAUGUCCAUUGGUAGAUAAUAUACCUCGUUAAAACCUUAUUAAGAAACCUUGUGGGAUAAAAACCUAAUGAAGGAAAAAGAGUACACGAUUUAUAAUACGCAUAAUAUGUUGCCUCAUUAAAAACCUUACCAGGAAAAUCCAAUUAGACAAAACAUCGGUUAAGGGAAAAAGAGUACAACAGGUAUUUACUCCCCCUCAUGAAAACAUCACAUACUUUCUCAUAUUUUACGUAUUCAAUCUUGAAUACUAGUUUUUCAAAUGACCAUUUGAAUGUAUUGCUUAGUAUUUAUAUCACCAUUCUUUCAAAAUUCAUGAGUGAGGGAAAUAUGGAAAUAUAUAUUUUGAUCUCUUUAGGAGAUUCAACAAUAAUCAUAAUAAACUUUAAUCAUGAUUCUUUUAUAAAAACACAAAUAGAUAUUUUGGAUCAUUUUAUAAUCCUCCUUCAACUACUAUUCACUAAGUCAAAUUUAACACAUAUAUUCAAAUUAUUUCAAUUCAUAUAAAUGAACAAUUUCUCGAGAAUUUUAAUAUGCUUCUACCAUACUAAAUCCUUCAUAUAAAGGUUGUAACAAUAACCAUUUAACGUAAGUUAAAUCUUGUAACACCCCUUACCCGAGACCGUUUCCGGAGUCGAGCAUGAGGCAUUACUUAGCUUAUCUCACUAUUUCGGAGCAUAAAAAUUUACUUUGAAAAUUAAUUUCACUAUUUAUAGCAAUCUAUCAAAUUGCGCAGCAGUUACUAAAUUAAUUAUAAAUCGAGCUACGGAGCUUGAAAUUUAACUCCGUAAAUUUUACCUAAAACUAGACUCAUAUAUAUACUUACCAUAAAAUUUAUAGAAUUUUUGGUUCAGCCAAUUAGUACAGUUUAUUAGUUAAAGUCUCCCCAGUUUCAUCACUCGACUGUCCUGACCUCUUGCCACUAAAAAUAAGUUUUCUCAUUGUAGGAUUUUCAUAUGGUGUUCUCACUUAUUUCUAAAGAAAAUAGACUCAAUAAGGAAUCUAUACAUAUAAAUUACAACUCAUAACUAAUUUUUUAAAAUUUAUAGUGAUUUUCUAAACUCAGAAUAGGGGACUCCAAAAACAGUUCUGACUCUGUCUCACCAAAAUUCACAUAUCUCAAAAUAUAAAAUUCUUUUUGAUAAACCGUUAUUUUCCCAUGAAAAUAGACUCAACAAGAUUUCAUUCUAUAUAUCAUACAUCCUCUAAUUCAUUUUAUACCAUCCUAGGUGAUUUUUCAAAUUCACGUCACUGUGCUGCCUGAAUUCUGUUUCUUUGCAAAAUUUUACCCUUUCACAAUUUUCAUGCAUAAUUUAUCACCUAGACUUUUAUAACAACAAACACCUUUAUACUUAACCAUUUUAAUAACCAUUCAUCAUCAAUUACUUAUAAAUCAUUCUUUAGCAAAAUCAUAAUUACAAACAUGCAAAAUAACUAAGUCCCUAUACAUGCCAUAACUCAAACGUGUUUCGUCAUAAAAUACCGAGUAGUUGUUCUUGAUAGUGUAGACGAUCUCCGACUGCUUUAGGAUCCCUGAAGCAGCUUUGCAAUACUAUAAGAGAAAGAAAAAUAAAAGAAGUAAGCAUUAAGCUUAGUAAGUUUACUAGCAAAUAAAUAACAACAUUUAACACAAAGGAUUAUACUCCAAUGUCAAGGUCUCUAAUUUACUCUUUAAUUAAUCUCAUUCUUAUUCUCAUUCUCUUGCUUGUUUACUUUAUUAACUCGUGAUCAUAACUUACACUUCCCUUGUUGAAACGUUGAGUAUCAAUUGAUAAUAUAAUAGUUCUUAACUCUCUUAACUUACCUGAGCUUGCCAUUUGUGCUUUUAAAUAAACUUUCAUUAACAUGAUUCGUUUACUGGCCCGUUGAACUACAUUGGAAUAAUAAGGAUACUUGGGUUUCUUCUAAUAAUAACAUGCCAAAGUCAUGUCCCAGACAUGGUCUUACAUGGGAUGUUCUCAUGUCAGUGCUCAUGCCAUGUCCCAGACAUGGUCUUACAGGGGACCUCUCAUCUCGGUGCCAACGCCAUGUCCCAGACAUGGUCUUACAUGGGACCUCUCGUCUCGGUGCCAACGCCAUGUCCCAAACAUGGUCUUACAUGGGACCUCUCAUGAUCUCAAGGAUGCCAAUGCCAUGUCUCAAACAUGGUCUUACAUGAGAUCUCUUUACCCAAAUGUCAUGACAUUCGUAUCCAGUACCAUCCUUAUGUAUCAACGGGACUUUUUAAUUUUAAUUCUCUAUCGUUUCAUGUUUGGAUCAUCAUUAAUAAAUUCAUGAAAUAAAUUCAUAGUUUCUGGUAAAUAACAAUAUUAAUAAUAAUUAUUGAAAUAUUUCAUUUAUUUACUAUAAACUUACCUCGGUGCCAAAUAUAGCCAAAUUCACCAACUUAGCCUUCAACUUUAUUCUUUCCUUUGUCUAACCUCGAUUUUCGUUCUUCUAGAUCUAAAAUAGCAAAUUUAACUCAUUUAAUACUCACAUUUAUCAAAACAGCCCUCGACUCUAACUUUGUCAAAAUUAUGAUUUUGCCCCUAAACUUUUACAUAAUUACAUUUUUGGCCCAAAGCUCAAAAAUUAAAAUUCAUCUCUUAUUCUUGUGUUUUAUAACAUUUUGAACAUUUUUCCCUUCUAUGACAACAUCAAAUUCUCACUCUAGCAUGUACUUAUGAACAUUAGGUAUUUUUACCGAUUAUGUCGUUUUACUCGUUUUCACUUAAAAUCGGCUAGCAAAAGUUGUUUAAAAUAUUUUCUAGCUUCAUAUUCUAUCAUAAAACAUCAAAAUAAACACUUUUCACCUAUGGGUAUUUUUCCAAAUAUAAACCCUAAGUUAAUUAUUGCUAGAAUAAGCUAAAUUAAGCUAUCGGGAUCUCAAAAACGUAAAAAACAUUAAAAACGGGGCUUGGGAUCACUUACUAUGGAGCUUGGAAGCUUGAAAACCCUAACUAUGACUUCUCCCUUGCUGAUUUCGUUCACCAUGGAGAAGAUGAGCACAUUUUGCCAUCUUUUUCCCUUUUUUAAUUCUUUUUAUUACUAAAUUACCAAAUUACCCCUAACUUAAAAAUUUCCUAUUUCACUUAUCUCAUGUCCAUUUUUGUCUACCAACUUAACCAAUGGUCUAAUUACCAUAUAAGGACCUCCCAUUUAAAGUUUCAUAACAAUUGGACACCUUUAACAUGUAGAAUUCAACUUUUGCACUUUUUACAAUUUAGUCCUAUUGCCUAAAUUGAGUGCCCAAACGUCAAAAUUUUCGAACGAAAUUUUCACAAAAUCAUUCCGUGAAAUCUUAGACCAUAAAAAUAUAAGAAAAAUAAAUUUUUUCUCAUCGGAUUUGUGGUCCCGAAACCACUGUUCCGACUAGGCCCAAAAUCGGGAUGUUACAAAUCUUUUAUGAAUGAUCAAUUUAAUAAUAUAUCUAAAGGUUAUUGCCUCCCCCACAAAAUAAUAUUAUAUCUUUUCAUAAUCAAUGUCAGGACUUAGUAAAAAAUUUCAUACUUUUAUUCCACUUUUGCAGAACUACUUCAAUUGAACCCUCACUAGCUUUAUACCUUUAGAUAUUUGGACUACUGGUCCAAAAACUCGAGGAAUUUAAUUGUACUUGAGUUACGUCUUUCUAUUUUGAUCAAUUUAUUCCAUAUCUAUAUUUCUCAAUAGAUUUAUUCAAGAUCUUCCUUUUAUCUCAUUAUUUUAAUAGUAAUAUUGUAUGCAAAUCAUUGUCGACCAAUUUUAUUAUUCGGUUCCACAUUUUCUCAAAUUGACAUAACUUAUCGAGAUCUCUUAUUUUCAUCAUUUUAAAAUUCAGUUUCAGGUACCUGAAUCUCUUUUAAAUUUUUACUUAUUAGUUAUGUAUUGGGUCUCUUCUAGAGUAGCCGCCUUCAUUAUAUGACUAUCUAGAAGAAUUUUCAUUUUGGAAUCGAUCAAUCUAUUAUUUGUUCUAACUGAUUGUCCUACUGGGACUUUGAUUCAAAUUAAAAUAUUUGAUGGUAUAUGACACUUGGUUGUUCUCAUUAUUCAAAUUAAAAUAAUAUCAAGAAAUGACAUUAUAAGCACAAUCAUUUCUGGUUAAUGAAAUGUAAGCAUAACUAAUUGGCUUUCUAAUUCCAGCUUGAGUUUAUCAUUUUACUUUGUAACUAAAUCUUUAAUUAAGCUUGUAAAUUGACGUGAUAUUAUGAGUUUUAUCAUUUCACUUUGUAGUUAAAUUUUUUUUAAAUGAGUUGAAAAUAAUAUUCCGACGACUGACCUUAUUCCAGUUAUAGCAACUGAUUUAUUUGGUUUACAAACUAAGUUUUUAGAUGUAUAUUUGAGGGAAAAUGGCCCCGAUAACAAUUUUUGUUCAUAAUAUCAUAGAGAAGUUAUUGAUGAAUUCAUUCCAGUGAAAAAAAAGUAAAAGUGGAAAAAAGAUUUGGUUUUGUCAGAUAUAGCAAUAUGACAGAUGCGAGAAGGGUUAUUAGUCGAUCAAACGACUAUGUGAUUUUAGGAAAUAGAUUAUUGGUGGACUUAGCCAAGUUUAAGGGGGGAUAUAGAUAUGGAAAAAAUCUUCAACGGAAGGAAAUGCAAAGCAGAGACAGAACGAAAAAAAAAAGGGAGUAGAACGAAAAGUUGCAAGAAUUUAGCAAAAUGGAAGUAGGAGAAAGUUCCUCGAGGAGUAAUAAUGAUCCGAAUAAGACAGAAAAAGAGGACGACAAGGUGAAGAAUACCAGCAUAGUGGUUCAAGGACAUGUUGAAGAGGAGCAACUUUAGAAGCUUCAUAGAUGUUUGGUGGGUACAACAGCAGCGUGUUGUGGUACGCAGAGUUUAUUUGAAAGAAUAGUUAGGAAUGGAUUAGGGGAAAUUAAAAUCAGAAGAAUUCAAGGAAGGUACUUUUUGAUUGAAAUAUCAGAUGAGGAAUUGUUUGAUGUAUUGAAGCAAAACGAUUGGGCGUACUUAAGAGAGUUCUUUAUCAACAUAUAACUUUGGUCGGGGACAAUAGUGGUAGAGGAAAGAGUGGCGUGGAUUGAAGCAUAUGGUAUCCCCCUACACUGUUGGAACUAUACAUCCUUCAAAAGAAUAGCAAGUGUAUGGGGCGAGUUAAUAUCCCUCAAAGAGAAUCUGGUAAUGGUUAACAGCUUGGAUAAAAUGUCAAUGUUGGUAUCCAUCAAGCAGCCGAAAAGAAUAAAUGAGACAAUCUAUUUAAAGGUGGGGAAGACUAAAUUUCCCAUAAGAGUCAUUGAAAUAGGAUUAUCAAAAUUUAAAGGCGAUAACAGAAAGGUCUAUGGCGUGAAAGAAAGAGAAGAGCAUGAAUUAGUAUAAGAAAUGGAUGACACUUUGUUGAAGUCAACCCCCAUGCAGCAGCCAAGGUGACCAUGCAAGGUGGCCAUGCAGGGAUCGUGCUUUAACAGCAAACCGAAACUGCAUUGUUUCAUUUGGUUACUCAAAUAAACAUUUUGUGUUCUAGUUCAUGUUAAACUAAGUAGGUAAAUGUUUUGAUAUUGAUUGACUGAAAAGUCAGCAAUGCAAGUUGUACAAGCUAAUCUUGUAAGUUUCAAUGCAAAUUAGUGGAGUUAGGUAGUUGAUUAGGUGAUUACUUGUUUGUUUUACUUGUUGACUGAUAUAUGUAAUGGCUUAAUGCCUUGUUGAUGUGUUAAUGAAAGAAAUCAGCUCAUUUUUCAUUCAAUCUUCUUCUCUCUUUUCUGUUUUUUCACUAGCUAGUUUCAUUUUUCUAUUUCUGCUUCCGAGUUUGCUUCUUCACCAAGGCUCGAGGCUUGCUAUUCAAGCAAGACACAAAACAGCUUGUUGCUGCCUCCUGCACCAACAAUUGGUAUCAAGAGCUCUUGUCUUAGUGGACCUGUUGCUUCAAAUCAAGGAACUUGAUGGCUUCUUCAGGAUUUUCACCUGCAGCCCCACCAGUCUUCAAUGGAGAAGGCUUUCACAUAUGGCUGGUCAAGAUGAAGACUUACCUACAGGCCUUCGAUCUGUGGGAAGUUGUUAACACAGAUGCUGAGCCAGCACCACUGAGGGCUAAUCCCACAGUAGCUCAGAUCAGACAACAUGCUGAUGAGAGGACCAAAAGGCACAAAGCCAUGUCCUGUAUUCAGAACUGUGUAUCAGAUGUCAUCUUUACCAGAAUUAUGGCCUGUGAGACUCCAAAACAGGCCUGGGACAAGCUUAAGGAGGAGUUUCAAGGUACUGAGAGAACAAGGCAACAACAGCUGUUGAACUUGAGAAGGGAUUUCGAGAAUUUGAAGAUGAAGGAAGAAGAAACAGUGAAGCAGUAUUCAGAUAGAAUUAUGGCAGUGGUUAACAGCAUAAGGCUCCUAGGUGAGCACUUUGAUAAGGCAAGAAUUGUGGAGAAAGUCCUCUCCACUUUGCCUGAGAGAUAUGAGGCCAAGAUAUCCUCCCUAGAGGACUCAAGAGACCUUGCUAGCAUCUCUUUGACUGAGUUAAUCAACACCUUCUAUACUCAGGAACAAAGGAGAGCUAGCAGAGCUGAAGAUCACCAAGAAGGUGCAUUUCAAGCCAAGGCCAGAGAAGCCUCGAGCACCAAUGCUCAAAGAGGCAAAAAGCCUUGGAAAAACAGGCCUAAGCCUGAUGCUGCAAGGAGCAAUGACCAGCCCUGCAGAUAUUGCAAGAAGCCUGGCCAUCCAGAAGACAGAUGCUGGUUUAGGCCAGAUGCAGUAUGCCAACACUGCAAGAAGAAGGGCCAUGUUGAAAGGGUCUGCAAAAACAGGAGUAAGCCAAGGCAGAAUCAAUUUCAGCAGUCAAAGGUUGAAGCUCGAGUAGCUGAGGACAGUAGUGACCAAGAAGAACAGGUCUUUGCUGUUUCCUGUUUAGCUGCUGAGAAGAAAUGCUCAAAAGGCUGGUUGCUGGACAGUGGUUGCACUAACCACAUGUCACCAGAUGCCUCUUUGUUUAAAACCUUGGACAGAAGUUAUAAAACCAAGGUCAAGGUUGGAAAUGGUCAGUUUAUAAGGGCUGAAGGAAGAGGAGAAGUGCUGAUAUGUACUCCCACAGGCAACAAGAUCAUUCCAAAUGUGCUGUUGGUGCCAGAGAUUGACAGAAACCUUCUCAGCAUAGCUCAACUGCUCGAGAAAGGUUAUUCUGUUGUGUUCAAGGACAAACAAUGCCACAUUGCUGAUCCAAGUGGAUCAAGCCUUAUGACAGUCACAAUGACUGAUAAAUGCUUUGAGGUUCACUGGGCAAAUGACUCAAACUCAGCAUACACAACUUCUGUUGAUGACUUCAAGCUUUGGCAUCAAAGGCUUGGACAUGCCAACUUUAGAUCAAUGGCUCGAUUGGCUAAAGAGGGCAUGGCAGAAAACUUCACCAGCUCAGUGGAGCAUGAUGAUGUGUGUGAAGUUUGCCAAAUGGGGAAACAGGCAAGACUGCCAUUUCCUACAAAUUCAGCUUGGAGAGCUACUGAAAGACUGCAGCUGGUGCACUCUGAUGUAUGUGGCCCGAUGAGGACUGAAUCACUCAGCAAAAACAGGUAUUUCAUCCUCUUUAUUGAUGACCUUACAAGGUUUUGCUGGAUUUUCUUUUUAAAACACAAGUCUGAGGUAGCUCAAGUGUUUGUGAAGUUUAAAAAUGCUGUAGAAACAGAAACAGGUUGCAAGCUGAAAUCGAUAAGGAUUGACAAUGGCACUGAGUACACUUCAGCUCAGUUUCAAGCCAUUUGCAAUGAUGCUGGUAUCAAACAUCAGCUUACAAAUUUCUACACACCUCAGCAGAAUGGGGUAGCUGAAAGAAAGAAUAGAAGUCUGAUGGAUAUGGCCAGAUGUCUUCUGUUUGAAAAGAAACUGCCCAAGACCAUGUGGGCUGAGGCAGUAAACACUGUUGUUUACCUUCAGAACAGGCUUCCUACUAAAGCUCUUGCAUCCGAGACACCUUUCGAGGCUUGGUUCAGUUUCAAGCCUUCCUUGGCACAUCUGAAGGUGUUUGGUUGCCUGUGUUAUGCACAAAUACCAGCAGCAAAGAGAGACAAGCUCUCCAAAAGGGCUCAACCAGGUGUUCUAGUAGGCUACAGCUCAGUCAAAAAGGGCUACAGGGUUCUGGAUCCCUUGACAAACAAAGUCCAAGUGAGCAGAGAUGUCAUCUUUGAUGAAAAAGCCUGCUGGAAUUGGGAGAAAAAUGAGCCAGAAAUAAUUUUAGAAGACCUAGUGCCUAAUCAAGCUGAACUUGAGCAGCUAGGACCUGAAAUGGAUGUUGAUGAUGUGCCUGUGAGAGGCACAAGGCUCCUAGAAGAUAUUUAUGAAAGGGCACAGGUUGCAAUAGCAGAACCUAGCAGUUUUGAAGAGGCUGAGGCAGAUGAAGGUUGGAAACAAGCUAUGGUUGAUGAAAUCAACAUGAUUGUAAAGAAUCAGACAUGGGAGUUGGUUGAAAAGCCUGCCAACAGAAAGACUAUCGGUGUAAAAUGGGUCUAUCGAGUGAAGCACAAUGCGGAUGGAAGUUUAAAUAAGCUAAAGGCCAGACUAGUUGUAAAGGGCUUCAGUCAAAGGUAUGGUCUGGACUACAUGGAAACAUUUGCUCCAGUAGCCAGACUCGAUACAAUCAGAUUACUGAUUGCAGUUGCUGCUCAGAACCAGUGGACAAUCCACCAAAUGGAUGUCAAGUCUGCAUUCCUCAAUGGAUUCCUAGAAGAGGAGAUAUACAUCGAGCAACCCCCAGGUUUUAUAAUGCCUGGUAAGGAACAUUUGGUGUAUAGGCUAAGAAAGGCCUUGUAUGGCCUAAAACAGGCCCCUCGAGCCUGGUAUGCUCGAAUUGACUCAUACUUGGUCAGUUUGGGAUUUGAAAGGAGUGCUAGUGAGCCAACACUCUAUGUUAAGAGGAAUGGAGCUGAAACACAGCUUAUUGUGUCACUAUAUGUUGAUGAUCUUCUAGUGACUGGAGGAGACAAGCUUGUGAUGGCUGAUUUCAAAGCAAAAAUGAAAGAAAUGUUCGAGAUGUCAGAUUUGGGGUUGAUGACUUAUUUCCUUGGAAUAGAGAUACAACAAGCUGAUCAAGGAAUCUUUUUGGGACAAAAGGCGUUUGCUUUGAAAGUUUUAUCCAAGUUUUCAAUGCAAAAUUGCAAGCCAACAUGCACACCUAUGGCAGUUGGCAUAAAACUAUCGAGCCAAGAAGAACACGAGCCUGUCAAUGAAUCAUUUUAUAGGAGCCUUGUUGGUUGUUUGCUGUAUUUAACAGCAACAAGACCUGACAUUCUGUUUGCUGUGAGCAUGCUAUCAAGGUUCAUGCACUGCUGUAACCAGCAACAUUACAAGGCUGGGAAAAGGGUGCUAAGAUACAUCAAAGGUACCUUAAACCAUGGAAUACAGUUUAGAAAGACUGAAGAGUUGAAACUGAUUGGCUACACUGAUAGCGAUUGGGCUGGUUCAAAGGAUGACAUGAAGAGCACUUCUGGCUAUGCUUUUACUCUUGGCUCAGUUAUGAUUUGUUGGAGCUCAAGAAAACAAACAAUGGUGGUUCAAUCGACAGUAGAAGCAGAGUAUGUAGCAGCUGCUAAUGCUGUUAAUCAAGCUAUGUGGCUGAGAAAAAUUUUGGGUGAUUUGAAUCUACAGCAGAAUGAUGCAACUGUGAUACAUUGUGACAACAAGUCAGCAGUUGCUAUUGCUAAAAACCCUAUCUUCCAUGGCAGGACAAAACAUUUCAACAUCAAACUCCAUGUGAUAAGAGAAAUGGAACAAGCUCGAGAGAUCAAGCUAAUUCAUUGCAGCUCAGAAGAUCAAAUCGCUGAUAUCUUCACAAAAUCACUUGGUGCAUCGAGAUUUGUAAACCUAAGGAAGCAACUAGGAGUCUGCUGCAUAGAAGCUGAGGAGGAGUGUUGAAGUCAACCCCCAUGCAGCAGCCAAGGUGACCAUGCAAGGUGGCCAUGCAGGGAUCGUGCUUUAAUAGCAAACCGAAACUGCAUUGUUUCAUUUGGUUACUCAAAUGAACAUUUUGUGUUCUAGUUCAUGUUAAACUAAGUAGGUAAAUGUUUUGAUAUUGAUUGACUGAAAAGUCAGCAAUGCAAGUUGUACAAGCUAAUCUUGUAAGUUUCAAUGCAAAUUAGUGGAGUUAGGUAGUUGAUUAGGUGAUUACUUGUUUGUUUUACUUGUUGACUGAUAUAUGUAAUGGCUUAAUGCCUUGUUGAUGUGUUAAUGAAAGAAAUCAACUCAUUUUUCAUUCAAUCUUCUUCUCUCUUUUCUAUUUUUUCACUAGCUAGUUUCAUUUUUCUGUUUCUGCUUCCGAGUUUGCUUCUUCACCAAGGCUCGAGGCUUGCUAUUCAAGCAAGACACAAAACAGCUUGUUGCUGCCUCCUGCACCAACACACUUUCGUGUCAGAAUCUGAAUCAACGAUGAUAUUAGGAUUGGAACAGAAUCCAGAAGAGAGACAAGGCUGGGAAAAUGAAGCAAUCAAUGCGAUUAUUCUCAAAAAAUCAAACGAUAAUUGCGACUGUCAGAACAUUUCUCAAAACGUGAUUAGGUUGGAAGAGAAAUUGAUCAGUGGAAUUAGGGUCGAAACUAGGGUGGGGGAAGGGUUAAAAACUAGUGCAACAAUCGGGCUAAGGAAUAUAUGAGUAAUAUGGGCUUCGCAAUAGAUUAAUUAGGAUUAGAAAAUAUGGAUAGGGUUUAAGAUAAGCAACAAAACAGUGAGGAGGGUAUGUGAUUGUUGAUGGAUAUGGGCUUACAACAAGUCAAUCCAAAUAAGUUAGAGGGGAAUAGAUUGCAACAAACAAAAUGAAAAAUCGAGUGAUUUGGGAAGGGAAGGAGUAGAUAGAGAAAAAAAGGGUUCAGUUGAAGAAUUUUAAAAAAAUUUUGAACAGAAGAAAAAAAAAGUAAUGGAAGAAAGAUUAGAUCGAUGUCUAAAAUUUAGAAUAGAAUUCUUUCAGUAACAGAGAAGAAGAAGAGAGAUCGGACGUUGAAAAAGCAGAAACGUAAAGGAAUUACAAGCAAAGAGGAAGUUUUUGUUAAUGCUUCUCUCUCAAACUCUGGCAUUAGCAAUAGAAAUAGAGUGAUUCUUAGGGAGGCAAGGAACACAUGGAAAGUGGGGAAAAAAUCUUGGGUUCAGCAUUCGGGGUGACGAACAAGAUGUUAAAGAGAAUAUGAAAUUGGAAGAAAGGUAGAUCUGAGCAACAAAGAAAAGUACAGAGGUCAAUAGGCCACAGGUUAGGUUAGUACCGAUUAUAACCGUGAUUUUUUACUGUGAAUGAGAGUGUUUAGGGGGAAAGAAUGAGGAUUUUAUAAUGGAACAUUAGGGGCAUGUCUUCAGAUUUGAAAAAAAAGUUAUCUCAAAAGAGUAAUCUUUAAAGCUAGAGUAGAUGUUUGCUUCAUUUAGGAAUCAAAAUUCGAAAAGGUUACGAAUGUAAUUCAACUAUUGUAGGGAAUUCAGAAGGUGUAAUUAUAGUAUGGGAUAAAGGCAAGUUUCGAGUAGGUAGUUAUAUAUAUUCUAAACAUUUUGUAGUAGUGGAAGGAAAAUGGUUAGAAGAAGGUUUAGAAGAUAUGUUGAUUAAUGUUUAUGCACCUAAUGAGACUUUAGAUAAAAAAUCUUUAUGGGAGGAAAUUAUAGAGUUGAAGGGUUCGUUUGCCUACUCAUGGAUCAUACGGUGAUUUUAACGCAGUAAGAAAAAUGAGUGAAAGAACUAAUUGUGUGGGACUCUUGAAUGGUUCAAAGGUAUUUAACAGUUUCAUUGAUAAUUGUAAAGUGGUGGAUUUACUUCUGACGGGUAAGAAGUUCACUUGGUUCGGGACAAAUAAUAAAAUGAGUAGAUUGGAUUGAUUUUUAUUGGAUGAACAAUGGUUAAUUCGCUUCAAAGACUUUACUCAGAAAGGCUUUUAUAGACCGGUUUCUGAUCAUAUUUCGUUACUACUAUAUAAUGAUUUUGUGGAUUGAGGGCCAUGCCCAUUCAAUUUUCUUAUUGCAUGGAUCACAAAAAAGGAGUGCACGAAUCUUAUUAAUGAAGUAUGGGGAGGGAAGGGCGAAGCUAAAAUAAGGAUGUCCAGAAAGCUAAAGAGGUUGAAACUGGUUAUCUAAGAAUGGAAUGAAAAAUCUGGUGGGAAUGAAGAUUAAAAAAUAAAAUUGAUUGAAAGAAAAUUUUCGGAAUAGGAUGAUAUUGGCGGCCACAAAAAUUUGAAUGAAAAGGAAAUGGAAGUAGUCGAUUGAAUAUAGAGUUGUGGGAUACAAUUAGGUUCAGUGAAUCAGUGUGACGUCAAAAGUCAAGGUUGUUAUGUUUAAAAGAAGGUGAUUCCAACAUUGCUUUCUUUCAUAAAGUAGUGAAAUUUAGAGCUAACAAAAACGAUUCAAAAGCUCAGAUUUGAGUCUUAUUGGUGCACAGAAUCGGAGUUACUGAAGAAAAAAAUGUUCGAGUACUUUAGCAAUCAUAUUAGUUGUCCAGUUAGAAAAUGAGAAGUGAAGAUGGAUCUGAUUUUGAAAAGAUUAACAGAGGAAGAAGCUUCAAGGCUUGAAAUGCCUUUCAUGAUGGAGGAGAUUAAAGACGCGAUUUGGUGUUGCAAUGAGUCCAAAGCUUUAGGGCCUGGUGGAUUUAAUAUGUUAAGAAAUGCUAGUAAGUGAUAAGGUAGGAUUUAUUCAAUAUGAUGAUGGGGUUAUUUAGACUUGAAAAGCUUGAAAAAAGUAUAAAGUCAUCCUUCAUAUCUCUUAUUCCCAAAACCGAUUUGUUUGUUGGGAUCUUUCUAUAAAAUAGUGGCUAAGUGAUGUCUAAACAAAUCCGAGAGGUGAUUGAUGGUGUAGUGAGCAAUACUCAAUGCGCAUUUAUAAAAGGGAGACAGAUUUUUGACAGAAUUCUGGUAGCAAAUGAAAUUAGUCACUCAAUUAUGAAAAAUUCGAGCUCAGGUGGUAGUUUAAUUUUGAAGCUGGAUUUUUCAAAAGCCUAUGAUUAUGUUAGAUGAUGCUUUUUGGUUCAAAUAGGGUUUGGGGUGAAAUGGAGAGGGUGGAUAUCUAAGUGUGUAUCCAUAGUAAGAGCAACUAUUCUUGUUAACUGAUUGACAACAAAUGAGUUCAGAAUAAGAAGGGGGCUCAGACAGGAGAUCCGCUUUUUCCAUUUCUGUUUAUUCUAGUAACAAAAGUGUUUCACUUGAUGCUUGAGAAGGCUAAAGAUAUUGGGUUAAUUGCUAGCAUUUAGAAUAUAAACCUGAAUCAAUCAUUCUCUCUUCUACAAUUUGUAGAUGACACCAUUCUCUUUGUGAAAGCUGAGGAAGAGUAUGUUCUAAAUAUUAUAUAUUUUAAGGUGUUUUGAAUCUUUUUUUGUCUUAGUAUUAAUUUCCAGAAAUCAUGCUUGGUGGGAUUUGAGAUGAAAGAGGAGUUUCUUUUAUGAAUGGUAGCAUUAUGUCGAUGUAAGAUUGGGAAUUUAGCUUUUAAUUAUUUAGGUAUUCCAUUAGGUGCUGAUCCGAGAAAAAUAGCUACUUGGGAGCCAAUUGUGGAAAAAUUUUCAGAAGAAACUAGCUGGUUGGAAAUAUCAGUCGCUCUCUUUCGUUGCAAGAGUAGUACUAACUAAUUUGUUACUAUCAUGCCUCCCUAUAUAUUUCAUGUCAUUAUUUCAAGCCCCUAUCACAGUAAUAAUUAAAAUCGAUAAAAUCAGAAGAAAAUUUAUGUGGUAAGGUUCAAAUUGUAACACCCCUUACCCGUAUUCGACACCGAAAUAGGAUAAGAGGCAUUACCAAAAAUUACGAAACAUUUACGGAUAAUUCGAGUCAUUUACAAUUCACUAUUUCUUCCUGUCAAUCCCAAUUUCAAAUGACAGAUUCAUGUAAAUGAGUUCAAUAUCAUUAGCUGUUUAAUUUCCGUCACUUAAAUUCAUAUACACAUAAUUUAUUAACAUAACCUGUCAAAACAAUCUCUGAAUGAUGAGAUCACAUAAUUGAACUCAAUUUCACUGUUCAAUAUGUUUUAUUACAUAAGAUUUGCUUAAUAGUUACCACAAUUUGUCAAAUUAGAGAACGUCUUACGGAAUUGAGUACUUCGUUUUCACAUUGCCAUAGUAUAACUAUGGUCUUGCACAUUGUCACAUAUCACACACCGAAGCCAUAGCCCAGCUAUGGUCUUACACUGAAACACAUAUCACACUAAUGCCAUAUCCAGAUAUAGUCUUACACGGAAAUCACAUAAUCAUAUUUUCACAUGUUGCCAUGGUCAAACCAUGGUCUUUUCCGUCAAUUCAUCACAUAUCACUGAACGAAAGUACUCAUUCCUGCGUUCUACUCAAUUUGACCUCUUAGUUCUUUUUUCGUACUUUUACAAUAUUCACACUUUAAAUACGAACAUAUGAAAUGAUUCGUCACUUCUUUCAUUUACUAACAAAUAAUUAUUAAAUUCAGCUAUAUGAACUUACAAUUUGAUUUUAUAACAUAACUAUAAUAAUAAUUUCAUAAUAACUAUUUAAAAUAAAACAUUAUAUCAUUUUCUAGAUCAACGUUUAUCGAUUAUAAUCGGGCAUAUGACCAAUUUAUACACAAGUCAUUCAUAUAUUUUCCUCCUCCUCCUCUCCAUUCCACAUCCUUAAUGUGUAUAACACACUUAAACAACAUUAUCCAUACUUUCACUAUUUCCUUGUAUGUAAAUUCAAAGCUGUCUAUUUGAGUCAGAGUCACUAAAUCAUUUUUAUCCGGAGCUACAAAGCUCCAAAUUAAGAUCCGUUAAUUUUACCCAAAACUAGACUAACAUAUAUACUUACCAUAAAAUUUUCAGAAUUUUUUACUUGGCAAAUUAGUACAUUUUAUUCUUUAAAUUCACCCUUGUUUCACAGCUCAACAUCUCUGUCCUCUCUUUACUAAAAAUGAAUUAUCUCAUUGUACAUAUUUUGGAUGGUUCUCUCGUUUGUUUCUCUUAAAAAUAGACUCAUUGAGGAAUUUAAGAAUGUAAAUUACAAACCAUAAUUAUUUAUUUAAAAUUUAUAGUGAUUUUCCAAAGUUGAAACAGGGGAACUCGAAAUCAUUCUGACCUUGUCUCACAAAAUUAAUUAUAUCUCAUGAUUUUCAAUUCCACUGCUUACACCAUUUCUUCUAUGAGAAAUUAGACUCAAUAAAAUUUAAUUUUAUAUUUUAUUCAUCUUCUAAUUCGAUUCCCACAAUUUUUGGUGAUUUUUCAAAGUUAGACCACUGCUGCUGCCCAAAACUGUUUUAGUGUAAAAUAUUGAUUACCAUUUUGACCCUAAACUUUGAAUACAUGUCAAUUUCAUCCCUAGGUUCAGAAAAUGAAAUUAUUUCAAUUUAAUCCUUGAUCCAAGCCUAAGAAUUCUCAUACAUAUCAAUAACAGCCCAUGGAUUCCAUGAAAUUUCAUAAUUUUUCCACAAUUUCAAUACUUUUCAAUUUAAUCUCUAAAACAUGUUUUCAUCCAAAAUUCUUUAAUAAAACACCUUUAAACAUCCAUUAACAUCUUAAUUUCAUCAUCAAAUAACAAAAAUCAUAUGAACUUAUCAAUGGUAUCUUCCAAAACUUUCAACAAAAUGAGAAACUAAUAGAAUUCUAAGUUGGACCUAAUUGUAAAAGUCUAAAAAUAUAAAAAUUUCAAGGAAAAAGCAAGAAUUAAACUUACUUGAAGCUAAGAUAUGGAAUACCAGCUCUAAACCCUCUUCCAUGGUUGUUUUCCACCGAAAUUUCAAGAAGAAAUGGUCUUGAAAUGCUUAAAAUAAAAUUUGGCUACACAAACUUUAUUGUAAUUCCAAUUUUGUCCUUAAAUACAUAAAAAUAUUUGAUUUUUUAAAUGGUAUGCCAUCUCAGCCACUUAAAUUGGUCCAUUUACUCUUUUAUUCCUUCCUUAUUUAAUUGUUAAGCUAUUUAAUCACUUUAGCAAAUUUUGCAUCUUUUCAAUUUAGUCAUUUUUAAUUAAUUAACUGCCGAAACAUUAAAAUUUUCUGACGAAACUUUAACACUACCAUAUUGACACUCCGUAAAUAUUUUUAUAAAUAUUUACAGCUUAGUUUAUAAUAUCGAGGUCUCGAUACCUCUUUUCCUCAAUUUCUUGACUUAAUAAAUUUUUAUAAAACACAAAUUACUAAUUCAAAAAUCUCUAAAAAAUCAUAUUUGGCUUGUAAUAAAAUUUACGAGCUUAUUUUUUGAAUUUGGUGAUCUCGUAUCACUGUUUUCGAUAUUUCUAAAAAUUGUGCUAUUACACAAAUGAAAGAAGAAAAAUGGAAAAAGUUGGUUGGAAUCAAGUGUGUUUACCAAAAAAAUUGAGAGGGGUUGGUGUGGUAAAUCUUAAAAUUAGAAUUGGGCUCUUAUGGCAAAGUGGGGAUAGAAAUACGCUACAAAAAAUAAUGCUUUGUGGAGAAAAGUUAUCCAUUCGAAGUAUGGCUCGCCUUUGUAACAUUAGGGAUUUAAGACAUCCAAACCAAAAGAGAUGUCGAUUGAAUGGCGCGAUAUUAUGGAAAAUUCAAAAUUAGAGGGAGUGUCAAAAUAGAUUGGGUCAGAAUCUUUUAGGUGGGUGAUUGGGAAUGGGAAAUCGUUCCUCUUUUGGAAGGAUAUUUGGUGUGGUAAUUGCCCGCUGGAGGUGGAGUUUCCUAAGUUGUUCAAACUUGCUAUUGUGAAGAAUAUUGUGGUCAAUAAUGUAGCAAAGAAUAAUGGGUUUCAGGAGGUAUAUUGGGGAGGACGUUUUCUCAAGGAAGUUGCUGGGUAAAGAGGUAAUUAUGUUGAACAAUUUGAAGAAUUUGAUUAGGAGUUUUGAACUAGAUCCUAAAGUGGAGGAUUGUAUCAUUUGGAUUCAUGAUAGUGUCAGAGAGUUUACAGUUAGGAAAUUGUCUCAAUUGUUGUCUUAUGAUGGAAUGAGAGCUAUUGAUUUCCCAUUUGAAAGGAUUUGAAAAUUAAAGGUACCACCAAGAGUCUGAAACUUUCUGUUGAUGUUGUUUAUUAAGAGUCUUGCAACAAAGGAUUUUCUGAUUAGCCAGUGGGUGAAUCUGGAUAGGAGUACAAAAAAUAUUGUGGUGGAUUUCGAUUUCAGCGUUAUGUUGGACCGUGUGGUUAGCUUGGAACGAUAAAGUGUUCGAUAGGACAUCGACGAAUCUAGAUACAAUAUUGUACCACUCUAAAAUGAGAGCUUUGAUGUGGGCUAAGGCAGUGCAAGAAGAAUGUCAAUUUUAGGAAGGUUAUUGGUGGUAUUGGCCAGCGAAAUUUAGCUCCUAAAAAAGCAUGGCAAACAUUGAUGUUUACCAUUGGAAGCCACCUCCUCUCGAAUGGAUGAAAUUCAAUGUGGUUGGUUUUGUUUUGAAGGAUGAAGCAGGUUGUGGUGAGUUUUUGAGAGAUGAUAAAGGAGUGACUUGUAUGGUUUUCUCGAGGCGGAUCAAAGCCAGGGGAGCAAAAAUGGCAGAAGUAAUAGCAAUUAAAACAAUAAUGGAUAUGGAUAUUAGAUCGAGUCCAAAGGCAGAUGUUCCAUUAAUAAUUGAAGUAUGCUCGUUUGUUGCUUUAGAAUAGCUGACAAAUAAGAGUUAUAGACCGUGGUUGUUACAAAAAUUGUUUGGUGACAAAGACUAUGGCAUUAAAUAGUUGGCUCAAUUUCAGAUCACAGUUAUUCAUCGACAAAGUAAUGGUAUGGAGGAUGCUUUGGCGAAAGCAGGUAUAUCAAGAUCUUCCUUUUUUAAAGCCUUGUGGUGAAUUUGUUAAAUGUAUCCUUUUGCUUGUUGUGCGGAGGUUUUUGUAUCUGGUUGUCUGUUGUAUUAUUGUCGUAUUCUUGCUUUUCUUAAAACAGUUGGUGGUUCCAAUGUCUUUCUUGAAUUAUUUUAUUCGAUUGAGCAAAAAAAAACUUUAAAUUAUAAUACUUUAGAAAUUCAUAUUAUUUGUUUAUAUUAAAUUAUAAAGUGAAAAUUUAAAACUUAAAAAAUACUACAAACCUCUACAAUUCGUACAUUUAAACAUGGACUUCUAAAACUUGAUAGCAAACAUAUAUGUAGAAAGUAUUAAUUAGUGGAAAACUUAUGUCUUUUCACUUAGUUUUGCAUGCAAUAAAUUUUAUGAUUUUUUUACAUGAUACUAUAAUAUAACAAAGUAAAAUUAAAGAUAAUUGAAAUGUGGAUAAAUUUGAUGUGAAAAUGGGGAUAAUAAAAUUAUAUAUUUUAAGUUAUCAUUAGGUUUUAAAUUAAGUGUAUAUAUUAUCUAGAUUUAAGUUCUAACAUGAUUUUUUUAUUAUAUUAAUUAUAAGAUGAAUCAGUAUGUAAAUAACAUUAAAUAAUUAAUAAAACAUAAAUCAAAUCAAAAUAGUAGGUAAAAAUAUUUUAGUUGAUUUGAUUUGAGUCGAAUAUUUUAUGUUUGAUGAUCAACCGAUUAGUUUGAUCUUUAAAAACUUGAGUUCCCCAAACGUAUGUUUACUUUUAACCUUUUAAUAUAAAAAUAAAAGUUAAAAUAAAUAAUAAAAGAAAAACUAAUCAGAAGAAGAAUUUUCAUUUUUAAAUAAAAAUGAGCUUUCCUACAAAAUAUUUGGUGGAAAAUUCAUUAAGAAAGGAUAUUGUAUGAAUGUACCACAAAAUUAAUCGCAUUCCCUUUGAUUAGAAAAGUAUUAAAAAGAUAAAAAAAACAUCAUAUCCAAACUCCAGUUGCGCCAUUGUCAUUUUGGAAGCGGGUAAUUUUUAAUAUUUCUUUUUGCUAUCUUAUUAACAUUUGAUUGCUUGCAAUUGGUGGCUACUCGUUUGGCUCCUUCACUUUUGUUAUCUUAGGUAACGUUAAUGGAUCUUUAAUCAUUUAGUUUUGGGGUUAUGAAAUGCUAGUGGUGUGCUAUUUUUUAUUCGUUAAUUGUUUAGUUCUACGUUUAGGUGAAGCUCAUGAGAUGUUUGGCACUCAUUCAACAUCGUAGUUUUGUAUGGUUACGGUUUGAUUAAUGGUAAGACUGUGAAAUAAUUUUGGUAUUGGAAGAGUUUAAUUCUUAAUUGCCCCGUGCCUCGUUAAUGUUAUAAUCAUUUUAUUUGUUGUAUUAGGGUCUUAGAGGUCUUGUGGUUCGUUCCCAUUAAAACCGAACCAGGUGGGUAACGAGAAACCUAAAAAUCAGUAAACUACAAAAGGUGGGUAAUGAGAAACCUGAAAAUCAGUAAACUACGAAAGCUGAAAUUGAGGCCUGUUAACGCCACACAGUCUUGGCCAUUUUGGGUCGUAUAGGCCACAUGAGCAUGUGUGGACCACACGAACAAGGCUAAUUUGGGCCGUGUGAGCUAUACGGACGUGUGGACUCAAAUUUCAAAAUUUUUCCCUAGGGUCGUACAAGUCGUCUCGAUUGACUGUGAGCCCUCCAUAUUAAGUAGAGGAAGUGUUCUGUGUGAGGCAUUAACUCGCCAUUAUACUAACAUUUGUUUGAUGAUUAGAUUCUAUUAGCUGAGUUGCAAGUUAAGCCAACUUAGAUUGAUCAGAUUCUGGAUAAACAAUUUAGGGAUGAUUCUCUGGUUCUGCGAUUCUGUUAGGUAGAAGAUGGUAGUACAUCUGAUUUUGGGCUAAAUAGUGGUAGGGUUCCGUGUUUCCGAGAACAGGUUUGUGUACCUAAUGAUUUUGAUUUGAGGCAGUCCAUUCUGAGGAAAGUGUAUAGUAGCCCUUAUGCUUUGCAUCCUAGUGGAAAUAAGAUGUAUCGAGAUCUUCGUGUUCUAUACUAGUGGCAUGUUUGAAACGGGAGGUAAAAAAUUUUAUUUUUUGUUGUCUGAACAUGCCAGCAAGUUAAGGCUAAGCACCAGUUGCCUUCGGGUUUCCUUCAACCCGUUAAGAUUCCCAUGUGGAAAUGAGAACAUGUGACUAUGGACUUUGUUAGUAGGUUACCCCUAACACUUCCUAAGAAGGAUAUUAUGUGGGUCAUCGUAGGUCAAUUAUACAAGUUUGUCGACUUUAUUCCUGAUCGAACAGAUUAUUCUCUUCAAAAGUUGGUCAAAUUAUAUGCUUUCGAGAUUAUGAGACUUCAUGGGGCACCUGUCUCAAUUAUUUCUGAUAGAGAUUCUCACUUCACUUUUUAAUUUUGGAGGAAACUUCAUGAGGCUCUAGGUUCGAGGUUGGACUUCAGUACUGUGUUCCAUCCUCAGACAAUGGUCAAUCUGAGUGAGUGAUUCAGAUACUAGGGGAUAUGCUUCGGAGUUAUGUAAUUGAUUUUCGACGUAGUUGAGAUGAUUUUUUACCGUUAGCCGAGUUCACCUACAAUAACAGCUUUUAGUCUAAUAUUCAGAUGGCGCCUUACGAGGCUCUAUAUAGUCGUAAGUGUCAUACUCCUCUAUGUUGGACUGAGUUAGGUGAGCGACGGGUUUUAGGUCCUGAGUUGGUUUCUGAGACUGAGGAUAAAAUUAGACUAAUUUGGGAUCAUUUUAAAGUGGCUUCUGAUAGAUAGAAGUCCUAUGCAAAUAUGAAAAGAGGGACAUUGAGUAUUCCGUGGGUGACUAUGUGUUCCUUAGUGUGUCUCCAUGGAAGAAAGUUCUACUGUUUGGACGUAAGGGCAAGUUGAGCCUAGGUUCAUUGGGCCCGUAUCGAAUUUUGAAAUGUACGGUAUUAGACAUGUAUUAGUUAGAGCUAAUUUUAAAGUUAGACCGUUUCCAUGAUGUGUUUUACGUCCCUAUGUUGAGGCGGUAUCAGUCACACCCAUCUAAUAUUGUUUCUGUUGAAGAGAUUGAGGUUAGACUAGAUUUAACUUUUGAUGAGGAGUCGAUUUAGAUUUUGGAUUGGGAUGUGAAAGUCUUGAGGAGGAAAUCUAUUCUAUUAGUUAAGGUUCUGUGACGGAAUCAUGGCGCAGAGAAAGCCACUUGGGAACCUGAGGACUCGAUUCGUCAGCAAUAUCCACACCUGUUUGAGUUAGGUAAAUUUCGAGGUUGAAAUUUCUUUUAGAGGGGUAGAGUUGUAAUGAUCCCAAAUAUUUAAUUAUUGCUCUGAUAAAAUUCGUCAUAGUUAAAUAAUUGCUUCAAUGGUUAAGGGCCUUGGGUGUAAAGGGUGGGUCGUGAGUUCAAGUCUUUGGGAGAGUCUUUUGCUAAGUAAUUUUUUGUUAUGUUGUUGAGUAGAAUUUGAGUUAAAGUUUAACUCAAAGAAUGGGGGGGAUAUUUGUUGCUUGAUUAUAGGGAUAGGAGGUGGGUAGUUGUGUUGGUUUAAAUUUUAAGUUUUAAUUUAUUUAAAAACAAAAAGAAAAACUUCUUCCCUCAAACCCAGAUUUCCACUUUCUUUCUUUUCUUGUUUUUAUUUUUUUUCUCUCUUCUUGCUUCACUGUCAUUUUGGAAGUGGGUAAUUUUUAAUCUUUCUUUUUGUUAUCCUAUUGACAUUUGAUUACUUACAAUUGGUGCCUACUUGUUUGGCUUAUUCACUUAUGUUAUCUUAGGUAAUGUUAAUGGAUCUUUAAUCGUUUAAUUUUGGGGUUAUGAGAUGCUAGUGGUGUUAUUGUUUUAUAUUAGUUAAUUAUUUAGUUAUGCGUUUAGCUAAAGGUCGUGAGAUGUUUGGCACUCUUUCAACAUCGUAGUUUCAUAUGGUUGUGGUUUGAUUAACUGUAAGACUAUGGAAGAGUUUUGGUGUUGGAAAAGUUUAAUUCUAGAUUUCCUUGUGCCCUGUUACCAUUAUAAUCAUUUUAUUUGUUGUAUAUUGGUCUCAAAAGUCUUCUGGUUGCAUUCCCUUCGAAAUUGAACCAAAAGGGUAACGAGAAACUCAAAAAUCAGUGAACGGCGAAAGCCAAAAUUGAGGCCUAAAAAUGCAUGUAAUGUGAUGUGAUAUGUAUGAUAUGUUAUUUAUAGGCAUGUUCAAUAUUUGUCAUAUGAGCAUGCAUGAUAUGUAAACUCUGGCCUCUGCUAUUUCUAUUAUUUUCAGUGUUUUGUUCAUAUCUGGUUAUGGGGCAGGUUAUGUAUUAUGUGGAGGAAGUGUUCUGCAUAAGGUGUUAACUCGCCAUUAUACUAGUAGCACUACUGCGAUUAUUCUGAAAAGUGUCAUAAGGAUACUAAGUGGUGUGUAGGGAUAGGUGGGUGUUUUAUACCCCACAUGGUGUGCUAGGAUGGUCAAAGCUGAUGUGUAAAGGAUGGGGGUAGGAUUAUAUUUAUCUGCACUAAUACUACUCUUAUACAAUUCUAAUUCUGUAUAAGAAAUAUGAUUAUAUCUGUUCUUUUAUGUGAUUAUAUUUGAAUUUCUGUUUCUUUUGAGUUACACACUAAGUUAUAAAAACUCACACUUUGUUUGUCUGAUAAUUUUAGGUAACCCUCAGAAUGAGGCAGGUUGGUUCGACGGGAGCUCGGUUAUGUCCACAAUUUUGUAAAACUUUAUUUAAAUAAAUUUGGCUUAUUUAAAAUUUUCGAUUUGAGAGUUUUGUAAUUUUUGGACUCUCUAGACAUUUAGGUUUGUUAUUGGUUUGGAUUUUGUUUUGGGUUUUUUCUUGAAAUUUGAUAAAAUGAUUUUUUUUUGAAAAACGGCUAUGUUUCUACGAUUAACUGUUUUUAAGAAAACAAACUCGAAUUUUUAAAAUAUAACGCUUUAAGAACUUCCGCUGCAACUUAUUUGAUUUAAUUUAGGAAAUGAAAUCAACUACCGGUUUUAACUAUUAAGUAUGUCAAACGUUUUUCAAUUAAAAUGGACUUUUAACGUUUUUCAAUUAAAAUGGACUUUUAAAUUAAAUAGCAAAGGUUCACGACAUUUUUCAAAAAUCGAAAGUUAGAUUUAUAAUUAUUUUACGCAAUAUUCCAGAUUCAGCCAUAAUGUCUAGGCUGAGUUUUAAGUGCUACGACAUUGCUUGAACCAAAAAUAUUCAUAAUCUCCACAAACAAAUUGCAAAGAGUAUCGACAUCUAAAAUCAUGUCGAAUGCAUUAAGGGAUUUGAUGAAGCAUAAUCCUUUAGGGCAAUGCACUAAAAGAUUGGUUAAUGACUUUUGUUCCAAAUCUUUCUACCCACCUCUCAUUGUGGUGCAUCCACAUUUCACCCAAAUCCUUUUGUAGAAUUCAAACAGCCAUAAAUCCCUUUUUUGAGUACUCUAGUAGAUUGGUUAACAAUGCAUAAUAUGAUAGAGCUUUCUAUCCCAAUCCUAUAGAUGCCAGCUUUCUAUCCCAAUCCUAUAGAUGCUAUGGCAUCAAGGCGCAAUUCAAACUUUGCAAGACCCUUUUGCAUUUCUUUGAUAUUUGAUUGAACUUUUUAAAAGUCUAUUUGGGUGAGAGAUUGGGAAGAAAACUUUCAUUUCUUGCAAAGUUUUAGAAAAUAUUCUGAACAUAUAUUUACUUUUUGGGGUAAACAUAAUAAAUUUUUAAGAAAUUUUAAAAAGGGUUUUGAAUAACCCAAAAUCCCCAUUCAAAUUCCAGAGAUAGUUUUUCAAAUUUCCAUUCAUUUAAUACAUGUGAUCUCACAGUGAAAUAAAAAAAAAGGCUAGCAUUUUGUACAUAUGCAAUGUACUUUUUUAUUUCAAGCAUCCUUAAAAAAUUAUCAUGUGUCUCUUUUUUAAAAUUAUAAACUUUUUGGGUAUGCAUUUGGUAUACUUGUAAUAUUUUUUUCCACAAGCAGUAUUGAAAAAUUGACAAGUCUCUUUUUAUGAAUAUCUAUUUUUUAAUAUUUUACUAUACUUGACACUUGUCAACUCUCUAAUCCUGCUUGUGAAGUCUAAAAACUACACUGAUGGUAUAUCAAAUAUUUUAUAUAACUUUAAAAUGUAAUAUUUGUUUAAUUUCAAUAUUUUUAUAUUUUAUAUUAUUAAAAGUAUUUACAUAUUUUUAUGAAUGUAAUGAUAUCCAUCUUGCAUAUUUUCAUAUUAUUUUUCUUUUAUAAUUAUUUUUUAACUUAUUAAAUUUUAUUAACUUUAUUUUUUUUAAAAAUUAUUUUUCGAAACCAAAAAAUUAAAAAUAUUAAAGGAUGUAUUUUAAAAUGGUAGCAUUUUUAAAGGCUUGAUAAAUUUAAAUUUUCAAAAUGUUUUAUCCACCCUAAAAGAUGAAAAGAUGAAGCAUGUAAUUGUAGUGGCCCGAAGCGACGGCAAAGGAGACCAAGACGAAGGGGGAAAUGAGUGAUGAGAUCACUUACCAAGUCUUUUCUUUUGGAAUUUUCGCCAUUUAACUUAGUGGUAAUUAUCUGAUAGUGACUAUUCAAUUCCCUUUGGUUCAUAUGAAAUUUACUUUUAAAAUUAUUAUUUUCCUCUACUUGCACAAGGAAUAUAUAUAAUACUAAAUUAGCACAAUAAUAAAUAAAAUCAGUAAAAGAAGUGAAAUCCAUCUUCAUAUAGUGGAUUCCGUUCUCGUAAUCAAAUCAUAAUCUUUGAGAAAAUUAGAAGAUUAAUAAAAUAAUUUAUUUAUAUUCAAACUUAAAUAAAGAUAAAAUAUGAAUACAUACCCAAAAUAAAGAUAUUUAAUUAGAAAAUAUGAAUCCGUAACUAUACAGUUCUUACAUUUAGACAUAGACAUCUAAAACUUGAUAGCAACCAUACAUGUACAAAGUUCUAAUAAGUGGAAAACUUAGGUCUUUUCACUUGGUUUUGCUUGCAGUACUAGUAGAUUUUAUGAUUUUUUUUUACAUGAUAAUAUAAUACAACAAAGUGAAGUUAAAAGUAAUUGAAAUGUGGAUAUAUUUGAUUUGAAAAUAGUGAUAAUAAAAUUAUAUAUUUUAAGUUAUUAAUGUUGAUUAGGUUUUUAAAUUAAAUGUUAUAUAUAUAUUAGCUACGAGAUCUAAUCUGAAUUUUUUAUUAAUUAAUUAUGAGAUGAAUAAAGAUGUCCUAUGUAAAUAAUAUUAAAUAAUUAAUCAAACAUAAAUCAAAUCGAAGUAAUUGGUAAAAAUAUUUUAGUUUAAGUUAAUUUGAUUUGAUUUGAAUAUUAUGUUUGAUGAUAAAUUAAUUAGUUUGAUCUUUAAAAAAUUGAAUUCGUAAGCAUGUUUAUUUUGUUUUAAUUAAAAAAUAAAAGUCAGAAAUAAAUAGUGAAAGAAAAAGAAGAUUUUUCACUUUUAAAUAGAGAUGAAUUUCCAUCAAAAUAUUUUGUGGAAAAUUUGUUAGGAAAUAAUAAUUGUAUGAAUGUAACACAAAAUUAAUUGCAUUCUUUAUUAACAUUCCAAUUGUCUUAUUAAAAAGUACAACACAUUGAAUAAUCUUUGUUAACAUUCCAAUUGUCUUAAUCAUCACAACUGUACAUGUUGACUAACAAUCUUCAUCAUCACCAAGUAAUUACUCCAAAAUUUGUCUAAACUAAUAUUAAAAACAUUCUAUACAUUCAAGACCCAUUCUAAGCAAUAAACUCCUUGGAAGUGAUCAUGGCUUGCAAGUGACUCUUAUAAUCAUGCAAAUUCUUCAUUAAUAAAAUUAAUAGCAAAACAUUUCUCACUAGGACAACAAUUAACCCAAAAUCCAUUUGUGAUUGUCGAAACCAUUUUUUAUUGAAUUUGAACAACGGGAAUUGACUUUGAAAAUAGAGUCGCCACCAAUCUUUUAUUGAGGUGUGAUCAAAUCACCUUAAAAAUGAUUUUUGGUCUACGAAUUUUGAGAAAACAAGUCCGGAAGUCGGUUACGCACGAGGAAGUGUUAGCACCCUCGUGACGCCUAAAAUUGGUACCGAAUUGAUUGUUUAAUGUCUUAGUGUCGAAACUUGAAAAGAUUUUUAAAUACGAUCCCAUGAAAUGAAAACUUAAAUAAUUGAAUUGGCUAAAUAGACGGGGACCCAUUUCAAAUAAAUAAACUGUCACACUCAGUUAGUUAGAGUACAAUAGUUCAAUCUUCGAAGUUAGAUUUGUCCUUUUUUAAUUUUUUUUAAAAACCAUAUUGUAGAGCCCAAAUAUGCCCGGGCCCAAUAAAAUUAAAACCCAAGACCCAAACAUCAAGCCCAAAAAUACCAACAGCCCAGCAAGCCCAAAGCUUAACAAAAUUUCAGCCAAAUCAAAAAUCAAAACCCUAGCCGCAUAGCAGCCACCAGCAAGACCCCAGCCGUCGCACGUCUCGGGACUGGCCUCCUCCAUGCGCGCCGUUUUCCCCCACGUUCGCCUGCAAAACGGACUCAAGGAGUCCCAUAGAGAGGAAACAGUAAAGAAUAAUAGCAAAAUCGGGACAACAGUUUGAUUUUUUUUGGCUAUAUAAAGGCUGAUUCUUAUUGUAAAAAUGGGGGGAGGGAAACUUUUGUUUUUUCAGUGUGAGAGAUAUACAAGAAAUAAAAAGAAAUACUGAGGAAAAAAUUUCUUGAAGGUGAAUUGGGUUUUUACAUUUUCUAUUCUGUUUAUUAUUAUUUUAUUUUGUUUUCUAAAGAAACGGUACAAAAGAGGAAAGGGAUAAUACCUUCGAGGAUUGGCCGUUGAACCACGUUCGCCUUGCUCAGAUCGGAGUUUGGCGGUGCGCUGGGAAUUGGCUCGCCUGAGAAUGGCGGCAGUGGGGGUUGGGGGUUAAAAGAAACCCUAGCAAAGAACUUUUUUUUUCUCUGCUGCAAAUGCUCUGUUUUUUUUAGAAAAAAAACUGCUUUAAGUAAAGACACCGAAACGGUGUCGUUCGGCUGAGGCAGGCCCGCGCGGUGACCCGACCCGGAGGGGAGGAUCCGCGCGUCUUGGGCCUAGAUGGUACAUUUCGCGUUUGGUCCCUGAGUUUUUAAAAGUGUGUUUAAAUCAAUUUCUUUGUUUCUCUUAAAUUUGGCCACGCGCUUUAUUUCCGUUUCAUUUGGAUCCCCAUUGAAACGCAACAUUUUAGGGAAAAGGGUUAAUAUCCCAUUUGAUCCCCCUCUGUUCUGUGCGUGUUCAAUAGGGUUCCUAUAUUUGUAUUUAUUCCAAAUUUGCUCUUAAAUUUUCUUGAGUUUCAAAUUAGUCAUUCUGUUAUUAUUAUUAUUAUUAUUAUUAUUAUUAUUAUUAUUAUCAACAUGUAUAUUUUUAAAUGCCCAGCCUCAUUAUAUGUACAUGUAUGCAUUUUUAAUAUAUAUAUAUUUUUUAAGUUUUAUACGCAGGCAUAUAUUUCGUUCUUACAUUUUCAAAAUUUCUUUUGUAUAGUUUUUUUUUGUUUCUUUUUUUUGUUUCAUAUGUUUUAUAUGUUAUACAUACUUACACAUUUCUUUAUUUUGUAAAUAUAGAUAUACAUAACUUUAUAUAUAUAUUUUUCACAUGUACAUAUUAUAUUUUAUUUGUUAUUAUUUUAUUUUCACCAUUCUCAUAUCUUAUAAUGCAUAUACAUUUUAUAAUUUAAAGUUCACAUAUAUUUUCUAUAAUAUAUUUACGUAUACGUUUUUCCUUUAAAAUCAUUAAAUAUUUUAUUGUUUCUAUAAUCUGCUAUUUUAUGUACAUAUACAUGUAAUUUUUGUAAAAUAAACAUACAUAUUUUCUUAGAAGUUAUUAUGGGUUUUACAUAUUUCAUUGUUUUUAUAAGUAUACCUAUAUGUAAGUGUUCUAUUAUGCAUACACGUAUUUCCAAAUUUACUUACAUGUUGUACGUAUUUAUGUAUAUAUACAUUUGUUGUAUAUAUAUAUAUAUAUUUAGCUCAUGUUAAAGUAUUUGUUUUAUGAGGUAUAUUAACUUUUUUAUCAUUUUUUCUAAAAAAGGGAAAAUAUAUUUGGUUUUGUCAAUACAUCAAAAUUAUUUUCUCUCGAUUCAAAGUUUUUUUUGAAUAAAAGCAUUAUUCGAAGUUUGGGGUUUUCAAGGGAAAUUGAGCCCUAACGUAUUGAGUUUUGAUUUUCUUUGUUAAUCUUAAAUAACCGAAGAUAUUCUUUAUUCAAAAUGCAUAAGCAUAAAAAUCAUUUUUGGGAACUUAACCUGUUGUGCCCUAACGUAUUGGGUGUGGCAUGUUACUUUCUCAAAGUGAAGAUUUUCGUAUAAAAUAAAAGUGAUAUUCAAGUUUGGGGAUUAUGAGGAAUUGUACCCUAACGUAUUGGGACUCGAUUUCUUUACAUGACUUGAACAAUUGAUUAUCCUUUUGUCAAUUUCACCAUUCAAGCUUAUUUUAAUAUCUUUUUUAACUUUCGACACAAAGACAUUAAAUAGUCAAUUUGGUACCGAUUUUUGGGUGUUACGAGGGUGCUAACCCUUCCUCGUGCGUAACUGACUCCCGAACCUGUUUUUAAAAUUCGCAGACCAAAAUGAUUUUUGAGGUGGGCCGGUCACACCUUAAUAAAUGAUCGGUGGCGACUCCAGUUUUAUUUUUUAACGUCGACAACUUAAAUUUUUGUUUUCAAAAAAACGGUUUCGACAGCUUGGCGACUCACUGGGGACAUUUGAGAGUCGAGCCAUAAACUGAUUAUAUUUGCCUUUGUGUCGAAAAUCAAAAGUUUUAAAAAAUUCAUGAGUUCCCUUCGCAUUUAUUGUUUUUUUUUUCAUGUUGGUAUGUUGGUAGUUUUGCAUUUGCAUUUUGCAUUUUACCCUUUAAGUGGGAGCGAGAAACUAGUCCUUCGUGAGGUUUUCACCUCCGUGCAGGGUAGUGGACCGCUUCCGGGAUACAUCCGUACCUAUGUCUUCGUGAGAUUUUCAUCUCCGUACAGCCAUAGGGAAAUGUAUUCCCCUGAACUGAACUCGAUUCAUAUGAGCCUAUAAUGGGUGAUGAUCGAGGAAUCUGCUGGUUCGGGUACCUUUACCUUAGUAGCCAAACCGCAUAUAGUGAACCUUAGGAACUUACCCUAGGUAGAAUUACUCUAAACCUUAGUAGAUACCUGACUAGGAGUUUUUAUUAUUUCUUGAUUGUAUUGGAUUUAAUGUUUAUACCCGAUACUAACCCGUUUUGUUUUGUUUUGGUUAUGAUUGCAUUGCAUUUGCAUUGUAGAAAAGAGAUGUUGAUUCAAGUUUGAUUACUAAUUUAGAAAGCCUAUCAUAAGAAAACAGGUUUCUUGAUAAAAUGGAAAAUAGUACGGCAGCCUGAAUAUAUUCCAAGAAAUACAAGAAGGGCGAUGGAAGAAUUCGUGACUUUACUUUAGGGCCCGAGGAUUCAAGAUGAUUUGUCUAAGAGCUUUCAACAUUCCAAAUUUCUUAAAGAAGCUAAUGAGCAUUACGGGGAUAGGUAGACAACGGAUUGCGACCAGAAUCAAGCAGAAGGAGCUAGCAGUGACAUCCAUUGGAAGUUCGCGAGGUUUAUCUUAACAUCCGGAUGAAAAAGGAGAAGAUAUCUUUGUUUCGAGUAUGAGGGAAAAGCCGUAUAUAUAUCCGCUUUAUGUAAAGAAAUUUGUCCUCUAGUAAGGUUUUCUAAAUGGAAUUGAAUCAGAAUCAACGUCUCUUUAUGCAUUCAUUUCAUGCAUUCGCAUUUCAUUACAUCAUAUGCAUCAAAGAUUAUUCAAAGAUACUAAUUAACUAAAAUCAUUGCUCAGUUAACCUGGAAUCCAACCAACCAACCCAACACCGAUACGGCACUCGAGCAAAGACAAAAGAUAUGGAUCAGAGAUUAGAAAAGCUCAAACAGUACCAGAAGGAGAUGCAAGAUCGGCUUCAGCUACAAAUGCAGGAGCGGCUAGACAAGAUGAAACAAGAGAUGUCUGAGAAGAUGCGAGAAUCCCAAGAAGAUAUAGUGGCAAAGUUAACCCGACUGAUAACUAAGGGAGGUGACAAAGGAAAGGGCCCCAUGGCAGAUGUCGAUGAAGGAAAUGAUGAUGAACUUUUCUAUCCUCCAGGUUUCACCCCUCCACAUGAGCGAGCUCAAGCUGAAUACCCACGCAAAUCAACUGUCACCAUCAUGCCUCAGCAAUUUCGAACUGGUGUUUCGAACCUCCAAACUGGGCUGGGUUUUAAUCUCGAAAAUAACCCCGUGAACCCCGCCAUUCCGGACUUUGACGAAGUGGCUGAGAAGGAAAGAAUAAAGGUGGAAUUACCGAAACAGUUAGAGGAUCGAUGCAAGUGGCUCGAGGAGAAGUUCAAAGCGAUGGAAGUCACUGAAAGUUAUCGAGGCAUUGAUGCAAAAGAGCUGAGUUUAGUGCCAGAUCUUGUUCUCCCUCAUAAGUUUAAGAUGCCUGAAUUCGAGAAGUACAAUGGGACGACUUGCCCAGAGGAUCAUAUCACCAUGUUCUGCAGGUGAAUGGCUGGAUACGUUAAUAAUGACCAGCUAUUAAUACAUUGCUUCCAAGACAGCCUUGCAGGGGCAGCAUCCAAGUGGUACAAUCAGUUGAGUCGAGCUACGAUUGGUUCAUGGAGGGACUUGGCGCAAGUAUUCAUGAAACAAUAUAGUCAUGUGACAGACAUGGCUCCUGAUAGAAUCACCCUUCAAAACAUGGAGAAGAAGCCGAGCGAAAGCUUUAGGCAGUACGCACAGAGAUGGAGGGAGGUCGCGGUCCAAGUUCAGCCGCCGCUCUUGGAAAAGGAAAUGACUAUGUUGUUUAUUAACACACUAAAAGCCCCAUUCAUUACGCAUAUGUUAGGAAAUGCUACAAAAAGCUUUCCUGACAUAAUUAUGAAUGGUGAAAUGAUCGAAAAUGCGAUAAGAAGUGGGAAAAUUGAUAUAGAGGAGAGUAACAAGAGGUAAGUCUCAAAAAGAAGAGAAAAUGAGGUGAACAACACGGGUUACUCUAAAUCAGUUACUGUUCAGCCAAGAAAGGUGGUUGGUAAUCAACAAAAUCCAUCGAGGCAAGAUUCCGGCAUAAAGACUGAAAAAUUCCAGUUUACACCAAUCCCAGUACCGUAUAAGGAACUGUAUCAAAAUUUGUUUGAUGCACAUGUUGUUUCCCCUUUUCAUGUGAAGCCUCUACAACCUCCGUAUCCCGAAUGGUAUGAUGCGAACACACAAUGUGACUACCACGCGGGAAUUACGGGACACUCGAUUGAGAAUUGCACUGCCUUCAAGAAGCAAGUUGAAAGACUUAUCAACAUGGGUAUUAUCAAGUUUGGUGACUCAUCUAACGCAGGAAAUCCGCUACCCAAUCAUGAUUGAGGAUGGAGGGACUGCAAUAUAUGAAGAAGUGGUGAGAAAUUUGCACAUCGAUGCCAUAUAUGCAGACACAAUUUAAAGGGUCAUUGUUAGAUAUUUUCCUUAGAGGUGUUCUAAAUAAUGAGACUGCGGAGGAAACCCCUGAAGUAUUUAGAGUCUGUUAGAGUAAUGUUCAGAACACACUUGUUGCUUUCAGCCUAGAAGCAAUAAGGAUUUCUUUGUGAAAUAAGCUCACGUCUGAACAUUAUUAUUUUAAUGAAAUACAUUAUUGCAAUCAUCUUUGAGCAAAUGUUCUUUCAUUCUUUACAUUUUUUUCAUUUUUUUUGGAUUUUUUCUGCCAAACCAUUCAUUCAUAUUAUUCAUACAUUCUUUUGUAUAUUCACGGAUACCUGCUAUGGGUCCCCAGAUAUCAAUGUCAUGAGUAAUGCUGCUACAGACUCAAAAUUUCCUUUUGAGUGAGACAUGUGUUUAGAGGGGUCUCAUGACUUUGAAGAUAACAUAGAUUGUAGCUUAUCUCCAGACUUGAGGAGGGUGAUAGAAUAAGAGGAUAGACAGAUCCUACAUCACAAUGAAUUAUCAGAAAUUGUGAGCUUGGUGAAGAUUGGAAUUGACAUGAUCACAAAGACGAGGCGGGACCUUAUAGAGCUACCACAAGAAUUCAAUGAUGUCUUCACAUGGUCUUACCUAGAUAUGCUCGGGUUAAGCACUAGCUUGUAAUCUGAAUAACAGCAUGAUGUUAGAAAUGGGCAGUAGGUUCAACAUCGAUGCUAUGAACGAUGUAGUAAACUUUCUUUGCUCGGGCAAUAUCCUCCUAUUUGGCUUAUCAUAGCUUUACUCAUUGAAGUCGAAUUGUCAUUUCUCUACAUUUUAUCCUAAGAGGAAGACCCGAAGGUCCGUCCCAAAGAAUUUGACAAGAGGGAACUAAUGUUGAAAAAGAUCCUUCCUAUACAAAAGGAUUUUAGAGGAAGAUAGAGGCCAAAUUAGAAGGGUCUAUAUGUUAUAAAGAAAGCCUUUUUUGGAGAAGCUUUGAUCUUGAGUGAGAUGGAUGGUAAAAAUUUACAAAGUCCUGUAAACUCAGAUUCAGUCAGGAAAUACUCUGCUUAAAAAAGGUGGGACCAAGGUGAAAGCCUACAAAGGGCGCUUUGAGUCAAAAAAAAAAGAGACCAGGGUGAAACCCUACAAAAGGAGCCUUGAGUAAAAAAAAAGGAGAGGCUAAUGUGAAAACUCGCAAAGGGCGCCUUAGACCAAAGGGGAUUUGAGUUGAAAACCCGAAAAAGGGCAGCUCAAAUGUUGAUCAGAAUGGGGCAUGAAGUAAUCAGAGCAGCUCAAAUACUGAUCAGAAUGGGAUAUACAGUGGUCUUGCUAUACCAGAAUCAGCAGGAAAGGGUAUGCGACAUCUUGGGGCAUCGAUAGAGUAUGAUAGAUCUCCUAAACACAUGUUAAGCUCAAAAUCGUCUUCAGAAAGUUUGUACAGAGAAGUUCAAGCUGCGAUGUCUGGGGCACCUAAUCUUUAUACCGUUUUUGCUAUUUUUGGAACACUUCAUUCAUUGCCAAGAUACACAUUCCUAAAUCAAUUUCUUUGUUAUCCAUCUUUAUUGUCCUUGAUAAUUUAUUCAUUUCGAGCUAUGCUCAGAGCCAACUCUAUUCUUAUCCAUGAUCUUUUUGCAAGCAUGUUGCAUUAGAAUAAUGGUUAAUAGACUAAUAAAACUUUCACAAGGGAAGUUUUGCAUAUUACUCUAGAAGUUUCUAAAUAAUGCAGGAACCUGAAACAGGACUAUUGUUUAGAAUGCACCAGGUUGGAAAUCUAAUAAGGAAAUGUCUAAAUUCAGACUAUCCCUUUAAAUUUUGUUACCUAAAACAUCGAUUGGACAAAAUGGCAAUGUGUCAUGUUGGUGACAAGGCUUCAAUGAACAAGCAGGCAAUGAUCACCGAAUAACAAGAAGAAGUUGUUCUUGGAGAGGAAUAUUCUUCAUUUGUGCAUGAGAAUUUGGUAUGACACCCUGGGAAUGGUGUAAGGGACCAAAGAGUUUCAUAUCCUGUAUCCUUGAAUUGUGAUAGUAGAGGAUUGAGAAAAGACCAAAUCUUUUUACUCUUGGGUUACAACGGGAGAAAGAUGGUAUAAAUUUUGCAUCCCAAUGGAUCAAACUUGGAGGUUUACAGUGGGGGGCAAUCUGGUCAAGAGUUUCUUUUGAGACGCCAGCUGAGCAAGAGGGUGCUAUAGCACAUUAGCGAUGAAACUUUAAAUAAACUUUGAGUAAUGAUAACCUAAGUGAAAAUGAGGGAUCAUUCUCGAAAAAAUGACAUUCUGCAUUCAUUCAAAUGUCAUUCAUACACGCCUAGUUAGGAGCAUUUGAUUCAUUUGAUCAUGACAUCCUAAUCAUUUGGCAUAGUUAGGUUCAUAAAGUGAAUUAUACAGGUCAUGUUCCCCAGAGAACAGAUCGGUGAAAUCAUAAAGCCUUAUCUUCCUGAACAACAGUGGAGCAGGUUGAAAAGCAGCAGAUCUUGUCUUCAUGUACUGGCGUGAAGUAGAUCAAAGAUAACAGAUCUCGCCUUCCCAUGCUGGUGGCGAAGCAGAUCGAAGGAAUACAGAUCUUGUCUUCAUGUACUGGCGUGAAGUAGAUCAAAUAUACAGAUCUCGCAUUCCCAUACUGGUGGCGAAGCAGAUCGAAAAAAAGUAGAUAUUGUCUUCAUGUAUCAGCGUGAAGUAGAUCAAAGUCAACAGAUCUUGUCUCCCCAUACUGGUGGUGGAGUAGAUAAAAGAAAGCAAAUCUUGUCUUCAUGUAUCGGCGUGAAGUAGAUCAAAGUCAACAGAUCUUGUCUUCCCAUAUUGGUGGCGUAGCAGAUCAAAGAAAGCAGAUCUUGUCUUCAUGUACUGGCGUGAAGUAGAUCAAAGAAACAGAUCUUGUCUCCCCAUACUGGUGGUGGAGUAGGUUGAAGAAAAUAGAUCGUGUCUUCAUGUACUGGCGUGAAAGAGAUCAAAGAUAGUAGGUCAUGUCUUCCUAUAUUGGUAGCGAAGUGGAUCGAAUAUACAUAUUUUAUCUUCCCAUACCGGCGGCGAAGUAGAUUGAAGAUUACAGAUCUUGCCUCCCUAAGCAGUAGUGAAGCAGAUCGAAGAUGGCGGAUUUUACCUCCCUGAAGUUGCAGUGGAGUAUAUUGAAGCCAGUAAUUCUACCUCCCCGGUCGGCAGUGGAAUCGAUUGAAAAAGCAGAUCCCGUCUUCAUGUACUGGCAUGAAGGAGAUCAAAGUUAGUAGGUCCUGUCUUCCUGUAUUGGUAGCAAAGUGGAUCAAAUAUACAUAUUUUAUCUUCCCAUACCGGCGGCGAAGUAGAUUGAAGAUUACAGAUCUUGCCUCCCUAAGCAGUAGUGGAGCAGAUCGAAGAUGGCGGAUUUUACCUCCCUGAAGUUACAGUGGAGUAUAUUGAAGCCAGCAAUUCUACCUCCCCGGUCGGCAGUGGAAUCGAUUGAAAAAGCAGAUCUUGUCUUCAUGUAUUGGCGUGAAGUAUAUCGAAGAAAGCAGAUAUUGUCUUCCCAUACUGGUGGUGAACUAUUUGAAGCUACAAGUCUUACCUCCCUGAAGUUGCAGUGGAGCAGACAAAAGUAACCAAUCCUAUCUCCUUGAAGUUGCGAUGGAGUGGAUUAAAACCGCAGAUCUCAUCUCUCUGAAGUUGCAGUAGAGCAGAUCGCGUCAGAUUUACCCUUAAGUUGUAGCUGAACAAAUUAAAGCUACAGGUCUUAUCUCCCUGAAGUUGCAGUGGAGCAGAUUAAAGUUAGCAAAUUUAGUUCUUUUGAGAAGCUACAACAUACGAAUCCUAUCUCCCUAACAUACAUUGCAGUGGAGUAGAUUGAAGCACCAGUUCUUAUACCUCUGAAGAUGCAGUAGGAGGGAAUGAGACUAUUUGAAGUAAAAAAGUACUAAAGAAGUCGAGCCUCAAUAAGGCCGGGCACAAUUGGCUUUUAGUCUUUACUCUGUUCCCGUUACACGACAACGAGCAAAGAGGGGCAGCUGUAGAGCCCAAAUAUGCCCGGGCCCAAUAAAAUUAAAACCCAAGAUCCAAACAUCAGGCCCAAAAAUACCAACAGCCCAGCAAGCCCAAAGCUUAACAAAAUUUCAGCCAAAUCAAAAAUCAAAACCCUAGCCGCAUAGCAGCCACCAGCAAGACCCCAGCCAUCGCACGUCUUGGGACUGACCUCCUCUAUGCGCGCCGUUUUCCCCCACGUUCGCCUAUAAAACGGACUCAAGGAGUCCCAUAGAGAGAAAACAGUAAAGAAUAAUAGCAAAAUCGGGAUAAAAGUUUGAUUUUUUUUUGCUAUAUAAAGGCUGAUUCUUAUUGUAAAAAUGGGGGGAUGGAAAUUUUUGUUUUUUCAGUGUGAGAGAUAUACAAGAAAUAAAAAGAAAUAAUGAGGAAAAAAUUUCUUGAAGGUGAAUUGGGUUUUUACAUUUUCUAUUCUGUUUAUUAUUAUUUUAUUUUGUUUUCUAAAGAAACAGUACAAAAGAGAAGAGGGAUAAUACCUUCGAGGAUUGGCCGUUGAACCACGUUCACCUUGCUCAGAUCGGAGUUUGGCGGUGCGCUGGGAAUUGGCUCGCCUGAGAAUGGCGGCAGUGGGGGUUGGGGGUUAAAAAAACCCUAGCAAAGAACUUUUUUUUCUCUGCUGCAAAUGCUCUGUUUUUUUUAGAAAAAAAACUGCUUUAAGUAAAGACACCGAAACGGUGUCGUUCGGCUGAGGCAGGCCCGCGCGGUGACCCGACCCGGAGGGGAGGAUCCGUGCGUCUUGGGCCUAGAUGGUACAUUUGCGCGUUUGGUCCCUGAGUUUUUAAAAGUGUGUUUAAAUCAAUUUCUUUGUUUCUCUUAAAUUUGGCCACGCGCUUUAUUUCCGUUUCAUUUGGAUCCCCAUUGAAACGCAACAUUUUAGGGAAAAGGGUUAAUAUCCCAUUUGAUCCCCCUCUGUUCUGUGCGUGUUCAAUAGGGUUCCUAUAUUUGUAUUUAUUCCAAAUUUGCUCUUAAAUUUUCUUGAGUUUCAAAUUAGUCAUUCUGUUAUUAUUAUUAUUAUUAUUAUUAUUAUUAUUAUUAUUAUUAUUAUCAACAUGUAUAUUUUUAAAUGCCCAGCCUCAUUAUAUGUACAUGUAUGCAUUUUUAAUAUAUAUAUAUUUUUUAAGUUUUAUACGCAGGCAUAUAUUUCGUUCUUACAUUUUCAAAAUUUCUUUUGUAUAGUUUUUUUUUGUUUCUUUUUUUUGUUUCAUAUGUUUUAUAUGUUAUACAUACUUACACAUUUCUUUAUUUUGUAAAUAUAGAUAUACAUAACUUUAUAUAUAUAUAUUUCACAUGUACAUAUUAUAUUUUAUUUGUUAUUAUUUUAUUUUCACCAUUCUCAUAUCUUAUAAUGCAUAUACAUUUUAUAAUUUAAAGUUCACAUAUAUUUUCUAUAAUAUAUUUACGUAUACGUUUUUCCUUUAAAAUCAUUAAAUAUUUUAUUGUUUCUAUAAUCUGCUAUUUUAUGUACAUAUACAUGUAAUUUUUGUAAAAUAAACAUACAUAUUUUCUUAGAAGUUAUUAUGGGUUUUACAUAUUUCAUUGUUUUUAUAAGUAUACCUAUAUGUAAGUGUUCUAUUAUGCAUACACGUAUUUCCAAAUUUACUUACAUGUUGUACGUAUUUAUGUAUAUAUACAUUUGUUGUAUAUAUAUAUAUAUAUUUAGCUCAUGUUAAAGUAUUUGUUUUAUGAGGUAUAUUAACUUUUUAUCAUUUUUUCUAAAAAAGGGAAAAUAUAUUUGGUUUUGUCAAUACAUCAAAAUUAUUUUCUCUCGAUUCAAAGUUUUUUUUGAAUAAAAGCAUUAUUCGAAGUUUGGGGUUUUCAAGGGAAAUUGAGCCCUAACGUAUUGGGCUCUGAUUUUCUUUGUUAAUCUUAAAUAACCGAAGAUAUUCUUUAUUCAAAAUGCAUGAGCAUAAAAAUCAUUUUUGGGAAUUUAACCUGUUGUGCCCUAACGUAUUGGGUGUGGCAUGUUACUUUCUCAAAGUGAAGAUUUUCGUAUAAAAUAAAAGUGAUAUUCAAGUUUGGGGAUUAUGAGGAUUUGUACCCUAACGUAUUGGGACUCGAUUUCUUUACAUGACUUGAACAAUUGAUUAUCCUUUUGUCAAUUUCACCAUUCAAGCUUAUUUUAAUAUCUUUUUUAACUUUCGACACAAAGACAUUAAAUAGUCAAUUUGGUACCGAUUUUUGGGCGUUACGAGGGUGCUAACCCUUCCUCGUGCGUAACUGACUCCCGAACCUGUUUUCAAAAUUCGCAGACCAAAAUGAUUUUUGAGGUGGGCCGGUCACACCUUAAUAAAGGAUCGGUGGCGACUCCAGUUUUAUUUUUUAACGUCGACAACUUAAAUUUUUGUUUUCAAAAAAAAAGUUUCGACACAUAUGUUUUAAGAAGGAUAUUUGAUUAUUUAAGUCAAUCGAGAAAUCAGAAUCCAGUAAGUUAGGGUUCAAUUUCUCGAAAUUCCUAAACAUCAAAUAUUGCCUUUAUUUUAAAAUCGAGAUAACAAAAUGUCAUAUCUAGUAAGUUAGGAUCCAAUAUUUUGAAAUCUUAAGAACUUUAUUUUAAAAAUUGUAUGGUCUUAAUAAAAUGAACACUUGAUUAUCUAAAUUCAUCGAGAAGAAUUGAAGCCCAGUAAGUUAUGGCACAAUUCUCUCGAGAACUUAUGAACACCAAGCUUUUUUUAGGAAUUAUGAAAUAAAAUGAUUAUAGUGCUUUAAUAAAUACAACUCUUACAAAUGGAACAUGAUUGAAUAACAAUACAUAUAAUGUAAAGAUAAAUAACAAUCUCAACUUAAACUAGAAGCAAUCAAGCAAGUAAUAGGCAAAUACAAACAUUGACUUUAAUCAUAUCAUACAAGCUUCAAUAUUAAUAAUUAAGCAACCCAUAAAUUAAUAAUCAAUUAAAAAAAAUACUUCAAGACAAUGAGAAAAAGAAAAAACAAUAAUAACAAUAAAUAAUAUGAAUAUUUGAUACAAUUUGGUAAUAGAACUAAAAAAUAAAUAAAAGGUUUGAAUGAAUUUUAAUGAAAGAUUUAUAAAAAAAAUAAAAAAUAAAAUAAUGAAAUAAAAUAAAAGUGAAUAACUUAAAAUUAAAACCUACACUUUGAUUUAUAUAAAUAAAACCUAGUAUAAAUAAUAGUAUAUACAUAGUAAUAAUACAUAUAAAAGUUAAAAUAAAUAAAAUAACAAAUUUAAAAGGAAUAAGGCUUCCGUGCAUAAAAAAAUAUCACUUGAAAUUAAUAAUAUAUUAUAUAUAUACAUAUGUAUACUAAAAAAAUAUAUUAUAUAUUUAUAUAUAUAAAAAAUAUGAGAUAUUAUUAUUAAAAAAGAUUUGAAGUUAAUUAUAUAUAUAUACAUGAACAAAAAACGUAUGUAUAAAUUAUGCUAAGAUAGUAUAAAAAAAUAUUUAUAAAAUUAAGUUAUGAAUACAUAAAAUAAUAUUAUAUAAUAAAAGAAUUUAUAGUAAAAUUAGGUUAACUAAUAUAUAUAUAUAACUAUUAAAUAUAAUAACAACAAAUAAAAUUAAUAAUAGUAAACCACUUAAUUUAAUAAAAAUGGAUCUAUUUUGAAUUCAAACAAAAUUCUAAGGGUUGAUUUGAGAUAAAUGAGCAAACGUCCGCAUUGAAAACCACUGAAAAUCACAGGGAUUACUAUAGCAAUUUAAUGCAAAAAUUUAGAAUAAUCAAAAUCAAACGUAGAAAACGACACCGUUUAGGCUUGGAUCUAAGUGAAAACAAAGUCAAAUAUGCGGUACAAAUUUUAAAAAAUAAAAGAAAUCAGAUUGAAACUAUUUGAAACAAAAAAAGGACCUGAUGAUUAAAUAGACCAAUCGAUCCAUAAUACGCGGAUCCUACCCGAAUCGAGUCACCAUUCAGAUCGGGUCCUCAAAACAAUGCCGCUUCAGAGCCAUUGCGACUCCAAAUGGCGGCGUUUUAUUCCCGCUUAAAGGCCAAAAAUCUAAAAAUCCUUUUCAUUUUCUUAAAAAAACCUAAAUAGAAUCAGAUGAGUUCUGCGCCGCUCUGUGUACUGAGGGUAUUCGAAUGGUUUCCGAUCCAAGCCCGUUCUCCGAUGACGACGGAGAGGGCCAGAAUCUCGUCACCAGGUACGUUCUCUCUUUUCUUUUUAUUGUUUCCUUCCUUAACAAACGAUUGACGAACACAAAAUAAAAGAAAGAAAAAAACUAACCUGCAAAUGAAAAAGCAAAAGAAACUCAGAAAUCACCUCUUAGUAUUUCGAUUUUUUUUUGUAUUCACUUUCUCGAAUGCGUUGUAUAACCGGUUACAAAUUUCAAUCGAUCCUCUUUAUAGCCAAACCGAGAAAAAGAAAAAAAUAAAAUAAAAUUUUCUCUAUUUUUUUACACUUUCUUCCUAUUUACUGCUAGUAUUUGCUGUCAAUAUGUUAUUGUUGCCCCUCUCUUUGCUGUUGCUAUCUGUUUUGCUGCUUGUUUCUUUGUCCUUCUUACAGGUACGGCGUACGGAGGGUGAACGUGGCGUGUGGAGGCGUCGCGUGCAUGCAAUGGAGAGCAGAGAGGUGCUACUGCUGCAGCGCUAGGAGCCAUUGCUGCUAGGGUUUUUUUGAAACUGUUUUGGGUUGUAUUGGGCUGAGUUGGUUUGCUGGGCUUAGAAUCGGGUUUAGGGAAGGUUUUGGGCUUUGUUGAUUCGGGCCGAUGUAAUUGGACUAUUUAUUUGUAAAUGAACUUUUAAUAUUUUUUGUUUUUGUUAUCUAUAUUGGGUCGGGCAAUAUUGGGCCAUUAUAGUGAUUAUACACAAAAACUGUAAUAGAAGAAGCAUGCUAAACUAAACUCUUAACAUGAGAUGUUUUACCAACAUCUUUCAAAAUUAAAUUGAUAGAAGGUGCUGCACAUGGUGACCAAAAGAUGUUAGGAUACUUCUCAUUAAAAAUUUUCCUAUUAGCUUUGUAAUUUGCAGCAUUAUAUGUAAUUAGCUAGACCACAUUGCUUAAUCCAACAAUCUUUACAAUCUUCGCAAACAAAUUGCAAAGAGUAUCAACAUCUAAAAUCAUGUCUGAUGCAUUAUCAAAUUUGAUAAAGCAUAAUCUUUUAGGAAAAUACACUAGAAAAUUGGUUGAUGACUUUUGUCUCUAUCUUUCUACCCUCUCCCAUUAUAGUGCAUCCACAUUCCACCAAAAUGUUGUAAAUCCCUUUUUGAGUAUUCUAGUAUAUUGGUUCACAAUGUAUGAUAUGAUGGAGCUUUGUAUCCCAAUCCUAUAGAUGCUAUGGCAUCAAGGUACAGUAGAAACUUGUCAAUCCCUCGACGCUAUUUGUGGAAUCUAAAAACUCCACUAGCAAUAUAUCAAAUAAAUUCUUUUAUUUUUUUAAUAUUUUACUAUACCCCUAGAGAACACUUAUCAAUCUCCUGACCUUACUUGUAGAGUCUAAAAACUUUAUUGGUAAUGUACCAAAUGAUAUUCCAAAUAAAAAAGCAUUAAUUUUACAGUUUACUUUUUUUAUUCCUCAAGCAUCCUUAAAAAAUUGACAUUUUCAUUUUUUUUAAUAUCUAUUUUUUAAAUAUUUUCUAUACUCCUAGAAGACAUUUGUCCGCCCUAAUCAUGCUUAUAAAGUCUAAAAACUUUGCUAAUUGUGUAUAAAAUAUUUUCCUUAAUUUUGAAAUGUAAUUUUUAUUUAGUUCCAAUAUUGUUUAUGUACAAGCCCAAUUUUAGCCCGGGCCUAAGACCCAAUUACAAACCCAAAUUAAACCUAACCAAGCCCAAUCCUAAACAAAACCUAAACGACCCAAAAUGGCCCAACACAAAAAAGAAACAGGAAACCCUAAGCCUUAGUUUGCAGCCGCGCCUAGCUAGCGUCUAGCCGCCACUGUCCACGCCACUUGCUCUGCCAUCGUCGGACCUAACUUCUGUCAUCGCCGUACCUAACCCCUUCCCACUGUCACGUCGACCACCCCACUUGCGCCGUCACCUGUAAGACACGCAAUAGGAACAGAAACAAUAGCAAAGUAAUGAAUCGGCUAUAAAAGAGCCAGAAAAAGUUUGUAUUUUGUUUGGAGACUAUCGAACACAAAGAAAAUUUCAAUCAAAAAAAUCAAAAAAGGUUUACUCCCAUUUUAAUUCUUGUUUCAUUAUUAUUAUGUCUUGCUAUUUUAUUUUUCAUAUCUUUACACACGAAAAUAAAGCAAAAAAAAAAGAAAAAAAGAAAUGGGAGAAGAACCUACCGGAGUCGAUCUACGUCUUUGUCGUCGGAGGCUCCUUCUCCGGUGACAGAAUCGGCUAUAGGGAAACGUUGAUGGCCCUUUUGUUUUUUUUUUAGUGUUUUGAGAUCGAAUUUGGGCUAAAGGGGGUUAAGAUCUAGAAAAUAGGUCUUUUUGCCUUCGCCGGCCACCGUGCGCGGCAGCGCCGAUGCCGACGACGGGAGUCCGGCAUGGUGAUCGUCAGUCGGAGCAUGGACCGGAGGAAGGGGGAUUUUGAGAGAGAUUUCAGGUUUUUUUUAAGGAAUGGCAGAAAAUGAAAUUUUAAGGGAAAAAUUUGAUUUAUAUUGGCAUUUAGAACGGCGCCGUUUUGCUAUUAACGGUUAGGUGCCAAAACGACGAUGUUUGGCCUUGAUCCGCGCGGUGACCCUACCCAGGGGAAAGGAUCUGCGUGUUUUGCUUUAGCGGGAUAUUUGCACAAACGGUCCCUCCUCUUUUGCAGUAAGAUGCAAUCGAGUCUUUCUAUUUUUUAUAUUUUGACCUCGAAAAUUUUGUACUUGUUCCAAUUCGUUCCCGCGCGAAAUGCUGCGCACAAGGGGGCUAGAAUAUUUGUUCAUUCGCCCCCUAGUGUUUCAAGCGCAUUACGGAUCAGACCUUUAUCCUAUAUUUUAUUAUUUCGAAUGCUUACCUUGAAAUAUUAUUUAGUUUCCAAUUUAAUACAUAUAUCCCACAUGUUUUAUAAUCCAUAUAUAUACAUACGUCUUUUAUAUUUUAUAAUUUUAAAAUAUGUACAUGCAUACGUUUCUUUUUAUAAUAUAUACAUAAUUUAUAAUUCAUAUAUAUAUUUUAUAUUUAUAAUUUCUAUAUGCGUGUAGGUAUAUAUAUAUCUACAUAUGUAUUUUUUAUUUUUUUUUCAAAUAUAUACAUACUUAUAUAUUUUUCAUAAUUUUUAUGUACAUAUAUAUAUGCAUACUUUUAUAUUCAAUAAUAUAUUUUUCAUAUUUUCAUAAAUUUAUGUACAUACAUAUACAUAUAUAUCUUUUUACAUUUUUAUAAUUUUAUUCCUUUUCUUUACUUAUUUCUUUGUUUACAUUUUUAUUAUUAUUUUAAAAGAAUGUUUUAAUCUUAUUUGCCUAUGUGCUUGAUAUUUUGUAUGCUAUUGAUUUAUCCUUUUUAUUUAACUUAUUUUUGUUGCUAUUGCUCGUAUUAUUUAUGUUUAUGUCAUUGUAUCCAUUUUUAUUUCGUUACUUAUAUUGAUACCGUAUUUUAUUUCAACUAUUUCGAGUUAGAUUAAUUUUAUUUAAUACAUAAAUUAUGAUUUUUGAAUAAACAAAAUUUCGUAUUUAGAUUUGACAAAGUCGUAUCCUAACUUACUGGGUUUUGAUUUUCACAAUAAAUCUAAAUACACGUAUCUUUUCAAACUCAAGUUUUAAAUGAUCUCGGGAAUUAAGAAAAGAUCGUGUCCUAACUUACUGGGCAUGAUCCCCUUUUUUAAUUCGAGAUAGCUAAAUGUCUCUUAAAUAAGUAAAUUUUCGGCAUUCAUUCGCGCAUCUGGAAUUCAAGAUAUUGUGUCCUAACUUAUUGAAUAUAAUUCUCUUUCUCGAUUAACGUGAAAUAUGUUAUUUUCCUACAAAUUUUCAACAUUUCAAUAAAGGAUCGUAUUUUAAAUUUCUUUAAAGUUUUCAAUCUUCGACACUAAGACAUUAAUUAAUCAACUAGGUACCAAUUUUGGGCGUUACGAGGGUGCUUGUCCUUCCUCGUACGUAACCGACUCCUGAACCCAUUUUUCUGAAUUUUGUGGACCAAAAUCGUUGUUUUAAUAAAAUUAAAUUGUUUAUUAGAAACAACCACUUUACGAGGUGAGCCGAUCACACCUCAUCAAAAAGGAUCGGUGGCGACUCCCAUAUUCGUUUUCAUUUUCAAAUCCAAGUCAACCCCAUUUUAUCAAAAAAAUGGUGUCAACAGCUUGGCGACUCUACUGGGGAUCAAAAUAAGUGAGCCAAACCACGAGUUGAUUACUUUUUGCUUUUUUGUCGAAAAUUGAAAACUUGGUUUAAAUAUACGAUCCUUUCGUUGCAUUUCAUUGGUCUUUAUUACGAUCUUCAUCAUUGUGGUUUAUAAUUGUUGUGUUAGUUUAAGUUUUAGUAUCUUUCUGCACAUUGCAUUGCAUGACCGUUGGUCACACCCUUUUAAGUGGGAGUGAGAAACUACGCCUUCGUGAGGUUUUCACCUCCGUAUGGGAUAGUGAAUCGAUUUCGGGAUACAUCCGUACCAAUGUCUUCAUGAGAUUUUCAUCUCCGCAUAGCCAUAGGGAAAUGUAUUCCCCUGAACUGAACUCGGUCCAUAUGAGCAUAUAAUGGGUGAUGAUUGAGGAAUUUACCAGUUCGGGUACCUCAACUUUAGAACCAAACCACAUAUAGUGAACCUUAGGAACCUACCUAGGUAGAACUAUGCCAAACCCCUAGUGGUCACCCAAAUAGGCGCUUUAUGUAUUUCUUUCCUGCUUGCUUUUCAUUUGCACUAACCUAUUUUCUUUUGUUUUGGUUAUAAUUGCAUUGCAUUUUCAUCAUAGAAAAGAGGUGUUGAUUCACGUUCAGUAUCUAAAUAGAGAGCUUGUCAUAAGAAAAUGAGUUUCUUGAUAAAAUGAAAGAUAAUGCGGUCGUCCGACUACGGUCCGAGAAAACGUAAUAAGGCAAAGGUGAUAGUCUGAUUAAUGAAUACAUAACUUUACUUCGUGACCUGAGGAUUCAAGCUGAAAAAGAUUAUUUAUAAAGCCGUCGCACUUUCUUAAAAAAGCUAACGAGCAUCACGAAGAUGACUGAGCGAUGAGCUGCAGCCCGGAUCAAGCAAAAAGGAGCUAGUAGAGACAUCUACUAAAAAUUCGCGAGAUUUAUCCUAGCAUCCGGAUGAGGAAAAGAUCGAUGUCUUCGCCUGGAGUAUGAGGGAAAGGCCGUAUAAGUAUCCAUUUUAUGUAAAAAGAUUCGUUUUCUAGAAAAGUUGUUCUAAUAGAAUUAAAUCAAAAUUAACGCCUCUCCUCUUUUGCAUUCAUAGCAUUUAUUGCAUUCAUGCAUUAGCUUUGCAUUGCAUCAUACACAUUAAAUAUCACAAAAUAACCCUAAAAUUUUGGUAGUUAUCCUAGAAUAUCGGUACACGAGGAAAAACCAAAGUAAUGGACCAAAGAUUGGAAAGACUUGAACAACUCCAAAGGUAGAGGUAGGACCAGCUACUGCUGCAAGAGCGUUAGCUAAGGUCCAACAAAAUAUGAUGGACAAUAAAAAAAUGAAGUUCUGUGAAUGAGUUAAAAGAAAUGUUCACAUCAAUGCCAUACAUGAAGGUAAUUGAAAAUGGACCUUGUUAGAUAUCCACUCUUAUAAACUUAGGAGUGUUCUAAAUAAAUCAGACUGUAGAAAAAAUCUCUAUAGUAUUUAGAGUUUACUUAGAGUAAUGUUCAGAACACACUUUUUGCAUUCAACCUAGAGGCAAUAAGAACUCCUUUAUGAAAUAGGCUCAUGUCUGAACGUCAUUAUUUUAAUACAUCUUUGUGAUCAUUUUUAAGUCAAUAUUCUUUCACCCUUUUUAAAAAAUCAUUUUUGAUUCUUUUGGAUUUUGUUCCAAAUCAUUCUUUCAUUCAUUCAUAGUCAUAUUGUACAAAUAAUUAUUCAUAAUUUUAUACAUUUUUUUGUAUUUGUACCCACAAUAGGUCUCUAGAUAUCAAUGACAUGAGUGACGCUGAUACAGACUUAGAAUCUCUUUUUGAGUGAGACAAGUGUUUAGGGAGAUCUCAUAAAUUUGAAGAUGACAUAGAUUGUAGCCUAUUUUCAGACAUGUUAAGGAUGGUAGAACAAGUUAAGAAACAGAUCAUGCCUUACAAGGAAUCAAGUGGAAAUUGUAAGCUUAGGAAAAGAGAAAGAGGUGAAGACCGGAGCCUGUAUCACUAUAGAGACAAAGCGAGACGGCAUUAAGUUACUUUAAAAAUUCAAAGAUGUUUUCGCAUGAUUGUACCAAGAUAUGCCUGAACUACUAAGACGUAUGGAUGUUAUUAAGGCUAAGAAAAUCUUGAAAGUGGUCUAUAAGGGUGUUUGAGGAACACAUAAUAAUGGUUUUACAAUGGCCAAGCAAAUCAUGAUAUUCGGGUACUGCUGGUCCACCAUAGAAGGGGAUUGCAUCAGUUGUACCAAGAAAUGUCAUAAGUACCAAAUUUAUGAGACAAGAUUUAUGUGCCUCCUUCAUCCCUUCAUGUUAUGACUUUUCCAUAGACUUUCUCUAUGUGGGGCAUAGAUGUUAGUGGGUCAAUCUCAACUAAAGCUUCUGACGGUCAUCGAUUCAUCUAUCUGGUCAUCGAUUACUUUACUAAGUGGGUGGAAGCUGCUUCAUAUGCCAAUGUCACGAAGUCGACAGUCAGCAAAUCCUCGAAAAAUCAUAUCUUUUUAUGGAAUGCCAAAAGGAUCAUAUUUGACAAUACACCAAAUUUGAACAGCGGCACGAUAGCGAAAGUUUGUAGUCUAUUCAAGAAUAGCACCAUGCCGCUCUAAAGUGAACAGUGCAAUAAAAAGUCGAAACAAAAGAAAAAGAAAAACUCUGCUGGGGCAAUGCCUUUCACCUAGGCUUAUCGCGGUUUUUCCUAUUAAAGACAAGAUUCUUUCUUUCUGAGUUUUUUUGAAUCUAACCCGAUUGAAGAGGAAUGUUCAAAGUUAUAUGCCAUGGUCAAAUAUGCAAAAAGCAAAUAAUACGAGCAAAAAAAUUUUGCCCUAGAGGGUUCCAUGAGAGGGACCUGGUAUUGAAGAAUAUCCUUCCCAUACAAAAAGAACUUUAUAAGAAAGUGGAUGCCAAACUGGAAAGGACCUUAUGUGGAAGGCCUUAUCUAGGAAAGCAUUAAUUUUGAUCAGAAGGGAUAUCAAGGACAUGCCUAAUCCUAUGAAUUUAGAUUCAAUCAAAAAAAUAUGUCCAAAAAAAUGAAGAUGAUGAAAAAUAAAAGAAAAGAAAAAGAAAAAAGAGAAUGAAAAAGUCAAAAGGAGAGGCCAAGGUGAAAACCCGCAAGGGUGCCUUGAGACCAAAGGGGAUUUAAGUUGAAAACCCAAAAAGAGCGGCUCAAUUUUUUUAUCAGAAUGGGGCAUGAGGUGAUCAUAGCAGCUCAAAUUUUGAUCAGAAUGGGUCAUGUGGUGGUAUUGACAUACCUGAAUCAGCAGGAAAGGGGUGUGCAACAUCUUGAGGCACCAACAAAGUCCUGUAGAUCUCCUAAACACGUGUCAAACUCAGAAUGAUCUUCAGAAAGUUUGUACAGAGAAGUUCAAGCUGCAAUAUCUGGGGCACCUAGUCUUCAAACUAUUUAUAUUGAAUUUUUUAUUCUUGGAAUACUUCAUUCUCUUUCAAGAUACGUGUUCCCAAUCAAUUUCUUUUUUAUUCUUGCUAUCCUUGAUAAUUUAUUUCAAGCGAUGCUCCCAAAUCAAUUUUAUUUUUUUUCGUCAUAAUAUUUUCCAAGCAUGUUGCAUUGGAAUAAUGAUUAAUGGACUAAUAAUACUUUUACAAAGGAAGUUUUGCAUAUUACUCUAGAAGUUUCUAAAUAAUAUAGGAACCUGAAAUAGGACUACUGUUUAGAAAUCACCAAGUUUAAAGGUUGAAAUAUCUAAGAAGAAAAAGUCUAAUUUAAUAUAAUCCUUUUGGAUUUUGUCGUCAAAACAUUGAUUGAACAAAAUAACAAGAUGUCAGAGCUUCAAUGAACAAACAAGCAAUGUUCACCAAGCAAUAGGAAGAGGUUUUCUAGAGAAGAAAAUUUUACAAUUGUGCAUAAACAUUUGGUACGACACCUUGGGAAUGGUGUAAGGCUAAAGAGAUUCAAGUCUUGUAUCCUUGAAUUACAGUGGGAAGAGGAUGGUUCGAAUUUUAUGUCCCAAAAUUACAAUGGACUUAACCUUAAAGAUUACAGCUGAUUGAACUUUGAAGAUUACAGUGGGGACAAUCCGGUUACGUAAGAGAUGAGUGUUACCAGCCGAACAAGAUAGCAUUCUGACGUGUUGGCAAUAAAGCCUUAUUGAACAAUAAGCAAUAACAACUCGAACAUUGAGGGAUCAUUUCUCAUGACAUUUUUACAUUCAUGCAAAUAUCAUUCAUACACAUCUAGUGAGGAGUAUUUGAUUCAUUUUGAUCAUGACAUCCUAAUCACUAGGCAUAAAUAGGUCUAUGAAAUGGAUUCUACAGGUCAUGUUCCUCAGAGAAUAGAUAAAUGAAGUUACCUAUACUCCUGGCAGUGUAGUGGAGUAGGUUGAAGCUACAACGGUGAAUCUUACUUCCCUGACUUUGCAAUUAAAAAGAUUGAAGCCAUAACAGCAAAUCUUACUUCCCUGACGAUGCAGUGGAACAGAUUAAAGCUACAACGAUGAAUCUUGCUUCCCCGACAUUGCAAUUAAAAAUAUUGAAGCCACAACGACGAAUCUUACUUCCCUGGCAGUGCAGUGGAAUAUAUUGAAGCUAAACGGUGAAUCUUGCUUCCCCGACAUUGCAAUUAAAAAGAUUGAAGCCACAAUAGCGAAUCUUACUUCUCUAGCGGCGCAAUAGAAUAGAUUGAAGUACAACGACGAAUCUUGUUUCCCUGACAUUGUAGUUAAUCAGACUGAAGAUAACGAUCUUACUUCCCUGAAGUUGUAGUGGAACAAAUUGAAGCUAUAAAUUACCGAUCUCAUCCCCUAAAGUUGCAGUGGAGUAGACAAAAGAAACCAAUCCUAUCUCCUUGAAAUUGCAGUAGAGCAGAUCGCAUCUAAUCUUAUCUCCCUGAAGUUGCAGUGGAGCAGAUUGAAGAAAUCAAUCCUAUCUUCCUGAAGUUAUAGUGAAACGGAUUAAAAUGAUGGAUCUUAUCUCUCUGAAGUUGCAGUAGAGCAGAUCGCAUCAGACUUUAUUUUCUUAAAGAUGCAGUAAAACAAGUUGAAGCUACAAGUCUUAUCUCACUGAGGAUGCAGUGUAGCAGACUGAAGAUAGCAAAUGUUUCCUCGAAGAGCCACAGAUCUUAUCUCUCUGAAGUUACAGUAUAGCGGAUCACACCACAACAAGUCUUAUCUCCCUAAAGUUGCAGUGAAGCAGACUGAAGAUAUCAAACCUUAUCUCCCUGAAGCUGCAGUGGAGCAAGUUGAAGCAACAAGUCUUAUCUCCCUGACGUUAUAGUGGAAUAGACUAAAACUAGGAAUCUUGCCCCCUAAAGUUACAACAGAGUGGAUUGAAGCUACAAGUCAUAUCUCUCUGAAGUGCAGUAGAAUGGAUCGAAGCAACAAGACACAGUGGACUGGAAUGAAGCUAUUGAAAGAAGAUGAACACUAGAAUAAGUCAAGAUUCGACGAGACCGGGAAAAAUUGGUCUUUUUUAGUCUUUGCUCUGUUCUCGUUACACGACAACGAGCAAAGAGGGACAGCUGUACAUGCCCAAUUUUAGCUAGGGCCUAAGACCCAAUUACAAAUCCAAAUUAAACCUAUCCCAAACCCAAUCCAAAACAAAGCCUAAACGGCCCAAAAUGGCCCAACACAAAAAAGAAACAGGAAACCUUAAGCCCUAGUUUGCAGUCGCGCCUAGCUAGCGUCUAGCCGCCACUGUCCACGCCACUUGCUCUGCCAUCGCCGCACCUAACUUCUGUCAUCGUCGCACCUAACCCCUGCCUACUGUCACGUCGACCACCCCAUUUGUGCUGUCACCUGCAAGACACGCAAUAGCAACAGAAACAAUAGCAAAGUAAUGAAUCGGCUAUAAAAGAGCCAAAAAAAGUUUGUAUUUUUUUUGGAGACUAUCAGAUACAAAGAAAAUUUCAAUAAAAAAUAUCAAAAAAGGUUUACUCCCAUUUUAAUUCCUGUUUCAUUAUUAUUCUGUCUCGCUAUUUUAUUUUUCAUGUCUUUACACACAAAAAUAAAGCAAAAAAAAAAGGAAAAGGGAGAAGAACCUACCGGAGUCGAUCUACAUCUUUGUCAUCGGAGGCUCCUUCUCCGGUGACGAAAUGGCUGUAAGGAAAUGCUGAUGGCCCUUUUUCUUUUUUCUUUUUUGGUAUUUUGAGACCAGAUUUGGGCCAAAGGGGGUUGAGAUCUAGAAAAUAGGUCUUUUUGCCAUCGCCAGCCACCGCAUGCAGUAGCGCCGACACCGGCGACAGGAGUCCGACACGGUGACCGUCGAUCGGAGCAUGGAUCGGAGGAAGGGGAUUUUUGAGAGAGAUUUCAGGUUUUUUUAAGAAGGGCAAAAAAUGAAAUUUUAAGGAAAAAAUUUGAUUUAUAUAGGCAUUUAAAACAAUAUCGUUUUGCUAUUAAGGGUCAGGUGCCAAAACGACGCUGUUUGGUCCUAACCCGCGCUGUGACCUAACCCAGGAGGAAGGAUCCACAUGUUUUGCUUUAGCGGGAUAUUUGCACAAACGGUCCCUCCGCUUUUGCAGUAAGAUGCAAUCGGGUCUCUCUGUUUUUUAUAUUUUGACUCCGAAAAUUUUGUACUUGUUCCAACUCGAUCUCGCACGAAAUGCUGCGCACAAAGGGGCUGGAAUAUUUGUUCAUUCACCCCUAGUGUUUCCAGCGUAUUACGAAUCGGUCCUUUAUCCUAUAUUUUAUUGUUUCGAAUGCUUACCUUGAAAUAUUAUUUAGUUUCCAAUUUAAUACAUAUAUCCCACAUGUUUUAUAAUCCAUAUAUAUACAUACGUCUUUUAUAUUUUAUAAUUUUAAAAUAUGUACAUGCAUACGUUUUUUUAUAAUAUAUACAUAUUUUAUAAUUCAUAUAUAUAUUUUAUAUUUUAUAAUUUCUAUAUGCGUGUAGGUAUAUAUAUAUCUACAUAUGUAUUUUUUUUUAAUUUUUUUUUCAAAUAUAUACAUACUUAUAUAUUUUUCAUAAUUUUUAUGUACAUAUAUAUAUGCAUACUUACAUAUACUUUUAUAUUCAAUAAUAUAUUUUUCAUAUUUUCAUAAAUUUAUGUACAUACAUAUACAUAUAUAUCUUUUUACAUUUUUAUAAUUUUAUUCCUUUACUUUACUUAUUUCUUUGUUUACAUUUUUAUCAUUAUUUUAAAAGAAUGUUUUAAUCUUAUAUGCCUAUGUACUUGAUAUUUUGUAUGCUAUUGAUUUUUUCUUUUUAUUUAACUUAUUUUUGUUGCUAUUGCUCGUAUUAUUUAUGCUUAUGUCAUUGUAUUCAUUUUUAUUUCAUUACUUAUAUUGAUACCGUAUUUUAUUUCUACUAUUUCGAGUUAGAUUAAUUUUAUUUAAUACAUAAAUUAUGAUUUUUGAAUAAAAAAAUUUUCGUAUUUAGAUUUGAGAAAGUCGUACCCUAACUUACUAGGUUUCGAUUUUCAUAAUAAAUCUAAAUACACGUAUCUUUUCAAACUCAAGUUUUAAACAAUCUCGGGAAUUAAGAAAAGAUCGUGUCCUAACUUACUGGGCAUGAUCCCCUUUUUUAAUCCGAGAUAGCUAAAUAUCUUUUAAAUAAGUAAAUUUUCGGCAUUCAUUCGCAUAUCGAGAAUUCAAGACAUUGUGUCCUAACUUACGGGAUAUAAUUCUCUUUCUCGAUUAACGUGAAAUAUGUCAUUUUCCCGCAAAUUUUCAACAUUUCAAUAAAAAAUCGUAUUUUAAAUUUCUUUAAAGUUUUCAAUCUUUGACACUAAGACAUUAAUUAAUCAACUAUGUACCAAUUUUGGGUGUUACGAGGGUGAUGAUCCUUUCUCGUACGUAACUGACUCCCGAACCAAUUUUUCUGAAUUUCGUGGACCAAAAUCGUUUGUCGAAACCACUUUUUGAAAAAAAAUGUAGUUGUCGACUUUAAAAACAAAAAACUGGAGUCGCCAUCGAUCCUUUAUUAAGGUUUGAUCGGCUCACCAUAAAAACUAUUUUGGUCUACGAAACUUGAGAAAACGGGUUUGAGAGUCAGUUACGCACGAGGAAGGGUUAGCACCCUCGUAAUGCCCAAAACUCGGUACCAAAUUGAUUAUCUAAUGUCUUAAUGUCGAGGAUUAAAAAGAUUUUUUAAAAACACUCAAAUGAUGAAAUCUAAAAAGGAUAAUCAAUUGUUCAAGUCAUAUAAAGCAAUCGAGUCCCAAUACGUUAGGGUACGAUUUCUCAAAAUCCCUGAACUUUGAAUAUCGCUUUUAUUUCAUGCGAAAAUAUUCAUUUUGAGAAAGCAAUAUGCCAUGCCCAAUACAUUAGGACACAACAAGUUAAGUUCCCAAAAAUGAUUUUUAUACUCAUGCAUUUUGAAUAAAGAAUAUUCUCGGUCAUUUAAAAUUAACGAAGAAAAUCAGAACCCAAUGCGUUAGGGCUCAAUUUCCUUGAAAAUCUCAAACUUUGAAUAUUGCUUUUAUUCAAAAAGCUUCGAAUCAAGAGAAAAUGAUUUUGAUAUAUUGACAAAACCAAAAUAUAUUUCUCAAAGGGUAUGUUUAAAGUUAGUGUACAAUAUGAAAUAAAUACUUUAAUUUAAAAUGUACAUGUAUUCAAAGCAACGAUCACAAAAAACGUAAAAAUUAUCAAAAACUAAAAUCAAACUAACCUUGAAUUGAAAUCCCUAAGAUGGUCGAAUGCUAAAGCUUGAAGAACAAAGUUUCUUGCUUUUAUUUUCAGUGGAAAAAGGUGAAGAAAAUGACUUUAUUUUAUAAUAUUUAUGAUAUAAUAUACAUUAUUAUUCUUUUACUAUUUUCACCUUUGUAAAAUAAUAUUGAAAACAUAUAAUGCUUGGAUUUUUAGCCAUCUUGCCGUCCACUAUCUUUUAAAUGGGCUUAUUGCCCUUUUUAGGACUUCAAGUUAAAAAGCCAUUACCAAAUAGGUAUUUUACACUUUAACUAACAACUUUUACUUUUUAUACAAUUUAGUACUUUUAUCAAAUUAAACACAAAAACGGCCAAAUAAAUUUACGAAAUUUUCACACAAUCAAAUUCAAAUAUCACAGACACAGAAAAUAAUAUUAAAAUAUUUUUUAGACUCGGAUUUAUGGUCUCAAAACUACUAUUCUGAUUAGGGUUAAAACCAGGUUGUUACAACUCUUCCCCCUCAGGGAUUUUCGUCCCCGAAAAUCUUACCAGUGAAUAGGUUGGGAUAACGUUCUUUCAUCGAGUCUUCUAAUUCCCAAGUUGCUUCCUUAACCCCGUACUUUUGCCACAAUACUUUGACUAACGAAAUUUUCUUAUUUCGUAAUUCUUUGAUCUCACGAGCCAGAAUGCUAAUCGGUUCUUCUUCAUAUGACAUAUCAGGGUUAAUUUCAAUCUCGGUCGGGGUAAUCAGAUGUGAAGGAUCGGAUCUGUAUCUACGAAGUAUCGAAACAUAAAAUACAUUAUGAAUCUUUUCUAACUCAGAUGGCAACAACAAUUUAUAAGCAACCGGCCCGAUAUGUUCUAUAAUCUCAUAUGGUCCAAUAAAUCUCGAGCUUAAUUUACCUUUGUGACCAAAUCUGAGUACUUUCUUCCACAGUGAGACUUUCAAAAACACUUUGUCCCGAUUUGAAAUUCUAUAUCCUUUCUUUUCAAGUCCGCAUAAGAUUUCUAACGAUCCAAUGCUGAUUUCAAACUAUCCCGAAUUACUUUCACUUUUUGUUCAGUCUCUUUAAUCAAAUCGACCCCGUGUAUCUUAUUUCACUAAGCUCGGUCCAAUACAAUGGUGUACGACAUUUACGACCGUACAAAGCCUCGUAAGGUGCCAUUUUGAUACUAGAUUGAAAGCUAUUAUUAUAUGCAAAUUCAAUCAGAGGUAAGUAUCGUUCCCACGUACCUUCAAACUCAAGAAUGAAACAUCUCAACAUAUCCUCAAGUAUCUGAAUGAUUCACUCAGAUUGACCAUCUAUUUGUGGAUGAAAAGCUAUGCUAAAAUGUAAUUUCGUACCUAAAGCAUCUUGUAGUUUCUUCCAAAAUCGUGAUGUGAACCUCGGGUCUCUGUCCGAAACAAUAGAAAUAGGCACACCAUGCAACCUCACAAUUUGAGAAAUAUACAAUUUGGCAAGUUUAUCGAGUGGGAAAUCUGUGCGGAUCGGAAUAAAGUGUGUCGAUUGUGUCAACCUAUCAACAAUAACCCAGAUUGCAUCUUUCUUACUAGGUGUCAACGGUAAAUCAGAUACAAAAUCUGUCGUGACUCGGUCCCAUUUCCACUCGGGAAUCAUAAUCGACUGAAGUAAUCCAAAUGGUACUUGAUACUCAGCUUUAACUUGCUGACAAAUUAAACAUUUUGAAACAAAUUUAGAAAUAUCUCGUUUCAUACCAUGCCACCAAUAGUUCUGUUUCAGAUCGUUAUACAUUUUCGUACUACCCGGAUGAAUAGAAAAUAGACUAUUAUGAACUUCAUUAAAAAUCAUCUGAAUUAACUUUAAAUUUCUCAGAACACAUAAUCUGUUUUUGAAUCUCAAACAAUCCUCAGCAUCAACUAGAAACUCCGAAUCAACAUUUAAGUCACACUGAGCUCGUUUUGCAAUUAAAUCAUCAUCGACUUUAUGAGCUUCACAAAUCUGCUGAACAAAUAACAGUUUUGCUUUUAACUUAGUUAUUAUCACACCAGCAUCAGACAUAGCCAUAUGCGCUUUCAUUGCAUGCAAAGCAAACAAUGAUUUUCGACUUAAGGCAUCAACGACAACAUUAGCCUUUCCCGAAUGAUAGUCAAUCAAAAGCUCGUAAUUUUUUAGCGAUUCUAACCAUCAGUGCUGUCUCAAAUUCAGAUCUUUCUAAGUCAUCAAAUACUUUAGGCUUUUAUGAUCGGAAUAAACAUGAUAUUUUUCGCCAAACAGGUACUGGCACCAUAUUUUCAAUGUAAACACAAUAGCGGCCAAUUUCAGAUCGUGCGUCGGAUAGUUCUUUUCGUGCGGCUUUAACUUUCUCAAGGCAUAGGCUACAACUUUGCCUUCCUGCAUCAAAACACAACCCAAACCAUUUAAAGAUGCAUUACUAUAGAUAACAGACUCUUUACCCAAUUAUGGCUGAACUAAUACUGGAGCUUCGGUCAAAAGAACCUUCAACUGAUCGAAACAUUUCUGGCACUUUUCUGACCACUCAAACUUAACGUCUUUUUGUAGUAGCUUUUUCAUCAGGGUUGCAAUCAUAGAGAACCCUUUCACGAACCGUCUAUAAUAACCAGUAAGUCCCAGAAAACUUUGAACUUUUGAAACAUUUCUCGGAGGUUUCCAAUCAAGUAUAGCUGAAAUCUUACUCGGAUCAACCCGAAUACCUGAUGCUGAUAUAGCAUGGCCCAAGAAACUAACUUCGCUUAACAAAAACUCACAUUUACUGAAAUUUGCAUACAACAGUUUAUCUCGUAAAGUUUGUAACACAAGUUUCAAAUGUUCGGUAUGCUCUGCCUCAUUACGGGAGUAGAUCAGAAUGUCAUCUAUGAAUGCUAUCACAAAUCGAUCCAGAUACUGUCUAAAAAUUUGAUUCAUCAAAUCCAUGAAAAUAGCAUGUACACUAGUAAGUCCAAAAGACAUAACAAGAAACUCAUAAUGUCCGUACCUCGUUCGAAAAACAGUCUUUGACACAUCAGAGUCUUUAACUCGUAACAGAUAGCAGCCUGAUCUCAAAUCUAUCUUCGAAAACACAAUAGCCCCUUUUAACUGAUCGAAUAAAUCAGCAAUCCAUGGUAAUGGAUACUUAUUCUUUAUUGUCACCUUAUUGAGCUGUCGGUAAUCAAUGCACAUUCUCAUCGUUCUGUCUUUCUUUCUCACGAAUAGAACUAGAGCACCCCAAGGAGAGAAACUCUGUCGUGCGAAACUUUUAUCAGUCAACUCUUGCAACUGUGCUAUCAAUUCUUUUAAUUCAGUCGGUGCCAUACGGUAAGGAGCUAUCAAAAUUAGAGUCGUCCCCGGUAUUAACUCAAUACCAAACUCUACCUCUCGAAUAGGUGGCAAACUCGAUAAUUCUUCGAGAAACAGGCCUGAAUACUCACAUACAAUUGGCAUGGAUUCAAUCUUCUUUUCGGUCACUUUACUAUCAAGAACAAAUGCAAGGUAAGCUUCACAACCUUUUUUCACAUACUUCUGAGCCAACAUCGAGGAUAUUACUGCUGGUAAACCAUUCAGAUCAUUAGAUUCAAUCCAAAUAAUCUCAUCAUUUUAACAUCGUAGAUCAAUAGUUUUUCGUUUGUAGUUUACAAUAGCAUCAUGCAAAGUUAACCAAUCCAUACCCAAAAUUAUAUCAAACUCGUCGAAUGGCAGCAACAUCAAAUCAUCCAGAAAACAUAAAUCUCGAAUCAUCAGCAGAUAAUUCUUACACACUUUGUCAACCAAAACACACCGGCUCAGGGGGUUUGAUACUUUAAUUACAAAUUCAGUAGACUCAACAGGCAAAGUCUUGCUGAAUACUAAAGUCUCACAUACAUAAGAAUGAGUCAAACUAGGAUCAAUCAAUGCAAUAUCACUAGUAUCAUAAAGAGUGAAAAUACCAGUAAUAACGUCUAGGGAUGACGCCUCAUCACGUGCUCGAAUGGCAUAAGCUUUGGUAGGUGCGCGAGCUUCAGAUCUAACAGAUGUAUCUUUAGUACCUCUCUGACUACCACUCACAUUACCCAUAUUCCUGGGUGAUUUACCUCGAGCUGCUGUGUUGCCUAAUCUCGUAUUCUGAGCCAAAUUUCGAUCCACAAACUCUGGGCACUCCCGAAUAAAAUGAUCUUCCGAUCUACAUUUAUAACAAACUCAAUUAUUGUACUUGCCCCAACACUCACCAACAUGUCUCCUACCACACUAUUGGCACUCAGGUUUAUUCGGUCGGGUAUUACCAACACUAACAACUGAGGUGGCUCUUGAACUCAUUGGUGGUCGUUCUUGUAUAGAAAGCCCAGUAGUAUCCUUAGAUUGGCUACUAACAUCUCUGAACUUCUUUGUUGUCAUCUGAAAAGUUUUAUUCGCUGAUUUCUUGCGGAAAUCACUUGCUUCAAACUCAGCUUUUCUUUUCUAUUUGCUGAAUUCUUCAGCCUUGCAAGCUCGCUCGACGAGUACUACAAACUCUUUUAUUUUGAGUAUGCCGACAAGCAAUUUUAUGUCUUUAUUCAACCCUUCCUCGAAUCUUUUACACAUAGCAGUCUCGGUCGCAACACGCUAUCGGGCAUAUCAGUUGAGUCUCACAAACUCACGCUCAUAAUCAAAUACAGUCAUACGAUCCUAUUUUAGCUCAAGAAAUUCUUUGCAUUUUUGAUCAAUGAAUCGCUAACUGAUAUACUUUUUGCGAAAUUCUGUCUGAAAGAAAUCUCAUGUGACACGCUCUUUCGGAACAAUCGAAACUAGAGUGUUCCAUCAAUAGUAAGUCGAAUCCCAUAACAAGGAUAUAGCACAUUUCAGGCACUCAUCAGGUGUACAGGAUAGUUCAUCGAAGACACGAAUGGUAUUAUUGAGCCAAAAUCCAGCCCGUUCAGCAUUAUCACUAGCUGUGGCCCUAAAUUCUUCAGCUCCGUAUUUUCUUAUUUUAUCAAUAAGAGGCUUAUUCAAUCUCAUAGGAUUGAUAGUUGGAGGUACCACAGGCAUCGAAAGUGGGUUAAUCGGGGUCGAAAGUUGUUGAAUAGCCAGAUUUGUCUGGAUAUAUUGAGUAAACCAUUCAUUCAUCAUAGUAUAGAAAACUUGUUUAGCCUCAUCACCAUGGUUAUUCGUAUUCGGUCGAGAAUCAACCGGCUCCAUCCCUUGCACGAGAGCAGGCGCUAUACUCUCGACAUCAUCUACUACAAUUCGAUCGGGAUCAGGAUCCAUUCACUAUAUGAAAAACACUUUUUUUAUUGUCAGAAGUCGUUAAACUAUCACAGUAUAAUAAAUGGCAUGUAUAGCUAAACUCAUACACGCUACUUUAGUCCUAGAAUUGACUAAAUCGUAGCUCUGAUACCAAUAAAAUGUAACACCCUUAACCCGUAUCCGUCGCUGAACUAGGGUUAUUAGGUAUUACAGGACAUAACAUGACUCGGAAUAGUCACAAAUUAAUUUUUUUUCAUUUAUGCACAAUAGUUGAACACAUAAUAAAACCAAACAAAUAAACCAAACAUAUUUAUUAUCUAUAAUUCUUAGUCGAAUUCAUCCUUAACAUGGUAAGAUAUUUAUUAACAUUAUAAUAAAACAUAUCAACCAAACUAAUUAUACACUUCACGAUUUAAAUUUUUAUGCACAUAAUAUGCCAUGACCAAAUUAUUAUAGUUCUAACAUUAUGAGCACAUGAUUAAAUCUAAUAUUACAUACAACUUUCAUACACCUGUACUAUUAUUCAUAAAUACUAAACUCAAAUUAACCUAUGUAUAAAUCAUCAUAUCAUAGCCAAUUAGAUUGUAUAUAUAUAUGUCAUUUUUAUCAAAUCCAACUUAUACACAAUCACUUAAUUUCAUUCAAUACAUACACAUUUAGCAUGUAUUUUACCUUAAAAUCAAGUCAACCACUCUAACAUCACAUGUUAUAUCCAUAAUCCAAAUAAUUAAGCCGAACAUACAAUUUACUUAAUCAUCUCCAUCCAAUAUGUCAAAAACAAGAAAACAAAAUAUAACAUAUUAACAAUCAUACCAUAGUAGAAUAUAUGUCAUACCAAAAUCCAACAAACUAUGCACAAAAUAACAUGAACAUAUACUAUAUCUUAGGCCAUUAAAGCAUAUGUAAUAAUACCAAAUUCAAACCAAAAGAGAUAAGUCAUUUUCACAUGGCUAUUAAUUACACCUGUAUACAUUGGUUCCAAAAUCAACAUUUCAACCACGCUAUACAUGCCAUUUAUUCAAAUACGACUUAGUAAAGUACCAAAUUAUGGAUGAUAGUGUGACAAGCUUUACAGACGAUCCCCGAACACGUAGCGAUCACCGAAAUCUAUACAUCAAAACAAUUAUCCAACACAUUGUAAGCUAAUUUAGCUUAGUAAGUUACAAGCAAAUAAACUCUACAAUUUAACUUGAUAUCUCGAAUAAUAUUUAACCAUUUCAUACUACUAAAUCAUCUUACCUUUAGCUUACCAUAUCAUAAGAUAAUUAUUAACUUAAUACUAUGAUUUAACUAAAAUUAAUAUAAUUACUCAACCAUAAGCAUUUCUUUAAAUUUAAAUACAAGGCCAAAUACAUUAUGCAUCUCAUCAUCAUGUAAUAUAAAGAAUCAUCUUAUAUAUAUUUGAUUCUAAAUAUAAUCACCACAUGGUUUAAUACUUACAAAGCUCAACCUUGAAUACAACCAUAACAGUUAUUACUCAGGAACUCCAAGUAUUUACUCAUUUUACUAAUCAUGAUUACUCAAUAAGUCAAAUACUCAAUGCUAAUAGUUAUUCGAAAAUAUUUAAUAAGUUCGCACACUUAGUGCUUAAUAAUCAAACUCGCACACUUAGUGCUUCACAAUUAAACUCGUACACUUAGUGCUAAUUUUUUUAUCAUAAAUUUUUAUACCCGCACAUUUAGUGCCAAAAGUCAACAACUCAAUACAACUUAUUUUAAUAAUUUAUCACUACGUGUAUAUGGUAUAUAUAUAUACCAUUCAAUUCAGCCUAAUUACAUAGAUACUAAGAUGUUUUAAAAUGAUACAAAAUAUAUGCUUAAUAACUUACCUCAGAUUUCGUCGACUAAUAGAUCGGCUACUCAACUACUUUCGAUUUCCCCCGAUCUAAAUCCGAUUUCUUGGUUUCUUGAUCUAAACAUAUUCAAAUAAAUCUCAUUUAAACAUAUUUUCAUUCAAUUUAGUGUAAGAACACAUAAAUAGGAAAAUUACAUUUUUACCCCUAAUAUUUCACAUUUUUACAAUUUAGUCGUCAUUGCACAAAACACAAAAUACACAAAAUUUGGCCACACUCCCUAAGGGCCGGAUCUUCCUAGUACCCAUAUAAGUCCAUACAUUUCAUUUAUUUCACAUUUUAGUCCUUUAAAAUUUUAUUUUUGCAAUUUAGCCCUAAUUACUCAAAAUCACCAAAAACUCCAAUACAAAACAUAUUAAUCUUUAACAUAUCUUUCAUUUUUCAUCAACAACUAUCAAAAAGCUCAAGCACUCAUCAAUGGCAAAACACAAAAUCAACAUCAAUUCAGAAAAUUAAUACAUGGGUUUUGAAGUAUUCAAAGUAACGAUCAUAAAAAUGUAAAAAUUAUCAAAAACUAAAAUCAAACUAAACAUAAAUUGAAAUCCCUAAGAUGGCCGAAUGCUAAAGCUUGAAGAAAAAAAGUUUCUUUCUUUUGUUUUCGGUGGAAAAAGGUGAAUAAAAUGACUUUAUUUUAUAAUAUUUAUGAUAUAAUAUACAUUAUUAUUCUUUUACUAUUUUGACCUUUGUAAAAUAAUAUUUAAAACAUAUAAUGCAUGGCUUUUUAGCCAUCUUGCCAUCCACUAUCUUUUAAAUGGGCUUAUUGCCCUUUUUAGGACUUCAAGUUAAAAAGCCAUUACCACAUAGGUGCUUUACACUUUAACUAACAACUUUUACAUUUUACGCAAUUUAGUACUUUUAUCAAAUUAAACACAAAAACGGCCAAAUAAAUUUACAAAAUUUUCACACAAUCAAAUUCAAAUAUCACAGACACAGAAAAUAAUAUUAAAAUAUUUUUCAGACUCAGAUUUAUUAUCCCGAAACCACUGUUCCAAUUAGGGUCAAAAUCGGGUUGCUACAAAGUUAGCAGCUAAUGUUCUUGAUUUUCAACAGCAAAUCCAACAGUAAACUCUUAAUUUCCAAAAAGAGAUGAAGGAUUUCUAACAGAAAACUGAGGCGUCCAUCAGACCACAUCGAUCGAGAAAUUGACCUCUCAAGGAAAGCUGCCGUCACAAACAGAACCAAACCCUAGACAAAAUGCGAAUAUAGUGACGUUGCGAAGUGGAAAGGUACUAGAACCGAUUCCUGACAAGAAUCUUGGCUAAAAAAUUUCCCAAGAAAAACCCGAGAAAGACGAACAAGUCCAACCGAAGCCUCUAUUGCCUAAAAUUCAACCUCCAUUUCCAGCACUAUUCAACCAGUGUUGAAGAGGUAAAGAGGACAAGGAAAUCCUCAAAACAUUUAGGAAUGUCAAGAUCAACAUUCUGCUGUUGGAUGCCAUCAAGGAAAUACCGCGAUAUGCUAAAUUUCUUAAAGAGCUUUGCACCAACAAGCGAGAAUUAAUAGGUAAUGAAAGCAUGAAUGUUGGUAAGAAUGUAUCUGCAAUGUUACAACAAAAAAUGCUAGAAAAAUGCAAGGAUAGGGGUAUGUUUGCAAUACCAUGCAAAAUAGGCCAUCUGGGAAUUAAAAAGGCUAUGUGUGACCUAGGGGCUUCUAUAAAUGUAAUGCCAUAUUCUAUUUAUGAAUCACUUAACGCGGGUUUUUUUAACAAAAACAAGUGUUAUCAUUCAAUUAGCGGACAAGUCUAUUGUGCAUCCAGAAGGAGUCCUUAAGGAUGUUCUGGUAAAAGUUAACAAGUUUAUUUUCCCUGUAGAUUUUUAUGUGAUCAAAAUAGAUAAGGAUAGCACUCCUGGAUCUUCAAAUCUUCUGCUAGGUCAAUCGUUCCUUAGUACAGCUAGUACUAAAAUCGACAUUCGAAGUGGAACUCUCACGAUGGAGUUUGAUGGGGAGAUCGUAAAGUUUAAUGUCUACGACGCCAUUGCCAUACAAGGGAAAUCUUGAGCGUAAAUUGUAUCAACAUAAUUGACACUUUAGUGGAAGAGAAUUUUGAGUCAAUUUAUGGAGAUAAUUCUGAACUUGAUGAAUUUGAAUUUGAAUUUGUUAAUGAGUUAUUAUCUUCAAAUACUAAACUGUCACAUUCUGUUCUACAGGCACCAGAGUUGGAGUUGAAACCGCUUCCUGAGCAUCUGAAAUAUGCAUUUUUAGGGAAGGGUAAUACCCUACCAGUCAUAGUCUCCAAUAGACUCUCCAUAGAUGAAGAGGAAAUUUUGGUUCAUGUACUAAAAAUUCAUAAGGAGGCGAUUGGCUAGACCAUUGCAAACUUAAAAGGGAUAAACCCUUUGACAUGCACACACAGGAUCUACUUGCAAGAAGACACGAAACUGAGGUGAGAGGCGCAAAGACAGCUAAAUACAAAUAUGAUGGAGGUAGUAAAAAAGGAAAUAAUCAAGCUUCUAGAUGAUGACGUAAUUUACCCUAUUUCUGACAGUAGGUGGGUAAGUCCAGUACAAGUCAUGCCCAAGAAAACGGGUGCGACAAUAAAGAAAAAUGUUGAAGGUGACUUGGUACCUUCUACAUUGAUUAUAGAAAGUUUAAUUCAUACAGUAGAAAAGAUCAUUUCCCUCUUCCUUUUAUAGAUCAAAUGCUUGAAAGAUUAGCCGAAAAAACUCACUUUUGUUAUCUUGAUGGAUACUCAGGUUUCUUUCAAAUUCCAGUCGCACCGGAGGACCAAGAAAAGAUCACUUUUACAUGCCUAUUUGGUACAUUUACGUACAGAAGGAUGCCAUUUGGUCUUUGCAAUGUGUCGGCCAUCUUUUAGAGAUGCAUGAUAAGUAUAUUUUUUGAAUAUGUGGAAAAAAUUAUCAAAAUUUUUAUAGAUGAUUUUACUGUAUAUGGGAGUUGUUUUGAUAAAUGCCUUAAAAACCGAACGAUAAUUUUGAGUAGGUGCAUAGAAUUUAAUCUUGUCUUGAAUUAUAAAAGUGUCAUUUUAUGGUAGACAAGUCUGGGUCAUGUUGUUUCAUCUAAAGGAAUUGAGGUUGAUAAGGCUAAAAUUGACAUUACAAAUUCUUUGCCUUAUCCCUCCACUGUGAAGGAAAUUCUUCUUUCAUUGGCCAUGUAGGGUUCUACAGGCGCUUCAUAAAGAACUUCUUGAAGGUAGCUGAACCACUGUGUGAGUUGUUGCAGAAGGAUAAGAUAUUUGAGUUUGGCCCAAAAUGUAAGGAGACAUUUGAUACACUCACGUAAAAGUUAGUCUUCGCUCCUAUAUUGCAACCGCCAGAUUGGAAAUACCCGUUUGAAAUUAUGCGCGAUGCCAGCAAGCACAGUGUAGGAGCCGUGUUAGGGCAAAGGAUAGACAAAGAACCACAUGUCAUAUGUUAUGCCUCGAAAACUUUAGAUACUGCGCAGAGCAACUACACCACUACGGAAAAAGAACUCUUAGUCAUUGUAUUUGCUUUAGAUAAAUUUUGACCUUACUUAUUGGGAUCUAAAGUAAUUAUUUUUUCUAAUUAUGGAACCCUCAGGUACUUGAUCGCGAAGAAUGAAGUAAAACUGAGGCUCAUUAGGUGGAUUUUGCUUAUCUAAGAAUUUGACAUCGAGAUUCGAGACAAAAGGGAAUGCUAGAAUUUAAUGUUUGACAACUUAAGCAGAAUAAAAGUACCUUUUGACGACAUCCCUAUAAAGGAAGAAUUCCCUGAUGAGAGCCUAUUUUCGACUGAAGAAUGUCUCUCAUGGUAUGCAGAUAUAGUAAACUUUCUAGCCACAGGAUCAUUACCCACUGAGUUAGCCUAUUCCGUGAGGGACAAGCUUAGACGCGACCCUCGAUAUUACAUUUGGGAUGACCCAUACUUGUGGGAACACUAUUCAGACCAGAUAAUAAGAAGAUGUGUUCUAGAAACUGAGGUAACUUCUAUCCUUAAUUUUUGUCAUACUAAAGCUUGCGGAGGUCACUUUGGCCCUAAGUGGACCGUUCAUAAGGUGUUAGAAUGUGGGCUAUAUUGACCGUUCAUAGGUCACUUUGGCCCUAAGUCUUGCGAUAGGUGCCAACAUACAGGUAACAUCACUAAACAAAAUCAAAUGCCCUUUUCCCUGAUUCAUGUAUGCAAAAUCUUUGAUGUAUGAGGCAUCGAUUUCAUGGGCCCAUUUAUUUCUUCAUUUAGCAAUGUAUAUAUAAUUCUUGCAAUAGACUAUAUUUCUAAGUGGAUAGAAGCAAAGCCUACUCAAAAUGAUAAUGCCAAAACUGCUGUGGAGUUUCUAAAACGAAAUAUUUUUUUCCAGGUUUGGCAUACCUCGAGCCCUAAUCAAUGAUCGUGGCACCCACUUUUGCAAUAAGGUUAUAGAGGCAUUGUUGGCAAAAUACAGAGUCCACCACCGUAUAGCUAUGGCUUACCAUCCCCAAACGAACGGUCAAGUUGAGGUCUCGAACAGGGAAAUCAAGACUAUUUUGGAGAAAAUAGUUCGUCCUAACCGAAAGGAUUAGAGCCUUCGGCUAAAUGAUGCACUUUGGGCCUAACGAACUACGUAUAAAUGACCGAUUUGUAUGACCCCGUAUCGACUUGUUUUUGGUAAAGCUUGCUGCCUUUAUGUUGAAUUGGAACAUAAAGCCUAUUUUGUCGUUCGACAAUGUAACAUGGAGUUAGAACCCACAGGAAAGGCAACGAAAUUAGACAUCCAAGAGUUAGAAGAAAUUCGCAAUGAUGCCUACGAGAAUGCUCGUAUUUAUAAAGACAAGACAAAGUUGUUUCACGAUAAGAGAAUAGCUCAGAAGCAUUUUUCGGUAGGAUAAAAAGUUUUACUUUAUAACUCUGUGUUAAAGUUAUUCCCAGGUAAGCUUCGAUCAUGAUGGCAAAGACCUUUCAUUAUUACUGAAGUGUUCAUACAUGGAGCGAUUGAAAUAGAUAGUGAAGAAUCUGGAAAGCGGUUCGUAGUCAAUAGCCAGUGGUUGAAGCUAUUUUAUGAGAAUUUUCAAGCCCACACGAUUGAGAAAAUCCAUUUGGAACCACCAUAGAACCAAUAACGACGUCGAGCUAACGAUGUUAAACAAGCGCUUGUUGGGAGGCAACCCAAUUUUUAUUUAUUUUAUUUUAUUUACUUUAUUUAUUACUUUAUUUUAUUUUAUUAUUUUACAACUUAUUUGGAUAUUAAUAAAUUUCUCUUCUUUUGCUUAGAUAAAACAGAGCAAAAAUAUGAAGAAAAAGAAAAAACUAGAAAAAUAUAACCAAAAAGCCCUGUUCAUGGUAUCAAACAACCUCUAUUCCAGAUACUAGUCUAGCCCAGAAUGCCUGCAGCCAAACUACCCUAUUCCUGUAGCCAACCACCUUUAUCCAUGCACCCAAACACUACCUCUCAGUAUAAAUUAACCCCCCAACCCUAAAAUUUUAAAACAUUUUUUUCCAUUUUCCCACAAAACCACCAUAGCCGCCGCUCUUCCCUCUACCAUUCUCCCCCAUGCCGAACGACCCUACCAAUAAAGGCGCCCACACCUCAUCAGCCUCGACAACAGCCGUCCAAACCCUCGGCCAAACCUCCGCCAUCCUCCGCUCCUCCGUCUUCUGACCCGACUUGAAACCUUUGGCCAGCAACUGAGUGAGCUCAUUGAUAUCAUAUACGAUUGACAGUAAAUAACAUAGGGAGUUUUUCUAAACUUUUCUCCCUAUUUAUUUCUUUUCGUCCACAUUGAGGACAAUGUGCUUUCAGUAAGGGAGGUACUUUUAGCUAUUACUGUCAUUUUUUGCUAUGAUUUUGGUUGUUGUUGCUAUUACUGUGAUUAUUUUUGGCUUGUGUUGCUGUUUGAGGCUCCAUUUUGUCCAUAUUUAUUUUUUAGGAUCUCUUGCCUCUUUUCAUGCCCAAGAUUUUUACCAAUAAUUGCCUAUUGUUUGACCUACAAACAUGAUUCUUAUUUUAUGAGAAAAUUAUAGAUUUUCCAUAAUUGAUGUCAUUUCCAGUGAUGCCAUUUCCAAUGUUUUAUUCUUAUUAGGCUAAAAAUAAUUGUGAUUCAUAGAGUUAACUUUAUCUUGUUUUUCUUAAAAUUGAUCAAGUUUAAUACAAAGUGGACACUUAAUAUGUUUGCAUGCUAAAAUAUGUUCAUGACUGUUAAGGUAAUUACUGAAACUUAUUUUUGACACUUGAUUGUUUUUUUUCUCUAAAGUCCUCAUAAAAAAGUUAUUAUUAAAAUGUCAUUUAAUGUUUCCAUGGUUAUGAGUGCAGCUUAAAAACGUGACUGAUUGAGUAAUCGGGGUAGGGUGCUUGGGUUGUCAUCCUAUUUCGCAUCAAAAGGUUGUGUGACGUGUUAGGUAAAACUCUGCUAACCGAAAUUAAUUUUUAACAUGUUGGAACCGGGGUGGGGUGAUUGACUGUUAUCUCUCUUCGCGUCAAAACGUUCGAUGUGUUCUUAAGAAAAAUUAUAAAAAAUUAAGAGUUUGCUAGGCUGAGUAACCGGGGUGGGGUGCUUGGUUGUUAUCUCUCUUCGCGUCAAAAGGUUCAGUAUAUUCCUAAAGCAUAAAAAAUAUAAAUAAUAAAUCAAAAUCAAAAUAAAUAAAAAAGAAAAAAAGAAAAAGAAAAAAAUAUAAUUUAGGGACUAAAAGAGGAAACAAAUAGUUUGUCUUGGUAGGUUUGGUAAUUUACCUAAUUUUCAUUAAAUAAUUCAAGUCGAUUCUAAUUUUUGUGUGUAUUAAUUGGAAAACUUUUUCUGUUUUACUUAAAGCAAGCUUAGGGUUCUCUUUAUUUUUCAUAUGCAUUUUUGACUGAUUUUUAUAAAACUUUGGAGUGGUAUUUCUUUUAUGGCAGAAUCUAACUUUCACAGUAGAUAGGAACCAUAUUUGAGGGCAAGCAUGGGCUAAGUAGGGGGAAUUUGAUAACACUAUAGAAUAACAUAUUUUUAUGUAUUUAUUCUGAGUAUGAUCCUACUAAUUUGAGCUAUUUAUGCUCUUUUAUCUCAUAGGGACUAAAUUUGAGGCAAAAACAAAAUUAAGGGCCAAAAGCGUGAAUUUAGAGAUAAAAUAGGUCAAUGUGCGACACAAGGAAAAGUUGGUGCCAAAAGUGCAAGCAUGGAGGACACAAGGGUUGAAAUGCAAAAAGAAGAGAUUUUAUUAUAUCAGACUCUAUUUUAAUUAUAUUAGGAUAAUUAAUAUUAAGAUAAUUAUUAACGAUUAUUUAAUUUUAGGAUUUUAUUUUAUUUAUCUUUAUUUACCUUCAAUUAAAUGUAUUUAUCUGUUGGGAGUUUAAUAGGAUUAGACAAUCUCCCCUAGCAAUAUAAAUAGGGGGUGAUGUGAUCAAAAGGGAUCCAUCUUUUUCUGAAAACACUCUCUCCCCAAAAGUCUAGGCUUUUGUUCUUCUCAUAUUUCCUUUCAAUAAAAUCUCCAUUUUUAUUAUAUUUAUUUUCUUUUCCACCACAACCAUGAGCCACUGAACCCAUCUAGCCAACAGUUGUCGAUAUUCCCCAAAAAGGGUUCUUGAGACUUAGAGUCUGUACCUAGCUUCCUCGUUGAGUAUUCAUCGUUUCUCCGCACUACAAGGCUGAAGCUUCCGUCCAUGUCCCUUAAGAAGUAAGCUUUUCAAUGUAUGCAAAGGUGACCGCUUUGUAUGUUUUGGAAAGCUUGCACAGUCGGUUCGUUAGCUUACUGCAUUAGAGGCUGGCGAGCCCAAGAGACAAAAUGGCGUGGGAUUCACCAUUGAGAAGUGUUGAUCUAGCAUAAGAUGAUCCCACAGAAGUGAUUGUUGGCUAGAGUCAGGUUCCACGAAAUCGUAAGUCUAAAUCCUUGGAGUUGGUGGUCGUAGGCGUCCUCUUCCACUAUAACUGUCUUAUUCGGUUUGAGAAGGAUCAUCUAAAAGCCAAGAAUUAAACCCAAGGCGGAACUAGACAACUGGAGCCUGGAACCUCCCACAAGAAUUUCCUUUCUCUCAACUCUAUUUUUAAUUUCUCGAAUUUUCAAUUCAAUAUUCUUAAUUCUGUUUUUAUUUUAUUUUUCAUUUCCAGAUUCAAACCUUUAAUUCUAUUUUUUUUUUGUUUUUUUCAGGAACGCAGGUUUUCUUGGGCAAGAUUUUAUCUGGGAUUUCACGGAACAAGAUAUUGUGCAAAUCCAGUCCCUGAGAAUUUGACCUUACUUCCCUUUUACUAUUCUUUUUCAUUAUUUAUUAGGGAUAGGAUAUUUUUGGUGCUUUCAACGACCGCAUCAAUUCUAGUAGAUUGGUUCACAAUGUAUGAUAUGAUAGAGCUUUGUAUCUCAAUCCCAUAGAUGCUAUAGCAUCAAGGCACAAUCGAAACUUGUCAAUCUUUGAUCCUAUUUGUGGAGUCUAAAAACUCCAUUGGCAAUAUACAAAAUAAAUUAUUUUAUUUUUUUACUAUUUUACUAUACCCCUAGAGAACACUUGUCAAUCUCUUGACGUUGCUUAUAGAGACUAAAAACUUUAUUGGUAAUGUACCAAAUAAUAUUCCAAAUAAAAAAGCAUUAACUUGAUAGUGUAAUUUUUUUAUUCCACAAGCAUUCUUAAAAAAUUAACAUUUUUUUAAUUUUUAUUUGUUUAAUAUUUCACUAUACUCCUACAGGACAUUUGUCCACCCCUGAUCAUGCUUAUAAAGUCUAAAAAUUCUAUUAAUUGUGUCUUGUUAUAAAAUAAAGAAAGAUGGAGAGAAUAAAGAACAAAGAAAAUAUGAAAGCAAUAGAGAAUGUACUUUAUUGAUCAAUUGGGAUGAUUACAAUGCUUCAUGAGAGUAUCUAUUUAUAGACAUAAGAAGUAUAAAAGAAGUAGAGAUCUAAUUCUAAUAACUAUUAGAACUUAAAGUACAUUAAAACUUUAUCUUGAUCAUGAUGGACAUCCACUUAAUAAAAUAUUCAUAACACUCCCCCUUGGAUGUCCAUUGGUAGAUAAUGUACCUCGUUAAAACCUUAUUAAGAAAAACCCUAUGGAAUAAAAACCUAAUGAAGGAAAAAGAGUACGCGAUCUAUAAUACGCAUAAUAUGCUGCCUUAUUAAAAACCAUACUAAGAAAACCCAAUUAGACAAAACCUCGGUUAAGGGAAAAAGAGUACAACGUGUAUUUACUCGCCCUCAUGAAAACAUCACAUACUUUCUGAUAUUCUACAUAUUCAAUCUUGAAUACUAUUUUUUCAAAUGACUAUUUGAAUGUAUCGCUAAUCAUUUAUAUCACCAUUCUUUUAAAAGUCAUGAGUGAGGGAAAUUUGGGGAAAUAUAUUUUGAUCUCUUCAGGAGAUUCAACAAUAAUCAUAACAAAAUUUAACCAUUUCUUUUAUAAAAACAAAAAUAGGUAUUUUGGAUCAUUUUAUAAUCCUCCUUCAACUACUAUUCACUAAGUCAAAUUUACCACAUAAAUUCAAAUUAUUUCAAUUCAUAUAAAUGAACAAUUUCUUGAGAAUUUCAAUAUGCUUCUAGUAUCCUAAAUCCUUAAAAGAUUUUAUUAUAAACUUUACUAUAUAGUGAUUCAUAAAAGGUUGUAACAAUAACCAUUAGAUGCAAGUUAAAUAUUUUAAGAAUUUUCAAUUUAAUAAUAUAUCUAAAUAUUAUUUCAUCCACCAUAAAGUAAUAUUAUAUCUUUUCAUAAUCAAUGCUAGGACUUAGUGAAAAACUUCAUAUUUUUAUUCCCUUUUUGUAUAACUACUUCAAUUGAACCCUUACUGGCUUUAUACCUUUAGAUAUUUGGACUAUUGGUCAAAAAAAUCCAGAAAUUUAAUUGUACUUGAGUUACGUCUUUCUAUUUUGAUGAAUUUAUUCCAUAUUUAUAUUUCUCAAUAAAUUUAUUCAAGAUUCUCCUUUUAUCUCAUUAUUUCAAUAGUAAUAUUGCAUGCAAAAUUGUUGUCGACCAAUUUUAUUAUUCAGUUCCACAUUUUCUCGAAUUGACGUAACUUAUCGAGAUCUCUUAUUUUCAUUAUUUUAAAAUUCAGUUUCAAAUACCUGAAUUCCUAGAGCACCCGCCUCCACUAUAUGACCAUUUAGAAGAAUUUUCAUUUUUGGAACUGAUCAAUCUAUUAUUUAUUCUAACUGACUCUCCUACUGGGACUUUGAUUCAAAUUAAAAUACUAGAUGGUAUAUAACACUUGGUUAUUCUCAUUAAGUUUGUAAAUAAUAACACUUGGUUAUUCUCAUUAAGUUUGUAAAUACAUCUAUAAUUAACUUGUAAUGAGCUAUCCUUAUUGAUUUUCUGGUUCAAAUUACUCUCCCCCUAACUCAUUACAAGUUAUUAUUUCUCUCCCCCUAAUGUCUGGAAAAGUAUCAAAUCAAAAUUGUAAUAAAAAAUCAUGUCAUAAUUGAAUCUCGAAUACAUUCAAAACAUCUAAUAAUAUAAAGAAACUUGUAAUUAAUAUAUAUUCUCAUCUUUCUUUGAGGAUUCACUCAUCUCUGUGCGUUGUGGUGGAGCAAUUGGAACAUAUACGCACAUACAGAAAUACAAAGAUGAGAAAUAUUUAGUUCUUGAUCAAAAACCAAUUAUAAUGGGGAGUAUUUAUAACUUAUUGGCUUGAUGCGUACAACACAUAAAUCAACAUAAUCUCAUGUUGAAAUAGAAAGUUUAAUUCUCAUAAGUAAUGAUUUAGACCUUAAUCAAUAGAAUUUAAUCAAUAAUUUCUCUAAACCAUUAUGCACAAACUUUUACAAAAAAAUUUCAAACUCAUGAUCAGAAAUUAAUUAUUUAAAUGAGCAAUCUUGCGAACAGGUUGCAAAUUGAUAACACAUAUGUGAUUAUUUUGUAGAUGCCUGCUGAAAUCAUAUCAUAUUAAAAUCAUCUACAUGGUGGAUGAAUGAACCCGUAUUCAUUAAAUCUCAACUUUAGCUAGUGAGUUUCUAAGAAUCAAUUUUCAUUGAGAACAAGCAAAAAUGAUAUUUUUUUAAAUUAAAGAAUCUCCUGGUUCUUUAAUGGAUGUCCAUAUGAAUUCUCAAUUAAUUUUCGCAUCAUAUAUGAUCUAGGAUGGUCUAACUAAUCAUGCCAAGUAGUAAAUGCAUUUGUAUCAGUAAACUUCUGGUUUACUUUAACAUGUGUUUCAAUUGUACUAAAUUGUAACAAAUUAAUAAUUUCAAUUGUACUUAAUUGUAAUAAACUAAUAAUUUUACUAUCAUUCCUUUUACUUUAUAUCCUCAUGAAAAUGCUAUUGUGACAUUUACUACUAAAAAUGUCUAAAUCAAUGUGAAUAUUAUAAUGUCACUAAAUCAACAAAAUAAAAUAAUUUCCAAAUAAUUAUAUGCAACAUUCGCUUCAAGGAAUAUAGCAAAAUCUUCAAAUGUAGGGAAUUUACUACAUCCACGUUAAAGAUUAUGUCUUUCAAAUUUAUUAUACAUUGCUACAUUCUCUUUAGGGAAUGGUUAGGUUUCAUGUUUAAAAACUUUUUUUCAAUCAUAAGUAAUAUUUCAAGAUAUUGCUACUGUAAGAGCACAUUUGGAUCAUGAAAAGUUGAAUAAGUUCUCUCUUGCAAGGUUCUCAGCAGUAAUAUUUUUCCACGUAAUUUUAGUUGAGAACUUAUUUUGAAUACUGUAAAGUUAUACUCACAGUUUUAAAAUUUUGCAACUUCAAGUGCAUCCAACCAUAACGAGCUUUAGAUAGAAUUACCAUAUUCUACUACUCACAUUUUUCUUUUAAAUUAUUCCAGAAUUGAUUUAGAUCUUUCACAGUCAAAUAUUUUUCUUCCAACCCCUUAAUGGGGAUGAUGACAAAAGAAGAUCACAAAGAUUAUAAAAUAAAUAUAAAUUAAUAACUCAAUCCUCUCUUUUUUAUCCUUUCAAAAUAGACAUCUGAUACCAAUUAUAGGGUAUAAAGGGAAAUGCGAAAGUCUAUUGAUUUAUUUAUUAAAGAAAAUUUUUACAAUGAGAGAAUGGUAAAAGAAAAAGAAAGAUUUCUAAACUAUAUUUCAAUGCCUUCUUUAGGCUUCCUCUUUCUCUAUUUAUAAUUGAAUUCUAAAACUCUAUUUAAUUUUCUUUGAAUCUCACACAGUUUUUUGUUAAGGAUCCUGUCUCAUCAUGAACAUGGUUUCUUCCACGUUACAUUGUCUUGUCAAGUCAUUGAUUUAAUGGUUGCUUCCACUUCAUUGUCUUGUCACAUUAUUGAUUUAAUGUUUGUUUCCACAUUGCAAUCUCUUUUGUUUGCAUCUGGAUGCCUUCUUUUUCAAGUUGUUUCUUGAGUACUUUCUUUCCACUUGUCUGCAUGUUUUCACUUUAUCCCUAUUGGAUAUUAUCUAGAUUCAUUUCUUGUAUGUCAUCUAGAUGUAAUGAAUGUAAUUAAAGUUUUGGUGAUGAAUUCCAAGUCUCCCACAUGCUUUUGAUUUCUUCUAUAAUAUGAUAUAGAAAAUCUUCAAUCUCUAUUUUGACUAUCUUUUUUAAUAAUCUUAUAGAUUCUUCAUCUCUAUUCUUCUAGAUGUUUCUAGUGUCAUAUGCCAAUAUUCUUCUUCCAUCACUCCAAAUUUUAUAAAUUUCUUGCUGAAGCAAAUAAAUUUCUUGAGAGGUUUAUUUACAAAGUUGGUUAACAAGACUAUUACAUAUUGCGAUAGUCAAUGUGUCAUACAUCUCACCAAAGAUCAGAUGCAUCACAAUAGAACAAAGCAUAUAGACAUUUGUAUCAUUUUGUUCAGGAAGUGGUUGCUCAAGGAGAUGUUUAGAUUUACAAAAUCAAUAGAGAAAACAACCCAGUUGAUAUGAUGAUAAAAAUUCUUCCAAUUUUCAAGUUAUAAAAUGCUUGAACUUGGUAAGCAUCUGACAAAGAUCAAGUUAGGCCCAUAACAGGGUUCAAAAAAGAAAGCUUUUUCAAAAAUAUGAGUCAAGGUGGAGAUUUGUGGGGUUUGCCUCGCAUUUCGUCUGAAACAGAGUCUAUGUCGUGAUAAGGAAUAGCCAAUGUCCUACCGGAGCAACAAAUGAUGUCCCGAUGAGAAGAACCCGUCGUCUCGAAGAUGCGACAUGUAACGUCCUGAUGAACCAAUAGCAACAUCACGACAUGGCGACAUGUUCCCUACUAAAUCGGAUUUCUUUUCCUAAUUAAACUCUGAUAUCUUUUCUAGUCGAACUCUAAUAACUCUAGGGAUAUUCUAAUCAAGUUGGCCACAAAUUUUAACCUAUAAAUAGGGCUUUUAAAACACUAGAGAGAUUGAUUCAACAACAAAAGUAAGAGAGAGUUUUUGUGGGAAUUUUUGGAGAACUUUGUAUUUUUUUGGUUCAGGCUUUUUCUUUUCUCCAUCUUGUACUGCUCUUCGGUAAUUUGCCUGUUUAGUGAAGUGUUCUUUGCCCAUGGUGUUUAAUCCUCUUCGAUGGGGGUUUUCCACGUAAAUAUUUGUGUGUAAUUUUCUCAUUUUUUGUUCUUGUUCAUUGCACAAUGUAGGUUUAACCCAACAUGAAUCUUGAUUAUGACAUGGUGGAAGAAGUGCUGGGAAUUGAUUUGAGAGUUUUACAUAUGUAUUGAAAUAUUGACAAGUUUAAAUUGCAGGUGGGUUUGAAUGAAACUAGAGGAGGUGCUAUCGAAAUUUUUGUUAAAAAUAAAAAUUCUAUAUUCUUAAAUUGAUUAAAAAGAAUUAAGUUUGAGUUUCUUCGACAACGGAUUGUGACAUUCUAUAUUUGAAUCUACCAACUAGAUCGAUUGUAGGGUGUCACAAAAGUAAAAACUUUUGAAGAUAUUGAAGAUGCACUUUAGUCAAAAGUAACUAUAAAAAAAUUUGAAAAAGAAAAGAAACAUCAAAACGAGGAGGGGGCAAGCUCAUUGAAUUAUUAGCAAAUUGAGAUGAUCAAGUAAAUAAUCAAUGAACUGAUAAAUCUUGAAACCAGGGAUAGUACUGGGGUAAAUAAUUAAUAUAUAACAAUAUUUAAUUAAUUUAUAAUAAGGUUUUGUUUGUAAAAAAAUCAUAUACAUUAUUUAAAUUACAACUCAUCAAAAUUACAUUUAUAAUUAAUUUAAUAAUUUUAAAUGUAAAUAGUUUAUUUUUAUUAUUUAUUAUGAAAUUAUAUUUUUCUAUAAUUAAACCUUUUUUAAACAUUUUUAUUUACAAUUAAUUAUUUUAGUUAGUCAAUAAAUUAUGAACGAAUCUUAUAUAUUAUAAAUGUAACACCCUUAGCUCAACCUGAUCGCCGGGUCCAAGCUUCGAAAUGCUACAGCCAUUGCAGGAACAACAACGAAUAGUUAACAUCCAUAUUAAAACAUAAAUCAUACAGUCAUAAUCAUUUCAAAACAUAAUCACUUUAUAAGAUCUUUCUCAAGUCUUAUACUAGCAUAAUUAUGCUUUAAAGUUAACCUGGAAUCAAAUUAGGACCAAAAUUUAACAUUGUCAAAAUUCCAACGUGACAUUGCAAUGUGAGGGGGUUCCUCAUUGCAACCUAACAUAAUAACUUGGGCCUCGUUGUGGCGAUAAGGUUCAUCAUCACGCUGUGCCUAAAACCCAAGUCUCAUCGCGAUGGCCUAUGCCCACGUCACGACGUGGACUCUUUUCUUGGCACAAAAUAGGCCUUUUGGUGCUUAAUCCGAAUCAACUACACCAUUAAGACAUUUAGUGCAUUAUUGCACCUUUGUACCUGCACAAAACCAACCAAAAUACAUACCAAUACAUCCAUUUAACCAUUUCACACAAUCAAACAAUACCUCAAUUUGGCAACAAAACAUAUUCAACAACUUGUUUAAAACACAAAUUAGCAUUCAUGCCCUCAAGCCAUUCAAAACAACAUUCAAUCAUGCCAUUUCCAUGUUAAACUCAUACUAUUUGUACAUUCAAAUAAACCAUUCAAACCCUAUACAUAUGGUCCAAACACAUGACCAAAAUCAUGCCUUGAUAUAAGUGUAAGCAUUAACAUCUCAUGAUUUAUAUACUAUCCCAAAUUCAAAUGAAACAUAUAGUUUCAAUCUAACACACUUAUAGCACCCAUGUACAUUCUUACAAUAAUGAGUUACAAAAUUAACAAAAGGCUACCGAGUUGAUAGAGGGAUGGUGUGAGCUUUGUGAAGUCCAAUCAAUAAGUUCCGCAAACCAACUAUCUACAGAGAAAGAAAAACAACUAGAUAAACCUUUCUAAUGCUUAGUAAGUUCGAAGGUAAGAAAAUGGUAAACUUAUCUCGAUUUAUAAAAUAACAUAUCAAACUAAAUAAUUUGGUAAAGAUGACCUAACAUAACAAAUCACAAUAAUAAGGUCAGCUUAAAUACCAAAAUCCAUCACAUAUGUACCAUUUUAUAAUAUAUAUAUAUAUCAAUACCUAGCAUUUGAGUGAUUAUACAAGAAUACUAAAACUUAAUAUUCAAUUCAUACAGUAAUACACGUUUAAUUGUCAAUUAGAUUUCAAAUCAUUUAUAUUUCCCAUUACUUAUUUCCCAUAUUACUUGAUGAAACUCAAUAAACAAGCUCAAAUACAUAGGUACAAAUCACAUCGGAGGCUCAUUUGAGCUAAACAUAUAAUCGUGUCAGGUUACCAGUUCGGGCUAAAUCUUUAUAUCGACAUAUCAGAGAGCUUGGCCAGAGCUAUAUAUAUCGAUACGGGAUUCAAGAGGAAUAAGCGGAUCAGGAUUGAAUUCAAGUUGUUUAACUCAAGAAGGAAAGAUUUGGAUAUAGUCUGAAAAGAAAAAAUAAACAUAUUUAGUAAUAAAGAAAUCGAAAAUAGUAAAGAAGAAAUUUGAGAAUAAAAAAAAUAAAAAGCAUAAAUAAAUAAGAAAUAGAAAUUAAAAAAAGAACAAAGUGGAAGAUGGACGAGUAAAUCGAUGGAUAUGAUGGAUAGAAGGAUAAACGUCCAAUUGAACCCUUUGAGAUAUAAAUCCCAAUAAACUCAAUUAAUGGCUCUAAUCAACCCUCUAAGAAUUAAUCCUUGAAGAAUGAAUUGAAGGAUGAAGAAUGAAUUCCCACGACUUCUUCAAGAAAAUCAAGAAUAAAACUACUUCUAAAAAUCACAAGAAAGAAAUCUUGCAUAAAAAAAAAUCUCAGAGUUGAAAUCUUUAUUAAUGAAAACAAUUGUCUCCUUAAUAAAAAAUGAAGAAGCCUUUAUAUAAUCUAGCUAAGUACAUCCAAAUAAAACUCUAAAGUAUACUGAAACUCUAAUUAAUCUAAAGAAAAAGUAGUUUUAAACAAAACUUUCUUAUUAACAUAAAACUCCUAAAUAACUUAAAAUACUUAAUAGUUAUAAAAAAAUUGUAAUAAUCAAAUAAUAAGAGAUGAUAAAUACAAUAUUGGACUCAUAUAUAAUAAAAAUUAAGCAAAAAAUCCGAACCAAAUAUGAUUUAAACUUGAGUUAAAAGCACAAAACUCAUAAUUCCCGUCAUAAUCCUGUCCAAAAAUUCUACUCCUGCAGUCUUCACUAAAAUGGUCAUAAUUUGAGCUCCCAGACUCGAAAUCGAGUGAUUCAAAGUGUGUUUUGAAGCUAAGAGAUAGAACUUCAAACGCCAUGAAAUCUCAACCUGAAAAUGCCUAGAUCCCAUUCAAAAAGUCGAUGCAAGUAUGCUAAUUUCCAAAACUUAAAAAUUGACAGUUUGGGUGAAUGGAAUUUAAUAAAUUUCUCCCCAUCCGUGCAUGUAUCACAUAUACAUAUCAGGUUAUUCGUUUGAGCUAAACCUUUAAAACAAAAUCAGGUUACCAAUCCAAGCUAAACUUGUGUCACAUGUAUCUUCAAGUCCGCAACAAAUGUUGGAUUCUUGAAAUUAUCUGAAAUCAACCUGUAACCAUGUGUAUGAUACAUUUACAAAGUUUCAUCAAUGUAAUUUGCAUCAUGCAAGUUUAUAUUUAUUCUUUUUUUUUUCAAUUUAGUCCAAAUCUCACACUUUAGUACUAAAUUACAAAUAAUUCAAAGUUUAAUAAAACAUACAUGUAUUCACAAUAUUGCAUACAUAAAGGGUUUAAACAUAAUUGCACCAUAUGAACUUACUUGGAAAAAUGACAGUAAACACAAUAUCGAGGACUAUUCUGUAAUUUUCUCUUUCCCACAACUAUCCUCCGACUGGUUGAAAUCUCGAUCUAUAUCAUAAUUUAAUUCAAAUAUCAAUUCCAAACUUCAUUUAACAACCUACUAUAACUAUGUAUCAAUUCAAUUUCAUCUAUCCAUGUUUUUUAUUUUAUUUAGUUUAGUCCCUAAAAUUAGAAUUGUCAUAACUUUCAAAUUAGAGCCUCGAUUUUGAAACUCAAUCUCGAUUUCAUCUUUCUACAGUCCUAUACUAUCUAUAUUUACAAAAAAAAAAUUCAUGUUAAUUUCAAAAUAUUCACCCUUUAGUCCUUAUGUUCAAAACUAACAAUUUUCACGUUACAAACUAGUCUUUUGUUUCAUAUCUAAGCUUAGAAUCUAACAAUUUAACACCAAAAGUUUCAAGAUUCAACAAUAGAAACUUUUAAAAACUUUACAUUUUUGCAAAUUGGUACACAGGUAGCUCCCAAAACCUCAAAAACAUAAAAACUACAAUAAAAUGACUAAAUUAAGCUUACCAAUCAAGGAUCGAAAGUCUUUUAAAGCCAAACCCUAUCUCGCUCGUUUUCAUGAGAAAGAAGAUGAUGAAUGAAGAAUAAUAAAAAUUUUAGCUUUUGUUUAAUUAAUUUUAAUAUAUAACAUAAUUUAAUUAAAAAUUUUAACAUAUAUUCACUUAAAAGAAAACAUCAACCAUCCACCACUAUUUAAAAAUGGCCUAAUUGUCACUUUCAACCGUGGUUCAAUAUUAUGUAGCCUUUUUAUUAAUAAAAAUCAAUAGUGAUUAAUUUUUACCGCUUUAUAAUUUAGUAUUUGUACCUAAUUAGUCACCAAAUCGGUGAAAUUACCUAUCCAAAAUUCAAUUCACUUAUACAAUAACUCCAUAAAUAUUUAAUAAAAAUAUUUAAGGGUUCGAUUUACAGAAAUGAGGUCCCAAUACCUCAUUUUUCAACACCACUGAUUUAAGGGUUGGAACACUUGUACUUUAACUAACUAUUCAAUUAACAAAUUUUUCAAACCAAAAUUUAAUAUAAUAUUAUAAUCUUGAUCAUCAGAGAACGGGGUUCUAAAACCACCAUUUCCAGCACCACUAAAAAAUAGAUUCCUACAAUAAACAGCAAUUAAAUUAUUAUUUUUGUAUGUAUAGUUAUUAUUAUGUCAAAUUUUUAUUUUAAACUUAUGGUCAAUUAAUUAUUUAGAUUUAAAAUAUCCUUCAAAUGAUAGCAUUUUUUACUUUGGCAUAAUGAUAAAAAAUUAACCCCUAAAAGUUACUGCUUUUGUCACUUUUGUUUUUAUUCUUUUUCUUUUUUUGAUCACUUUGGCCCGUAGCGUUCAAAUUUUAGUCAAACUGCAUUUCUUUAGGUGAAAAAAUUAGUUGAACUAUUAAAAUUUUAAUGGUAUCAACAUGACAAUUUGCAUGUUCUUCAUAAAAAUUUAAAAAAUUAUUAAAAUUAUUAAAAUUUUGAUAAAGUUUAAAAAAUUCAGUAAUUUAUACUCUAAAAAGAAGUACAAGUAAACUAUUAUGUAGGGUACAACAUUAGUAUCAUUAAAAUUUUGAUAGUUCAACCAGUUUUCCAUCCACAAAAAAUAAUUUGACUAAAGAUUGAAGGUUGAUGACCAAGGUGAUCCAAAAAAAUAAGGUUAAAGUAACAAAAUGGAUACACAUUAGGGGUUAAAUUUAUCAUUAUGCCUUAAACUUUUUAAAAUAAAGAUAAAAUUAUUUUAGUAUGUAGUGAUUUAAAAUUUUAUAAAUUAUAUGAAUUCUUUUAUGUGUUUUACCAUAAAAUUAUUUUAUAUUAUUAAAUAUUGCUAAUAAUAAAUAUAUUAUAUAAUAUACACAGUAAUAUCUUUCACCUGCAACAUACGUGAGUUAAAACUACUUCCAAUUUUCGCAAAAAUGAGACAUGUCCAAAGCAAUUCAAUUAUUUAAUCAUUUGAAACUUGAGUCUUCACCCACUUUGAGACAUUUUGAGGAAACAAAUUAGUUAUAGAAAUAAUUAUAAAAUGCAUAAAUAAAAUAAAACAAGAUGUCAAGAAAUAAAUUGAAACAACGCAUAUAGAUUAAGCUCCAUCUAUUGUAAUUUAACACUAUAUUACUCUCGAAACUAGGAAAUUUAGAAGCAAACUAUUUAAAAUCAUACACCAUCGAGCUGCUUUAGGUUCAAAUGAUAAUCUGAUUACAUGCUUAGCGAGCACCUUCUUCAAGUUCAAAUGUGAUUUUGUUAUUUAUGCUAUCAUACCCCAUCCCUAUCCAGCUGCUUGUUACACCAUCAUCGUAAGUGCUGGGAAACUUACCAAGCAAGUAUUCGGAUUCUUCGCUUACUAAAUUACUUUUACUCCAAGGAUGUUUAGCCAUUGCUUGCAGUCCUGCUAAUUCAUGGGCAACUUCCUUCAUUGUUGGCCUUUCCUCUCCCUUCACUCUCACACAUCUCCUAGCUAAAGUUGCUACUUCCAUAAGCUGCUCAACAUUUUCAUCAUUAAGCACUCGAGGAUCGAGAAUGUCGAGCAAACGGUCUUCUUUCAUCAAAGAAGUGAAGUACAUUGGCAAAACUCGAUUUUCCGGUCUUUUGAAACAUACCACUUUUUGUCCUGUUAACAACUCCAUAAGCACAACCCCGAAGCUGUAGACAUCACUUUUUUCAGUAAGAAGGCUUGAAAGCAUGUAUUCAGGAUCCAAGUAACCGAAAGUUCCUUGCACAAUUGUAGUUAUUUGUGCUUGGUCAGAUGGGAUCAAUCUGGAAGCCCAAAAUCAGAAACUUUUGCGGUGUAAUUGUCAUCUAACAGUAUGUUCGCCAACUUGUUGUCUCGGUGAAUGAUUGGAAUGGAAGCUGCAGAGUGCAAAUAAGAAAGGGCUUCUGCUGUUUCAGUGACUAUUCUCAAACAGGUCUCCCAUGAAAGAUAAGAGGUAGCAUCAUCAUUAUGCAAAUGGUGAAAAUGGGUUCUGUUGGUGAUAUAUUCAUAAACUAACAGCGGAACUUGGGUCUCCAAACAACAUCCUAGGAGUUCGACAACAUUCCUAUGGUUGAUUUGGUAGAGCACCAUUAUUUCAUUGAUGAAUUGUUCAACUUGGCUAGGAUCUCCAAUUAUUGACUUUUUGAUGGCAACUAUUUGAUUAUCAGCCAAUGUUCCCUUGUACACUGUCCCUUGCCCUCCCUGUCCUAAAAUUCUGCGUUCAUUGUAAUUGUUUGUUGCCUUCUCGAGUUCCUCAGUUGUAAAUACUUUAACAUCUUCACGGUACCCUUGUUUUGAAAGUUGUUCCCGCAACAAAAUGCCACCAUUUUGCUAAAAGUAAGGUUCUUUUAAUUUUCACCAAAUUAAAGUUCAUGUAUACAAUUGUACAUGAAACCAAAGUUCAUGUAUAAUUUUGAGAUUUAUCUCUUUUUGAUUUUAAUGAUUUAUAUUUCUCAUCAGCUCACUGGAGUUGACAACUAUAAUAUUUGCAGUCGUGCGAUGCGAAUUGCGUUGAUUGCCAAAAAUAAAUUGGGUUUCAUUAAUGGUACUUGUUCCAAAGAUUUAUUGGCAGAAGAUUUGUACUCAUAGUGGGAGCGAUGCAAAGCUAUCGUGUUAUCUUGGAUAUUGUACACGGUAAGCAAAGAGCUCUCUACAGGUAUCGUUUUUGCUUCAAGUGCAACAGCAGUUUGGCAGGAUCUUAGCAAGCGAUUUAACAAGACUAAUGGUUCAAGAGUCUACUUCUUGCAUUGAGAAAUUUCUUCUCAUCUUCAAGGAAUUUCUUUGAUUUCAACCUAUUUCACAAAGCUUAGGUUGUGAUGGGAAGAGUAUGAUUCCCUAGUUCUCGUUUCUUCUUGUGGUUGUGUGCAAACUAAACAGGUUAUUGAUCACAUUGCGCAGCAGCGUUUGUUUCAAUUUUUGAUGGGUUCAAAUGAAACUGAUAGUGUUGUUUGGAGUCAAAUUUUAUUGAUGAGCCCCUUGCCUAUGGUCAAUCAAACAUAUUCCAUGCUCGUGCAAGAAGAGUCACAAAGGCAGCAUGUAUCAGGUCUAGUUGUUGCUGAUCCUACCUCUUUAUAUUCAGCAAAUGUCAAUCCAUACAUAAAUCGAUUUAAUGGUGUGUGUGAUCAUUGUAAAGUUUAGGGCCAUAAGAGAGAAAAUUGUUAUAGACUAAUUGGAUAUCCACUUGAUUUCAAGUUCACUAAUAAGCGUUUUAUGUCCGGGGCUAGUGCAAACAACGUGGUAGCAAACGAAGGGACAGUGGUUGAUAGCAGUGUGCCCAACAGCAACAUUCGAAGCUCUCUUGGUGUGUUUCAAUCUCUUGGGUUCACACAGGAACAAUAUUAGAAAAUAUUAAGCUUGUUGAACAAAGAAUCUUUGGUCGAGACGACUACAAAUAUGGCAAUUGGGGCAAAUUUAGCAGGUAUGAGUACAUCUUGUGAAUGGAUUUUAGAUACUGGUGCUCCUAAUCACAUGCUUUCUAGCUUCCAACACCUUGAAUUUCCUAUUGCAUGCACUUCUAAUUCACCAAGUGUUCGUUUACCAAAUGACUCCUCCACACCCAUAACACAUACAGGAUCGUAUACCCUCUAUCUCGGUGCCACUCUUAAAAAUGUGUUAUAUAUACCUGAUUUUCAAUACAAUCUCGUUUUUGUUUCAAAACUUACCAAGGAUUUGCAUUGUUUUGUUACAUUUUACUCACACUUUUGUAUUUUCCAAGACCUCUCAAGUGGCAUGAUGAAGGGGAUUGGUAGGGAACAUGGCGGCCUCUAUAUUCUUCAUUCUUCCCUAGCUAUAGUAUCUUCAACUCAUGUACCUUCUUCAACAGCUAAUUCUUUUCAUACAACUCUCGGUAGUUCUUUUAUCUGGUAUGUGCGACUCGGCCAUGCUCCUUUGUCAAGGUAUUUAGUUCGAUGCUUAAUUUUGUAGCGUGUAUUUCCAGAGUUUUUUUAAGUUUUGAAAACCAAAUUCUAAUUUGUCAAAUUCAAAUAAUUUUGCAGUUUACAUUAAGAACACCCAAAAAUUGACGAAUCAAACAAAACCCAAAAGCAAAAACAAAUCCGAAAACUUAGUCCAAAAAUCUUAAUUUCUCAACCAAAACAAACCAUUUUAUGUGAAAACCAAUCUGAACUCCUGCACGCCGUCCGGUCCUAAGCCUGACGAUCAUUUGAAACAUACUAAACAAACGAGUAAGCUAGAUUGUUGCAUAUUGUGACUCGGAUUGGGGAACAUAUCUGAUGACUAGAAAGUCGAUUACAGGGUACUGCAUCAAACUAAGAGAUCCGCUCAUUUCGUGGAAGUCCAAGAAGCAAAACACAAUCUCUCGGUCAUCUACGGCAGCAGAAUAUCGAAGCAUGGCAUUGACAGUUGCAGAUAUAAUUUGGUGAAGUGGUCUGUUGGGAGAAGUUAGUCUCGACAAAUUGGAACCAACAAAAUUGUUUUAUGAUAGUUGUUGCGGAAAGGAUCGAUUCGAGAACUCCGAUAUGACUACAAGUAAAUUGACCGAAACGAAAAAUAAAGUGAACACAAGGAUUUACGUGGUUCGGCUUUAAUGCCUACGUCCACGGGCAGAGGCGAAAAGAAAUUUCACUAUAACAAGAUGAAGAUUACAAGUGUUUUACACUCAAGACACAACCCGAGAACCUCACAACUCUCAACCCCUAUAGAAAACCCGAAAGCUAAAAUCCUAGCUUUCAAAGAACAAGCUUUGCUCUCUCUUGGUUUGGGAUGAUCAAUAUGGCUAAUGAACCUCUCUAUUUAUAAGAGAGUUCAAGGACAUAAUUGUCCAAAACUUUGGCAAAGAUUUGUGGUUGAAAAUGGACACCAACAACCAUCCACUAAUCCACUACCACCAACAACCCACUACCAACAACAACAAUCCACUACCAAUUUUAAGCCAUUUCUUAACAAAUCUCCACCUUGGCUUGAAAUUUACCAAGCUGAACAUCAUAGUGAACUGGAUCACCUCUUCCAAACGCCUCUCUGGCGCUAAUCAAUCCCGAAUACCUAUCAAGUCCAAGCAAUGCUUGAACUUAUAUGCAGGGAUCACCUUAGUUAACAUAUCUGUAGGAUUCUUCUCGGUAGCAACCUUGCUGAUAACAAUGUCACCUUGCGUAACAUGUUCCCGAACAAAAUGAUAUCUGACAUCAAUGUGUUUGGUCCGUUCAUGAAACAUCUGAUUUUUAGUCAGAUGUAUGGCACUCUGGCUAUCGCAAAAUACAACAGUGAAAUCCUGUUGUAAACCCAAACUGCUUACUAGACCUUUCAUCCACAAUGCUUCUUUCACUGCUUCUGCUAACGCCAUAUAUUCCGCCUCAGUCGUAGAUAAGGCUACGGUAGACUGUAACACAGCUUUCCAACUAAUGGCUCCUCCAGAAUAAGUGAAAACAUAACCCGUCAGAGAUCUUCUUUUGUCCAGAUCUCCAGCAUAAUCAGAGUCCGCAUAGCCCGUGACACUGCUAGUGCAGUCACUCUGAUCAUAUACCAAGCAUAAAUCUGCAGAACCUCUCAAGUACCUGAGAAUCCAUUUCACGGCCUGCCAGUGUUCCUUGCCAGGACAACUCAUGUAUCUGCUGACCACACUAACUGCAUGUGAAAUGUCUGGACGAGUGCAAACCAUUGCAUACAUCACGCUUCCAACUGCACUCGAGUAUGGAAUGUGAGACAUUUGCUGCUUUUCUUCCUCAGAUUGUGGUGACAACUCUGCAGAGAGUUUGAAAUGUGGUGCCAACGGAGUACUCACAGUUUUCGCUUUAUCCAUGCCGAAGCGUUGAAGAACCUUUUCAAUGUAGUUCUUCUGCGACACACGAAGCUUGCCCGCCUUGCGAUCUCUGUGAAUAUCCAUGCCCAAAAUUUUCUUGGCAGCACCCAGAUCCUUCAUCUCGAACUCACCACUCAACUGCGACUUUAACUUGUUGAUUUCCGACAUGUUUUUGGAAGCAAUUAACAUGUCAUCAACAUACAGCAACAAAUAAAUGUGCGAACCAUCUGAGAGCUUCCGAUGAUAGACACAAGCAUCAUAGUCACAUCUUGUGUAACCAUGCUGAAUCAUGAAGCUAUCAAACCGCUUGUACCACUGCCUUGGGGAUUGUUUCAAUCCAUAUAAAGACUUCUUUAAUAGACAGACAUGGUCUUCUUUACCAGGAACUGUAAAACCCUCUGGUUGACGCAUGUAGAUUGUUUCCUCGAGCUCACCAUGCAAGAACGCCGUUUUUACGUCAAGCUGCUCAAGUUCUAGAUCAGACUUGGCCACCAUGGCAAGUAAUAUACGAAUGGAAGAAUGCUUUACGACUGGGGAGAAAACUUCAUUGUAGUCAAUCCCCUCUUUCUGAGUGAAGCCUUUAGCAACCAAUCGUGCCUUGAAUCUAGUUGCUUCAACCCCUAGGAUGCCUUCCUUUUUCUUGAAGACCCAUUUGCAACCAACUAUCUUCUGGUUACUUGGCGGCUUAACCAACUCCCAAGUAUGGUUCUUGUGAAGAGAUUCUAUCUCCUCACUCAUAGCAAUUGCCCACUGUGCCGACUCAUCACACGUGACAGCCUCAUUAUAACUGGAAGGUUCUAUACCAAUGGACUCCGCCACACUGAGCGCGAAAGACACCAGAUUAGCGUAACGCGGAUUUGGUUUGAUUUGUCUCUUCGUUCUUCCAGUGGCAAUGCUAUAUGGUUUUUCUUGAGGUGACUCAUCUUCAUCGGAAUCUUGCACCUCAACUUGAUCAUCCUGGACUGAAGUACCUUCCGUAGGAAUUGGAGCGUCCACCUGACACUCCACCUGCUUCUCAACACCGUGAUCUCCCAUUCUAUCUGACUCCUCCUUUUCCCGGGAAUUUGUGGUGGAUCGAAGCAUGGAUGACUCAUCAAAAGUCACAUCUCUGCUGAUGAUGAACUUGGACGAAACCGGAUCAGGACACCACAACCUGUAUCCUUUCACCCCUUGGCCGUAUCCAAGAAAUAUGCAUUUCUUCGCCCUCGGUUUGAGUUUUCCCUCAUUUACAUGAGCAUACGCAGGGCAGCCAAACACUCUUAAACCAGAGUAAUCAGCAGGAGAACCAGACCAUACUUCCUCAGGAGUCUUCAGCUCAAUAGCUGUUGACGGAGAUCUGUUAACCAAAUAACAAGCAGUAUUAACAGCUUCAGCCCAAAAUUCUUCACCGAGCCCAGCAUUUGAUCGCAUGCAACGAGCUCGCUCCAAGAGAGUUCUAUUCAUGCGUUCUGCAACUCCAUUUUGUUGUGGUGUUCGACGAACAGUGCGGUGUCUCACUAUUCCUUCAUUCUUGCAGAACUCAUUGAAUUCACCUGAGCAAAACUCCAAGCCAUUAUCCGUCCGGAAUCGCUUGAUCUUCUUUCCUGUUUGAUUUUCGAUCAAAGCUUUAAAUUGCUUGAAGUUGAUGAGAACCUCAUACUUGCUCUUCAGAAAAUACACCCAAACCUUUCUCGAGUAAUCAUCGAUAAAGGUAAGCAGAUAUCUGUAACCACCUUUAGAAAUUGUCGGAGAAGGCCCCCAAAGGUCAGAAUGGAAGUAAUCCACUGUGCCUUUUGUCUUGUGAAUCCCAGUGCUGAACUUUACCCGAGUCUGCUUACCGAAGACGCAGUGCUCACAGAAAUUCAACUUUCCUGUACACUGCCCAGACAAUAAUCCUCGUUUGCUUAGCACCGAUAAGCCUCUCUCGCUCAUAUGCCCGAGCCGCAUAUGCCAUAACUUCGUGGUGUCAGAAUCUAGAUCAUCUGAUGAUGACACUCCCGCAACACCUGUAACCGAGGAACCAUCGAGGAAGUAAAGGCCCCGCUCCAAAUUACCACGUAUCACAGUCAAAGCACCCGAGAAUACCUUGAGAACUCCACCUUCAGCAGAGUACCGAAAGCCUUUCUUGUCCAACGUACUCAAAGAGAUCAAAUUUUUCUUCAUUUCUGGAAUGUGCCGAACAUCAGUUAGAGUUCUAACAAUACCGUCAAACAUCUUUAUACAAACUGUGCCAAUCCCCAUGACUUGACAUGCGUGGUCAUUUCCCAUUAGUACUGAACCAGAAUGCUUCUCGUAUGUUGAGAAUGCAUCUUUCGAAGUACUUAUAUGAAAUGUAGCUCCCGUAUCAAGAAUCCAUCUCCCACCAGCGUAAGAGUCGGAUACUGCAAGAACGAUCUCGGCAUCACUUGAAGAAUCUGCAUCAGCUACAUUCGCACGAUCAUUUUGUUGCUCCUGUGAUUCUGAUUUCUCCUUCCUUUUCGGACAAUCUACCUUCAUGUGCCCGUACUUCUUACAGUAGUAGCACUGUAUUCUCUUCUUGGACUGCGAUCUAGGAUGGCUUUUACUUGAACUUCCACCCUUUGCCUUGGAUCUUCCUCGAGCAACCAAGCCUUCGCCUUCAUUGUUUUCGACCACCUUACCAGUGAUUUUCUUCCUCAACUCACUGGAACUUAAGGCAUUUUUCACCUCCUCUAGAGUCAGGUCAUCACGACCGUACAUCAUUGUAUCAACAAAAUUCUCAUACGAGGGAGGCAAAGAACACAAAACAAUUAUUGCUUGGUCCUCAUCAUCGAUUUUGUUAUCGAUAUUAUUCAAAUCCAUGAUAAUGGAAUUGAAUUUAUCCAGGUGCUGGGAAACAGGUGUACCUUCCUCCAUCUUCAGGGCAUAGAGUCUUUGCUUGAGGUAGAGCCGGUUCGUCAAUGACUUCGUCAUGUACUUGCUUUCUAACCGGAGCCACAAACCGGACGCGGUUUUCUCAUCCGCUACUUCUCGUAGCACUUCAUCUCCUAGACAUAGCAGAAUAGCACUAUGUGCUCUUUCUAGCAUGUCAUCCUUUUGCUCUUCCGAAAGCGUGCUUGGUAAUUUAUCUUUACCAGACAAUGCUUUUAGCAAUCCUUGUUGAACCAGCACUGCCCGCAUCUUGAUGCGCCAUAAACUGAAACUAUUUUUCCCGGUAAAUUUCUCGACAUCAUACUUAGUCGAUGAAACACUUGUAGCCAUAAUUUGGAACCUUUGAAUGAAUGAUAAUAUUUUCUUCCUGAUGUGAAAGAUCAGACAAAGCUGCAGUCACAGGGCAAUUCAGAAAAUAUUAUCACUCCUUCAACUACGCUCUGAUACCAAUUUGUUGCGGAAAGGAUCGAUUCGAGAACUCCGAUAUGACUACAAGUAAAUUGACCGAAACGAAAAAUAAAGUGAACACAAGGAUUUACGUGGUUCGGCUUUAAUGCCUACGUCCACGGGCAGAGGCGAAAAGAAAUUUCACUAUAACAAGAUGAAGAUUACAAGUGUUUUACACUCAAGACACAACCCGAGAACCUCACAACUCUCAACCCCUAUAGAAAACCCGAAAGCUAAAAUCCUAGCUUUCAAAGAACAAGCUUUGCUCUCUCUUGGUUUGGGAUGAUCAAUAUGGCUAAUGAACCUCUCUAUUUAUAAGAGAGUUCAAGGACAUAAUUGUCCAAAACUUUGGCAAAGAUUUGUGGUUGAAAAUGGACACCAACAACCAUCCACUAAUCCACUACCACCAACAACCCACUACCAACAACAACAAUCCACUACCAAUUUUAAGCCAUUUCUUAACAAUAGUCAAGUAGCCCUUCAGAGAGUAGCCAAUGUAUUCCAUGAACAAACUAAGCACAUAAAAACUGAUUGUCACUUUGUUCGGGAGAAAAUCAAAGGGGGGUUGGUUAAAACACAACACAUAUGCAUCAGUGAGCAAAUAGCAGGCUUAAUGACAAAGGCCCUCGGUGUGCAUCAGCAUGAGUAUUUGCUGUCCAAGUUGGGAGUCAAAGAUCUUUAUCACCCUCCAACUUGAGGGGAAGUGUUAAAGAUACUGGUAAUUGGGUGAAUAAUAGAAAAAUCUUUGUAGUAGUUAGAUUAGUUACUAGUUAAUAGUUAGUUGAACAUAUGCUAUAAAACAUCUUACUAUUGUAAUUUAAGAAUGAAGCAGUAUACUUUUCAUUCAGAUACAAUACUGGUCUAACUUGUAGUUCAUCAUUGUUGGACAUCUCCGACACUUUCAAUAUAUAUAUUUGUAAUUAUAUUCAAUUUUUUUAAAAAGAAAAACUGGUAUUGGAUAUUUGGUUUGCCAAAGUAAGAAUAUACUAUCAAGUUAUUUUGCUGGUAUUUUGUAAGGCUUAGCAAUCAAAUAUAGUAGCUUACUAAUAAAACCCGUUGAAAUCAUUAAACUGGAAUUUGGAACUCAUGCAAGCUUUGGAUAGCAAAUGAAAAAAAUUACCUCUAAUCUCAUUAAUGCAUGAAACAGGAUAAUGUUGAUGAUUAAUUUAACAACUAGGAUUUAUUUUAUUAUGAACGUCUUCCACGUAGUUUUUUAAUUUUUAUUUAAUUACUUAUAAUUUUACUUAAUUGUCGGUAUCACAGAUAAAGAAAUAUCAAUUUAAUUUGAGAAUUUUAUUUAGAAUUCGAAUGGAUUUUUUAUUUGGUAAAUAAAUUUUAAAAGAAAAUUUAAAAAAGAAAAACUAACAACCGAAAAUUCCAUCCAACCAAAUUGAAGAAUUUUAAUUCAAUUAAUUUGAUUUUAACAAUAAAUUAAUUGGAUUAAUAAGUUUUAAUGACUUAUUCAAUUUAGAUUUUUGAAAGAAUUUAUUAAAUUAUUUAUAUAUAAAAAAGGAAUUGACGAACCCACCCAAUAUACGCUUUCAAGUUUCACUCUCCCUUUCAUCUAGAGUUCACAGUUCUAGAGGUGCUCAUGGGCCGGGCCGAGUCCAGAAAAUUUUUUUGGCCCGUGUCCUAGGCCCAGGCCCGGUCCAAGAAAAAUUCCUAAGCCUAAGCCCGGCCUGACCCGACCCGACCUAUAUUUUAAUAAACACCAAUUUCUUUUAAAAAAUAAAAAUAUUUUAAAAAUAUUUUAAAAAUAAAAAAAGUAUUUUAAAAAUAAAAAAUAAAAAUAUAUAUUUAUUAUAUUCGGGCUGGGCCGGGCCCAGGCCAAAAAAGUGGUGCCCGAGGCCCGGCCAAUUUUCUAAACGGGCUUCAUUUUUUCCCAAACCCAUAUUUCGGGCCUAUAUUUUUACCCGAACUCUCUCAUAUUUCGAGCGGGCCGUCGGACCGGGCCAGGUCGCCCGGCCAUGAGCACCUCUAGUUCACACUAGCAAUGCCUCUAUUAGAGAAUAGGAGUUGUUAGUUAGUUAGUGAGUCUAGUAUGGUUGUUGCUCAAUUCAGAGUAGUCACUAAAGUCUAUAAAUACUGUACAUUAAGAAUUCAGAAGCAAGCAAGUUUGAAUAAACAAACAAGAAGUUUAUUCUAUUAUUUUCUCCAUUUCACUCUCUGUCUGGAUAGAUAUUUCUUCCUUUUUAUCUAGUUCUUUCAUGGUAUCAUUCGCCAAUUGAUUCUAGUUAUUGUUUCUCAUGGCUUCUGCUGAUUCCGCAUUUGGUGAACCUAGCUCUAGUGUGUUUGCUGCCGAUCGAGUCACAACCGUUCUUCCUCGACAUGAAGUGGUCAAACUCGAUGAAGGUACUUAUCUUCAAUGGCGUAAACAGGUAAAACUGAUUGUUAAUGGCUAUGGACUCAUAGGUUUCUUAGAUGGCACUGUUGCUCCGCCAUCACGAUUCGUUAUUCUAUCCGAUGGCUCUCGUGCUCCAAAUCCGACGGCUCAGGUGUUUACGCAGCAAGAUCAGCUGCUGAUGUCCUGGCUUUUGUCUACUGUAACUUCCUCUCAUCAAUCCUCCUUUGAUGAUACUUGCACGGCGUGCGACAUAUGGAGUAUGGCCAUUAAUCUUUUUGCAGUUGAUACGGGCGCCAAGUAGUCGAGGAUUCGGCAUGAGCUUCACUCGUAGAAGAAAGGUAAUCUUUCUAUUAAGGCAUAUGUUGCUCGGAUUAAAGAUUUGUGUGCUAUGUUAGAUGCUUUUGGCUCUCGUAUCUCCGAUGAAGAGAAGAUUAAAGUGGUGCUUGCGGGUUUACCGUCGAACUUUGAGGCAGUUAUCUCCUCUGCUCGAUUGUCGCCUGGAGUUUUUCCGUUACAACGUUUGGUGGAUGCGUUAGUCGAUUGUGAGAAUCGCCAAGAUCGAGUGUUGCAGGAGGUAAGUUUGAACGCGAAUCUUGUUCAAAAUGAGCCGUCGAUGGAAGGGGCCGGUCGUGAAGGCCGUGCGUCUGUUCGUGGUCGUGGUCAAUUCUUCAAAUCUCGUGUUCAAUGCCAGAUCUACAGUCGAUUCGGUCAUGUGGGUUAGAAAUACUAUUAUCGGUAUCACCGAGACUCGAAUGAAUCAUCUGGUGUUGAAGGUUCUGAUUCUGGAGUUUUUGUGCAAAAUGGUGAAGACCAGGUGGUGGCUCCUUAUCAGAAAAGUCAAAGAGUUUUUUAUGGUCAAGGGAGUCAUGGUGGUCAAAAUAGAUAUGCUAGUCAAAAUGUGUGUGCUGGCAUGCAAAAUAGGUCAUUGGCACGUGGGCCACAUGUGUCUAAUGCACAACAUUAUGCCUACAAGCCCAAUUUGUGCAAAUUCGGUCAUGAUGAAGGGCAAGGAUAUAAUGGAGACACGUCACAUGGUUUUACUACUGGAAAUGGACAGUGGCAAGGUUAUAAUGGAAACAAGUCACAUGGGCCAAAUAUUCAACAUUCCUCUCAUGGGCCGCAUGUUCAAUUUAAUGCUGGGCCGAAUAUUGUACCAUCCUCUAAUUUUGUUCAAGUUGAUCAAUAUGAUCCUGGCUCACCUGAACCGAUUGGUGAUGGACUAGGUAUUGGUGGUCCGGUUCUGCGAUUUACCAAACCGCGUGCUCAGGCCUAUACUGGGUCUGACUCAUGUAUUGGGCUUCCUCAGCUAUGGGACUUACAUGCGUCUGAUUAUUCUGAUCCUUCAGUAUCAGGCUCUCAUGUUAAUACUGCUCAACUUGGAUCUAGUACUGGUAAUGAUGAUUCGUGCAUUCUAGUGUGCGGUGGCACCACAUCUUGGUAUCCUGACUCGGGAGCGAGUCAUCAUGUCUGUCGCGAUGUGUCAAUUUUACGUGAUGUCACGCCAUAUUCAGGUAAGUCAUCUUUUUUAAUGGGCGAUGGUACUCUUGCGGUAAUUUCGUCAAUUGGUACUGCUAUUUUACCUACUCAAUAUAAAUCGUUACGGUUAUCAAAUGUUUUAUGUGUGCCAAGUAUACGGAAAAACCUCUUAUCCGUCUCACAGUUUGCUCGUGAUAAUGGUGUGUUUUUUGAGUUUCACCCUACCUAUUGUGUUAUUAAGGAUACGGUGACUCAGGAGAUAUUGCUGACAGGCCGUAUUCAUGAUGGUCUAUAUCAGUUUUCUCUGCCAGUGGUUUCUACUUCGCCUACGACUGCUCCAUUUGUUCCUCAUUCGCAAGUUCCACAUACAGUUUCGACUACUUCUGUGUUUGCUUUAUGGCAUAAUCAUUUAGGCCACCCGUCGACUUCUGUGGUCAAAAAUAUUCUAAAUAAAUGUAAUGUUGUUUCAAAUAAAACUAGUUUGGAUGGUAUAUGUAUUGCAUGUCAAAAAGGCAGGUCACAUAAGUUGCCUUUCUCCCCUUCGACUAGUAGCUAUCGUCCUUUUGAGUUGGUUGUGUCUGAUCUUUGGGGUCCUACACCUGUUGCUUGUGGUGAUAAGAGAUAUUAUGUUUCAUUUAUUGAUAUGUGUACUAGGUUUACUUGGGUUUAUCUUUUACGUUAAAAAGCUCAAGCACUAGAAUGCUUUACUCAAUUUUAACAAUUGAUUACAACACAGUUUGGCAAGUCUAUUAAGCAGUUCCAAAGCGAUUGGGGAGGUGAAUACCGUGGUUUUACGUCUGUCUUAGAAUCUCAAGGGAUCAUACAUCGACUGACCUGUCCGUGUACUUCAGAACAAAAUGGAGUAGAUGAGCGUAAACAUCGUCACAUUGUUGAAAUGGGUAUUACAUUGUUGGCUCAUACAAAUUUGCCUAUGGAAUACUGGGGGUAUGCGUUUUGUUGUGCGGUUCAUCUUAUAAAUCGACUUCCUACUGUUUUACUUCAUGAUAGUUCUCCGUUUAAGGCACUAUAUGGAAGUGACCUGACCUAUGAACAUCUUCGAGUGUUUGGCUGCUGUUGUUAUCCUUACUUACGUCCGUUUGUAGGUCAUAAGUUGGAAUUUCAGUCUCAGUCGUCUACGUUUUUAGGCUACAGUCCUCAUCACAAAGGGUAUCAAUGUCUUUUACCAGAUGGUAAGGUUAUAAUUUCAAGGCAUGUGGUCUUUGAUGAGCAAAGAUUUUUGUUUGCUGAGACUAGUCCAGACAAGUCUGUAUCGACAACCAGUCAGACUAGUUCGACGGUUGUUCCUCUCGUGUGGCCAUCCUAUUCCUCAAAUCUUGAGCCUUGCAUGAUGACACCGUCUUUACAAGGGUUGCAGUCUCAGUCCACUGAUCCUGUAUUAGAUGUUAAUUUGGAGCAUCCCCAGUCUCAUGAUUCUUCAGCUGAUGUUGGGACUGGGUCGGGUAAUCUUCCAGCAGUGCAUGGCUCAGGAUCAUCAAGUGAUACCAAUGCUCACUCCCAUUCUACUAUGAGAAUGUCUACAGGUGUUUCGUCGGCAUCUGAUAGUCAGAUUAGUCGGACACCUGUAGGCAAACUCACCCAAUGGUCACUCGAGCUAAAGAGGGAGUUUACAAGCCUAGGGUUUUAAAUGUUGAAGCUGUUGAACUGACUACAAUUGAAGAAGCCUUGGCUACUAUUGAGUGGCGUGCUGCUGCGCAAGAUAAGUAUGAUGCUCUUAUGCAUAAUUCCACAUGGGAGCUAGUUCCUGCUCCGUCUAAUCGUAAGGUCAUUGGGUGCAAAUGGUUGUUCUGAAUCAAGAAGAAUUCUGAUGGUACUAUUGCUCGACAUAAGGCUCGAUUAGUUGCAAAAGGCUACUCUCAAGUUCCAGGUUGUGAUUUUAAGGAAACGUUUAGUCCAGUGGUCAAACCGGCUACUAUCAGAGUUAUUUUGUCUAUUGUUGUGUCUAGAGGGUGGUCGCUUCGGCAAGUGGAUGUGAAUAAUGCGUUUCUAAAUGGCGAUCUUGACACUGAAGUUUUUAUGCAUCAACCUCCCGGUUAUGUUUAAUAUGGCUCAGAUGGCAGACCUUUGGUGUGCCGUCUGAAGAAAGCGUUGUAUGGUCUUCGUUAGGCUCCUCAUGCCUGGUUUGAGAAGCUAAAAGGAUUUCUAGUCUCUGUGGGGUUUGUGGUUUCAAAGUCUGAUGCUUCCUUAUUUGUUCGAGUUGUGCCAGCUUCAACAUUGUAUGUUCUUGUGUACGUUGAUGAUAUUAUUAUUACUGGUGAUGUACCUUCUCUUAUAGAGUGGUUUGUUAAAUUGCUGAAUAGUGAGUUCUCGCUUAAGGACAUGGGUGAUCUCUAUUAUUUUCUUGGGAUAGAAGUUAUUUGUUCUUCGUUAGGUUGCCUUCAUCUUUGUCAGAAGAAGUAUAUACGUGAUAUUCUUAUACGUUGUUUGAUGGAAAAUGCGAAGAGUGUUCAUACACCGAUGGUUAGUUCCUCUAUUAUGACUAGAGAUGGUGGUGAGCAGUUAGAGGAUCCGACUGAAUACAGGAGUCUUGUAGGAGCAUUACAGUAUGUCACUCUUACGUGGCCUAAUGUUGCCUAUGCUUUAAAUAGAAUAUGUCAGAUUAUACAUUGUCCUACUUCCAUUCAUAUGACCGCUCUGAAGCGCAUUUUGAGAUAUCUAGGUGGAACGAUUGAUUUUGGGAUUGUGUUUCGUCUGUCCACCGUUUUGUCCUUAGAUGGAUAUGCUGAUACAAACUGGGGAUUAGAUUUUGAUGACCGGAGAUCCACUACUGGAUACUGUGUUUAUUUCGGACAUACACCUGUGUCGUGGUGUACGAAGAAACAACAGGUUGUUGCUCGGUUUACUGUUGAGGCAGAAUAUCGAAGACUUGUCGCAGUUACUAGUGAGGUUACGUGGCUUUUAUCGUUACUUCAAGAAUUACAUGUUCAGUCUAAUAGUAUUCCCAAUAUUUGGUGUGACAGUUCUGGGGCAGUUGCGGUUGCUGCUAUCCUGUUCUCCAUUCAAAGUUUAAGCAUGUUGAGUUAGAUUUAUUUUUUGUUCGUGAGAAGGUUGCUGAUGGUCCUGUUGCCAUUGGCGAGGUUCCAGCGUGUGAUCAGGUAGCUGAUGUUCUCACUAAGCCACUUUCCCUAUCGAGUUUUACUCAUUUUCGGAGUUUUCUACGGGUCUUGCCUGUGGAGAAGAUGGAUGAAUAUUAGAGAAUAGGAGUUGUUAGUUAGUUAGUGAGUCUGGUAAGGUUGUUGCUCAAUUCAGAGUAGUCACUAAAGUCUAUAAAUGCUGUACAUUAAGAAUUCUGAAGCAAGCAAGUUUGAAUAAACAAACAAGAAGUUUAUUCUAUUAUUUUUCUCCAUUUCACUCUCUGUUUGGAUAGAUAUUUCUUCCUUUUUACCUAGUUCUUUCAGCCUCAAAUGCACCUUUUUUUUUCAAUUGAUAUUAGUUAAAUUACCGUGAGACUAUCUAAAAAUAGAAGUUUUAAAUAAAACUUAUAAAUCUUAUCAUAUUGUGAAACAAAAAUUAGAAUAUAAAUAUAACGUAUUUACUAGAAAUGACAGGUAUAACAAAUCAAAUAUCUGUAUUUCCUGGAUUAUAUAAAUGUAAAUCCAUAAAUCUAUUAUUCGCAAAUUAUUCGGGUAUUAUUAUUUAAAUACAAAUCUAGAUCAUAUAUACUAUUGUAAUAUAAUGUUACAAAAAAUUAAUAAUAAUUGUAAUGCCUAAAUUUUGCCCGGGUACAAAUAAUAAAAGGGCCCCAAAUAAAGACACAGUCCAAUUACAACAAAAUGGGGCCCAAACCAAAAUAAAACACAGGCCCAAUGUGCGGUGGCCCAAAAUCGCCAGAAACCCUAGGGUUUCUAAUCUUCAACAGCACCGCAACUCCAAUCUAGGCCGAAUCUCCAUGGAUUCACCUGCAUAGCAAGAAACAGAGAAAAAGGAAAGAAAUCAAAGAUUUCGAACCAGGAGUGAUUAGUUUCUUUAUUUUUAUUUUAUUAUGGCUAUAAGAAGCCGGUAAACAUAUUGUAAUAAGGAUUGAAAAAUCAAAUAAAAAUCGAGGCUUUUACUUUCGCAAUACAGAGAGAGCAUAGUCGAUUAAAGGUUGAUACUUGCAUUUCUAUUGUAUUUUUCCGUUAUAUCUAUUUGUUUUUAUUAUUUAUGUAAAUAAUAUAAAUAUAAAAGGAAGGAAAAAACCUGUAUUAGAGCCCUAACUGCCGCAGAUGGCCGAGGAAGUCGUCACCGAGAAUUGACGACCGGAAGCCGAAAGGUUUCUCUGUUUUUAGGGGCCCUUUCGUUAAUAUUUUGCGAGAUUUGAGAUCGGAUCUAGGCUCAGGGGUCGAGAAGGUUAAAAGGGGAAUUUUCCCCUUUCCCGGCCACCGCGGACGGUGGUGCCGGUGCCGGAGAUCGGCGACCGGUGCCGUGGCCGGUGAAGGGCCGAUGACCAACCGAUGGCCGAAGGACGGACUGAGGGGAGAGUGUUGCUUUAAAGUUUUUUUGUUUUUUUUUAAAAAGGGUUUCAUAUGAUUUUUUUUUUAGGAUUGGGAUAUUUAUAGGGCACCAAAACGGCGUCGUUUUGGAGAGCCCCCAGACGCCCAAAACGGCGUCGUUUUUAGGGAAGCCGACCCGGCUCCGACCCGACCCGGCAUAGGAUCCGCGUGUUUUUUUAACGGAGGGGUAAAUUGCACUUUCAACCCCUCCGCCUUUUAAUGUUUUCUGCAAUUAAAUUUUUUUAUUUUAUUAAGUUACCCAUUAAUUUAUUAUCGUUUUCAAUUUGGUCCUAAUGUGAAUGAUGUCGUUUAGAGGAGAAUGGAAAAUUGCCCUUCCAGCCCCUUUGUAUUAUCUGCGCGUUCAAUGUGGUCCCUUUGGCUUUAUUUAUUUGUGGAUUUACCUUAAUUUUUUUUAUUUGAAAUUCAAUUUAGUUCUCUUUUAUAUCUUUCUUAAAAUUGGUUGAUUUUUAGGAUGUAAUUAUUAUUUUUAUGUAAUUAUUAUUUAUAUAUAUAUGUAUAUUUAUUGUUUCCUUAUAAACAUAUUUAUUUUCUUUCAACUAAUAUUUUUUUAUUUAUAUAUUCCUACUUUUUUUAUGUAAAUGUUAAUUAAUCCUUUUUUAAUAAAUUUUACAUGUAUACAUACAUAUAUUUUUUUGAAUAUUCUAUUAUAUUUUCAUAUAUCUACGUACAUUUUUUAUUUUCGAAAAUACUAAAAUACAUGUUUUUUUUACACAUAUAUUUAUAUAUAUUUGUUUUUCUUUAUUUUCAUAAGAGCAUUAUAUGAAUUUUAUAAUUAAAAUUUUAUAUGUAAAUUAUGUACUUUAUUUCUCAUAAUUCCAAUGUGUAUAUUAUGCGAUGUUUAUCCUUUAUUGUUUCUUUCAUUUGUUUAUUGACCUUUUUUUAUUUUAUAUUUUGUUCAUUUAUUUAAUAUUCUUGUAUGUCAAAGAUUAUUUCUUUUAUGAAUGUUAGUUUCCUUUAUUUAUAUGUUUAUAUUGUUUCUAUGCCAUUGUGAUAAUUAUUAUUGCAUUGUAUAUUUAAUGUAGCAUCACAUCAUUUUUUACUCGAUUUCAAACUUCUCAAAAUUGAGAUAAUGCUUGUAUUUUGGAUUUUCAAGGAAAUUGAGCCCUAAUGUAUUGGGUUCCGAUUUUCUUCGUUAAAUCUAAGAAUCGAGCAUUUCUCUUUAAUCAAAAAAAAAAAGAACUCAUUAUUGGGAAUUCAACACGUUGUGUCCUAACGUAUUGGAUGUGACGCAUUGAUUUCUCGAAAUAAAUAUUUUUUAAAAAAAUAAUAAAGGAAAUAUUCCGAGUUUGGGAUUCUAGAGGAAUUGUGCCCUAACGUAUUGGGCCGCGAUUUCUUAAAUCUUGAAUAAAUGGAUAUUCUUUUACAUUUUUUAUUGCACUAGUAUUUUGCCCUAAUUCAUUUUUGGGGAAAAUUAGAAUGUCGUGCCCUAACGUAUUGGGUGUGGUAUUUUCUUUCUCUGAAAUGAUAAGGGUCUUAAUACGUAACGUUUUUAAGUUUUUUGCUAAGGAUUAUAUUAUUCAAAUUUUUGACAUUAAAACAUUAAUUAAUUAACUAGGUACCAAUUUUUGGACGUAAUGAGGGUGCUAAUCCUUCCUCAUACGUAACCAACUCCCGGACCCGUUUUUCUAAAAAUCGUAGACCAAAAUCGUUUUUAGGUGACCCAAUCACACCUCAAUAAAAGAUUGGUGGCGACUCCCAAUUUUCAUUUUUUAAAGUCGACAAUCUAAAAUUUUUGUUUUUUUUUCAAAAACAAAAAAUGGUUUCGACAGCUUGGCGACUCCACUGGGGACACAUACGAGAGUCGAGCCACAAAGUUGAUUAAUUUCUGUCUUAUUGUCGAGAAAAUAAAUUUUUAAAAAACUCAUGAUAUCCUUUCGCAUUCAUUAUCUUAUUGCUUAAAUAUUGUUUGCAUUAUACAUUUCAUGAGUUGAACAAUUUUACCCUUUUAAGUGGGAGUGAGAAGCUAUGCCUUCAUGAGGUUUUCACCUCCGUGUAGGGUAGUGGAUUGCUUCCGGGAUACAUCCGUACCUAUUUCUUCGUGAGAUUUUCGUCUCAGUACAACCAUAGGGAAAUGUAUUCCACUGAACCGAACUUGAUCCAUUGAGCCUAUAAUGGGUGAGGAUUGAGGAAUCUGCUGGUUCGGGUACCUUUACCCUAGAAGUCAAACUUCAUAUAAUGAACCUUAGGAAUCCACCCUAGGUAGAACUAUACUAAACCCUAGUAGAUAUCCAAUUAGGAAUUUUACUAUUUCUUAAUUAUAUAUUAUGUUUUAUGAGAUACUGACUUUUUGUGUUUUAUUUUGAUUGCAUGACAUGGCAUUUCAUUUCAUCAUAAAAGGCGUCAGUCUAUAUUCAGUUGCUAGAUAGAAGGCUUAUCAUGGAAAGAGGGUUUCUUGAUAAAGAGGAGGACAAUGCGGCUGUCCGAACUUGGUCUAAAACAACACAGGAAGAAAAGGGUGAUAGUUUGGCUGACGGGCAUGUAUCGGAUGUAUGGGACUUUACGCAUAUCAGUGUAACUCAAAACAAUUUGCAAGAAUUGAAGGAAAUCUGGGGUUAGUGGAGUGAUGAGGUUAGACAGCUCUUUUAUAAUGAUUAUGGGGAUCUACCUUAUUUGCUUGAUGUGAAGGUAGACAAGUGUUUGUUUCAAGCCCUCGCCCAAUUCUGGAAUCAUGCUUACAGCUGCUUUACGUUUGGGAAGGUUGAUUUUGUAUCUACGAUAGAGGAGUAUAUGGAUUUACUCCGUUGUUCAAAGUUUCAAGUGGAUAGGGUCUAUUUAAGAGUGGUAAAUGUGCCAAGAGUGUAACAGGAAUGAGUGAGCAGUGGGUUGUCGCACGAAUUAAGCAAAAGGGGGAUAGUAAGUGCGUUCCUUGGAGAGGCUUGAAAGAUGCAAUUCUCACACACCCAGAUGUAAGGAAAAUGUUAGAUGUUUUUGCUUUAAGUAUAUACGGCUUGGUUGUCUUCCCUAAAGCCUUGGGGUAUGUGGAUGAAGCAGUCACUGAUAUAUUCGAUCGUCUCGAUAAGAAGGUUACACCGAUUCCAGCAAUUUUGGCAGAAACUUUCAGUUCAUUGAGUGCAUACCGGAAGACGGGCGAAGGUAGAUUUAUUGGAUGUGCACAGCUUCUACUCGCAUGGUUUCAUAGUCACUUUUGGAAGGUGGAUAAAGUUUCCUAUCGGGUUUUCUCUAAAAAUUAUUCACCACUAAAGGAGAUAGUCGUUACGCCAAGGAGAGACGACAUUUCGAAGGAGAAGUGGAUGGCAAUUCUUCAAAAUCUUCGAGAGGAGGACAUUGAGUGGAGAGCUCAUUGGUUACUUCCAGAUGAGAUCCUGUAUAGGUGUGGUAGUUUUCGUACAAGGAUGAUGGUUAUAGAAAGAAGAUUCAAUAGAUGGCUAGUGCGUGGAAACAAACUCGCCGAAUGAAGAGGCUAGCUGUGGGUCCAAUAACAACUCCUGAGUAUCAUCAAUGGUGGGCUAGAAGGAUUAAUGAUAAUACACCUAAGUUAAAUCAGGAAGACAGUCAGUCAAUCGAAGAGCAUUUGCGAGUCAUUCCUUCUGAGUUAGAAAUCAUAAGGAAAGAUUUUGAGAGGAGAAAUGCGGAUUUAAAGAAAAAGAUAGAGCAAAUGGAGGCGGAAAAGACGAAUUUAAGAUUAGAUAUAAACGUUCAGAAGCUUGAAAAUGAGAAGUUAAAGAAAGAGAAAAACAAGGCUGAGGAAGAGAUGGGUAGUCUAAAGAUGGAUUAUAAAAAAUGCGUUUGUCAAUGAGAAUUACUGGGAUGGGAAAGACUUCAGAACAAUGGUGAGCAGAAAUCCGAGAUGAAAAGGACAAAGCCGAUAGAUGGGAACAGAAAUGUCAGGAGAUGCAGAGACGAACUGAAGAUUUAGAAAAGAGUUUGUCAGAAAGCCAAAAGGAGAAAUGCGAGCUAAAGGAUAGGGUGGUUGUGCUGGAAGGAUGUCUUCGUCAAUAUCGAAAUCGAAAUUUGGCAAAAAAGUUGAAAGCUAGCUUGAACAAGAUUGAAGAAAUGAAGAAAAGAAUCGAAGAGCUAGAAACGGAGCUGCAAAAUUGUGAGAUCUAGAUCAAGCACUUGAAAGCAAACGAGAGUCGUAAUAAUGAACAGCUUCAUCACUUUCAGAGUCAAGUUAGAAGGAGAGAUCAUCUUAUCGAGGAAGCUGUGGUCCAGAUUCGAGAAGUAGCUGAUCAUAUACAGACUUUAGCAGUACAGGCUGACACGCUGAGUGUAAAGUAUGAAUUAGAAUCGGAUCGGGGACAAGAAUUAGCUUUGUUACUUAGAAAGAUUAGAGUUCUAAGUACUAGGGCAGAGUCUUAUUUGUAAUUCACUUUAUGUAAAGGAAUUUAAUUUCUAGUAAAGUUUUCUUAUAUGGAAUUGAAUCAAAAUUGACGCCUUUCUGCAUUCAUUUCAUGCAUUACAUUGUUUCAUAUGCAUUAAGAAAUAUAUUAAGGGAUUCUAAUUAAUUUUAAUCACUCAUCAGUUAAUCUGGAAACCAACCAACCCACCAAGCACCACUACGGUACCCAAUCGAAAACUAAAGAUAUGGAUCAAAAUAUGGAAAUACUAGAACAAUCCCAAAAAGAAAUGCAGGAGCAGCUUCAAAAGCAAAUGAAUGAGCAGCAAAAGAUGGUAGACAAAAUGAUGGAAUCUCAAGGGAGUGUGAUGGCUCAGUUAACUCAGUGGUUCAGCAAAGGAACUGAUAAAGGAAAAGGCUUUGUGCUCAAUAUUGAAGAAGGAGACAAUGAGAGACCUAUCUAUCCUCCGGACUUUACCCUCCAACAAGUUGAGAUAUACCUACGUAGGUCCUCUGUUACCAUUAAUCCUCCAGGUGACGCUACAACGCUAAUGAAUCUCCAAGCAGGAUCAGGCUCUAACCCUAGAGCCAACUUUGUUAAUCCUGCUAUUCCUGAUUUCGAUGAGACGGCUGGAAAGGAGAAAAUGAAUGAUGAAUUGCCAAAACAGCUAGAGGAAAAGUACAAAUGGCUGGAAGAGAAAUUUAGAGUGAUGGAAUGCGCAGAAGGCUACUAUAGGAUGGAUGCUAAAGAAUUGAGUCUGGUUCCGGAUUUAGUGCUCCCUUACAAAUUCAACAUGCCAGAGUUUGAAAAAUAUAAUGGAACCAGUAGCCCCGAAGCUCAUAUCACCAUGUUCUGCAGACGAAUGACCAGUUAUGUCAAUAAUGACUAACUCUUGAUUCAUUGCUUCCAGGAUAGCCUCACAGGGGCAGCAUCCAAGUGGUACAAUCGAUUGAACCGUACCCAGAUUAAUUCAUGGAAAGAUUUGGCACAGGCGUUCAUAAAGUAGUACAGCCAUGUGACUGACAUGGUACCUGAUAGGAUCACUCUGCAGAAUAUGGAAAAGAAACCAGGUGAAAGCGGGAAAAUAAAUGUUGGAGAAAGUAGUAGAAGGGCGGCAUCAAAGAAGAAAGAGAAUGAGGUCAACAACACAAGUUCAUAUUCAAAGACAGUUACAGUGAAUCAGCCGGGAAAAGUGGCUGUUAACCAGCAAGGAUUAUCAAAGCAGAGAUUUCAUACAAGACAAAAUACAGAGAAGAUUCAAUUUACGCCAAUUCCAAUGAUGUAUAGGGAGCUAUAUUAGAAUCUAUUCAAUGCACACGUGGUUUCCCCUUUCCACUUGAAACCUCUGCAGCCCCCAUACCCCAAGUGGUACGAUGCAAAUGCACAGUGCGACUAUCACGCGGGAAUUGAAGGGCAUUCUAUAGAACAUUGUAUGGCGUUCAAGAAGCUGGUGGAAAGACUUAUAAGCCUGGGUGUGGUUAAAUUGGAUGAUUCACCUAGUACAGAAAAUUCGUUACCUAAUCAUAACGGAGUGAACAUGAUAAGUGAGAGUAUGGGUAGAAAAAUCAAGGAAGACAUAGAAGAAGUAAAAAUUCCUUUGAGGUGGGUAUGGAGAAAUAUGGUAAAAAGGGGAUUGAUUGUUCCGAAUUCAGAGGGAAGCUUUGAAAGGAUGGAAAAUUACUGUGAGCUCCAUCACAAGGAGGGACAUGAAAUCCAGGAAUGCACUGAAUUCAGAGCCCUGGUUCAAGGCCUGAUGGAUAAUAAAGAAAUGGAAUUUUGUGAGGAAGUUAGGGAGGAAGGGAGUAUUUGCACAUCCAAAUCCUCGAAGGUUCCAAGAGUAGCGCAGCCUGUGGUCAUCAUCUCACGACCAAAGAAGGAUGAAGUGAGAACGCCAAUGAUGCCAAGAAUCAUAAUAAAGAAACAUGCAACCUUCUUUUACCAGGACAGUAGGAAGGUUCCAUGGAGCUACAUGUGCAAUACAACUGUCCCUGGAAAAGAGACUACAAAGGACCAGUGUGUGAGUGCCAAACUAGAAUCUAUGAAAGGGGUCAUAAUAGGGGAGUAGAAAGGGAAAGUAGUUGAGCCAGUAAAGGAGGAAGAAGCUGUGGAAUUCCUCAAAUUUCUGAAGCAUAGUGAGUAUAAUGUCGUCGAUCAGUUGCAUAAACAACCGGCUCGCAUAUCUGUACUAGCCUUACUCUUGAAUUCAGAAGUACAUCGAAAUGCACUAAUGAAGAUGCUAAAUGAGACUUAUGCGUCCAAGGAUAUUUCUGUCGACAAACUAGAUCGGUUGGUCAAUAAUAUCAGUGCUGAUAAUUUCAUAUUUUUCAAUGAUGAUGAAAUACCUCCUAGGGGCAUAGGAUCUACCAAAGCUUUGCAUAUCACUGCACGAUGCAAGGGGCAUAUUUUGCCAAGAGCACUGAUUGACAACGGAUCAGCUUUGAAUGUAUUGUAGUUAUUCACACUUAAUAGGCUACCCAUAGACAGUUCGCACAUGAAAACAUGUCAAAAUGUAGUUAGGGCGUUUGACGGUACAGAAAAGAAGGUCAUGGGAAGAAUUAAGAUACCCCUACAGAUUGGCCCAACAGUUUAUGAGGUAGAUUUUAUUGUAAUGGACAUCAAACCUUCCUAUAAUUGUUUAUUAGGAAUAUCAUGGAUACAUUCAGCGGGGGCAGUACCGUCAUCAUUACAUCAGAUGUUGAAGUUAGUGUCAAAUGGUCGGCUAGUGACAAUAAAAGCCGAAGAGGAUAUAAUAGCAGCUGUAUCCAAUGAGACGCCAUACAUGGAGACCAAUGACGAGUCAAUAGAAUGCUCAUUUCGAUCUUUGGAGUUUGAAAAUGCGGCAUUUGUUCCCGAAUGGAGUAAAAUUUUGGUGCCAAAAUUAUCCAAAACUACAGAGAUAGGUUUACAGUUGUUGGUGGGAAAAGGAGAUUUACCCGGAAGAGAGGGCUAGGGAGAUAUCUUCAAGGGAGGACUGAGGUUCCAAUGCUGAAAGAAAAGCAGGAUCACUUUGGCUUAGGAUACAAGCCAGAUAGAGGACAAAGAAGGAAGAAGAUAGAAAAAAGGCAGGAAAGGAGAAAGGCGCGUUUAAAUGGGGAGGAAGCUAAGUGGGAGCCAAUGAUAAUCCCCCACAUAUCCAAAACUUUCAUAUCUGGAGGAGUUAUUCAUCAUGAGAGAAAGAAAUCGGUUGAGGAAAGCAUCGAGGAGACGUUGGGAAGUAUGCACAUCAAUGCCAUUCAUGAGCAUGUGAAUGAGGAGAGGAGCUGGUUGGACAUUCGUCCUUAUGAGCCCGAGAAUGUUCCAGAUAAUUGGACUGCGGAAGAAAUACCCAAAGUCUUUAAAAAUGUCUCAGAGUAAUAUUCAGAACAAACUUGUUGUUUUAGCCUAGAAAUAACGAGAACUCUUUUGUGAAAUAGGCUUAUGUUUAAACAUCAUUAUUUUAAUAAAAUACAUCUUUGCAAUUGUUUCGAGUAAAUAUUCUUUCAUUCUUUCCAUACAAGUAAAUAUAUUCUUUCAUUGCACAAAUAAUUGUACAUAAAUUCAUACAUUCUUUUGUAAUCAUAUUAGGUCCUUGUGUAUCAACGAUGUGAAUGACGCCGCUACGAGCUCAGAAUGCCCUUUUGAACGAAACGUGUGUUUGGAAGGAUCGCACGACUUUGAAGGUGAUGAAGAUGGUGGCUUAUCUUUGGACUUGUUGAGGAUGGUGGAACAAGAGGAAAAGAAAAUCCUACCUCACAAAGAAUCAGUAGAAACUGUGAGCUUGGAAGAAAGAAAAGAGGUGAAAAUUAGAAUUGAGAUUUUUGCAAAGACAAGACGAGGCCUCAUUGAAUUACUACAAGAAUUCAAAUAUGGCUUCGCAUGGUCAUACUAGGAUAUGCCCGGAUUGAGUGCUGACAUUGUAGUGCAUCGCCUACCUAUAAAAAAGGAUUGCAAACCAAUGCAACAGAAGCUCAGAAAAAUGAGGCCUGAUAUUGUGCUCAAAAUAAAAGAGGAGGUUAGGAAACAGUUUGAUGCUGGAUUUUUGCAGGAGGUCAAAUAUUCUGAAUGGGUAGUCAACAUCGUUCCAGUCCCUAAAAAGAUGGAAAAGUACGAAUGUGCGUGGAUUACAGUGAUUUGAACAAAGCAAGUCCAAAGGACAAUUUCCUAUUGCCACAUAUUGAUACUCUGGUGGACAAUACGGCGGGAUUUUCAUUGUUUUCUUUCAUGGAUGGGUUCUCAGUAUAUAAUCAGAUAAAGAUGCAUCUGGAAGAUAUGGGAAAGACUAUGUUUAUUACUUUGUGGGGAACAUUUUGCUAUAAGAUGAUGCCAUUCGAAUUAAAGAAUGCGGGAGCAACAUAUCAGAGAGCCAUGGUAGCCUUGUUUCAUGAUAUGAUGCACAAAGAAAUUGAAGUAUCUGUUGAUGAUAUGAUUGCCAAAUCCAGAACAAAGGAAGAACAUGUGCAGGUCCUGAGAAAAUUGUUCGUAAGAUUAAGAAAGUUCCAACUCAAGCUUAAUCCGACAAAAUGCACUUUUGAAGCCAGGUCAAGAAAGUUGUUAGGCUUCGUAGUUAGCAAAAAGAGAAUUGAAAUUGAUCUAGACAAAGUCAAGGCAAUACGAGAUUUAUCGCCACCACGUACCCAGAAAGAAGUUCGAGGCUUAUUAGGAAGACUGAAUUACAUUGCUCGGUUCAUUUCACAGUUGACCGAAAAAUGUGAUCCCAUAUUUCACCUUUUGAAGAAACAUAAUCCUGAUGUUUGGAAUGAAGAAUGCUAGAGUGCCUUUAAGAAGAUAAAGCAAUACUUAACCAAUACUCUAGUUCUGUCACCACCCAGCCCAGAUAGACCCUUGAUUUUGUAUUUAAUGGUGCUCAACAACUCUAUGGGAUGCGUGCUGGGUCAACAUGAUGCGACUGGAAAGAAGGAAAAGGCGAUUUACUAUCUCAGUAAGAAAUUCACUGACUGUGAGAUGAGAUAUUCGCCUAUCGAAAAAUUGUGUUGCACCCUGAUUUGGAUGACCAAGAGGUUGAGGCAAUACUUACUCUAUCAUACGACUUGGUUAAUUUCAAAAUUAGACUCUUUGAAGUAUAUGAUGGAGUCAACAGCAUUGAAUGGAAGAAUGGCUAGAUGGUAAAUCUUGCUCUCUGAGUUUGAUAUCGUAUAUGUAAGUCAGAAGGCCAUCAAGGGGAGUGCGAUAGCAGAUUUCUUGGCUAGCAGAGCUCUGGAAGAUUAUGAGCCUCUAGAUUUUGAUUUCCCGAAUUAAGAUUUGAUGUAUGUGGCAAAUGCUGAAGAGGAUCCCCAAGAGAAUCAUUCUUGGAGAUUAAACUUUGAUGGAGCAUCAAAUGUACUAGGCAAUGGGAUUGGGGCAGUCCUGGUGUCUCCGAAUGGAGAUUAUCAUCCUUUCACCAGUAAAUUAGACUUUGAUUGCACUAAUAACAUGGCUGAGUAUGAAGCUUGCAUCAUGGGUAUACGGGCAGCCAUAGAGCGGAAAAUCAAGACAUUAGAGGUGUACGGAGACUCAACAUUAGUAAUAUACCAACUAAGAGGGGAAUGGGAGACAAGAGACCCUAAAUUGAUCCAUUAUCAGAGAUUAGUUUUGGAAUUGAUCGAAAAGUUUGACAACAUUACCUUCUGUUAUCUCCCACGGGAAGAAAAUCAGAUGGCUGAUGCUCUUGCUACUUUAGCUUCCAUGAUUAAAGUAAAUCAGUUAGAGGACAUGAAGUUCAUUCAAAGUAGUAUUUAUGAGAUCCCAGCCCACUGUUAUAGCAUUGAAGAAGUGGAGAAUGAUAAUAGUCCCUGGUACCAAGAUAUAUUGAUAUAUGUGAAGAAUCACGAAUAUCCUGAUCAGGCAACAGAGAAUGAUAAGAGGACAUUGAGGAGACUAGCUAUUGACUAUGUCUUAGAUGGGGAGAUCCUAUACAAAAGGGGAAAGGAUCGAGUACUGUUGAGAUGCGUGGACGCUAUAGAGGCUAAGGAAAUUUUAGAAGAAGUCCAUGAGGGUGUUUGUGAAUUCACCAUGGCUAGACAGAUUAUGAGAUUCGGGUAUUACUGGUCCACCAUGGAAGGAGAUUGCAUCAAUCAUUCCAAGAAAUGCCAUAAAUGCCAAAUUUAUGGGGAUAAAAUGCACGCGCCUCCUUCUCCUCUUCAUGUUAUGACUUCUCCAUAGCCUUUCUCCAUGUAGGGUAUGGACGUCAUUAGACCAAUAUCACCGAAGGCUUCUAAUGGACAUCGUUUCAUUUUUGUGGUUAUUAACUACUUCACUAAGUGGGUAGAGGCAGCCUCAUAUGCUAAUGUCAUGAAGUCAGCAGUCAGUAACUUUUUGAAGAAAGAGAUCAUAUGUCGAUAUGGAAUGCCUGAAAGGAUCAUAUCUGACAAUGCGCUGAAUUUGAAUAACAGCACAAUUCAAUAUCAGACACCAUAAUUCGUCACUGUAUUGUCCAAAAAUGAAUGGUGCAAUAGAGGCGGCCAACAAAAAUAUUAAGAAGAUUGUGGCGAAAAUGGCUGAAACUUAUAAUGAUUGGCAUGAGAAGUUACCAUUCGCUCUUUUGGCUUACCGAGCAUCGAUCAGGACUUCUAUUGGGGCAACACCUUUUUCGUUGGUUUAUGGAAUGGAGGCAGUUUUACCCAUUGAGGUUGAAAUUCCUUCUCUUCGGGUAUUGGCUGAGUUAAAAUUGGAUGAGGUCGAAUGGAUCCAAUCUCGGUACGAUCAAUUGAACCUGAUUGAAGAUAAAAGAUUAAAAGCCAUUCGUCAUGGUCAAAUGUAUUAGAAGCGAAUGAUGCGAGCUUAUAAUAAGAAGGUUCGUCCUAGAGAAUUUCAUGAAGGGGAUUUGGUUUUGAAAAAGAUCCUACCUUUACAAAAGGAUUUCAGAGGGAAAUAGAUGCCAAAUCGGGAAGGACCUUAUGUUGUGAAAAAGGCUUUUUCUGGAGACGCUUUGAUUUUAAGUGAAAUGGAUGGCAAAAAUCUUCCGAAUCCUGUAAAUUCAGAUUCGGUCAAGAAAUAUUUCACUUGAAGGAAGAGAGGAAUCAAAGUGAAAACCCACAAAAGGCGCUCUGAUUUCCUAAAAAAAAGGAAAAAGGAGAGGCCAAGGUGAAAACCCAAAAAGGGCGCCUUGAGACCAAAGGGGGUUUGAGUUGAAAACCUGAAAAGAGUGGCUCAAACAUUGUCAGAUUGGGGCAUAUGGGGAUCUUUUUUCACUUAAGUCAACAAUAAAAGGAUAUACGACGUCUUAGGGCAUUCACAGAGUACUGUAGAUCCCCUAAACACAUGCUAAAUUCAGAAUGGUUCUUGGCUUGCACGGAGAAGUUCAAGCGGUGAUAUCCAAAGCACCUAGUCUUCAUUUUAUUUGUACCAAAUUUGUUGGUUCUUGUAAAUACUUCAUUCUUUGCUGUUCUUGAAUACUUUUUCUUUUCAGGACACUCACUAUCAAUGAACUCUUGAAUUAAUUCAUCUCUUACUCAGUAUUUUUGAUCUUUGUGUAAGCAUGUCACAUUAGAAUAAUGAUUGAUGGACUAAUAAACUUUCACAAAAGAAGUUUGGUAUAUUACUCUGGGAAUUUCUAAAUAAUUUGGUAACCUGAAACAGGACUAUUGUUUAAAACACCCCGAGUUCAAAAGAUAAAAAGCCUAAGAAGUAAAAAGUUUAAAUUAAGACUACUUUUUCGAAUUUGGUUGUCCAAUAGUGAAUGAGACAGCAAGAAGUCUUGAUAGGGUAGGAAGAAGUCUCCUAUGGAAAGAAAGCUCCUUAUUUAGGCAUAAGCAUUUGAUAAGACACCCUGAGAGAGGUGUAAACAAAUUUCAUAAUCUGUAUCCUUGAAUUACGAUAGGAGAGGACUGAGAAGAGUCAAAUUUUCCUACUCUUAAGUCACGGUGGAAGAAAUAUAGUACAAACUCUGUGUCCUUGAGAAUUGAGCUUUGAAGUGCACAAUGGGGGCAAUUUGAUUUAGUGUUUUUCGAAGAUAUUAGCCAAGUAAAAGGCGCCAGCGACAAAACCUUAAUAAACUUCAAAAAAAAUGAUAAUUCUUGAAAAAUGACAUUCUGCAUUUAUUCAAAUGUCAUUCGUACAUGUCUAGUUGGGAGCCUUUGAUGCAUUUUAUGCCAUCCUAAUCAUUAGGCAUAAUUAGCUUCAUUAUACAGGUCAUGUUCCCCAGAGAGCAGAUCAGUGAAGAUAACAGAUCGAGUCUUAUCUCCCUGAAGUUACAGUGGAGCAGACUAAGUAGGCAAGUCUUAUCCACCUGAAGUUGCAGUGAGGCAGACUGAAGGUGGCAAAUCUUAUCUCCCUGAAGUUACAGUGGAGCAGAUUAAAGCUGGUAAUCCUAUCUCGCUGAAGUUGCAGUGAGCGGAUUAAAACCUUAGAUCUUAUCUCUCUGAAGUUGCAAAGAACAGAUCACAUCUAGUCUUAUCCUCCUGAAGUUGCAGUGAGGCAGACUGAAGAUGGCAAAUCUUAUCUCCCUGAAGUUGCAGUGGAGCAGAUUAAAGCCGGUAAUCCUAUCCCACUGAAGUUGUAGUAGGCGGAUUAAAACCUUAUAUCUUAUCUCUUUGAAGUUGCAGAGAGCAGAUCGCAUCUAGUCUUAUCUCCCUGAAGUUGUAGUGGAACGGACUAAGUAAGCAAAUCUUAUCCUCCUGAAUUUGCUGUGAGGCAGACUGAAGAUGGCAAAUCUUAUCUCCCUGAAGUGGCAGUGGAGCAGAUUAAAGUCGGUAAUCCUAUCCCACUGAAGUUGCAGUAGGCGGAUUAAAACCUUAGAUCUUAUCUCUCUGAAGUUGCAGAGAGCGGAUCGCAUUUAGUCUUAUCUCCCUGAAGUUGCACCAGGAGCAAGUUGAAGCCAUAAAAGUUACAGUAAAGAAGAUUGAAACAUUAGUUCAUAUACCUCUGAAGAUGCAGUAGGAAGGAAUGAGGCUACUUGAAGAAGAAGAAGAGCGCCAAGGUCCAGCAUGACCGGACAAAAUUGGGCAUUUUAAAGUCUUUGCUCUAUUCCUGUUACACGAUAACGAGCAAAGAGGGGCAACUGUAAUGCCUAAAUUUUUCCCGGGUACAAAUAAUAAAAAGGCCCUAAAUAAAGACACAGUCCAAUUACAACAAAAUGGGGCCCAAACCAAAAUAAAAACAGGCCCAAUGUGCGGUGGCCCAAAAUCGCCAGAAACCCUAGGGUUUCUAAUCUUCAACAACGCCAAAACGGAGGCCCAAUGUACGGUGGCUCAAAUGAUUUUUUUAGAGGAUUGGGGAUAUUUAUAGGGCACCAAAACGGCGUCGUUUUAGAGAGCCCCCAGAUGCCCAAAACGGCGUCAUUUUUGGGGAGGCCGACCCGGCUCCGACCCCACCCGGCAUAGGAUCCGCAUGUUUUUUUAGCGGAGGGGUAAAUUACGCUUUCAGCCCCUCCGCCUUUUAAUGUUUUCUGCAAUUAAAUUUUUUUAUUUUAUUAAGUUACCCAGUAAUUUAUUAUCGUUUUCAAUUUGGUCCUAAUGUGAAUGAUGUCGUUUAAAGGAGAAUAGAAAAUUGCCCUUCUAGCCCCUCUGCAUUAUCUGCGCGUUCAAUGUGGUCCCUUUGGCUUUAUUUAUUUGCGGAUUUACCCCAAAUUUUUUUAUUUGAAAUUCAAUUUAGUUCUCUUUUAUAUCUUUCUUAAAAUUGGUUGAUUUUUGGGAUGUAAUUAUUAUUUUUAUAUAUAUGUAUAUUUAUUGUUUCCUUAUGAACAUAUUUAUUUUCUUUCAACUAAUAUUUUUUUUAUUUAUAUAUUCCUACUUUUUUUUAUGUAAAUGUUAAUUAAUCCUUUUUUAAUAUAUUUUACAUGUAUACAUACAUAUAUUUUUUGAAUAUUCUAUUAUAUUUUCAUAUAUCUACGUACAUUUUUUAUUUUCGAAAAUAUUAAAAUACAUGUUUAUUUUUUUACACUUAUAUUUAUAUAUAUAUUUGUUUUUCUUUAUUUUCAUAAGAGCAUUAUAUGAAUUUCAUAAUUAAAAUUUUAUAUGUAAAUUAUGUACUUUAUUUCUCAUCAUUCCAAUGUGUAUAUUAUGCGCUGUUUAUCCUUUAUUGUUUCUUUCAUUUGUUUAUUGACCUUUUUUUAUUUUAUAUCUUGUUCAUUUAUUUAAUAUUCUUGUAUGUCAAAGAUUAUUUCUUUUAUGAAUGUUAGUUUCCUUUAUUUAUAUGUUUAUAUUGUUUCUAUGCCAUUGUGAUAUUUAUUAUUGCAUUGUAUAUUUAAUGUAGCAUCACAUCAUUUUUUUACUCGAUUUCAAACUUCUCAAAAUUGAGAUAAUGCUUGUAUUUAGGAUUUUCAAGGAAAUUGAGCCCUAACAUAUUAGGUUCCGAUUUUCUUCGUUAAAUCUAAGAAUCGAGCAUUUCUCUUUAAUCAAAAAAAAUAAGAACUCAUUAUUGGGAAUUCAACACGUUGUGUCCUAACGUAUUGGAUGUGACGCAUUGAUUUCUCGAAAUGAAUAUUUUUUUAAAAAAUAAUAAAGGAAAUAUUCCGAGUUUGGGAUUCUAGAGGAAUUGUGCCCUAACGUAUUGGGCCACGAUUUCUUAAAUCUUAAAUAAAUGGAAAUUCUUUUACAUUUUUUAUUGCACUAGUAUUUUGCCCUAAUUCAUUUUUGGGGAAAAUUAGAAUGUCGUGCCCUAACGUAUUGGGUGUGGUAUUUUCUUUCUCUGAAAUGAUAAGGGUCUUAAUACGUAACGUUUUUAAGUUUUUUGCUAAGGAUUAUAUUUUUCAAAUUUUCGACAUUAAAACAUUAAUUAAUUAACUAGGUACCAAUUUUUGGGCGUAAUGAGGAUGCUAAUCCUUCCUCAUACGUAACCAACUCCCGGACCCGUUUUUCUAAAAAUCGUAGACCAAAAUCGUUUUUAGGUGACCCAAUCACACCUCAAUAAAAGAUUGGUGGCGACUCCCAAUUUUCAUUUUUUAAAGUCGACAAUCUAAAAUUUUUGUUUUUUUUUCAAAAAUAAAAAAUGGUUUCACCAAUAAUAAAUAAUAAAGAUUUUACAUUUAUUUGAAGCACUUAUUUACAUUUUGAAUAAACUAUUAUUUUAGUCAUUGCCUUUUAAUUCUUAAUUUUUCUUUUAAAUUUUUUUAUAUGUUAAAUUUUAAGUUGAUUUUAAAUAAAUUAUUUCUUUAUUUUAAGAUAUUACUUAAUUAAAUUAACUUUUAAUAUUAUAAUAUUAAAAUUAAUAAUUAUUAAAUUGGUUAACUUAAAAUAUAAUUUUAAAAAAAGACAUAUUGAUAUUAAAUAUAUUUUCAAAUAUAAUAAGAGUUAAUAAUAUUAAUGAUUAAAGUAUAGCAAGUAUAAAUAUAAAAUUACAAAUAUCAAAAUUUAACAAUUUUAACAUUAAAACAAAUUAAUUUAACAAUAUAUAUUGUUGGAAAAAUUAUAUUUUAUGGGAAUUUUGAGGCAUAUUAUCAAUAAGUAAAGGUUGAGAGUUGAAUAAUAAAAUUAUAGUUCCAUAUUCUACUCUAUGAGACAUUUACAACUGUGUAUCAUAUACUCAAAAUGAUUGAGUGAUGAAUGAGAAAUUGAUGCUCAAAUUAAGCUAUUUAAAAAUAUUUGUUGAGGAAAAGUAAAAGCUUAGACCCCACAUUAGUUAAAUACUAAGUGUGAGAUGUGUAUGUAUAUGGAACCCUCUUAAAUAGUAAUUAAAUGACUAAAUUUGGAACCUUGCCUCACGCGAAAGGUUGGUUAUAGGUCCAAACUCAAUGGGGUAGGGGCACCUGCACAACGUGGGCGACGCAAAAUGUCGGGCUCAAAAUGGGCUUGCGAACAUUUUAGUCCAACACGAAAUUAUUUUUCCUCAACAGAUAAAAUUUGUUUAUAUAAAGAUAUUUCUCUUAUUUUAUUUGAUUCCAAUCAAUUUUAUUUAAUUUUUAAUUAAAUUGAUUUGUUGGCUCCUUUAAUAGUAGAUUUGAUAUUUCCAAAACUCCACCAUACUAAAUGCCUAUAAAAUGAUAUGGAUGAAGAAUUUUUCCACAUUGAUAUCCUCUUAGGCCGAAUUUAUUUUGCUGUCAAAAUUCUUCUUUUCCUCUCCGUAUUUUCCAAAGUUCCGGUGAUAGAAAAAGGUAAUGUUUGUUCGUUGAUCGCUGCAGAGACGCUACUGCUUUGAUCAUUAUGUUGUUGUAUUUUGAGAGACAUUCGACCAACAUUUCUCCAAGUACCGUAGGAGCGGCCGAAUCUAUGUUAAGGAAACCGUGUUAAACAUGCCUCAACGUUUAGUAAAUCUCUAUUCUUCCUUUCGAUUUCAACUUAUUGUUACGGUUUUUUUUUAUUUACGUAUUUGACAAUUUAAAUAUAAAUUAUUCUAUUUAUAUUUUAUUUCAUAUAUAAAUAUGUGUUUAUUUAUAUUUCAAUAUUUUAUUCGCUAAUGUGUUUUGUCCAACGUAUAUAUAAAUAAAUAACUUGUAAUAAAUUAUUAAUAAUAUUAUUUAAAUUAUAAUAUAUUAAUAUUAAUAUUUGAAUCAUAAUGAGUUUUUGUAUUAUUCUAAUAUUAAAUAUUAUUAAAAUUAAAUAACAUUAAUAUAAGUGUUUCUAAAAUAAUUGAAUAUUUUAAAAAAUAUUUUGUAGUUACAUUACUUGUCAAUUUAUUAAUAAAUAUUUUGAAUAAAUUCAUUAAUUUUUUUAAAAAUAAUAUUAUAAAUUUAGUGUACACUACCGACCUGUACAUGAUAUGGGAAUACAAGCUAGUUAAAUACUAUUAUCUACUGGAUAUCCAAUCUGCAAAAAGUAAAAAUAAAAAUAAAAGAUUUUCAAUCAGUUUUUAGAUAUCAAAAUUCACAAAAAUCUAAAUCGAAUCUAGUAAAAUUCUUUAUAUACACAAAAUCAAAAUUAAAAGUACUUUGUAAUUAGUGAAUUCAGAUAUUAAAAUCCACAUCUAUUAUUUGAAUAUGCGAUGCAGGUUUAGAUAAUGGACAUUCGAAGUAUCUAUCUGCAUCCGCAAUAGAUAGUAAUUUCAAAUCCGAAUUUCAAUAUUAAUCAAAUCCGCAAAAAAAAAAAAAAAAAAACUAAUUAGAUAUUUAGCUUCAACUUGAAUUAAGUAUUUUAAAUUUAUAUUUAAUUCAAUUAUAUGUUAAUUUUGGGAUGAAUUCAUUAAAUUAUUUAUUUUUAUGUAAAAUUAAUAAUUACCAUUAUUUAGAAUGCUUUAAUGGAAAAAAUAAAAUAUAAAAGUAAAAAGAAAUUUUAAAAAAUUCAUCUCAAAGUUAAUUAUUGUUACUAUAUAUAAUGAAAUUAAAAUUAAUUUUUUAAAAUUUUAACUAUAAAAAUUAUUAAUAUAUAUGAAUGAUAUGUUUGUUUUAUUAAAUGAUGGGUUACUAUAUCACUUCAUUUCUAACAUUUUUUUUUCUUUUAUGUUAGGAUAUUAAAAAUGAUCUUGUUUGAUAAUUGAAAAAUUAAAUAUAAAAAAAAUUAAAUGUUAAGUUUAAGUUAUGAAACUUGUUUAAUAUAUUUAUUAAAAUUAAGUGUAACAUAUGAUUAAAUUAUUUGAUUAAUGUAAUUUUUAAAAUUUUAAAUGUAAAGUUAUUUAAACAAGAAAUAAAGUAAAUUGAAAUGAAUUGAAAAAAAUUCUAAUUAGUGUACUUAUGGGAGGAAAAAGUUUAUUUAUUGCAUAUAUUACUAUAGUUAGAUAUAAAAUAAAAUUAGUAUAUAUUUAAGCUUAAAAUUAGAAAUAUGAGAAAAAAUUCAAGUAAAAAAAUAAAAUCUCUUGAAAAAUAAAUAAAAAGUUUUCCUUCUAUUUUCCAAAAGCAAGCCAUGGAAGUGACUACAAAUUACUAAUUGAAAUUAGUUUAUGGUUAGCUUAUAUACUAAAACAUAGUAAAAAAAUAAUACUCUUACCAAAGGUAGCAUGAGUGAUCAGAAACUCUUCAUCUAUUUAUUAUUUUUCACUUUUUCUCAUUCUAUCAUUUUCUCUUUAUGUUAGAUUAUCAAAGAUGCUUAUAAAUCACUGAAAAUAUUAAUUUUAGAUUAUUUAAUUAUUUUCAAUCAAUUAUCUAAACAGGGAUCAUGUUACUUUGAUGAUAACCUAUUAGGUUUUUUUGUGAAUAAGUACAUUGCAAUAGGGAAUGAGGAAACGGUUUACAAAUAUUGGAAUUGAAUCCCGAACCUCUUGUUAAUUAACUUGAAAUCCGCACAAAUUUAUCGCUGAGUCGGUGGACGGUCCACAAUAAUCAAUUAGUUUUAUCCUUUUAUAGUUUCGUAUGGUAAAUCGAUUGCUGAACAGAAUAGCCAAAAUCGUAGCUGAACUAAAUAUGCACAAUAUCAACACAUAAUUUGUUUGUAAAUUGAAUCACAAUGAUAAACAUUAUAGCAGUUUGUUUUCUAAGAUGGCUUUUCUAGAACUUGCAAUUUCAUUGAAACAUCACCGGAAACUUGAAGAGAACAAAGGCAGAGUAAUAAUUAUUACAGGAAGAUGACAAGUCUGCUUCAUGUAUAUAAAAUAUAGGAUUGUACUGGUCAAAAUGCAUCAGACAUGUCAAAAUGUAUCAGACAUAAGUGGAUGAACAUCUGAUACAGAUGUAAUGAUGGAAUCCCUGUAAAAUCCGUGUGAGAGUGAAGUACCCGAUCUCAGUUGGUUUUGUGACAACAACCUCUGCUUGUUUUGGCUGAGUCGGAAAAAAACCUCGCAAAACUCUAAUUCUCUCCAGUUCCAUGACCACUUCUUUCAUUGUUGGUCUAUCUUUGCCAUCUAAGUUUAAGCAUCUUUUAGCAAGGUAAGCAACUGCAACUAGUUCCUCCUUUUGGCCAUCCUUCAAAACUUGAGGGUCAAGUGUAUCUAGAAAAUGGUUUUGGUCCACCGAGGAGAUGAAAUAGGAGACUAGGCUUUUCUUUUCUUGCGAUCCAGAUGUUAAGACUGGCUUUUGUGCUAUUAAGAGCUCGACCAGAACCACUCCGAAACUAUAAACGUCACUUUUCUCAGUGAAUUGACUUGACUGAAAGUAUUCAGGGUCUAAAUACCCAAAGGUUCCUUGAACUUGAGUUGUCAAGUGAGUUUGAUCAAUGCCGAUUGAUCUCGAUGUUCCGAAAUCUGAUACCUUAGCUCGGAACUUUUCAUCUAGUAGUAUGUUACUAGACUUUAUAUCUCUGUGAUAGAUGGGGACAGAAGCAGAGACGAGUGUAAGUAAGAAAUUGCAUUUGAAACUUCAGCUGCUAUGCGUAAUCGCAUAUCCCAAGAUCUUGGGUAUUCUUCAUUUUGGUCAUGGAUUAGCUGAGAAAGGGUUCCAUUUGGAAUGAAUUCAUAAACGAGUAGAGAGACUUCGGUCUCUAAGCAACAGCCUAAUAAUUUGACAACAUUUCGGUGAUCAAUUUUGGCAAGAAUAACGAUCUCAUUGAUGAAUGGGUCGAGAUGCUCUUGGUCUACUAUUUUGGACUUUUUUACAGCCACAAUUCUCCCAUCAUGCAACUUUCCUUUGUAAACCACGCCUUGGCCACCACGACCCAGGAUUCUGUUCGUUAUAAGUUUGUAACUCUUUGGAAGUGAAGAAUUUAAUAUUCUCCACACCACCUUCCUUAGAAGACUACUUUUUCUCAAGCAGUAGCCCACCAUUUCUUUUAAAAUGCUCUUGCUUGCAUUUUAUAUUUCUCCUUUUCUCUAGUUUACUAUAAAGCCACCAAACUCCAGCAAACAACAAGAACCCUGCAGCUAAGCAAAUACCUGCGAUCAAAAUGAAAGUCAGUCAUCGAUUAACUUCUGACAUUCUUAAUAUCUCCAUUUUAAGCUAAGAUUUGAAAUAAAAUUUUCCAUUUUAAGUUCUAAUGUAAUACUAUCCUAAGAGGAGAGCAAGAAAGCCAAUACUAGUUUCUAACAAUUAAAUGAAUAGGUUAAACUAUUCUCCAGCAAAAACAGAGAUCUAGUAGACUUGACCUAAUCUUUAUGCAGCUUUUCAUGUAAUACAAUAUAAUUAAAUAGAAUGACCUUAUUAUGAACCAUGAAAUUGUUUAUGAGUCAAGCCGACCCUAUUAAAGCUUAGGGCCUGUUCUUCAUUACUUAAAAAAAGAACUUCUGACUUCAAAAACACUUUUAGAAGAAAAGCUAUGCAUAAUAAACUGCUUUUGGCUAAAAAUUUUAGCUUUUCCUCUUCUAAAAGCACUUUUGGUUCUUAAUUACUUUUUCAUCCCUUUAAUAACAUAGUACUUUCCUUUUUUGUUUUUUUUUUGUGCUUAAUUACAAAUGUAUUAAAAUCAUUAAUUAAAAAUAAAAAAAAUAUUUUUUAAAAUAUUAAUUAUAAAUAUUUAAUGGUUAUAUUUAAAUAUUUAAAAUAUAGUUUAUAUAUUCUAAUUAAAUUUUAUUAAUAAUUAAUAUUCAUUGCUUAAAAAUAUUUAAAAUUUAUAUUUUAUAUAUUAAAAUAUUAACAACAAGUUAUAAUAAUUUUUUAUAUUCUUACUAAAAAAUAAUAAUAUUAAUUAAUUUAAAUAUUAUUUAAAUGCAUUUGUUACUUGAUAAUAACAUGUCUAAAAUGAACAUUUUAUUUCUUAAAAGUACUUUUUGACAGCAAAGCUAAACACUCAAAUUUUAAAUCAAACUUUUCAAAAGCACUUCUCAAAAGUACUUUUCCACAACACUUUUCAAAAGCACUUUUCAAAAAAUUACCAAACUAACCCUUAAAAGUGCAAAUAAGCUUUAAUUUCAUAUUUUAUUCAACAUUUAAUUCACUUUCCAAUAUUUUUUGUGAUUUUCCAAAUUGAUACUAUUGCAUGCUGUCCAUACAAUUUUUAUCGUUAAUUUUAUUCAAUCAAAUUUUCUUUGCAUUAAUUCUCACUUACACUCACAUAACACUAAAGUAUAUUCAUAAUUAGUCAUGCCAAAAGCUAUUCAUCAUCAAUUAAUUACAAAUCUUCAUUGUAACACAUUCUCCAUAUCAACUUCACUCAAAUUUGACCACAUAUCGCUCACAUUGCUCACCACAUAUUCACAUUCAUUUGCACUUAAUCAUUUUCUGGUUGAACACUUAGGAAUAUUAUUGGAUACGUCAGAAGUUUGCACAUAAGUGCCACACUUGUAGCAAAAGCUACUUAACAUCAUUUUUCACAUAAAAGCUCAUUCUCGAGCUAUUCACUUUCAUGGGUCUGCUCACACAAGCUGUCAGUCUUUUGUUACUACUCAGUGCUGCUCACAUAAGCUGUCAGGCAUCCGCAACAUAUGCCGGUAUACCCAGCCACUGGUAGAACUUAAGACCAGCACCCGAGUUCACAUUAAUCACAAUUUUGCAUCACGAGCCUGCUCACACAAGCUGUAAGUCAUUCAUUACUACUCAGUGCUGCUCACACAAGUUGUCAAGUAUCCGCAACAUAUACCGGUAUACCCAGCCACUGGUAGAACUUAUGACCAGCACCCGGAUCCACUUUAUUCACACUUUCACAUAGAUCUCUAACGACAUGUCACUUGUAUCCUAUUCUAUUCCUAAGGUUCAACCGAGAAAAUUUCUCACACUUUAUUAUUUCGUAAAUUUUAUUCGAUAUUCAAUCACAUAUAUCAUAAAAUAUAUCUUUCGUCCACAUAUCAUAAAAUAUAUUAAGACAUAAAAUCAUAAAUAAAAAUUUAUGCAUUAUUUACAUAAAAACUUACCUCGGCUCAAAAUAUAGAAAUUUCUGCAGUUUAAUCCACAACUUUUUCCUUUCCCCAUUCGAGGUUGAUUCUGCGUCUUUCUUCAUCUAUAAUAGAAAAUUUAGCUUGUUUAAUAUUCACAUUUAUCAAAACAGUACUCGGUUCAAAUUUUAGAAAAAUUACGAUUUUACCCCUAAAUUUUUACAUAUUUCCAUUUUUGUCUCAAAGCUCGGAAAUUAAAUUUUAUUCCUUAUUCUUGUGUUUUAUAACAUGCUGAACACUUUUCCCUUCUAUAGCAACAUCCAAUUCUCACUCUAAUACUUAUGUACAUUAGGUAUUUUUAUCGAUUAUGUCAUUUUACUCGUUUCUACUUAAAAUCACUUAGCAAAAGUUGUUUAACAUAAUUCUAAGCUUCAUAAUCUAUCAUGAAACAUCAAAAUACACACUUUUCACCUAUGGGUAAUUUUCCAAAUAUAAACCCUACCUCGAAUUAAUGGUAAAAUAAGCUAAAUCGAGCAACGAGAACUUCAAAAACGUAAAGAAUAUUAAAAACAGGGCUAGGAUGUACUUACAAUAAAGCUUGAAAGUGGCCAAAACCCUAGCUAUGGGAGACUUGUGAUAUUUGGCCAAGGUAUGAGGAAGAUGUACACAUUUUGGCCUUAUUUUCCCUUUUUAAUUCAUUUAAUUUCUAAAUGACUAAAAUGCCCCUAAUUAAAAAAAUCUAUUUUUCUAAUUCUAUGUCCAUUUUUGUCUCACAAACUAACCAAUGGUCUAAUUGUUAUAUAAGGACCCCCAAUUUAUAAUUUCAUAACAAUUGAGCAUCUUUAACAUUAAAAUUCAACUUUUUCACUUUUUAUAAUUUAGUCCUUUUGACUAAAUUGAGUGCUCAAACGUCGAAAUUUUUGAACGAAAAUUUCACGUAAUCUUUUCGUGAAAUUGUAGAUCAUAAAAAUAUAAUGAUAAUAAUAUUUUCCUUUAUCGGAUUUGGGGUCCCAAAACCACUAUUCUAAUUAGGCCCUAAAAUCGAGCUGUUACAAAUUGUAAACUCAAAUGAAAUAAAUAAAGUACAACACAUUGAAUAGUUUUUGUUAACAUUCCAAUUCUCUUAAUCAUCACAACUGUACAUGUUGACAAACAAUCUUCACCAUCACCAAGUAAUUACUCCAAAAUUUGUCGAAACUAAUAUUAAAAACAUCCUUUACCUUCCCUAGUUUAAACCCAUUCUAAGCAAUAAACUUCUUGGAAGUGAUCAUGGCUUGCAAAUGACCCUUAUAAUCAUGCAAAUUCUUCAAAGUAAUAAAAGUAAUAGCAAAACAUUUCUCACUAGGAUGACAACCAACCCAAAGUCCAUUUGUGAUUAUACACAAAAAUUGUAAUAGAAGAAGCAUGCUAAAUUAAAAUGAGAUGUUUUACCAACAUCCUUCAAAAUUAAAUUGAUACAAGGUGCUGCACAUGGUGACCAAAAGAUGUUAGGAUACUUCUCAUGACAAAAUUUCCUAACAUCUUUAUAAUUUGAAGCAUUAUAUGUAAUUAGCUAGACCACAUUGCUCAAACCAACAAUUUUUACAAUCUUCGCAAAUAAAUUUUAAACUAAACUUUUCAAAAGCACUUCUCAAAAGUACUUUUCCACAACACUUUUCAAAAGCACUUUUCAAAAAAAUUACCAAACUAACCCUUAAAAUCCUCGGGCUUCGUUUGGUUUUUGAAAAUAUUUUUUAUUUUAAAAAAUUAAAAAAUAUAUGAUAAAUAAAAAUAAAAUUUUGUUUUCAUUAUUGAAAACAUGGUUGAUAACUAUUUUUCUAUAAUAGAAAUACGAAAAUUAAAAAAAAUUACAUUUAUAUGGAUUUAAAUGAUGAUAAUAAAUUUAAUAUAUGAAAAAUUGUUGAAAUUAAAAUAACCCGAUAUUUUUAUAUUUAUUUGGGUUUGAACAAAGGAUAACUCAUUUAAAGUUAAAAAAAAUUAUUUUGAUCAUUUUGAGUUUUACAAAAUAUUUUUAGUGAAUAAUAAAAACAAAUUUUUAUUAUUUUUCUCAUUUUUACAUAUUUUCAUCUGAAAAUUUACUUUUAAAAUUUCAACUAAAUGAAUGUUUUCCAUUUUAAGGAAAUGAAAAUGAAAAUGGCCUCUAUCUAUCCCCUAAAACUAUAUGGAGUCUUAAUUUUUAGGAUCAUUGAUGUAAGAUUCUUCUAUAAUUAUGCAAAAUUUGGGAUGAGCAACAACAAUAAGAUGUCUUGGACUGAUCCUUGUUGGAUAAACUACAAAUUUAGUAAUAAAGAAAUCAAAAAUAGUAAAGAAGAAACUAGAGAAUAAAAAAAUAAAAAUCAUAAAUAAAUAAGAAAUAAAAAGUGAAAGAUGGACGAGGAAACCGAUAGAUAUGAUGGAUAGAAGGAUAAAUGUAUAAUUGAACCCUUUGAAAUAUAAAUCCCAACAAACUCAAUUAAUGACUCUAAUCAACCCUCUAAGAAAUAAUCCUUGAAGAAUGAAUUGAAGGGUGAAGAAUGAAUUCCCACGACUUCUUAAAGAAAAUCAAGAAUAAAACUACUUCUAAAAAUUACAAGAAAGAAAUCUUGCACAAGAAAAAAACUCCCAGAGUUGAAAACUUUAUUAAUGAAAACAAUUGUCUCCUUAAUAAAAAAUGAAGAAGCCUUUAUAUAAGCUAGCUAAGUACAUCCAAAUAAAACUCUAAAGUAUACUGAAACUCUAAUUAAUCUAAAUAAAAAAGUAGUUUUAAACAAAACUUUCUUGGUAACAUAAAACUCCUAAAUAACUUAAAAUACAUAAUAAAUAUAAAAAAUUCGUAAUAAUAAAAUAAUAAGAGAUUAUAAAUGCAAUAUUGGACUCAUAUAUAAUAAAAAUUAAUCCAAAAAUCCGAACCAAAUAUGAUUUAAACUUGAGUUAAAAGCACAAAACUCGUAAUACCUGUCAUAACCCUGUCAAAAAAUUCUGCCCGCGCAGUUUUCACUAAAAUGGUCAUAAUUUGAGCUUCCGGACUCGAAAUCAAGUGAUUCCAUUCAAAAAGUCGACGCAAGUAUGCUGAUUUCCCAAACUUAAAAAUCGACAAUUUUGGUGACUGGAAUUUAAUAAAUUUCACCCCAUCCAUGCAUGUAUCACAUAUACAUAUUAGGUUACCCGUUCGAGUUUAACCUUUAAAACAAAAUCAGGUUACCAAUCCAAGCUAAACUUGCGUCACAUGUAUCUUCAAGUCCGCAACAAAUGUUGGAUUCUUGAAAUUAUCAAAAAUUGACCUGUAACCAUGUGUACGAUACAUUUACAAAGUUUCAUCAGGGUAAUUUGCAUCAUGCAAGUUCAUAUUUAUUCUCUUUUUUUAAUUUAAUCCAAAUCUCACACUUUAGUACUAAAUUGCAAACAAUUCAAAGUUCAAUAAAACAUACAUGUAUUCACAAUAUAGCAUACAUAAGGGUCUAAGCAUAAUUACACCAUAUGAACGUACCUGGCAAAAUGAAAUUAAACACAACAUACUAUUAUGUAGGCUACAACAUUAGUGUCAUUAAAAUUUUAAUGGUUCAACCAGUUUUCCAUCCACAAAAAUAAUUUGACUAAAAAUUGAAAGUUGAUGGCCAAGGUGAUCCAAAAAAAUAAGGUUAAAGUAACAAAAUAGAUACACAGUAGGGGUUAAAUUUAUCAUUAUGCCUUAAGCUUUUUAAAAUAAAGAUAAAAUUAUUUUAAUAUGUAGUGGUUUGAAAUUUUAUAAAUUAUAUGAAUUCUUUUAUGUAUUUUUACCAUAAAAUUAUAUUAUAUUAUUAAAUAUUGCUAAUAAUAAAUAUAUUAUAUAAUAUACACAGUAAUAUCUUUCACCUGAGUUAAAACUAAUUCCAAUUUUCACAAAAUGAGACAUGUCCAAAGCAAUUCAAUUAUUUAAUCAUUUGAAACUUGAGUCUUCAACCUUGCAACUUAGUUAUGCUUCAAUAAAUGAACCCCACUCUGAGAAAUUUUGAGGAAACAAAGUAUUUAUAGAAAUAAUUAUAAAAUGCAUAUUAAAAUAAAACAAGAUGUCAAGAAAUAAAUUGAAACAACGCAUAUAGAUUAAGCUCCAACUAUUGUAAUUUAACAUUAUAUUUCUCUCGAAACUAGGAAAUUUAGAAGCAAACUAUUUAAAAUCAUACACCAUCGAGCUGCUUGAGGUUCAAAUGUGAUUAUGUACAAAUGAUAAUCUGAUUACAUGCUUAGCGAGCACCUUCAAGUUCAAAUGUGAUUUUGUUAUUUAUGCUAUCAUACCCCAUCCCUGUCGAGCUGCUUGUUACACCAUCAUCAUAAGUGCUGGGAAACUUACCAAGCAAGUAUUCAGAUUCUUCGCUUACUAAAUUACUUUUACUCCAAGGAUGUUUAGCCAUUGCUUGCAGUCCUGCUAAUUCAUGGGCAACUUCCUUCAUUGUUGGCCUUUCCUCUCCCUUCACUCUCACACAUCUCCUAGCUAAAGUUGCUACUUCCAUAAGCUGCUCAACAUUUUCAUCAUUAAGCACUCGAGGGUCGAGAAUGUCGAGCAAACGGUCUUCUUUCAUCAAAGAUGUGAAGUACAUUGGCAAAACUCGAUUUUCUUCCGGUCUUUUGAAACAUACCACUUUUUGUCCUGUUAACAACUCCAUAAGCACAACCCCGAAGCUGUAAACAUCACUUUUUUCAGUAAGAAGGCUUGAAAGCAUGUAUUCAGGAUCCAAGUAACCGAAAGUUCCUUGCACAAUUGUAGUUAUUUGUGCUUGGUCAGAUGGGAUCAAUCUGGAAGCCCCAAAAUCAGAAACUUUUGCGGUGUAAUUGUCAUCUAACAGUAUGUUCGCCAACUUGAUGUCUCGGUGAAUGAUUGGAAUGGAAGCUGCAGAGUGCAAAUAAGAAAGGGCUUCUGCUGUUUCAGUGGCUAUUCUCAGACGGGUCUCCCAUGAAAGAUAAGAGGUAGCAUCAUCAUUAUGCAAAUGGUGAAAAAGGGUUCUGUUGGUGAUAUAUUCAUAAACUAACAGCGGAACUUGUGUCUCUAAACAACAUCCUAGGAGUUUGACAACAUUCCUAUGGUUGAUUUUGUAGAGCACCAUUAUUUCAUUAAUGAAUUGUUCAACUUGGCUAGGAUCUCCAAUUAUUGACUUUUUGAUGGCAACUAUUUGAUUAUCAGCCAAUAUUCCCUUGUACACUGUCCCUUGCCCUCCCUGUCCUAAAAUUCUGCUUUCAUUGUAAUUGUUUGUUGCCUUCUCGAGCUCCUCAGCUGUAAAUACUUUAACAUCUUCACGGUACCCUUGUCGUUUUGAAAGUUGUUCCCGCAACAAAAUGCCACCAUUUUGCUGAAAGUUAGCUUCUCUUAAUUUGGAAAUUUGCCUUUGCCUCAGCAUCCAACACCACAAUACUAUCCCCAAGAGAAGACCAAGAAACCCAAUGGCAACCCCUAAGGUCAAAGCAUAAAAUAAUAAUAAUAGUUACAUUAGCCAUGGUAAUGUAAUCUAAAAGUGAAAAGUCAUGCAAAAUUGUAUAUUGAGAGUAAUAAAUAACGAAAUUGUUUGUGUCAAGCAGAUCCAAUUGACUCAAGAUUGAGUUGGGUAAGUUAAGGAUAUGAGUCCUGCUUGUGAAUGUAGUUCCACUUGUUUACAAAUUACUUCAUAAAAAUAUAACCGAAAUUAUUGUUAGAUAUAAAAAAAAAUUAUUCCAUAAUGGGAAAUUGUGGUUAAAGAUGAGCAUGGACUCACGCCAAGGCUGCAGAGAAGUUUAUUGAUUUUUUGAAGGAUAAAUUUUAAAAUUAUACAUGAAUUAUGGUUUAAUGUGUAAUUGUAUACAUGAAAUUUUGAUUUGAUUCAUUUUUUAAUUUAUUAAUACAGUUAUUGAUAUAACAUCAUUUUAUGAUUAUGUAUUGUAUACAUAAAUAGUUAUAUUUAUCCAAUAUAAAAAUAAAUUGAUGUAUUUAUUUCUUUAAAUGCGUAUGAUUAAAUCAAAAUUAAAGUUUUAAAUAUACAUAUGAACCACAAUUAGAGUUUCAUGUGUAUAACUGCACCAAAUUAAAGCUCAUGUAUACAAUUGUACAUUAAACCAAAGUUCAUGUAUAAUUUUGAGAUUUAUCUCUUUUUUAUUUUAAUUAUUUAUAUUUUAAAUAAUUUAACUAGAGUAAGAGAACAAGUUGGAUAAGGAUAAGUGUAUAAUAAUUUCGCGUCUUUAAAAAUUGAUAACGAGCCAAAAUUUUAUUGAUUCUUAAAAUCUUUCAACUUCAUUUAAUUUUUGAAAAUAUUUUCUAUUUUUUAAAAAUUAAAAAACAUGUUUGAUAAAGAGGAAUAAAAUUUUGUUUUCAAUAAUGAAAACAGGACUGGUAAUUAGUUUUCUAUAAAGAAAGAUGAAAAUUGAAAAAAAAAAUAAUGAAAACAAAUUUUUUCUAUUUUUAUUUACAAAGUCUUUUUAGUACAAAUAAUGAAAACAAAAUUUUAUUAUUUUUCUAAAUUUUACAUAUUUUCAUAAUUUUUUAAAAAUUAUUUUCAAAAAUUUGAACUAAACACAAUUUCUUGAAUGUUUUUCAUUUUUCAAGGAAAUGGAAUUGGAGUUUACUCCCUGAAACCAAACGGAGUAUUUUAAUUUAUAUUUUGGGGUUACUAACCUAGAGCAACAAUAAGAGGAGAUGUCUUGGACUGAUCCUUGUUGGGUAAACUGCAACCUGUUCCACUUUUCUUACCAUCGCCUUCAUAACCCACCGGACAUGAACAAUUGUACGUCCCAGGUAAGUUGGUACAUCUUGCCGUUCCAUUGCAAGGGCUCAUACUUUCACACUCGUUUAUAUCUGAAAUUUGCAGAUUGUAUGCAAGUAAUAAGUAACACUAUCUUUAAUGUUAGAAACUACAAAUCCAUGGGGUAUAUAUACCUAUAGUUACCUUGACAUCCAUUAGGGAGGUAAGGGUUCCCCACGUAACCCUCAAGACACUUGCACAAAUAUCCAGAGUUAUUUUCUGAAUCAACGCAUUUACUAUACUCUUUGCAUGCAAAAUUGUUUACAUCCAUAUUCGCUUCGUUGCAACUCGUAUUCCCGAUGUUCCAAUCAAGAGUGAUUGGAAACUGCCUGCUUUGAAACUCAAAACCACGAAGAUCUGAAGCAGAGAAGGUAUAACUAUCGAUCUCUGCAACAAAUGCAUAGCUGCAGGGGUUUUCGGGCAACACAUUGGUAUGGUUGGCGUAGCUGUCGAGACUUAUGUUGUAGCUCCUCGCAUCAUUUGGGAUACUUGUCUGACAGCAGCCAAUCCCAGAGCAAGACCCGUUUGAAACAUCAGUGAUGUUGUUACACAACGACAAACAACCAGUUGCGUAACGUUGUCCGUAGGAACCAACUUGCUGCACGACAGCAUACGUGUCGCACCCGAUUGCAGUAAACUUGUUCUUGUUAUUGUUUAUUGAAAAUUCAGAAAUCCAAAGGUAGUAAAAUAACCAAUUCCUGUAUGAUGUGUUGUAACAAUCAUAGCUUGUAUUAUAAAGUAUGCGCAAUCGACCAUCGGUAGAUAUGUUGAUGACUUCGAUGUCACCGUAGAACGGUUUGUGGGGUAUGAAACUGGUGUUACAGUUGAUGAAAAAGCCUGCAGUGAUGUUGCAAUCGCCGCCGGUACCGAACGGGUAUGGGAUGAUAACAUCUCCGCAGCGGCUUCGGCAGCCAGGUUUUGCUACCGCUGGUGUUGAAGCUUUUACCGUCAAUAUAACAUUAAGCAAGAUCAUCAGCUGCAUACGCGCUAGUGAUCUGAUGGAACCCAUGGAUGUUUUUUCUAGACUGGAGGAUACCAAUGCAUCAAUUUACAAAUUCAGAAAUAUAUAAAAAGGGUUAGGGAAGCCUGCUUGACCUUACUAAAUACUAACAGUAGGGAGGACGUAAAGUGACCCAAAAGACGAGCGGGGAAUAUCAGUGUUGUCUGUUCUUUGGCUUUCGCUGUUGAAUAACGCGUGGUGACUUUGGAUUGUCCAUAAUUUCUUGGAAUUGAAAUGCUAACUUUGAUUCUGUCAAAUUAUAUAUAUACACAUAUUUAGUGCCUGAUGGCUGUCUAUGGCAGAUAUAAGCUUGUUCUAAAUGUUAGAUGAAAAAACAUUUUGCAUUAAUAAUACAAGAUAAAUAAAUAUUGAAAAUUUAUUCGGUAAAGAAUUUUUAAAAUUCACGAGUUUCCAUAUGUGACAUAAAUAUUUAAGUAUUAGAAAAAAUAAAACACAUUCGGAUUAAGUAUUGCUACUCCAAAAAAGAUAUUAAGUGAUUAUUAAGAAAAGAUAUUUAAUAUAUUUUAAAAUUUGAAUAUAAUUAAAAAUUUAUUGAAAAGUCAUAUCUACCUAAAUCAAGAUUGUGUAUGUUAAUGAUAAAUAUUUAAAAGAAAAUCAAAGCAACAUCAAUUUUUACUACUCCAGACAAUUAUAUGAAGCGAUAGAUGAAUGCAGUUACAACGCAAUACUUUCACAUGGAUUAUAAAGUAAAGAUAUUAGAAAUUAUAUCACUUACCUAGUGUUUUCUUUUAGAAUUUUUGCCAUUUAACUAAGUGAUAACUAUCUGAUACCGGACAUUCAAUCCCCUUUGGUUUAUAUGUAAUUUGCUUUUAAAAUUAUUGUUUUCCUCUGCUUGCACAAGCAUUAAUAAAUAAAAUUAGUAAAAGAAGUGAAACACAUCUUCAUCUAGUGGAUUCCAUUCUCGUAAUUAAAUCAUAAUCUUUGAGAAAAUUAGAAGAUUGAUAAAAUAAUUUAUUAAUAUUCAAACUUAAAUAAAGAUAAAAUAUGAAUACAUAUCUAAAAGAAAGAUAUUUAAUUAUAAAAUAUGAAUACGUAACUAUACAAUUCUUACAUUUAGACAUAGACAUCUAAAACUUGAUAGCAAACAUACAUGUACAAAGUUCUAAUAAGUAGAAAACUUAGGUCUUUUCACUUGGUUUUGCUUGCAAUACAAGUAGAUUUUAUGAUUUUCUUUUACAUUGAUAAUAUAAUACAACAAAGUGAAGUUAAAAAUAAUUGAAAUGCGGAUAAAUUUGAUGUGAAAAUGAUAUUAAAAUUAUAAAUUUUAAGUUAUCAAGGUUGACUAGGUUUUAAAUUAGUUUGAUAUAUAUUAGCUGUAAGAUCUAACCUGAAUUCUAUAUUAAUUAAUUAUGAGAUGAAUAAAGAUGUCGUAUGUAAAUGAUAUUAAAUAAUUAAUCAAACAUAAAUCAAAUCAAAGUAAUUGGAAAAAAUAUUUUAGUUUAAGUUGAUUUGAUUUGAUUUGAAUGUUAUGUUUGAUGAUGAAUUGAUUAGUUUGAUCUUUAAUAAAGAAAAGUUCCUGUAAGUAUGUUUACUUUUUUUUUUAAUAAAGAAAAUGAAGGUCAUAAAUAAAUAGUGAAAGAAAAACUAAUCAAAUGAAGAUUUUUCAUUUUAAAUAGAGAUGAGCUUCCAUCAAAAUAAUUUGUUAGGAAAUAAAAAUAGUAUGAAUGGACCACAAAAUUAAUUGCAUUCUCUUUUAUUAAAAAAAUAUUAAAAAGUCCAAACUACAAUUCCAAUUGUAAACUCAAAUGGAUUAAAUAAAGUACAACACAUUGAAUAGUCUUUGUUAACAUUCCAAUUGUCUUAAUCAUCACAACUGUACAUGUUGACUAACAAUCUUCAUCAUCACCAAGUAAUUACUCCAAAAUUUGUCUAAACUAAUAUUAAAAACAUUCUUUACCUUCCCUAUUUUAGACCCAUUCUAAGCAAUAAACUUCUUGGAAGUGAUCAUGGCUUGCAAAUGACACUUAUAAUCAUGCAAAUUCUUCAAAGUAAUAAAAGUAAUGGCAAAACAUUUCUUACUAGGACGACAAUCAACCCAAAGUCCAUUUGUGAUUAUACACAAAAAUUGUAAUAGAAGAAGCAUGCUAAAUUAAAAUGAGAUGUUUUACGAACAUCCUUCAAAAUUAAAUUGAUACAACGUGCUGCACAUGGUGACCAAAAGAUGUUAGGAUACUUCUCAUGACAAAAUUUCCUAACAUCUUUAUAAUUUGCAGCAUUAUAUGUAAUUAGCUAGACCACAUUGCUCAAACCAACAAUUUUUACAAUCUUCGCAAAUAAAUUGCAAAGAGUAUCGACAUCUAAAAUCAUGUCUGAUGCGUUAAUGGGUUUGAUAAAGCAUAAUCCUUUAGGAAAAUAGACUAGAAACUUGGUUGAUGACUUUUGUCUCGUAUCUUUCUACCCACCUCCCAUUAUGGUGCAUCCACAUUCUACCUCAAUGCUGUAAAUCCCUUUUUGAGUAUUCUAGUAGAUUGGUUCACAAUGCAUGAUAUGAUGGAGCUUUGUAUCUCAAUCCCAUAUAUGCUAUGGCAUCAAGGCACAGUUGAAACUUGUGAAUCUUUGAUCCUAUUUGUAGAGUCUAAAAACUCCGUUGGCAAUAUAUCAAAUAAAUUAUUUUAUUUUUUUAAUAUUUUAACACUUGUCAAUCUCCUGACAUUGGUUAUGGAGUCUAAAAACUUUAUUGGUUAUGUACCAAAUAAUAUUCCAAAUAAAAAAGUAUUAACUUGACAGUGUACUUUUUUUAUUCCAUAAGCAUUCUUAAAAAAAUUGACAUUGUCUUUCUUUUUAAUAUCUAUUUUUUUUUAAUAUUUCACUAUACUUUUACAAGACAUUUGUCCACCCCUGAUCAUGCUUAUGAAGUCUAAAAAUUCUACUAAUUGUGUUUUGUUAUAAAAUAAAGAAAGAUGGAAAGAAUAUUGAUCAAUUGGGAUGAUUACAAUGCUUCAUCAGAGUCUCUAUUUAUAGGCAUAAGAAGUAUAAAAGAAGUAGAGAUCUAAUUCUAAUAACUAUUAGAAUUUAAAGUACAUUAAAACUUUAUCUUGAUCAUGAUAGACAUCCACUUAAUAAGAUAUUCAUAACACUCCCCCUUGCAUAUCCAUUGGUAGAUAAUAUACCUCGUUAAAACCUUAUUAAGAAACCCUGUGGGAUAAAAACCUAAUGAAGGAAAAAGAGUACACAAUCUAUAAUACGCAUAAUAUGCUGCCUCAUUAAAAACCUUACUAGGAAAACCCAAUUAGACAAAACCUCGAUUAAGGGAAAAAGAGUAUAACACAUAUUUACUCCCCGUCAUGAAAACAUCACAUACUUUCUCAUAUUUUACGUAUUCAAUCUUGAAUACUAGUUUUUCAAAUGUCUAUUUGAAUGUAUUGCUAAGUAUUUAUAUCACUAUUCUUUUAAAAGUCAUGAGUGAGGGAAAUUUGGGAAAAUACAUUUUGAUCUCUUUAGGAGAUUCAACAAUAAUCAUAACAAACUUUAAUUCUUUUGUAAAAACACAAAUGGGUAUUUUGGAUCAUUUUAUAAUCCUCCUUCAAUUACUAUUCACUAAGUCAAAUUUAACACAUAUAUUCAAAUUAUUUCAAUUCAUAUAAAUGAACAAUUUCUCGAGAAGUUCAAUAUGCUUCUAGCAUCCUAAAUCCUUUAAAGAUUUUACUAUAAACUUUACUAUAUAGUGAUUCAUAAAAGGUUGUAAUAAUAACCAUUAGACGCAAGUUAAAUCUUUUAUGAAUUGUCAAUUUAAUAAUAUAUCUAAAGGUUAUUGCAUCCACCACAAAAGAAUAUUAUAUCUUUUCAUAAUUAAUGGCAGAACUUAGCGAAAAACUUUAUAUUUUUAUUCUGCUUUUGCAGAACUACUUCAAUUGAACCCUCACUGACUUUAUACCUUUAGAUAUUUGGACUACUGGUCCAAAAACUCUAGAAAUUUAAUUGUACUUGAGUUAUGUCUUUUUAUUUUGAUCAAUUUAUUCCAUAUCUAUAUUUCUCAAUAGAUUUAUUCAAGAUCCUCCUUUUACCUCAUUAUUUCAAUAGUAAUAUUGCAUGCAAAAUCAUUGUCGACCAAUUUUAUUAUUUGGUUCCACAUUUUCUCGAAUUGACAUAACUUAUCGAGAUCUCUUAUUUUUAUUAUUUUAAAAUUCAGUUUCAGGUACCUGAAUCUCUUGUAAAGUUUUACUUAUUAGUUAUGUCUUAGGUCUCUUCUAGAGCACCCGCCUCUACUGUAUGACCAUCUAGAAGAAUUUUCAUUUUGGAACCGAUAAAUCUAUUAUUUAUUAUAACUAAUUGUCCUACUGGGACUUUGAUUCAAAUUAAAAUAUUAGAUGAUAUAUAACACUUGGUUAUUCUCAUUAUUCAAAUUAAAAUAAUAUCAAGAAAUGAAAAAAAAAUUUUAAAACGUGACAUUAUAAGCACAAUCAUUUCUGGUUAAUGAAAUAUAAGCAUAACUAAUUGGCUUUCUAAUUCCAGCUUGAGUUUAUCAUUUCACUUUGUAAUUAAAUCUUUAAUUAAGCUUGUAAAUUGACGUGAUAUUAUGAGUUUUAUCGUUUCACUUUGUAGUUAAUUUUUUUUAAAUGAGAUGAAAAUAAUAUUUCGACGACUAAGAAUAGUGAUAGUAACUGAUUUAUUUGGUUUACAAACUAAGUUUUUAGAUGUAUAUUUGAGGGAAAAUGGCCCCGAUAACAGCUUUUGUUCAUAAUAUCAUGGAAAAGUUAUUAACGCAUUCAUUCCGGUGAAAAAAAAAGUAAGAGUGGAAAAAAGAUUUGGUUUUGUCAGAUGUAGUAAUAUGACGGAUGGGAGAAGGGCUAUUAGUCGAUCAAACGACUAUGAUAUUUUAGGAAAUGUUAGACUUUCACAAAAUAUUCAUAAAAGAAGACUUUAUUACUGUUUAUUAUUUCUCCUUUAAUGCAUGCAGAAGUCUCAUGCAUUUAUAGACAUACGUACAAUAAAGAAACUCUGGUAACAGACUAACUGCAAUCGAUAACUACACUAAUAGCCUUAACAACUUUAACAACUUUGAUAACUACUCUAACAUUCCCCUUGCUUAUUUGUUUUUGUAUUACAAAGAUCUCUUGAUGGCAGCACUCGAAGAGCACGUCUGAAGGAAGAAAAUUGCUUAGGCGUGAUCGGUUUUGUAAGGACAUCUGCAAUUUGUUGAGCAGAGGGAACAAAAUUGACUUGUAAACAACCAGCAAGUAUUUUUUCCCGAACAAAAUGAUGGUCUAUUUCAACGUGUUUCAUUUUGGUAUGAUGAGUGGGAUUUUCAGCAACAGAUAUUGUGGAAGAGUUGUCGCACCAGAUGGUUGGUAUCUUAGACAUUGACAUUCCAACUUCAUUUAGCAACUGUUGAGUCGAUAGGAGUUCAGACACGCAGUUAGCUAAGUUGCGAUAUUCUGCUUCAGCAGAGGAACGAGAGACUACGGACUGUUUCUUUGAACACCAAGCCACAGGAUUUGACCCAAGAUAUAUCACAUAUCCAGAAGUGGAACCCCGAUCUUCGAUGGAAGAGGCCCAGUCAACAUCCGAAUAUCCUACCAGUUCUAGUUGUCCUGCUGUAAGACACAAACCAUGAUCCAUGGUGCCAGCUAAAUAUCUUAAUACACGUUUGACUGCCCUCCAGUGAGUGUCACUUGGUGCACUCAUGUAUUGGCUAAGUUUAUUGGUGCAAAAUGACAAUUCGGGUCGUGUAAUACAAACAUACUGAAGCAUGCCCACAACACUUCUAUAUAAGUGCACAUCAGAGAAUGGAGGACUGCCAUCAGAAGCUACCAGCUUAGGCGUGCUUACCAUCGGAGUUAGCGUGGAUGUUGCUCCAAGCAUUCCAGUUUUCUCAAGUAGUUCAGUAACAUAUUUCUUUUGACUGAGCAUCAGUCUCUGUGAAGUGCGGCGAACAUCAAUGCCCAAAAAAAAACUGAGUGCUCCCAUGUCCUUGAGAGCAAAUUUGCUGUGAAGACACUGCACAACAUCUUCAAUGUCUUGAUCAUGACUUCCAGUAAGUACAAUAUCAUCAACAUAGACCAUGAGUAGAAGACACUUCCCAUCAGACACACGAAUGAACAAGGAGGAAUCAGCUUUAGAUGCUCGAAAAUCGAGUUGAGUCACGAGAUACUCCUUAAGAGUCUGAAACCAGGCGCGAGGAGCUUGUCUCAACCCAUACAGUGCUUUAUUUAGUUUGCACACCAGUUUUUGACCAGAGACACUUGGGACUUCAAAGCCAGGAGGUUGGUCCAUGUAUAUUUCUUCAGUAAGCUUACCAUUGAGGAAAGCAUUGUUAAUGUCGACUUGGCGUAGAGACCACCCCUGCAUAACUGCAAGUGAAAGAACAGUGCGAAUGGUGGAAGCUCGAACCACUGGACUAUAUGUAUUAUGGAAAUCAAACCCAGCAUGUUGAGAAAAACCUUUUGCAACUAACUGAGCUUUGUAUCUGUCAAUGGAGCCAUCAGACUUUCUUUUAACCUUAAACAAUCAUUUGCACCCUACUGCCCUCCGAUUCUCUGGAAGGGAACACAAAGUCCAGGUAUUAUUUCGAGCCAAGGCUUGGAGCUCACUAUAAACUGCUUCCUGCCAACACUCAAACAUCAUUGCCUCAUGAAUAUUGGAAGGAUCAUCUUUUUUGGAAGAAGCUGCUGUACUAAGAUACACCUUUGGCUUAAAAACUCCAGCCUUGCUUCUAGUAAUCAUGUGAUGAUUAUUGAGGGUCAAGGGUUGGAGAGGUUGCUCCUGUUGUUGAAGAGAAGUCAACAUAGGUGCGGAUUGUGGGGAUGGUAUUGUUUGUUGAGAAGAGGGUGUUAAAGGUGAUAAAGUAGGUGUACUAUGUAUUACAUUAUGGGAAGCAGAUUGUGAGUGAGACAUUGCAUGUGAUGGGAUAGGUGUAGUGGAGGUAGGUGGCGUAUUUGGUGGAAGUGUAGACAAAGUGCUAGAACACGACACAUGGGGUGAAGGAACAACUAAAAGUUUAGCACUAACUUGUGAACUAGAAACAGGUGAUGUAACUGGUGAACAAUGACUUUUGUAUGGAAAAGUAUUUUCAUUAAAGGUGACAUGACGGGUAACAUAGACUCUACCAUUGGGGUCUUUACAUUUAUAACCUUUAUGUACUGAGGAAUAACCUAGAAAAACACAGGGUAUUGAACGAAAUUGUAACUUUGCUUUGGUAAACGGCCGAAUGUUGGGAAAGCAUAAACAACCAAAAGUUCUAAGGUAAGAGUAGUCGGGUUUUGUUUGAAAUAGUUUUUCAUAUGGUGAGACAUCACCCAAAGGAUGAGAGGGUAACCUGUUAAUCAAGAACACGGCACUGCAGAAGGCUUCAUUCCAAAACAUCAGAGGCAUUGAUGCAUGAGCUAACAUAGAAAGACCUGCUUCAACAAUCUGCCUGUGUUUACGCUCAACAAGGCCAUUCUGAGCAGAUGUGUAGGGACAUGUGAGUCGGUGCACAAUACCUUGUUGAUUCAGAUAAGUUUUCAAAGCCUGAAACUCUCAUCCCCCGUCUGUCUGCAGAGACUUGAGCUUUGUACCAAGUAUUCUUUCAGCUUGGCGAUGAAAUUGUGGAAACACAUUUUAAACUUCAGAAUUGUUCUUCAGAAAAUAAAGCCAUGUAUACCGAGAAUAGGCAUCAGUGAAGGCAAUGUAAUACCGAAAACCAUUGGAAGCAAUUGGAGCUGGUCCCCAAACAUCAGCCACAAUCAGUUGUAGAGGUGAAGUAUACACAGUUGCUGAUUUUGUAAAAGGAAGCUUACAUUCCUUACCAAGAUGGCAUGCCACACAAUCAACAAAUUUAUUACUAUCAGUAAAUGGUAUAUUACAUCUUAUAAGUGCUUUUCUAAGAUUAGCACGACAGGGGUGUCCUAGUCGAUAGUGCCAAACACUAAGAGGAAGUUUGACACUAGUCGAAAAACACUGAGCAGACUUGAAAGGCGCAUGAGCUCCAGUAGAUUGAUUAAUAUGAAGUCUGUAUAACCCAUGAUGAACGGAACCACGAAGUAAAAUCUCCCUUGUCUUCAAAUCACGCACUUGGCACUGAUCAGGGAAAAAUUCAAACAUGACCUGAUUGUCUUUAGCAAACUUGGAGACAGAUAAUAGAUUUUUAGUAAUUCCAGGAAUGAGUAACAAGGAUCGUAUGUACAGAGGUCGAGAGUGAGUAAGCAAGGACGACUGUCCAGCAGACAUAACAGGCAAAGCCGAACCAUUGCCAACAAAUACCUUACCUGGGCUUUUGAAAGAUCCAGAUUCACCAAUGGAGCUAGCUGAAUUUGUUAAAUGAUGCGUGGCACCUGAAUCCGGAUACCAAGAAUUAUCAGCCACAGUUUCAGGGGUUGCUACAUACACCUGAGGUGGUGUUUGAGCUGUACCAGAGGACGGCAUGGGAACCUGUUGUGGAGAACUACCAACAAACGGAUUAGUCCAAGUAGACGAUGGAGGAGUGGAAAAACACCAACCUGAUGAAUUCCAUUGAGGUUGAGAAGAAGUGAACCAAGGCGUAGUAAAAGAACCGGAGCCAGCCAUGCUGAUGUUUGCUUGUAGAGGAGGCCUGUAGUUAGUACUCUUGUAAGAAGAGUCAAACCGAUGAUAACAGCGAUCAACAAGAUGACCAGCCUUCCCACACAACUGACAUUGAAUCUUCGAGUGAAAAAAAUGACCUCGCCCACGCCCCCGAUUCAUAGAUGAUGGUUGAUAAGAAGGAAUGGGAUCAUUAGAAGCUGUGGAGUCAGACGUUUGAUGCAAUACCACGUUAGCAGAACUAGAAACUUCAGUACUCACAAGCUGUUGUCGUGCUUCAGCAUCAAGAAGCAUAGACACUACUCCUUGAACUGUGUAGGGAACUUGGCUGGAAGUAACAAUGGUAAUAACAGAUUCAUAGUCUGGAGGAAGUCCAUUGAGAAUUGCAGUGAUGUGCUCAUGCUCACUAAUGAUUUCACCACAACUGGCAAGAUGAUCACAACAGCCUUUAAUCUUGACCAAAAAAUCUUUCAUGCUCAUUUCACCCUUGCGCUGAGAGUGCAAAGUCCGCCGAUAAAACGUUAAUUUGGAAGUGGUUUUACUCCUAUACAAGGCAACAACUGCUUUCCAGAUCUUCGCACUUGUAUCCAUGCCAAUAAGGUGAGGGAGAACAGACGGACUAAUAGAAGAUAAUAGCCACGACGCAAGCGCACUAUCUUGUUGCUCAAAAUGCGCAAACUCCGGAUUUUCACAACAACCCCCAUUGUCAUCGGAAAUAAACUGAGUAGGAGGAUCUUGAUUCUCAUCCAAGAAACGCUGAAGCUUGUGUGCUUUCACUGCUAAAAGAACUUGCUGUCUCCACAACAAAUAGUUGCUAUCAUCAAGAAGAACACUGAUCUUCUUUGAUGAAAAAAUCUUACUAUCGACAACUCCAUCAACAGAACUGCAGGCCAUACUGAAUAUACACAGCGGAAAAUCAAGUAAAAAACACCAAGAAACACUUUAAAUCUGAUACCAUGUUAGACUUUCACAAAAUAUUCAUAAAAGAAGACUUUAUUACUAUUUAUUAUUUCUCCUUUAAUGCAUGCAGAAGUCUCAUGCAUUUAUAGACAUACGUACAAUAGAGAAACUGCUGGUCACAGACUAACUGCAAUCGAUAACUACACUAACAGCCUUAACAACUUUAACAACUUUGAUAACUACUCUAACAGGAAAUAGAUUAUUGGUGACUUAGCCAAGUUUAAGGAGGGAGAUAGAUAUGGAAAAAAUCUUCAACGGAAGGAAAUGCAGAACAGAGACAGAACGAAAAAAUAAAAUGGGGGAGAAUGAAAAGUUGCAAGAAUUUAGCAAAACAGAAUUAGGAGAAAGUUCCUCGAGGAGUAAUAAUGAUCCAAAUAAGAUAGAAAAGGAGGAUGACAAGGUAAAGAAUAUCAGCAUAGUGGUUCAAGGACAUGUUGAAGAGGAGCAACAUUGGAAGCUUCAUAGAUGUUUGGUGGGUACAACAGCAGCGUGUUGUGAUACAAAAAGUUUAUUUGAAAGAAUAGUUAGGAAUGGAUUAGGGGAAAAUUACAGUCAAAAGAAUUCAAGGAAGAUAAUUUUUUAUUGAAAUACCAGAUGAGGAAUUGUUUGAUGUGUUAAAGCAAAACGAUUGGGCGUACUUAAGAGAGUUCUUUAUUAACAUAUAACUUUGGUCAGGGACAAUAAUGGUAGAGGAAAAAGUGUCGUGGAUUGAAGCAUAUGGUAUCCCCCUACACUGUUGGAACUAUACUUCCUUCAAAAGAAUAGCAAUUGUAUAGGGUGAGUUAAUAUCCCUUGGAGAGAAGCCGGUAAUGGUUAACAGCUUGGAUAAAAUGUUAAUGUUGGUAUCCAUCAAGCAACCGAAAAGAAUAAACGAGAUAAUUUAUUUAGAGGUGGGGAAGACUAAAUUUCCCAUAAGAGCCACUGAAAUGGGAUUAUCGAAAUUUAAAGGUGAUAACAGAAAGGUCUAUAGUGUGAAGGGAAGAGAAGAGCAUGAAUUAGUACAGGAAAGGGAUGACACUUUCGUGUCUGAAUCUGAAUCAACGAUGAGAUUAGGAUUGGAACAGAAUCCAGAGGAGAGACAAGGUUGGGAAAAUGAAGCAAUCAAUGCGAUUAUUCUCAAAAAAUCAAACGAUAAUUGCGGAUGUCAGAACAUUUCUCAAAACGUGAUUAAGUUGGAAGAGAAACUGAUCAGUGGAAUUAGGGUCGAAACUAGGGUGGGGGAAGGAUUUAAAAAGUGUGCAACAACCGGGCCAGGGAAUAUAUGAGUAAUAUGGGCUUCGCAAUAGAUGAAUUAGGAUUGGAAAAUGUGGAUGGGGUCUAAGAUGAGCAACGAAAUAGUGAGAAGGGUAUGGGCUUGGUGAUGGAUGUGGGCUUACAGAAAGUCAAUCCAAAUAAGUUAGAGGGGAACAGAUUGCAACAAACAAAAUGAAAAAUUGGGUGAUUUGGGAGGAGGAGGAGUAGAUAGAGAAAAAAAGGUUUCAGUUGAAGCACCUUCAAAUUUUCUUAAACAGAAGAAACAAAAAAGUGAUGGAAGAAAGAUUUGAUUUAGAAUAGAAUUCUUUUAGCAAUGGAGAAGAAGAAGAGAGAUCGGGCGUUGAAAAAGUAGAAAGGCAAAUGAAUUGUGGGCAGAGAGAAAGUUAUUGUUAAUGCUUCUCUCUCAAACUCUGACAUUAGCAAUAGAAAUAGAUUGAUUCUUAGGGAGGCAAGGAACGCAUGGAAAGUGGGGAAAAAUCUUGGGUUCAGCAUUCGGGGCAACGAACGAGAUGUUGUUAGAGAGAAUAUGAAAUUGGAAGAAAUGUAAAUCUGAGAAAAAAAGAAAAGUACAGAGGUCAAUAGGCCACAGGUUAGGUUAGUACCAAUUAUAAUCGUGAUUUUUUACUGUGAAUAAGAGUCUUUGGGGGAAAGAAUGAGGAUUUUAUAAUGGAACAUUAGGGGUAUGUCUUCAGAUUUGAAAAAAAAGUUAUCUCAAAAGAGUAAUCUUUAAAGCUAGAAUAGAUGUUUGCUUCAUUUAGGAAUCAAAAUUAGAAGAGGUUACGUAGGGAAUUCAACUAUUGUAAGGAAUUUAGGAGGUGUAAUUACAGUAUGGGAUAAAGGUAAGUUUUGAGUAGGUAGUUAUAUAUGUUCUAAACAUUUUGUACUAGUGGAAGGAAAAUGGUUAGAAGAAGGUUUGGAAGCUACGUUGAUUAAUGUUUAUGCACCUAAUGGGACUUCAAAUCAAAAAUCUUUAUGGGAGGAAAUUGUGGAGUUGAAGGGCUCGUUUGCCUACUCAUGGAUCAUGCGGGUGAUUUUAACACAGUAAGAAAAAGGAGUGAAAGAAGUAAUUGUGUGGGACUGGUGAAUGGUUCAAAGGCAUUUAACAGUUUUAUUGAUGAUUGUAAAGUGGUGGAUUUACUUCUGAUGGGUAAGAAGUUCACUUGGUUCGGGCCAAAUAACAAGAUGAGUAGAUUGGAUUGAUUUUUAUUGGAUGAAUAAUGGUUAAUUCGCUUCAAAGACUUUACUCAGAAAGGCUUUUAUAGAUCGGUUUCCGAUCAUAUUUCGUUACUACUAUAUAAUGAUUUUGUGGAUUGGGGAUCGCGCCCAUUUAAUUUUCUUAUUGCAUGGAUCAUAAAAAAGGAGUUCACGAAUCUUAUUAAUGAAGUAUGGGGAGGGAUGGGUGAAGCUAAAAUAAGGAUGUUCGGAAAGCUAAAGAGGUUGAAACUGGUUAUCAAAGAAUGGAAUGAAAAAUCUAGUAGGAAUGAAGAUAAAAGAAAUAGAAAUGAUUGAAAGAAAAUUUUCGGAAUAGGAUGAUAUUGGCAGCCACAGAAAUUUGAAUGAAAAGGAAAUAGAAGAAAGUAGCUGAUUGAAUAUAGAGUUGUGGGAUGCAAUUAGGUUCCAUGAAUCAGUGUGGCGUCAAAAAUCAAGGUUGUUAUGUUUAAAAGAAGGUGAUUCCAACAUUGUUUUUUCAUAAAGCAGUGAAAUUUAGAGCUAAAAAAAUUAUUCAAAGGCUCAGAUUUGAGUCUUAUUGGUGCAAAGAACCGGAGCUACUGAAGAAAAAAAUGUUCGAGUACUUUAGCAACCAUUUUAGUUGUCCAGUUAGAAAAUGAGUAGUGAAGAUGGAUCUAAAUUUUAAAAGAUUAAUAGAGGAAGAAGCUUCAAGGCUUGAAAUGCCUUUCACGAUGGAGGAGAUUAAAGACGCAGUUUGGGGUUGCAAUGAGUUUAAAGCUUUAGGGCCUGAUGGGUUUAAUAUGUUCUUCUUUAAGAAAUGCUAGUAGGUGAUGAGGGAGGAUUUAUUCAACAUGAUGAUGGGGUUAUUUAGACUUGAAAAGCUUGAAAAAAAGUAUAAAGUCAUCCUUCAUAGCUCUUAUUCCCAAAACCGAUUUGUUUGAUAGGAUCUUUAUAUAAAAUAGUGGCUAGCUAAGGUGCUGUCUAGACGAAUUCGAGAGGUGAUUGAUGGUGUAGUGAGCGAUACUCAGUGUACAUUUAUAAAAGAGAGACAGAUUUUUGGCAAAAUUCUGGUGGCAAAUGAAAUUAUUCACUCAAUUGUGAAAAAUUCGAGCUCGGGUGGUAGUUUAAUUUUGAAGUUGGACUUUUCAAGAGCCUAUGAUUGUGUUAGAUGAGGCUUUUUGGAUUUGGUACUUUUUUAGAUAGGGUUUGGGGUGAAUAGAGAGGGUGGAUAUCUAAUUGCGUAUCUACAACAAGAGCAACUAUUCUUGUCAACUGAUUGACAACAAAUGAGUUCAGAAUAAGCAGGGGCUCAGACAAGAGAUCUGCUUUCUCCAUUUCUGUUUAUUCUAGUAACAUAAGUGUUUCACUUGAUGCUUGAGAAGGCUGAAGAUAUUGGGUUAAUUGCUAGCAUUUAGAAUAUAAUCCCGAAUCAAUCAUUCUCUCUUCUACAAUUUGUAGAUGACACCAUUCUCUUUUUGAAAGCUGAGGAAGAGUAUGUUCUAAAUAUUAUAUAUAUUUUAAGGUGUUUCGAAUCUUUUUUUUGUCUUAGUAUUAAUUUUCAGAAAUCAUGCUUGGUGGGAUUUUGGACGAAAGAGGAGUUUCUUUUGCGCAUGGCAGCAUUUGGUGCUGAUCCGAGAAAAAUAGCUACUUGGGAGCCAAUUGUGGAAAAAUAUCGGAAGAAACUAGCUGGUUGGAAAUGUCAGUCGCUCUCUUUUGUUGCAAGAGUAAUACUAACUAAUUUGUUACUGUUAGCCCUCCCUAUAUAUUUCAUGUCAUUAUUUCAAGCCCCUAUCACGGUGAUAAAUAGAAUCGAUAAAAUCAGAAGAAAAUUUAUGUGGUGAGGUACAAAUGAAAGAAGAAGAAUGGCAAGAGUUGGAUGGAAUCAAGUGUGUUUACCAAAACAAUUAAGAGGGGUUGGUGUGGUAAAUCUUAAAAUUAGAAUCGGGCUAUUGUGGCAAAAUGGGGAUAGAAAUAUGCUACGAAAAAUAACGCUUUGUAGAAAAAAGUUAUCCAUUCGAAGUAUGGCUCACCUAUGCAACAUUGGUGAUUUAAGACAUCUAAACCAAAAGAGAUGUCGAUUGUAUGGCGCGAUAUUAUGAAAAAUUCAAAAUUAGAGGAAGUAUCAAAAUGGAUUAGGACAGAAUCUUUUAGGUAGGUGAUUGGGAAUGGGAAAUCGUUCCUCUUUUGAGAGGAUAUUUGGUGUGGUAAUUGACCUCUGAAGGUGGAGUUUCCUAGAUUGUUCAGACUUGCUAUUGUGAAGAAUAUUGUGGUCAACAAUGUAGUAAGGAAUAAUGGGUUUGAGGAGGUAUAUUGGGGAGGACGUUUUCUCAAGGAAGUUGCUGGGUAAAGAGGUAAUUAUGUUGAACAAUUUCAAGAAUUUGAUUAGGAGUUUUGAACUAGAUCUUGAAGUGGAGGACUGUAUCAUUUGGAUUCAUGAUAGUGCCAGAGAGUUUACAGUUAGGAAGUUGUCUCAAUUGUUGUCUUAUGAUGGAAUAGGAGCUAUUGAUUUCCCAUUUGAAAGGAUUUGAAAAUUGAAGGUACCACCAAGAGUCCAAAACUUCCUAUGGAUGUUGUUUAUUAAGAGUUGCAACGAAGGAUUUUUUGAUUAGCCGGGGGGUAAAUCUGGAUAGGUGUACAAAAAAUAUUAUGGUGGAUUACGAUUUCGGUGUCAUGUUGGACCGUGUAGUUAGCUUGGAACGAUAAAGUGUUCGACAGGACAUCGACGAAUCUAGAUACAAUAUUGUACCACUCUAAAAUGAUAACUUUGAUGUGGGCUAGGGCAGUGCAUGAAGAAUGUCAAUUUUAGGAACGUUAUUGGUGGUAUUGGCGAGCGAAAUUUAGCUCCUCAAAAAGCAUGACAAACAUUAUUGUUUACCAUUGGAAGCCACCUCCUCCCGAAUGGAUGAAAUUCAAUAUGGUUGGCUUUGUUUUGGAGGAUGAAGCGGGUUGUGGUGAGGUUUUGAGAGAUGAUAAAGGAGUGACUUGUGCGUUUUUCUCGGGUCGGAUCGAAGCUAAGGGAACAAAAAAUGGCAAAAAUAAUAGCAAUUAAAAUAAUAGUGGAUAUGGAUAUUGGAUCGAGUCCGAAGGCACAUGUUCCAUUAAUAAUUGAAUUAUGCUCGUUUGUUGCUUCAGAAUGGUUGAUAAAUAGGAGUUAUAGACCUUGGUUAUUACGUAAAUUGUUUGGUGACAUCGACUAUGGCAUUAAACAGUUGGCUCAAUUUCAGAUCGCAGUUAUUCAUCGACAAAGUAAUGGUAUGGAGGAUGCUUUUGCAGAAACAGGUAUAUCGAGAUCUUCUUUUUUUAAAGCCUUGUGGUGAAUUUGUUAAAUGCAUUCUUUUGCUUUUUGUGCGGAGGUUUUUGUAUCUGGUUGUUUGUUGUAUUAUUGUCGUAUUCUUGCUAUUCUUGAAACAGCUAGUGGUUCCAAUGUCUUUCUUGAAUUAUUUUAUUCGACUGAGAAAAAAAAACUUUAUAUUAUAAAUUUCUUUCUACUUUAGCAAUUAUUUUGGAAUUAGAAUACUUCUCAAUUCAUAUUAUUUGUUUAUAUUAAAUUAUAAAGUAAAAAUUUAAAACUUUAAAAAUACUAUAAACCUCUACAAUUUGUACAUUUAGACAUAGACUUCUAAAACUUGAUAGCAAACAUAUAUGUACAAAGUAUUAAUUGGUGGAAAACUUAUGUCUUUUUACUUAGUUUUGCAUGCAAUAAAUUUUAUGAUUUUUUUACAUGAUACUAUAAUAUAACAAAGUAAAAUUAAAAAUAAUUGAAAUGCGGAUAAAUUUGAUGUGAAAAUAGGGAUAAUAAAAUUAUAUAUUUUAAGUUAUCAACAUUGAUUAGGUUUAAAAUUAAGUGUAUAUAUUAUCUAGAUUUAAGUUCUAACAUGAUUUUUUUAUUAUAUUGAUUAUGAGAUGCACCAAUAUGUAAAUGACAUUAAAUAAUUAAUAAAACAUAAAUCAAAUCAAAAUAGUUGGUAAAAGUGUUUUAGUUGAUUUGAUUUGAAUUGAAUAUUUUAUGUUUGAUGAUCAACCGAUUAGUUUGAUCUUUAAAAACUUGAGUCCCCGAACGUAUGUUUACUUUUAACUUUUUAAUAUAAAAAUAAAAGUUAAAAUAUAUAGUAAAAGAAAAACUAAUCAGAAGAAGAAUUUUCAUUUUUUAAAUAGAGAUGAGCUUUCCUACAAAAUAUUUGGUGGAAAAUUCAUUAGGAAAGGAUAUUGUAUGAAUGUACCACAAAAUUAAUUGCACUCCCUUUGAUUAGAAAAGUAUUAAAAAGAUAAAAACGUCAUAAUCCAAACUCCAACCUUCAAAAUCCAAUACCAAUAUCAUUCAAAAUUGCAAACUCAAAUGGAACAAAUAAAGUAGAAUACAUUAGAAUAGUAUUCAUUAACAUUCCAAUUGUCCCAAUCAUCACAACCAAAAUAAAAAAGAUAAUCUUCAACAAGUUGGCUAACAAUCUUCAUGAUCACAAGUAAUCACUCAAAUAUUUGAUGUCUAAAAUAAUAUUUUGAACAUUCUUUGCCUUUACUAUUUUAGACCCAUUCCAAGCAAUAAAAUUCUUAAAAGUGACAUGACUUGCAAAUGGCACUUACAAUCAUAAAAAUUCUUUAAAGCAACAAAAAUAGUAGCAAAGCGUUUCUCACCAAGAUUACAACCAAUCCAGAGUUCAUUUGUGAUUAUACACAAAAACUAUAAAAGAAGAAUCACGCUAAACUAAACUCUUAACAUGAUAUAUUUACCAAUAUUCUUCUAAAUUAAAUUGAUGCAAGGUGCUGCACAUGGUGACCAUAAGAUGGUAGGAUACUUCUCAUUAAGUAAUCUCCUAGUGGCUUUAUAGUUUGCAGCAUUAUAUGUAAUUAGUUAGACCACAUUUGUAACACCCCAAAGAUUUAAUUCUUGCUUUGAUAAAACUUUGUCAUAGUUAAAUACCUACUUUAGUGGUUAAGGGCAUUGGGUGUGAAGGGUGGGUUGUGAGUUUAAGUCUUUUGGAGAGUAUUUUGCUAAGUAAUUUUUGGUUGUAUUACUUAGUAGAAUUUGAGUUAAAGUUUAACUCUAAGAGUGGGGGGGAUAUAUGUUGCUUGAUUAUGGGGAUAGGAGGUGGGUAGUUGUAUUGGUUUAAAUUAUAAGUUUUAAUUUAUUAAAACAAACAAACAAACAAAACUUCUUCCCUCAAACCCACAUUUCCACUUUCUUUCUUUUCUUGUUUUUUUUCUCUCUUCUUACACCACUGUCAUUUUGGAAGUGGGUAAUUUUUAAUCUUUCUUUUUGCUAUCCUAUUGACAUUUGAUUACUUGCAAUUGGAGGCUGCUUGUUUGGCUCCUUCACUUUUGUUAUCUUAGGUAAUGUUAAUGGAUCUUUAAUCGUUUAGUUUUGGGGUUAUGAGAUGCUAGUGGUGUUAUUAUUUUGUAGUCGUUAAUUAUUUAGUUCUGUGUUUAGGUAAAGGUCGUGAGACAUUUGGCACUCCUUCAACAUCGUACUUUCGCAUGGUUGUGGUUUGAUUAACUGUAAGACUAUGGAAGUGUUUUGGUGUUGGAAAAGUUUAAUUCUUAAUUGCCUUGUGCCUCGUUACCAUUAUAAUCUUUUUAUUUAUUGUAUUUCGGUCUCAGGAGUCUUGUGGUUGCAUUCCCGUCGAAAUCAAACCAAAUGGGUAACGAGAAACUCGAAAUCUAUGAACGGCGAAAGCCAAAAUUGGGGCCUGUCGACGCCACGUGGCCGUGUACGACACAAGGUCUAGGCCAUUUUUGGUCGUGUGGGCCUAAUUUUAAGAAUUUUUUCCUAAGGUCGUGUAAGUCAUCCCGAUUGACUGUGAGCCUUCUGAGGGGUUGGUAUGUGUUUAUAUAAGCCUUAAAGCAUGAAAUUUGCUAAUUUGUUAGUAUGAAUUUUGACGUAAAUAACGCCUAAAAAUGCAUGUAAUGUGAUAUGUGUGAUAUGUUAUUUAUAGGCAUGUUCAAUAUCUGUUAUACGAGCAUGCAUGAUAUUUAAACUCUGGUAUCUGUUAUUUCUAUUAUUUUCGGUGUUCUGUUCAUAUCUGGCAAUGGGGCGAGUUAUGUAUUAUGAGGAGGAAGUGUUUUGCUUAAGAUGUUAACUCGCCAUUAUACUAGUAGCACUGCUGUGAUUAUUCUGAAAAGUGUCAUAAGGACACUAAGUGGUGUGUAGGGAUGGGUGGGUGUUUUAUACCCCACAUGGUGUGCUGGGAUGGUCGGAGCUGAGGUGUAGAGGAUGGGGGUAGGAUUAUAUUUAUCUACAUCUAUACUACUCUUAUACGAUUCUGAUUCUGUAUAAGAAAUAUGAUUGUAUAUGUUCUUUUAUGUGAUUAGAUUUGAAUUUUUGUUUCUUUUGAGUUAUACACUAAGUUAUAAAAACUCACACUUUGUUUGUCUGAUAAUUUUAGGUAACCCUCUGACUUAGGCGGGUCGGUGCGACGGGAGCUCGGUUAUGUCCACAAUUUCAUAAAACUUUAUUUAAAUAAAUUUGGCUUAUUUAAAAUUUCUGAUUUGAGAGUUUUGUAAUUUUUGGACUCUCUAAACAUUUAAGUUUGUUAUUGGUUUGGAUUUUGUUUUGGGUUUUUGCUUGACAUUUGAUAAAACGAUUUUUUUUUUGAAAAAAGGCUAUGUUUUUGUGAUUAACUAUUUUUAAGAAAACAAACUCGGAUUUUCAAAAUAUAACGCUUUAAGAACUUUUGUUGCAACUUAUUUGAUUUAAUUUAGGAAAUGAAAUCAACUAUCAGUUUUAACUAUUAAGUAUGACAAACGUUUUUCAAUUAAAACGGACUUUUAAAUUAAAUAGCAAAGGUUCACAAUAUUUUUCAAAAAUCGAAAGUUAGAUUUAUAAUUAUUUUACGUAAUAUUCUAGAUUCAGCCAUAACGUCUAGGCCGGGUUUUAAGUGUUAAAACAUUGCUUGAACAAAAAAUAUUCAUAAUCUCCACAAACAAAUUGCAAAGAGUAUCGACAUCUAAAAUCAUGUUGAAUGCAUUAAGGGAUUUGAUGAAGCAUAAUCCUUUAGGACAAUACACUAAAAGAGUGGUUAAUGACUUUUGUUUCAAAUCUUUCUACCCACCUCUCAUUAUGGUGCAUCCACGUUUCACCCAAAUCCUUUUGUAGAAUUCAAAUAGCCAUAAAUCCCUUUUUAGAGUAUUCUAGUAGAUUGGUUAACAAUGCAUGAUAUGAUAUAGCUUUGUAUCCCAAUCCCAUAGAUGCUAUGGCAUCAAGGCACAGUUGAAACUUUGCGAGACCCUUUUUGCAUUUCUUUGAUAUUUGAUUAAACUUUUUAAAAGUCUAUUUGGGUGAGAGCUUGGGAAGAAAACUUUCAUUUCUUGCAAGGUUUUAGAAAAUAUUCUAAACAUAUAUUUACUUUUUGGGGUAAACAUAAUAAAUUUUUAAGAAAUUUUAAAAAGGGUUUUGAAUAACCCAAAUUCCCCGUUCAAAUUCCAGAGAUAGUUUUUUAAAAUUCCAUUCAUUUAAUAGAUGUGAUCUCACAAUAAAAUAAGAAAAAUGGCUAGCAUUUGGUACAUAUGCAAUGUACUUUUUUUAUUUCAAGCAUCCUUAAAAAAUUGUCAUGUCUCUUUUGUAAAAUUAUAUAUUUUUUGGGUAUGCAUUUGAUAUAUUGGUAAUAUAUUUUUUUUCCACAAGCAGUAUUGAAAAAUUGACAAGUCUCUUUUUAUAAAUAUCUAUUUUUUAAUAUUUUACUAUACUUGACACUUGUCAACUCUCUAACUCUGCUUGUGAAAUCUAAAAACUACACUGAUGGUAUACCAAAUAUUUUAUAUAACUUAAAAAUGUAAUAUUUAUUUAAUUUCAAUAUUUUUAUAUUUUAUAUUAUUAAAAAUAUUUACAUAUUUUUAUGAAUGUAAUGAUAUCCAUCUUGCAUAUUUUCAUAUUAUUUUUCUUUAUAAUUAUUUUUUAACUUAUUAAAUUUUAUUAACUUUAUUUUAUUAAAAUUGUUUUUUGAAACCAAACAAUUAAAAAUAUUAAAGGAUGUAUUUUAAAAUGGUAGCAUUUUUAAAGGCUUGAUAAAUUUAAAUUUUUAAAAUGUUUUAUCCACCCUAAAAGAUGAAAAGAUGAAGCAUAUAAUUGUAGUGGCCCGAAGCGAUGGCGGAGGAGACCAAGACGAAGGGGGAAAUGACUGAUGAGAUCAGAAAACCCAUCGAGUCACUUACUAAGUCUUUUCUUUUGGAAUUUUCGCCAUUUAACUCAGUGGUAAUUAUCUGAUAUUGACCUUUCAAUCCCCUUUGGUUUAUAUGCAAUUUGCUUUUAAAAUUAUUGUUUUCCUCUACUUGCACAAGGAAUAUAUAUAAAACCAAAUUAGCACAAUAAUAAAUAAAAUCAGUAAAAGAAGUGAAAUCCAUCUUCAUAUAGUGGAUUCCAUCCUCGUAAUAAAAAGUAUAUUUAUCGAUGUUGCAUCUAGAGUUGUCCAUUGCUUGGGCCUUGAAUAAAAUUUUAAGCUUGAGCCUAGCAUAAAAUUUUGUCCAAAUUCAGUCCGAAUAAAAAUUUUAAAACUCAAGUCCAGCCCAUAUUAAUUUUUUUUAUAUAAAAAAUUGAAAAAAAAUAAUACAUCAAAAAUAAAACAUUAAAAUAAUUUUUCCUAACAAAUUGAAAAUAAAUUAAAAAAAUCUUUAUACUUAAAUAACACUAAGAUAUGUGCAACUUAACUAGUAAAUGUUUCUAAAAUAGUAGCAAAAUUAACAAUAAAACAAUAACAACAAAAUAGUAGCAAUAUAAUAACGAAAUGGUAGCAAAACAACAACAAAAUGGCAGCAAACUAUUGGGAAAACAACAAAUUUUUUUUAAAAAAAUUUGGGUCGGGCUUGGGCCGAAAAACUUUACUCGAUGCUCGGCCUAUUUUCUAAACAGGCCUUAUUUUUUUAUUCAAGUCUAUUUUUAGAUCUAUAUUUUUACCCAAAUCCUCUUACUUUUUGGAAGAGAUUUCAAACCGGAUUGGGUUAUGCACAAGUCUAGUUGCACCAUAAUAGCUCUACUAUACGAUAAAUGUGUUUUUAAUAUAAUAAUUUGGUUGAAAUAGUAGAUUGUAUGAUAUUAAACUCACGGAAAUUAAUUAUUGUGCAUCAUGGAGAAAACGAUGAAGUAAAAUUUGCGUUUGUUAAUUAUGCAUCUAAAGAGUUGAAGUCUAUGGUUUUAGAAUUAAAUGAGUAACUCUUACGUUAUUCUUACUCCAUUAAAAGAAACCUUAAAAAUAAAAAUAAAACAAAAAAGGUGGUGCAUGGAGUAAUUGAGCCUAUUUUACUUGGUUAAUCGAUCUUGGAGUGCAGUGAUGUAAGAGAGUAUUUCACAAAAUCAUUGUAAUCUUUCAUGGCAUGUAUUAAUUUCUUUAUUAUGUUUGUGGAAUUAAUAAUAUAUAAUUUAUGAAACAUGAAAAGUUUAUAAUGUUAAUAAAAUUACUAUAUAUGAGAUUAUAAGUUAUUAUUACUAUUAAAAAAGAAAAAAGGAAAAUGAACAUCAAAAGAGAAGCAGCUCCCCAGUUUGUCCUUAAAUACAAAAAAAUGAAUAAGUUAGAUGAAAAGCCCACUCCUUAAGUCUCAAACCAAUGGCCCAACUAUAAUUUUAUAUUAUUUUUAAAUGAAGCAAGUAUAUUUUAAUGUAAUUGAAUCCCUAAUUCAAUCUAGUGAGUUAAAUAAAUAAAUUUUAAAAUUUUCACUAAAAAUUGAAAUAGUUAUAUAAAUUUUUUAAAAUUUUACAUAAAUAUUUUAUGUAAAAAUUAAAAUAUAUAAAAUUAUCAUAAAUGUAAAUAUUAUUUAGUUAUCAUUAAGAUAAGUAUUAUUUAUUGUAAUAUUAAAAUUUGUUAUCAUUAGAUUUUUAAAGAAUUAACAUUAUCAUUUAAUUUAAUUUAAUUUUUUUAGAAUUUUAUUUUUAAUUAUUUCAUUAAAUUUAAAAACUAUCACAAAACAUGUAUUUGAAAUAACUAGAUAUAUAAAAUUUCAAUUUUUAAUUAAAUUAUUUCAUUAGAUUCCAUUCUCGUAAUUAAAUUAUAAUUUUUGAGAAAAUUAGAAGAUUGAUAAAAUAAUUUAUUUAUAUUCAAACUUAAAUGAAGAUAAAAUAUGAAUACAUAUCCAAAAUAAAGAUAUUUAAUUAUAAAAUAUGAAUACAUAACUAUACAAUUCUUACAUUUAGACAGACAUCUAAAACUUGAUAGCAAACAUCCAUGUACGAAGUUCUAAUAAGUGGAAAACUUAGGUCUUUUCACUUGGUUUUGCAUGCAAUACAAGUAGAUUUUAUGAUUUUUUUUUUACAUGAUAAUAUAAUGUAACAAAGUGAAGUUAAAAAUAAUUGAAAUGCAAAUAAAUUUGAUGUGAAAAUAAUAAUAAAAUUAUAUAUUUUAAGUUAUCAAGGUUGACUAGGCUUUAAAUUAAGUGUUAUAUAUAUUAGCUGCAAGAUCUAACCUGAAUUCUUUAUUAAUUAAUUAUCAGAUGAAUAAAGAUAUCCUAUGUGAAUGACAUUAAAUAAUUAAUCAAACAUAAAUCAAAUCAAAGCAAUUGGUAAAAGUAUUUUAGCUUAAAUUGAUUUGAUUUGAUUUGAUUUGAAUGUUAUGUUUGGAGAUGAAUCGAUUAGUUUGAUUUUUAAAAAAUUGAGUUCCUAUAAGUAUGUUUACUUUUUUUUAAAUAAAGAAAAUAAAAGUCAGAAAUAAAUAGUGAAAGAAAAACUAAUCAAAUGAAGAUUUUUCAUUUUUAGAUAGAGACGAGCUUCCAUCAAAAUACUUGGUGGAAAAUUUGUUAGGAAAUAAUAAUAGUAUGAAUGAACCACAAAAUUAAUUACAUUCUCUUUUAUUAAAAAAUUAUUAAAAAGUCCAAAAUCUAAUCUUUAGAGUCCAAUUGUAAACUCAAAUGAAAUAAAUAAAGUAUUGUAAUAGCCCGAUUUUAGGCCUAGUCAGAACAGUGGUUUCGGGACUAUAAAUUCGACGAGGAAAAAUUUAUUUUUUAUUAUAUUUUUAUGGUAUAAAAUUUCACAAACUGAAUUCAUGAAAAUUUCGUUCAAAAAUGUUGACGUUUGGGCACUCAAUUUAGCCAACAUAACUAAAUUGUAAAAAAUUGCAAAAGUUGAACUCCACAUGUUAGAAGUGUCCAAUUGUUAUGAAAUUUUAAAUUGGAGCUCUUUAAAUGGUAAUUAGACCAUUGGUUAACUUGUUGGACAAAAAUGGACAAGAGAUAAGUGAAAUAGGAUUUUUUUUUGUUGGGGACAUUUUGGUAAUUUAGUAAUUAAAAGAAUUAAAAAGGCCAAAAUAGCCAAAAAAUUUUCCAUCUUCAAGCUAAGGCCGAAUUUAGCAAGGGGAGAAGCCAUAGUUAGGGUUUUCAAGCUUCCAAGCUCCAUGGUAAGUGAUUCUAACCCCGUUUUUAAUGUUCUUUACGUUUUUGGAGUCCCGGUAACUUGUUUUAGCUAUUUCUAGCAAUAAUUUAACCUAGGGUUUAUAUUUGGAAAAAUGCCCAUAGGUGAAAUGUGUUUAUUUUGAUGUUUUACGGUAGAAUAUGAAGUUAGAAAUUAUGUUUAAACAACUUUUGCUAAGCGAUUUUAAGUGAAAACGAGUAAAACGACAUAAUCGGUAAAAAUACCUAAUGUUCAUAAGUGUUAGAGUGGGAAUUUGAUGUUGCUAUAGAAGGUAAAAAUGUUAAGUAUGUCACAAAACAUAAGAAUAAGAGAUGAAGUUUAAUUUCCGAGCUUUGGGGCAAAAGUGUAAAUAUGUAAAAAUUUAGGGGCAAAAUUGUAAUUUUGCCAAAGUUGAGUUAAGGACUGUUUUGAUGAAUGUGCAUGUUAAAUAAGUUAAAUGUGUUAUUAUAGUUCAAGAAAGAAGUGGAAUCGACCUUGAUCGGAGAAAAGAAAAGAUUAAAGACUAAAUUGCUAAAUUUCUAUAUUGUUGCACCAAAGUAAGUUUGUAUGUGAAUAAUGCAUUAUUUUAAUUUUAUUUAAUAUAUUGAUGAGAUAUGAUUGAAUGUAGAAUAAAUAUUUGGUGUUGAUUACAAAAAUGUGGUUAAAUUUGAAAAAGUUGGUAAAAUAUUGUGAAAUAAGGUUUCCGAUUGAACACUUGGAAUAGAUCGGAAUACAUUGAAUAAAAAGGGGUCGCUAAGUGCAGAUUCCCCAAGGGGUUGCUAAGUGUUGAUUCCCCGAAUUAUUGACUCUAAAGGUGGUUGCUAAGUGCUAAUUCCACCGUAUCUUUGAUUGUGAAAGGGGUUGCUAUGUGCUGAUUUCCCGUAUCACUGAAUAUAAAGGUGGUUGCUAAGUGCUGAUUCCACCGUAUCUUUGAUUGUGAAAGGAGUUGCUAUGUGCUGAUUCCCCGUAUCACUGAAUAUAAAGGUGGUUGCUAAGUGCUGAUUCCACCGUAUCUUUGAUUGUGAAAGGAGUUGCUAUGUGCUGAUUCCCCGUAUCACUGAAUAUAAUGGUGGUUGUUAAGUGCUGAAUCCACCGAGUAACGGAUAAUAUUCCGAAGUGUUCAACGGGAAAAUUGGAAAAGUGAAAGUACAUGUAAAAUGGAUAAGAUUAUGUGAGGAAUAUUGGGUUUGAUACUUAAUCGACCCAUGAGUAAGGUGAUACGAAGUAUCAAAACUACUAAAGAGUAAAUUUAGAAAUAAAACAGUUUUGAACAACAGCAGUUGUGCAGCUUUGAAAAAUCACCAAAAAUGGUUUAAAUUGAAUUAGAGGCUGAAUAAUAUAUGAAAUUGAAGAUGAAUGACUCUAUUUUCACAUGAAAGAAACAGAGCAAGCAAAGAGUUAUAUAUUUUGAAAUAUUUGAAUUUUAGUGAAACAGGGCUGAAUUGAUUUCGAAACCCCCUGUUCCAGAUUUGGAAAAUCAUUAAAAAAUUUUAAAAAUAAUUAUGGAUUGUAAUUUACAUUAUUGAACUCCUAAUUGAGUCUAUUUUCAAGAGAAACAAACAAGAACAUCAUUUGAAUUCUGUACAAAGAGUUAAACAAUUUUUAGUGAAGAGGGUCAGAGCUGUUGAGCAGUGAAAUAUGGGAGAGUUUAAAGAAUAAACUGUACUAAUUGGCUAAACCAAAAAUUCUGAAAAUUUUAUGGUAAGAAGGUAUAUGAGUCUAGUUUUGGGAAAAAUGAACAAAAUUUAAUUUGGAUUUCUGUAGCUCCAGAUAAAAAUAAUUUAGUGACUGUAACUUGACUAGACAGCUUUAAAUUUAAAUAUAGGUGGAUAAUAAAAUUAUGUAUAAUGCUAUUUAAGCAUGUUAUAUACAUAAAGGAUGUGGAAUGGAGAGGAGGAGGAGGAAAAUAAAAUGUAUGAAUGAAUUGUGUAUAAAUAGUUAUAUGCCCGAUUAUAAUUGGUAAAUGUUAAAUUGAAUGGUAAAUAUGUAUUGGUACUGAAGGAACUAUUGCGGUAUUGAAAAGCAAUUGAUCAAAUGUUUAAGAAAUUUAGUCAUGAUAUAUAUAUGUGUGAUAAUAAUGAUAUAUGGAUGAUUAUAUCAUUGAGUUGCAUUGAUUAAUUCGGUUUAUGUGAUGGAAAUGUCAAGAACAUUUGUCUUUGAUACGUGAUGAUGUAAUGCCAUGAAAAUUUGUUUAAUUGUGUGGUUUAAAAUGUAUCUAUAUUUUGUUUUAUAACUUAUUUUGUAACCUAUUUGACAAAUGAUAAAAAUUAAUUCAGUUACUAUGCGAGGUGAAUUAUGAUUUGUGAAGCAUAUCUAUAUUUGGCAAUAAUGGAUAAAAUAUAUUUAUGUCAUGGGUGAAUGGUUAAACACUUGGGUUAGUAUAAAGUGUAUAUUUAGUAAAGUUUGUUGGAAAAGAAAUAACAAGUUUUGGUUUAUAUCGAAUAGAGAAAAUUUGUACUAUCUUUGUGGCUAAUUUUGUUAGCUGUAUGGGAGAUAAAUGGUUAAUGUAUGUAUGUGACAAUUAGCUUACCAGAUAGUGAACUAUUGAUAUACUACAAUAGUUAAAAAGGAAAAUUUGACGAUAUGAGAAUAUGUAAUGAUACGGAUCAAUUCAGGUACUCAGGACGAAUUCAACAAGUAAGUGAAAAUUUAUAAAUUCAUACGAAUAGGAAGUGAAAGAUUGUGAGUAUAUUUAGCUAAGUAAACCCUAAUUAACGACUCAAGAAUAACAAUUGGAAAGUUUUAAUUUGGAUGGAAUUUUAUAACUCGGAUUAAUAUGUCAAUAAGUGUAUUUAUUCUGGUAAUACCUCGUACCUUAUUCCAGCGUUGAAUACGGGUAAGAGGUGUUACAAUGUGACACCACCAGAUUCGGCCCUAAUGUUAGGCCGGGUUUAGGGUGUUACAAGUACAACACAUUGAAUAGUCUUUGUUAACAUUCGAAUUGUCUUAAUCAUCACAGUUGUACUUGUUGACUAACAAUCUUCAUCAUCACCAAGAAAUUACUCCAAAAUUUGUCGAAACUAAUAUUAAAAACAUUCUUUACCUUCCCUAUUUUAGACCCAUUCUAGGCAAUAAACUUCUUGGAAGUGAUCAUGGCUUGCAAAUGACACUUAUAGUCACGCAAAUUCUUAAAAGUAAUAAUAGUAAUAGCAAAACAUUUCUCACUAGGACGAUAAUAAAAGUAAUAAAAGUAAUAAAAGUAAUAAAAGUAAUAGCAAAACGUUUCUCACUAGGACGAUAAUCAACCCAAAGUCCAUUUGUGAUUAUACACAAAAAUUGUAAUAGAAUAAGCAUGCUAAACUAAACUCUUAACAUGAGAUGUUUUACCAACAUCCUUCAGAAUUAAAUUGAUAAAGGUGCUACACAUGGUGAACAAAAGACGUUACGAUACUUCUCAUUAAAAAAUUUCCUAACGGCUUUAUAAUUUGGAGCAUUAUAUGUAAUUAGCUAGACCACAUUGCUCAAACCAAAAAUUUUUACAAUAUUCGUAAAUAAAUUGCAAAGAGUAUCAAAAUCUAAAAUCAUGUCUGAUGCGUUAAAGGGUUUGCUAUAGCAUAAUUUUUAGGAAAAUACACUAGAAAAUUGGUUGAUGACUUUUGUCUUGUAUCUUUCUACCCACCUCCCAUUAUGGUGCAUCCACAUUCCACCCAAAUGUUGUAAAUCCCUUUUUGAGUAUUCUUGAUAACACUCUAGAAUAACAUAUUUUUAUGUAUUAAUUAUGUAUUUAUUCUGAGUAUGAUCGUGCUAAUUUGAGCUAUUUAUGAUCUUUUAUCUCAUAGGGACUAAAUUUGAGGCAAAAGCAAAAUUAAAGGCCAAAAGCAGAAUUAAAAGCCAAUGAUUGAACCCAAGGUGGAACGAGACAACUGGAGGCUGGAACCUCCCGUAAGAAUUUCCUUUCUCUCAACUCUAUUUUUAAUUUCUCAAAUUUUUGAUUCAAUAUUCUUAAUUCUGUAUUUAUUUUAUUUUUCAUUUCCAGAUCCAAAAUUUUAAUUUUGUUAUUUUUUUUUAUUUUUUUCAGGAAUGCAGGUUUUCUUGGGUAAGAUUCUGCCCGAGAUUUCACAGAAUAAGAUAUUGUGCAAAUCUAGUCCCUAAGGAUUUGACCUUAAUUCCCUUUUACUAUUCUUUUUCAUUAUUUAUUAGGGAUAGGAUUUUUUGGUGCUUUCAACGACUGCAUCAAAUUUUGGCAUCGUUGUUGGGGACUAGCAACGUACUAAUCUUGUUUUUUGUUUCUGAUAAUGAGAUAUGCUCCAGGUACUCUUGCGUUCAAUUCAGAAAUUGAAAAGACUGCUAGAGCCAAUCGCAAGGGGACAAAGUUACAGAAAAAGAAGUCAGCGGUGGUUGGAACUCAAAGUAACCCAUCGCCAGAAAUCAAAGUCGACGACAAAGCUAAGUCUAGGGUUAACGAAAACCUGACUCGAACACUUGAAAGCAAAAAAGUAAAAGUCGACUCACUAGAAAAAUUGUUUAACGCUAGGGUUAACGAAAACCCAAAUCUAGCACAACAACCAAUGGCUCAAACGAUUCGGCAAUUGGCCAAAUCUCCGACAGAAAAACCACCAUUGUGCAUCGCGUAUCCUACUAUGGGUUUAAUCCAGUUACUGCCAACUUUUCAUGGGUUGCAAAAUGAAAAUCCCCACAAACAUCUGAAAGAGUUUCAUAUGGUUUGUCUUAGCAUGAAACCUUAGGGGGUAACUAAGAAUCAGAUUAAAUUGCGUGUUUUCCAUUUCUCCUUAGCAGAUUCUGUUAAUGAAUGAUUAUUUUAUUUACCCCCUGGAUCUAUUACAACUUGGAAUGAUCUAUCUCGUUUGUUUCUGUAUAGGUUUUUUCUAGCGUCUCAAGCAGCUGAGUUAAGAAGAGAGGUUGUUGGAAUAAGGCAAAAAGAAGCUGAGUCCCUUUACAAUUAUUGGGAGUAGUUUAAGAAGUUGUGUGCAAGCUGCCCACAACAUGGUAUAACGGAGAAAUCUCUCCUCCAAUACUUUUAUGAAGGUUUGAAGCCUAUGAAGAUGAAUAUAGUAGACGCUGCUAGUGGAAAAGCAUUGGUCAACAUGACUCCCCAUCAAGCGAGAGACUUGAUCUCCAUAAUGGCUACAAAUCUCAAUAGUUUCGAGCCAAUCUUGAACCCCUAGAAGGGUUCACUAGCUAAGUAAUUCAACUUUAGAGGAUAAAUUUGAUAGACUUACUAAUAUGAUGAACUCUUUUAUUACAAAAAAAAAGUGAAGACAGCUUGAUUAUGCAGAAUAUGUACUACACCUGAUCAUGCAACUGAUACAUAUCCCAGUUUGUAUGAUGAUACCAUGGCUCAUCUGGAUGUUGUGGGAAAUUUUCGUAGGCUGCCACAAAGGUAAUACAACCCCUACGCUAAUACCUACAACCUAGGGUAGAGGGACCAUCCUAACUUAAGCUAUGGGGCCAAUCCACGAAAUAACCAACCAUACCAAAAUCGAUUUUCACAACAGCCGCAAGGUCAAGGUAAUCCUCUAGAAACCAUGGUCAAUAAGUUAGCAGUUAAAGUUCUUAUUUUUAACAGCAAAUCCAACAACAAACUCUUAAUUUCCAAAAAGAGAUGAAGGGUUUCCAAUAGAAAACUGAGGCGUCCAUCAGAGAGUUGACUACAUCGAUCGAGAAAUUGACCUCUCAAGGAAAGCUGUCGUCACAAACAGAACCAAACGCUAGACAAAAUGCGAAUGUAGUAAUGUUGCAAAGCGGAAAAGGUACUACAACCGAUUUCUGACAGGAAUCUUGACUAAAAAAUAGCCCAGGAAAAACUCGAGAAAGACGAACAGGUCCAACCGAAGCCUCUAUUGCCUAAAAUUCAUCCUUCAUUUCUAGAACGAUUCAACCAAUGUCAAAGAGGUAAAGAGGAUAAGGAAAACCUUGAAACAUUUAGGAAUGUCGAGAUCAACAUUCCGUUGUUGGAUGCCAUCAAGCAAAUACUGCGAUAUGCUAAAUUUCUUAAAGAUUUUUGCACCAACAAGAGAAAAUUAACAGGUAAUGAAAGGGUGAAUGUUGGUAAUAAUAUAUCCGCAGUGUUACAGUGAAAAAUGUCGGUAAAAUGCAAGGAUAGCGGUAUGUUUGAAAUACCGUGCAAAAUAGGCCAUCUGGGAAUUAAGAAGGCUAUAUGUGAUCUAGGGGCUUCUAUAAAUGUAAUGCCAUGUUCUAUUUAUGAAUCAUUUAACGCGGGUUUUUUGACAAAAACAAGUGUUAUCAUUCAAUUGGCGGACAGGACUAUUGUGCAUCCAGAAGGAGUCCUUAAGGAUGUUCUGAUAAAAGUUAACGAGCUUAUUUUCCCUGCAUAUUUUUAUGUGAUCAAAAUGGAUGAGGAUAGCACUCUUGAAUCUUCAGAUCUUCUACUGGGUCGACAGUUCCUUAGGACAGCUAGUAGUAAAAUCGACAUUCGAAGUGGAACUCUCACGAUGGAGUUUGAUAAAGAGAUCAUAAAGUUUAAUGUCUACGAUGCCAUUAGCCAUCCAAGCGAAAUCUUGAGCGUAAAUCGUAUCGACAUAAUUGACACUUUAGUGGAAGAGAAUUUUGAGUCAAUUUAUGGUGAUAAUUCUGAACUUGAUGAAUUUGAAUUUGUUAAUGAGUUAUUAUCUCCAAAUAUUAAACUGUUACCUUCUGUUCUACAAGCAUCAGAGUUGGAGUUGAAACUGCUUCCUGAGCAUCUAAAAUAUGCAUUUUUGGGGAGGGGUAAUACCCUACCAGUCAUAGUCUCCAAUAGACUCUCCACACAUGAAGAGGAAAGUUUGGUUCAUGUACUAAAAAGUCAUAAUGAGGUGAUUGGCUAGACCAUUGUAGACUUAAAAGGGAUAAGCCCUUUGACAUGCACACACAUGAUUUAUUUGGAAGAAGACACAAAACUGAGGCGAGGGGCACAAAGAUGGCUAAAUCUGAAUAUGAUGGAGCUAGUAAAAAAGGAAAUCAUCAAGCUUCUGGAUGCUGACGUAAUUUACCCUAUUUCUGACAGUAGGUGGGUAAGUCAGGUACAAGUCGUGCCGAAGAAAACGGGCGUGACAGGAAAGAAAAAUGCUAAAAGUAACUUGGCACCUACCAGAGUACAAAAUAGGUGGCAUGUUUGCAUUGAUUACAGGAAGUUGAAUUCAUACACUAGAAAAGAUCAUUUCCCUCUUCCUUUUAUAGAUCAAAUGCUUGAAAGAUUAGCCGAAAAAACUCACUUUUGUUGUCUUAAUGGAUACUCAGUUUUUUUUUUUAAAUUCUAAUCGCAUCGGAGGAUCGGAAAAUGACCACUUUUAUAUGCCGAUUUCAUACAUUUACGUACAGAAGGAUGCCAUUUGGUCUUUGCAAUGUGUCGGCCAUCUUUCAGAGAUGCAUGAUGAGUAUAUUUUUCGAAUAUGUGGAAAAAAUUAUCUAAGUUUUUAUAGAUGAUUUUAUUGUAUAUGGGAGUUGUUUUGAUAAAUGCCUUAAAACUUAACGAUAAUUUUGAGUAGGUACAUAGAAUUUAAUCUUAUCUUGACUUAUGAAAAGUGUCAUUUUAUGGUAGACAAGGGUUUAAUUCUGGGUCAUGUUGUUUCAUCUAAAUGAAUUGAGGUCGAUAAGGCCAAAAUUGACAUUAUAAAUUCUUUGCCUUAUCCCUCAACUGUGAAGGAAAUUCGUUCUUUCCUUGGCCAUAUAGGGUUCUACAGGCGCUUCAUAAAAAACUUCUUGAAGGUAGCUGAACCAUUGUGUGAGUUUUUGCAGAAGGAUAAGAAAUUUGAGUUUGGCCCAAAAUAUAAGGAGACAGUUGAUACCCUCAAGCAAAAGUUAGUCUCCGCUCCUAUAGUGCAACCGCUAGAUUGGAAAUACUCGUUUGAAAUUAUGUACGAUGCCAGCGAGCACAGUGUAGGAGCCGUGUUAGGGCAAAGGAUAGACAAAGAACCAUAUGUUAUAUGUUAUGCCUCGAAAACCCUAGAUGCUGCGCAGAGCAACUACACCACUACGGAAAAAGAACUCUUAGUCAUUGUAUUUGCUUUAGAUAAAUUUCGACCUUACUUAUUGGGAUCUAAAGUAAUUAUUUUUUCUGAUCAUGCAGCCCUCAGGUACUUGAUCGCGAAGAAGGAAGCAAAAUCGAGGCUCAUUAGGUAGAUUUUGCUUCUCCAAGAAUUUAACAUCGAGAUUCUAGACAAAAGGGGAGGCGAGAAUUUAAUGGUUGACCACUUAAGUAGAAUAAAAGUACCUUUUGACGACAUCCCUAUUAAGGAAGAAUUCCCUGAUGAGAGCCUAUUCUCGACUGAGGCACGUCUCUCAUGGUAUGCAGAUAUAGUAAACUUUCUAGCCAUAGGAUCGUUACCCACUGAGUUAGCACAUUCCAUGAGGGACAAGCUUAGACGCGACCCUCGAUAUUACAUUUGGGAUGACCCAUACUUGUGGAAACACUGUUCAGACUAGAUAAUACGAAGAUGUGUUCUAGAAACCGAGGUAACUUCUAUCCUUAAUUUUUGUCAUACUAAAGCUUGUAGAGGUCACUUUGGCCCUAAGCAGACCGCUCAUAAGGUGUUAGAAUGUGGGCUAUAUUGGCCCACAAUUUUUUCAAACACAAAUAACUUUUGUAAGUCUUGCGAUAGGUGCCAACAUACAAGUAACAUCACUAAAUGAAAUCAAAUGCCCCUUUUCCCGAUUCAUGUAUGCGAAAUCUUUAAUGUAUGGGGCAUCGAUUUCAUGGGCCCAUUUAUUUAUUCAUUUAGCAAUGUAUAUAUACUUCUUGCAAUAGACUAUGUUUCUAAGUGGAUAGAAGCAAAGCCUACUCAAAAUGAUAAUGCCAAAACUGCUGUGGAGUUUCUAAAACGAACUAUUUUUUCCAGGUUUGGCACACCUCGAGCCCUAAUCAGUGAUCGUGGCACCCACUUUUGCAAUAAACUGCUGUGAAGUUUCUAAAACGAACUAUUUUUUCUAGGUUUGGCACACCUCGAGCCCUAAUCAGUGAUCGUGGCACCCACUUUUGCAAUAAGGUCAUGGGGGGCACUGUUGGCAAAAUACGGAGUCCACCACUGUAUAGCUAUGGCUUACCAUCCCCAAAUGAACGGUCAAGUUAAGGUCUCGAACAGGGAAAUCAAGACUAUUUUAGAGAAAACAGUUCGUCCUAACCGAAAGGAUUGGAGCCUUCGGCUAAAUGACGCACUUUGGGCCUAUCAAACUGCGUAUAAAAGAUCAAUUUGCAUGACCUCGUAUCGACUUGUUUUUGGUAAAGCUUGCCACCUUCCGGUUGAAUUGGAACAUAAAGCCUAUUGGGCCGUUUGACAAUGUAACGUGGAGUUAGAACCCAUAGGAAAGGCAAGGAAAUUAGACAUCCAAGAGUUAGAAGAAAUUCUCAAUGAUGCCUACGAGAAUGCUCGCAUUUGUAAAGACAAGACAAUGUUGUUUCACGAUAAAAGAAUAGCUCAGAAGCAUUUUUCGGUAAGAUAAAAAGUUUUACUUUAUAACUCCAUGUUAAAGUUAUUCCCAGGUAAGCUUCGAUCACGAUGGCAAGGAUCUUUUAUUAUUACUGCAGUGUUCACACAUGGAGCGAUUGAAAUAGAUAGUGAAGAAUAUAGAAAGCAGUUCGUAGUUAAUGGCCAGUGGUUGAAGCCGUUCUAUGAGAAUUUUCAAGCCCACACGAUUGAGAAAACCUAUUUGGAACCACCAUAGAACCAAUAACGGCGUCGAGCUAACGACGUUAAUAAGUGCUUGUUGGGAGGCAACCCAAUUUUUCUUAUUUUUUAUUUUUUUAUUUACUUUAUUUAUUACCUUAUUUUAUUUUACUAUUUAUUACUUAUUUGGAUAUUAAUAAAUUUCUCUUUUUUUGUUUAGAUAAAACAGAGCGAAAAUGCAACGAAAAAGGAAAAAUCUAGAAAAAUAGAACCAAACAGCCCUGUCCAUGGUACCAAACAUCCUCUAUUCUUGAUACUAUUCCAACCCAGAAUGCCUGCAGCCAAACAACCCUAUUCCUUGUAAUACCCCCCAAAAAAUUACUAUCGUAAGAAAGUAAGAUAAUAUUCCUGAUAUAGUAAAAUAAGGAAAUAAAGUGAUAAAAAGGGUAAUUUUGAGUUAUGUCAACAUUGAGAGGUAUAUUAUGACUUAUUAAUUCAAGAAAGGAUUAAAUCGCAAAAGUGAGAAAAGUUUUGUGGCCCAAGAGUAAAAACUCUAAAUUUAAGGGGUUAAAGUGUAAAUAUGAAAAGUUGAAAGACCAAUAGAGUAAAUAUUUUAAAGGUAGAAUAAUCUAGAAACCAAGGAAAAUGGAUGAAUUAGGACCAAAUUGAAAAGGUGAAGAAUUUUGAGGGACUAAAUCAUAAUUUUACCAAAUUAAGUGAUGACUCAAGGAUGGAAUUUUAAAAGAACAUAAAUGGCAAAAUGAUCAAUUAGAAUAGAGAGAAAUCGAGAAGGCAAUAAUGAUGUUGGUGAUAUUUUAGAUUAAUUAAUUAAAUAAAUAUUAGUUUAUUAAUAUUUUACUUUGAUUUUUAAAUGAUAUUUUAUUAUUUUAUUAUUAAUCUAUUUAGUAUAUAUAUAUAUGGAAAGAAAGAUGAAAAACCACCAUUCCACAAUCUUUCCAUGCAUUUCACGUUAGAAGGGAAGAGAAGAAAGAAAAUUUUGCUUUCUUUACAAUUUGGUCCUUUUACCAAAAAUUUAUCAUUUUCACCUAGAUAUCAAAAGAAUUUAAGUUUGAUAUUAUUGAAAAAGCAUAGAAAUGAUGUUAUAGUAGAGCUUUCUUAUAUAAAGUCUUAUUUUCUUGAUAUAUUUGUGAAGGGAAAUAAGUGAAAGUGGUGGGAAAUAUUAUAGAGAAAGGGAAUAAGGGAGUUAUAAACUUAGUAAUCAACAUCUUGCACUAAAACAAUUUUGGACAGAAGCAAUAGGUUAAUUUUGAAAAAUCACCAUAAAUUGUGAAAAAAAUUAGAGGAUAAAAAAAAUUUGGAAUUUAAGCUUAUUGACUCUAGUUUCUCAUAGAAGAAACGAUGUAAGUAAUGGAAUUUUAAAUCAUGAGAUAUAAUAAAUUUUGUAAGACAAGGUCAGAAUGAAUUCGGGUUCCCCUGUUCUGAAUUUGGAAAAUCAUCAAAAAUUUGAGAAAAAUAAUUAUGGGCUUAAAUUUAUAUUUUUAAAUCCUUAAUUAUUCUAUUUUCAAUAUAAACUAACAUUAACAUAAUUCAAAUUUUGUACGAGGAGAUAAUCAAUUCUUAGUGAAGAAGGGUCGGAACUGUUAGACAACAGAAUAGGGAUGAAUUUAAAGAAUAAACUGUACUUAUUGGCUAUACCAAAAAUUCUAAAAAUUUUAUGGUAAGAAUAUAUGUGAGUAUAGUUUUAGAUAAAAUUAACAGAUAUCAAUUUGGAGUUCUGUACCUCAAGAUAUAAAUAAUUCAGUGACUAUGACUCAAGUGGAUAGCUUUGAAUGAAUAUAGAAAUAAAUGGUGAAAUUAUAGAUAAUGUUACAUAUAAGCAUGUUAUAUACAUUAAGGAUGUGGAAUGGAGAGGAGGAGGAGGAAAAUAUAUGAUUAUUCAACUAGCAUGAGUUUUCAUUAAAAAUGAUCAAUUUAAAUGUUUUAGGUUUAGGAACUAAAUUGAACAAAUGUGAAACUUUAAGGGUAAAUUUGUAAAAAUAUCAAAAAGUAACCAAAUUGCAUAAAUGAAUUGUUUUAUUAUUUAAAUUAGUAAAUUGAAUGAAAUAUUAAUUUAGAUCAAGAUUGGGUGGAAAUUCGAGAAAAAUAGAAAUUUUCCAAAAUGUCCCUGAAUUUUGGUAUUUCUGCAAUUUGGCCUGGUAAGUUCGUAUGAGCUAUCUUGUAUAAUUUUAAUUGAAGUGAAUGCUAUUUGGUAAUGAAUAUUAUAUAUAUGUGUGUUUUAUUAUUGGAAUUGAAUUAUUAUUGGUAAUAUGUAUAAUUAUUAGAUGUUUUGAAAUGAUUAUCGAAAACUCGAUUGGGUUGGAAGCUAGUUGGAGAUAUAUCAAAUUAUCCAUUGGCUUUAUCGGUAAUUUUGGAUGAUUUGAUUCUGGUUAUAAUGACUUGUAUAAGUUAAAUUGGUUAAUGUUAGCUCAUAAAUGUUUUGAUUUUGAUUGGCUAUAAAUAUGAGUGCCUGAUGAAAUGAAAUGUCUGAAAAUUAAUUUGUAAACUCCAGUAAUGCUCUAUAACCCUAUUCUGGGGAAGGAUACGGGUUAGGGGUGUUACAUUUAUUGGCAUUAGAGCUACGGUUUAGUCGAUUCUUAGACCGAAUGUAGCAUAUGUGAAGUUUGGAAUAUACAUGUCAUUAUAUAACCUGUGAUAGUGUGAUAUCUCCCAACCUUGAUGAGAUUUAUUUUACUUAUAGAUAGAGAUUCUUUUCAACUUAGCUAAUUUCGAUAAUAUUGAAAGCAUUAUACGAAAAGUGUAAAAGUGAUAUGCAUGUAUUUUGAUGUUUUAUGGAAGAAUAUGAAUGUUUGGAGUGUGAUAAACGACUUGAACUAAGUGAUUUUCGAUAAAAACACCUAAAAAGACUAAUUUGGAAAAAUUAUAAAAUAUGCCAUAAGUGUGUGAAUAAGUGAAAAUUGUGGAUUGAAAUUGUCAUAAAAUGGUUCAGCUAGUCCUAAAAUUCAAGGAAAUUGAAUAAAAAUUAUUUUACGAGCCUAGGGGAAAAAUUAUAAUUUUGUGAAACUUUAGGGGCAAAAACAUAAUUUUUCCAAAGUAUGACUUUUGGAAUGGAAUGAAUAGUGUGAAUGUUAUAUAAGUUAAAUGUAUUGUUAUAAAUCAAGAAAGACGAGAAAUUGAAAUUGAUCGAUAAAAAGAGAAGUGAUAAAAAGGGGAAAAUUCACUAAUGAACCUUCGGAAUAAAAAGGGAUACGUAUGAAGUUACAAAAAUGAUCACAUGUGUGGCACAGAUUGUGUGUAGGCCACUAUGUAAAUGUGAAAGUGAUGGUCACGUGUGUUGUACUAUGUGCAGGCUACUACGUGUACCGGAAUAAUGGGUUGCAUGUGUAGUACUAUGUUCAGUCUACUAUACGUACCAGAUAGCUUCGAUCACGUGUGUAGUACUAUGUGCAGGCUAUUACAUGUAUCGGAUGAAAAUGAUCACAUGUGUAGUGCUAUAUGUAGGCUACUAUGUGAACCAGGCACUAUUGACUAUAAAGGUGGUUACUAUGUACUGAUUCCACCGUGUAUCUAUUAUUAUUCCGAAGUGUUCAUCGGGAAAUUGACUAAGUAAAAAUACAUGAGAUAAUGUAAUGACUAAGUGGAAUAUAAUUUGAAAAUGUGAAUUGAAUAUGAAAAUGUGAAUAGAAAGCAUGAACUAAAUGUUUAUGAGACAAAUAAUGGCUCAAUGUGAUAGUAUAUCAUAUUAACUAAUGAAUGACUUAUUAUUAGAAAUAUAUUAUUGAAUUUAAUACUUAGCUUGGAUUGAACGCAGGAUUGAGUAUAAUCGUUCUGUGGCAAAAGAUGAAUUUACGGAUAAGACCAUAACUGGGUUAUGGCACCUGAACGUAAGACCAUGGUUGGACCAUGGUAGUAUAGAUACAUGUGUAAGACCAUAGUUGGACUAUGGCACAAAAAGAACAAUGUACUCAUAUCCGUAAACCGUUCUUCAAUUCAGUAAGAAAUGUUAAGAAACUUAUGUGAUUGAAAUGAAACAUUUCUAAAUUAAUAUUGAUAUGGUAUUUGACAAGGAAAUUAUGUAUGUUGAGACAAGUAAUAAACUCAAGUGUGACAUAUUGAGAAAAUAAGUUUAUCAAAGUUGAAUUUAUAUGUAAUAUGUGCAAGUACGCUAAUCAGUGGUGUUGCUUGAUGCUUAGGCAAGUGCCAAGCUAUUGGUUGAAUGGUAAUAUGAUUAUUUAUAUAAUGCAUUGAAUUGGUAAGUAUUUAAGUAAAAAUAUGCUAGCGCUCACUAAAAAGUGGUAAGGUUUAAAUUAUGCAAUUUCUUAUGAAAUGAUUUAUCAUGUGAUCAAUUCGAAAAAGAUUUUGGUUAAAUGCAUUAGCUUGUGACCAUGGUUGAAUGAUAUGUUUAUGACUUGUGUGUCAUGCAUAUGGAAUAAGUGUGGAAAGUAAAGAAAUGCAAAUGAAAAUAUAGAAAUUCGGAAGAGUAUAAAGUUGUUUAAAAUCCUAUAUUGCUAGGGAUAAAAUGAACAGGUAAUGAUGUGGAUUUAUUUACCUUGUAAGUUGAUGAAUAUAGCCACAUGAGCAUUGUGGUAUUAAUAUUAAAUUAUUCUUGAUAUUUAUAAAUUUCACAUUUGAAAUGAAUGGACAUGAUUAAAGUUUAUACGAGCUUACUAAGCAUUUAUUGCUUACAUACUUGUUAAUAGGGGUAAUCAACUGAUAUUACAAAAUGAAUGAAAUUGAUCGAUUGAUUUAUUAAAGAAAUGAGAAAGUUGAAAUUGUGAAUUAAAUGGAGACUGAAAAUAAAGGACAUGAACUAAAGGUUCACAAGAUGAUUAAAUUCAGUUUGAGGAUAUGCGAUAUUAAUUUGAUUAAUUGUUAUUGUUGAAAAUUUGAAGUUGAAGUAUGAAUUAAUAUAUAUACCAAUAAAUCAUUAUAUGUUUGAUAUUUAAAGGUAAUUGAGAAUGUGUAUUAAUUAUGAAUUUCCUUGUAAAUUGAGCAAAAAGGAAACAUAAGAUUAUAUGAAUAAUUCCAAAAGUAAUCUACUAAAGGUCUUCUAUUCUUAUGGAAAGGAAAAUGAAGUUCAUGAUCAAAAGAAAACAAGGAAAUUUCGAGGACGAAAUUUAUUUUAAGGGGGAGAGAAAUGUAAUACCCCCCAAAAAAAUUACUACAGUAAGAAAGUAAGAUAAUAUUCCUGAUAUAGUAAAAUAAGGAAAUAAAGUGAUAAAAAGGGUAAUUUUGAGUUAUGUCAACAUUGAGAAGUAUAUGAUGACAUAUUAAUUCAAGAAAGGAUUACAUUGCAAAAGUGAGAAAAGUUUUGUGGCCCAAGAGUAAAUACUUAAAAUUUAAGGGGUUAAAGUGUAAAUAUGAAAAGUUAAAGGACCAAUAGUGCAAAUAUUUAAAGGCAAAAUAAUCUAGAAACUAAGGAAAAUGGAUGAAUUGGACCAAAUUAAAAAGGUGAAGAAUUUUGAGGGACUAAAUAGCAAUUUUACCAAAUUAAGUGAUGACUCAAGGAUGGAAUUUUAAAAGAACAUAAAGGGAAAAAUGGUCAAUUAGAAGAGAGAGAAAUCUAGAAGGCAAUGAUGAUAUUGGUGAUAUUUUAGAUUAAUUAAUUAAUUAAAUAUUAGUUUAUUAAUAUUUUAAUUUGAUUUUUAAAUGAUAUUUUAUUAUUUUAUUAUUAAUCUAUUUAGUCUAUAUAUAUAUAUGGAAAGAAAGAUGAAAAACCACCAUUCCACCAUCUUUCCAUGCAUUUCAUGUUAGAAGGGAAGAUAAGAAAGAAAAUUUUGCUUUCUUUACAAUUUGGUCCUUUUACCAAAAAAUUAUCAUUUUCACCUAGAAAUCAAAAGAAUUUCCAUAUCCCUCAAGAGAGAAAGAUAACAAGGAGACUAUCGGGAGCUAAAAUAUCAAGUUAGAUUCAAGAACUAGAAGAUGGACGAGAGAGAAAAUCAAGUUAAAUAUUGAAACCAAUAGGACAAGGUAAGAACAUCAAGAUUUCAAUAUGUUUUUAAGUUUGAUUUUAUUGAAAAAGCAUAGAAAUGAUGUUAUAGUAGAGCUUUCUUAUAUAAAGUCUUAUUUCCUUGAUAUAUUUGUGAAGGGAAAUAAGUGAAAGUGGUGGGAAAUAUUAUAGAGAAAGGGAAUAAGGGAGUUAUAAACUUAGUAAUCAACAUCUUGCACUAAAACAGUUUCGGACAGAAGCAAUAGGAUAAUUUUGAAAAAUCACCAUAAAUUGUGAAAAAAAAUUAGAGGAUAAAAAAAAUUAUGGAAUUUAAGCUUAUUGACUCUAGUUUCUCAUAGAAGAAACGAUGUAAGUAAUGGAAUUUUAAAUCAUGAGAUAUAAUAAAUUUUGUAAGACAAUGUCAGAAUGAAUUCGGGUUCCCCUGUUCUGAAUUUGGAAAAUCAUCAAAAAUUUUAGAAAAAUAAUUAUGGGCUUAAAUUUAUAUUUUUAAAUCCUUAAUGAGUCUAUUUUCAAUAGAAACUAACAUUAACAUCAUUAAAAUUUUGUACGAGGAGAUAAUCAAUUUUUAGUGAAGAAGGGUCGAAACUGUCAGACAACAGAAUAGGGAUGAAUUUAAAGAAUAAACUGUACUUAUUGGCUAUACCAAAAAUUCUAAAAAUUUUAUGGUAAGAAUAUAUGUGAGUAUAGUUUUGGAGAAAAUUAACAGAUAUCAAUUUGGAGUUCUGUAGUCAAGAUAUAAAUAAUUUAGUGGCUACGACUCAAGUGGAAAGCUUUGAAUGAAUAUAUAAAUAAAUGGUGAAAUUAUAGAUAAUGUUACAUAUAAGCAUGUUAUAUACAUUAAGGAUGUGGAAUGGAGCGGAGGAGGAGGAAAAUAUAUGAUUAUUCAACUAGCGUGAGUUUUCAUUAAAAAUGAUCAAUUUACAUGUUUUAGGUUCAGGGACUAAAUUGAACAAAUGUGAAACUUUAAGGGUAAAUUUGUAAAAAUGUCAAAAAGUGACCAAAUUGCAUAAAUGAAUUGUUUUAUUAUUUAAAUUAGUAAAUUGAAUGAAAUAUUAAUUUAGAUCAAGAUUGGGUGGAAAUUCGAGAAAAAUAGAAAUUUUCCAAAAUGUCCCUGAAUUUUGGUAUUUCUGCAAUUUGGCCUGGUAAGUUCGUAUGAGCUAUCUUGUAUAAUUUUAAUUGAAGUGAAUGCUAUUUGGUAAUGAAUAUUAUAUAUAUGUGUGUUUUAUUAUUGGAAUUGAAUUAUUAUUGGUAAUAUGUAUAAUUAUUAGAUGUUUUGAAAUGAUUAUCGAAAGCUCGAUUGGGUUGGAAGCUAGUUGGAGAUAUAUCAAAUUAUCCAUUGGCUCUAUCGGUAAUUUUGGAUGAUUUGAUUCUGGUUAUAAUGACUUGUAUAAGUUAAAUUGGUUAAUGUUAGCUCAUAAAUGUUUUGAUUUUGAUUGGCUAUAAAUAUGAGUGCCUGAUGAAAUGAAAUAUCUGAAAAUUAAUUUGUAAACUCCAGUAAUGCUCUAUAACCCUAUUCUGGGGAAGGAUACGGGUUAGGGGUGUUACAUUCCUGUAGCCAAUCACCCUUAUCCCUACACCCAAACACCACCUCUUAGUAUAAAUUGACCCCCCAACCCUAAAAUUUUAAAACAUUUUUCCCUUUUCCUACUAAACCACCAUAACCGCCGCUCUUCCCUCCACCAUUGUCCCCCAUGCCAAACGACCCUACCAACAGAGGCACCCACACCUCAUCAGCCUUGAUGACAGCCAUCCAAACCCUCGGCCCAACCUCUGCAAUCCUCCGCUCCUCCGUCCUCCGACCUGACUUGAAACCUUUGGCCAGUAACUGAGUGAGCUCAUUGCCAUCAUAUACGAUUGACAUUAAAUAACAUGGGGAGUUUUUCUAAACUUUUCUACCUAUUUAUUUCUUUUCGUCCACAAUGAGGACAAUGUGCUUUCAGUAAGGGAGGUACUCUUCGUUAUUACUGUCAUUUUUUGCUCUGAUUUUGGUUGUUGUUGCUAUUGCUGUGAUUAUUUUUGGCUUAUGUUGCUGCUUGAGGCUCCAUUUUGUCCAUAUUUAUUUUUUAGAAUCUCCUGCCUCUUUUCAUGCCUAAGAUUUUUACCAAGAAUUGCAUACUGUUUGACCUACAAACAUGAUUCUUGUUUUUUAAAGAAAUUAUGGAUUUUCCAUAAUUGAUGUCAUUUCCACUGUUUUAUUCUUAUUAGGCUAAAAAUAAUUUUGAUUCAUAGAGUUAACUUUAUAUUGCUUUUCGUAAAAUUGAUCAAGUUUAAUACAAAGUGGACUCUUAAUAUGUUUACAUGUUAAAAUAUGUUCAUGACUAUUAAGGUAAUUACUGAAACUUAUUUUUGGCACUUGAUUGUUUUUUUCUCUAAAGUCCUCAUAAAAAAAAGUUAUUAUUAAAAUGUCAUUUAAUGUUUCCGUGGUUAUGAGUGCAGCUUAAAAACGUGACUGAUUGAGUAACCGGGGUAGGGUGCUUGGGUUGUCAUCCUAUUUCGUGUCAAAAGGUUGUGUGACGUGUUAGGUAAAACUCCACUAACCAAAAUUAAUUUUUAAGAACAUGUUAAGCUGAGUAACCGGGGUGGGGUGCUUGGCUGUUAUCUCUCUUCGUGUCAAAAGGUUCGAUGUGUUCUUAAGAAAAAAAUAUAAUAAAUUAGGAGUUUGUUGGGCUGAGUAACCGGGGUGGGGUGCUUGACUAUUAUCUCUCUUCGCGUCAAAAGAUUCAGUAUAUUCCUAAAGCAUAAAAAAUAUAAAUAAUAAAUCAAAAUCAAAAUAAAUAAAAAAGAAAAAAAUAUAAUUUGGGGACUAAAGGAGGAAACAAAUAGUGUGUCUUGGUAGGUUUGGUAAUUUACCUAAUUUUCAUUAAAUAAUUCAAGUCGAUUCUAAUUUUUGUGUGUAUUAAUUGGAAAACUUUUUCUGUUUUACUUAAAGCUAACUUAGGGUUCUCUUUAUUUUUCAUAUGCAUUUUUGACUGAUUUUUAUAAAACUUUGGAUUGGUAUUUCUUUUAUGGUAGAAUCUAACUUUCACAGUAGAUAGGAAUCAUAUUUAAGGGCAAGCAUGGGCUAAGUAGGGGGACUUUGAUAACACUCUAGAAUAACGUAUUUUUAUGUAUUAGUUAUGUAUUUAUUUUGAGUAUGAUCCUGCUAAUUGAGCUAUUUAUGAUCUUUUAUCUCAUAGGGACUAAAUUUGAGACAAAAGCAAAAUUAAGGGCCAAAAGCGUGAAUUUAGAGAUAAAAUGGGCCAAUGUACGACACAAGGAAAAGUUGGUGCCAAAAAUGCAAGCAUGGAGGACACAAGGGUUGAAAUGCAAAAAGAAGAGAUUUUAUUCUAUCAGACUCUAUUUUAAUUAUAUUAGGAUAAUUAAUAUUAAGAUAAUUAUUAAGGAUUAUUUAAUUUUAGGAUUUUAUUUUAUUUAUCUUUAUUUAUCUUCAAUUAAAUGUAUUUAUCUUUUGGGAGUUUAAGCAGGAUUAAACUAUUAUCUUUUGGGAGUUUAAGCAGGAUUAAACUAUUUCCCCUAGCACUAUAAAUAGGGGGUGAAGUGAUCAAAAGGGAUCCACCUUUUUCUAAAAACAUUCUCUCCCCAAAAGUCUAGGCCUUUGUUCUUCUCAUAUUUCCUUUCAAUAAAAUCUCUAUUUUUAUUAUAUUUAUUUUCUUUUCCACCACAACCAUGAGCCACUAAACCCAUCUAGCCAAAAGUUGUCGAUAUUCCUCAAAAAGGGUUUUUGAGGCUUAGAGUCCGUACUUAGCCUCCUCGCUGAGUAUUCAUCGUUUCUCCGCACUACAAGGCUGAUCCUUCCGUCCAUGUCCCUUAAGAAAUAAGCUUUUCAACGUAUGCAAAGGCGACUGCUUUGUAUGUUUUGGGAAGGUUGCAUAGUCAAUUCGUUAGCUUAUUGCGUCAGAGGCUGGCGAGCCCAAAAGACAAAAUGGCGUGGGAUUUGCCAUUGAGAAGCAUUGAUCUAGCAUAAGACGAUCCCACAGAAGCAAUUGUUGGCUAGAGUCAGGUUCCACUAAAUAGUAAGUCUAAAUCCUUGGAGCUGGUGGUCGUAGGCAUCCUCUUCCACUAUAACUAGCUUAUUCCGUUUGGGAAGGAUCAUCUAAAAGCUAAGACUUGAACCCAAGGCGGAACGAGACAACUGGAGCCUGGAACCUCCCAUAAGAAUUUCCUUUCUCUCAACUCUAUUUUUAAUUUCUCGAAUUUUUGAUUCAAUAUUCUUAAUUCUGUUUUUAUUUUAUUUUUCAUUUCCAGAUCCAAACCUUUAAUUCUGUUAUUUUUUUUUAUUUUUUCAGGAACAUAGGUUUUCUUGGGAAGAUUCUAUCCGGGAUUUUACGAAACAAGAUAUUGUGCAAAUCCAGUCCCUGAGGAUUUGACCUUACUUCCCUUUUACUAUUCUUUUUCAUUAUUUAUUAGGGAUAUGAUAUUUUUGGUGCUUUCAACAACCGCAUCAAUUCUAGUAGAUCGGUUCACAAUGUAUGAUAUGAUAGAGCAUUGUAUCUCAAUCCCAUAGAUGCUAUGGCAUCAAGGCACAGUUGAAACUUGUCAAUCUUUGAUCCUAUUUAUGGAGUCUAAAAACUCCAAUGGCAAUAGACCAAAUAAAUUAUUUUAUUUUUUUAAUAUUUUACUAUACCCCUAGAGAACACUUGUCAAUAUCUUGACGUUGCUUAUAGAGUCUAAAAACUUUAUUGGUAAUGUACCAAAUAAUAUUACAAAUAAAAAAGCAUUAACUUGGCAGUGUAAUUUUUUUAUGGCACAAGCAUUCUUAAAAAAUUAACAUUUUUUUAAUAUCUAUUUUUUUAAUAUUUCACUAUACUCCUACAGGACAUUUGUCCACCCUUGAUCAUGCUUAUGAAGUCUAAAAAUUUCAUUAAUCAUGUCUUAUUAUAAAAUAAAGAGAGAUGGAGAGAAUAAAGAACAAAGAAAAUAUGAAAGCAAUAGAGAAUGUACUUUAUUGAUCAAUUUGGAUGAUUACGAUGCUUCAUGGGAGUACUAUUUAUAGACAUAAGAAGUAUAAAAGAAGUAGAGAUCUAAUUCUAAUAACUAUUAGAACUUAAAGUACAUUAUAACUUUAUCCUGAUCAUGAUGGACAUCCACGUAAUAAAAUAUUCAUAACACUUCCCCUUCGAUGUCCAUUGGUAGAUAAUGUACCUUGUUAAAACCUUAAUAAGAAAAACUCUAUGAAAUAAAAACCUAAUGAAGGAAAAAGAGUACACGGUCUAUAAUACGCAUAAUAUGCUGCCUUAUUAAAAACCAUACCAAGGAAACUCAAUUAGAAAAAACCUCGGUUAAGGGAAAAAGAGUACAACGUGUAUUUACUCACCCUCAUGAAAACAUCACAUAUUUACGUAUUCAAUCUUGAAUACUAGUUUUUCAAAUGACUAUUUGAAUGUAUCACUAAUAAUUUAUAUCACCAUUCUUUUAAAAGUCAUAAGUGAGGGAAAUUUGGGGAAAUAUAUUUUGAUCUCUUCAGGAGAUUCAACAAUAAUCAUAACAAACUUUAACCAUGAUUCUUUUAUAAAAACACAAAUAGGUAUUUUGGAUCAUUUUAUAGUCCUUCUUUAAAUCACUAUUCACUGAGCAAAAUUUACCACUUAUAUUCAAAUUUUCUCGAUUCAUAUAAAUGAACAAUUUCUCGAGAAUUUCAAUAUGCUUCUAGCAUCCUAAAUCCUUUAAAGAUUUUACUAUAAACUUUACUAUAUAGUGAUUCAUAAAAGGUUGUAACAAUAACCAUUAGAUGCAAGUUAAAUCUUUUAAGAAUUGUCAAUUUAAUAAUAUAUGUAAAUAUUAUUGCAUCCACCACAAAAGAAUAUUAUAUCUUUUCAUAAUCAAUGCCAGAACUUAGCGAAAAACUUCAUAUUUUUAUUCCGCUUUUGCAGAACUACUUCAAUUAAACCCUCACUGGCUUUAUAUUUGGACUACUGGUCCAAAAAUUACAGAAAUUUAAUUGUACUUGAGUUAUGUCUUUCUAUUUUGAUCAAUUUAUUCCAUAUUUAUAUUUCUUAAUAGACUUAUUCAAGAUUCUCCUUUUAUCUCAUUAUUUCAAUAGUAAUAUUGCAUUCAAAAUUGUUGUCGACCAAUUUUAUUAUUCAGUUCCACAUUUUCUUGAAUUGACAUAACUUAUCGAGAUCUCUUUUUUUUAUUAUUUUAAAAUUCAGUUUCAGGUACCUAAAUUUCUAGAGCACCUGCCUCCACUAUAUGACCAUUUAGAAGAAUUUUUGUUUUUGGAACCGAUCAAUCUAUUAUUUAUUCUAACUGACUCUCCUACUGGGACUUUGAUUCAAAUUAAAAUAUUAGAUAGUAUAUAACACUUGGUUAUUCUCAUUAAGUUUGUAAAUACAUCUAUAAUUUACUUGUAAUGAGUUAUCCUUAUUGAUUUUCUGGUUCAAAUUACUCUCCCCCUAACUCAAUACAGGUUAUUAUUUCUCCCCUCUAAUGUCGGGAAAACUAUCAAAUCAAAACUGUAAUAAAAAAUCAUGUCCUAUUUGAAUCUCGAAUACAUUCAAAACAUCUAAUAAUAUAAAUAAACUUGUAAUUAAUAUAUAUUCUCAACUUUCUUUGAGGAUUCACUCAUCUUUGUGCGUUGUGGUGGAGCAAUUGGAACAUAUACACACAUACAAAAAUUCAAAGAUGAGAAAUAUUUAGUUCUUAAUCAAAAACCAAUUAUAAUGGGGAGUAUUUAUAACUUAUUGGCUUGAUGCGUACAACACACAUAAAUCAACAUAAUCUCAUGUUGAAACAGAAAGUUUAAUUCUCAUAAGUAAUGGUUUAGACAUUAAUCAGAGGAAUUUAAUCAAUAAUUUCUCUAAACCAUUAUGCACAAACUUUUACAAAAAAAUUUCAAACUCAUGAUCUGAAAUUAAUUAUUUAAACAAGCAAUCUUGCGAAUGAUAGGUUGCAAAUUGAUAACACAUAUGUGAUUAUUUUGUAGAUGCAUCUACCAAAAUCAUAUCAUAUUAAAAUCAUCUACAUGGUGGAUGAAUGAACCCGUAUUCAGUUCAGAAAUGUAAGACAUUAAAUCUCAAUUUUAGCUAGUGAGUUUCUAAGAAUCAAUUUUCAUUGAGAACAAGCAAAAAUGAAAAUUUUUUAAAUUAAAGAAUCUUCUGGUUCUUUAAUGAAUAUCCAUAUGAAUUCUCAAUUAAUUUUCGCAUCAUAUAUGAUUUAGGAUGGUCUAACUGGUCAUGCCAAGUAGUAAAUGCAUUUGUAUCAGAAAACUUCUAGUUUACUUUAACAUGUGUUUCAAUUGUACUAAAUUGUAACAAAUUAAUAAUUUCAAUUGUACUAAAUUGUAAUAAAUUAAUAAUUUUACUAUCAUUCCUUUGACUUUGUAUCCUCAUAAAAGUACUAUUGUGACAUAAACUACUGAAAAUCUCUAAAUCAAUGUGAAUAUUAUAAUGUCACUAAUUCAACAAAAUAAAAUAAUUUCCAAAUAAUUAUAUGCAAUAUUUGCUUCAAGGAAUAUGCCAAAAUCUUCAAAUGUAGGGAAUUUACUACAUCCACGUUAAAGAUCAUGUCUUUCAAAUUUAUUAUAUAUUGCUACAUUCUCUUCAGGGAAUGGUUAGGUUUCAUGGUUAAAAACUUUUUUUUAAUUAUAAGUAAUUUUUUUUCAUGAUACUACUACUGUAAGAGCACAUUUGAUCAUGAAAAGUUGAAUAAGUUCUCUCUUGCAAGGUUCUCAUCAGUUAUAUUUUUCCAAGUAAUAUUAGUUGAGAACUUAUUUUGAAUACUGUAAAGUUAUACUCACAGUUUUAAAAAUUUGCAACUUCAGGUGCAUCCAACCAUAACGAGCUUUAGAUAGAAUUACCAUAUUCUACUACUCACAUUUUUCUUUUAAAUUAUUCCAGAAUUUAUUUAGAUUUUUCACAGUCAAAUAUUUUUCUUCCAACCCUUUAUUAGGGAUGAUGACAAAAGAAGAUCACAAAGAUUAUAAAAUAAAUAUAAAUUAAUAACUCAAUCCUCUCUUUUUUAUCCUUUCAAAAUAGACAUCUGAUACCAAUUACAGGGUAUAAAGGAAAAUGCAAAAGUCUAUUGAUUUAUUUAUUACAAAGAAAAUUUUUAUAAGGAGAGAAUGAUAAAAGAAAAAGAAAGAUUUCUAAACUAUUUUUCGAUGCCUUCUUUAGGCUUCCUCUUUCUCUAUUUAUAAUUGAAUUCUAAAACUCUAUUUAAUUUUCUUUGAAUCUCGCACAGUUUUUUGAUAAGGAUCUCGUCUCAUCAUGAACAUGGUUUGUUUCACGUUGCAUUGUCUUGUCAAGUCAUUGAUUUAAUGGUUGCUUCCACGUCUUGUCACAUUAUUGAUUUGAUGGUUGUUUCCACGUUGCAAUCUCUUUUGUUUGCAUUUGGAUGCCUUCUUUUUCAAGUUGCUUCUUGAGUACUUUCUUUCCACUUGUCUACAUGUUUUGGCUUUAUCCCUCUUGGAUAUUAUUUAGAUUCAUUUCUUCUAUGUCAUCUAGAUGUAAUGAAUGUAAUUAAAGUCUUGGUAAUGAAUUCCAAGUCUCCCACAUGCUUUUGAGUUCUUCUAUAAUAUGAUAUAGAAAAUCUUCAAUCUCCAUUUCGACUAUCUUUUUUAAUAAUCUUAUAGAUUUUUCAUCUCUAUCAUUCUAGAUGUUUCCAGUGUCAUAUGCUAAUAUUCUUCUUCCAUCAGUCCAACGUUUAUAAAUUUAUUGUUGAAGUAAAUAAAUUUCUUGAGAGGUUUAUUUACAGAGUUAGUUGAUAAAAACAACAAGACUAUUACAUAUUUUGAUAGUCAAUGUGUCAUACAUCUCACCAAAGAUCAGAUGCAUCACAAUAGAACAAAGCAUAUAGACAUUUUGUCUCAUUUUGUUCAGGAAGUGCUUGCUCAAGGAGAUGUUCAGAUUCACAAAAUCAAUAGAGAAAACAACCUAGUCGAUAUGAUGAUAAAAAUUCUUCCAAUUUUCAAGUUCUAAAAUGCUUGAACUUGGUAAGCAUCUGACAAAGAUCAAGUUAGGCCCAUAACAGGGUUCAAAAAAGAAAGUUUUUUAAAAAAUAUGAGUUAAGGUGGAGAUUUGUGGGAUUUGCCUCACAUUUCAUCCGAAACAGAGUCGAUGUCGUGAUAAGGAAUAGCCAAUGUCCUAGCGAUGCAACAAAUGAUGUCCCUACGAGAAGAACCCGUCGUCCCGAAGAUGCAACAUGUAAUGUCCCGACGAACUAAUAGCAACAUCACGACAUGGCGACGUGUUCCCUACUAAAUCAGAUUUCUUCUCAUAAUUAUACUUUGAUAUCUUUUCUAGUCGAACUCUAAUAACUCUAGGGAUAUUCUAAUCAAGUUGGCCACGAAUUUUAACCUAUAAAUAGGGCUUUUAAAACACUAGAGAGAUUGAUUCAACAACAAAAGUAAGAGAGAGUUUUUGUGGGAAUUUUUGGAGAACUUUGUAUUUUUGAGUUCAGGCUUUUUUGUUUCUCCAUCUUGUACUGCUCUUCUGUAAUUUUCCUAUUUAGUGAAGUGUUCUUUGCCCAUGGUGUUUAAUCCUCUUCGGAGGGGGUUUUCCACGUAAAUAUUUGUGUGUAAUUUUCUCAUUUUUCGUUCUUGAUCAUUACACAAUGUAGGUUUAACCCAACAUGAAUCUUGAUUAUGACAUGGUGGAAGAAGUGUUGGAAAUUGAUUUGAGAGUUUUACAUAUGUAUUGAAAUAUUUGUCAAGUUUAAAUUGCAGGUCAGUUUGAAUGAAACUAGAGGAGGUGCUAUCGAAAUUUUUGUUAAAAAUAAAAAUUCUAUAUUCUUAAAUUGAUUAAUGAGAAUUAAGUUUGAGUUGCUUCGGCAACGGAUUGUGACAUUCUAUAUUCGGAUCUACCAACUAGAUCGAUUGUAGGGUGUCACAAAAGUAAAAACUUUUAAAGAUAUUAAAGAUGCACUUUAGUCAAAAGUAACUAUAAAAAAAUUGAAAAAGAAAAGAAACAUCUAAAGGAGGAGAGGGUUGCGCACAAAAAACAUAAAAUAAACAUGGAUGGUCAACAAGCUCAUUGAAUUAUUAGCAAAUUGAGAUGAUCAUGUAAAUAAUCAAGGAACUAAUAAAUCUUGAAACCAGGGAUAGUACUAGGGUAAAUAAUUAAUAUAUAACAAUAUUUAAUUAAUUUGUAAUAAGGUUUUUGUUUGUAAAAAAAUCAUAUACAUUAUUUAAAUUACAACUCAUCAAAAUUAUAUUUAUAAUUAAUUUAAUAAUUUUAAAUGUAAAUAGUUUAUUUUUAUUAUUUAUUAUGAAAUUAUAUUUUUCUAUAUUUAAACAUUUUUUAAACAUUUUUAUUUCCAAUUAAUUAUUUUAUUUAGUCAAUAAUUAUGAACGAAUCUUAUAUAUUAUAAAUGUAACACCCUUAGCUCGACCUGAUCGUUGGGUCCAAGCUUCGAAAUGCUACAGCCAUUGCAAGAACAACUACGAAUAGUUAACAUUCAUAUUAAAACAUAAAUCAUACAAUCAUAAUCAUUUCAAAACAUAAUCAAGUUAUAUGAUCUUUCUCAAGUCUUAUACUAGCAUACUUAUGAUCUAAAGUUAACAUGGAAUCGAAUUAGGACCAAAAUUUAACAUUGUCAAAAUUCCAACUUGACAUUGCAACAUGAGGGGGUUCCUCAUUGCAACGUAACAUAAUAACUUGGGCCUCAUUGUGGAGAUGAGGUUCCUCGUCACGCUGUACCUAAAACCCAAGUCUCAUCACGAAAGCCUAUGCCCACGUCGCGACGUCGACUAUUUUCUUGGCAAAAAAUAGGCCUUUUAGUGCUUAAUCCGGAUCAACUACACCAUUAAGACAUUUAGUGCAUUAUUGCACUUUUGUACCUACUCAAAACCAACCAAAAUACAUACCAAUACAUCCAUUUAACCAUUUCACACAAUCAAACAAUACCUCAAUUUGGCAACAAAGCAUAUUCAACAACUUGUUUAAAACACAAAUUAGCAUUCAUGCCCUAAAGCCAUUCAAAACAACAUUCAAUCAUGCCAUUUCCAUGUUAAACUCAUACUAUUUGUACAUUCAAAUAAACCAUUCAAACACUAUACAUAUGGUCCAAACACAUGACCAAAAUCAUGCCUUAAUAUAAGUGUAAACAUUAACAUCUCAUGAUUUAUGUACUAUCCCAAAUUCAAAUGAAACAUAUAGUUUCAAUCUAACACACUUAUAACACCCAUGUACAAUUUACAAUACCGAGUUGCAAAAUGAGCAAAAGGCUACCGAGUUGAUAGAGGGAUGGUGUGAGCUUUGUGAAGUCCAAUCAAUAAGUUCCACAAACCAACUAUCUACAGAGAAGGAAAAACAACUAGAUAAACCUUUCUGAUGCUUAGUAAGUUUGAAGGUAAGAAAAUGGUAAACUUAUCUCGAUUUAUAAAAUAACAUAUCAAACUAAAUAAUUUUGGUAAAGAUGACCUAACAUAACAAAUCAUAAUAAUAAGGUCAGUUUACCAAAAUCCAUCACAUAUGUACCAUUUUAUAAUAUAUAUAUAUAUAUAUCAAUACCUAGUAUUUGAGUGAUUAUACAAGAAUACUAAAACUUAAUAUUCAAUUCAUACAGUAAUACACGUUUGAUCGUCAAAUAUAUUUCGAAUCAUUUAUAUUUCCCAUUACUUAUUUCCCAUAUUACUUGAUGAAACUCAAUAAACAAGCUCAAAUACAUAGGUACAAAUCACAUCGGAGGCUUAUUUGAGCUAAACAUAUAAUCAUCUUAGGUUACCAGUUCGGGCUAAAUCUUUAUAUCGACACAUCAGAGAGCUUGGCCAGAGCUAUACAUAUCGAUACGGGAUUGAAGCGGAAAAAGCAGAUCAGGACUGAAUUCAAGUUGUUUGACUCAAGAAGGAAAGAUUUGGAUAUAGUCUGAAAAGAAAAACAUAAACAAAUGUAGUAAUAAAGAAAUUGAAAAUAGUAAAGAAGAAAUUUGAGAAUAAAAAAAUAAAAAUCAUAAAUAAAUAAGAAAUAGAAAUUUAAAAAAAGAACAAAGUGGAAUAUGGACGAGUAAACCUAUGGAUAUGAUGGAUAGAAGGAUAAAUGUCUAAUUGAACCCUUUGAGAUAUAAAUCCCAAUAGACUAAAUUAAUGGCUCUAAUCAACCCUUUAAGAAAUAAUCCUUGAAGAAUGAAUUGAAUGAUGAAGAAUGAAUUCCCAUGACUUCUUGAAGAAAAUCAAGAAUAAAACUACUUUUAAAAAUCACAAGAAAGAAAUCUUGCACAAGAAAAAAACUCCCAGAGUUGAAAACUUUAUUAAUGAAAACAAUUGUCUCCUUAAUAAAAAAUGAAGAAGCCUUUAUAUAAGCUAGCUAAGUACAUCCAAAUAAAACUCUAAAGUAUACUGAAACUCUAAUUAAUCUAAAGAAAAAGUAGUUUUAAACAAAACUUUUUUAUUAACAUAAAACUUCUAAAUAACUUAAAAUACUUAAUAGUUAUAAAAAAUUCGUAAUAAUCAAAUAAUAAGAGAUGAUAAAUACAAUAUUGCACUCAUAUAUAAUAAAAAUUAAGCAAAAAAUCUGAACCAAAUAUGAUUUAAACUUGAGUUAAAAGCACAAAACUCAUAAUUCCCGUCAUAAUCCUGUCCAAAAAUUUUGCUCUUGCAGUCUUCACUAAAAUGGUCAUAAUUUGAGCUCCUGGACUCAAAAUCGAGUGAUUCAAAGUGUGUUUUAAAGCUAAGAGAUAGAACUUCAAACGCCACGAAAUUUCAACCCAAAAAUGCCUAGAUCCCAUUCAAAAAGUCGAUGCAAGUAUGCUAAUUUCCCAAACUUAAAAAUUGAUAGUUUUGGUGAAUGCAAUUUAAUAAAUUUCACCUCAUCCGUGCAUGUAUCACAUAUAUAUAUCAGGUUAUUCGUUUGAGCUAAACCUUUAAAACAAAAUCAGGUUACCAAUCCAAGCUAAACUUGUGUCACAUGUAUAUUCAAGUUCGCAACAAAUGUUGGAUUCUUGAAAUUAUCAAAAAUCAACCUGUAACCAUGUGUAUGAUACAUUUACAAAGUUGCAUCAUUGUAAUUUGUAUCAUGCAAGUUCAUAUUUAUUUUUUUUUCAAUUUAGUCCAAAUCUCACACUUUAGUACUAAAUUGAAAAUAAUCCAAAGUUCAAUAAAACAUACAUGUAUUCACAAUAUUGCAUACAUAAGGGUCUAAACAUAAUUGCACCAUAUGAACUUACCUGGUAAAAUAACAGUAAACACAACUUUGAGGACUAUUCUACAAUUUUCUCUUUCUCGCAACUAUCCUCCGACUGGUUCAAAUCUCGGUCUACUUCAUAACUUAAUUCAAAUAUCAAUUCCAAACUUCAUUUAACAACCUACUAUAACUAUGUAUCAAUUCAAUUUCAUCUAUCCAUGUUUUUUUAUUUUAUUCAGUUUAGUCCCUAAAAUUAGAAUUGUCAUAACUUUCAAAUUAAAGCUUGAUUUUGAAACUCAAUCUCGAUUUCAUCCUUCUACAGUCCUAUAAAUAUCUAUAUUUACAAAAAUUUCAUGUUAAAUUCAAAAUAUUCACACUUUAGUCCUUAUGUUCAAAACUAACAAUUUUCACUUUACAAACUAGUCAUUUGUUUCAUAUCUAAGCUUAGAAUCUAACAAUUUAACACCAAAAGUUUCAAGAUUCAAUAAUAGAAACUUUUAAAAACUUAACAUUUUUGCAAAUUGGUCCACAGGUAGCUCCUAAAACCUCAAAAACAUAAAAUUACAAUAAAAUGACUAAAUUAAGCUUACCAAUCAAGGACCUGAAGUCUUUUAAAGCCAAACCCUAUCUCUCAUUUCGUUUUCAUGAGAAAGAAGAUGAUGAAUGAAGAAGAAUAAAAAUUUUAGCUUUUGUUUAAUUAAUUUUAAUAUAUAACGUAAUUUAAUUAAAAAUUUUAACAUAUAUUCACUUAAAAGAAAACACCAACCAUCCACCACUACUUAAAAAUGGCCUAAUUGUCACUUUCAACUGUGGUUCAAUAUUAUGUAGCCCUUUUAUUAAUAAAAAUCAAUAGUGAUUAAUUUUUUACCGCUUUAUAAUUUAGUCUUUGUACCUAAUUAGUCACCAAAUCGGUGAAAUUACCUAUCCAAAAUUCAAUUCACAUAUACAGUAACUCCAUAAAUAUUUAAUAAAAAUAUUUAAGGGUUCGAUUUACAGAAAUGAGGUCCCAAUACCUCAUUGUUCAACACCACUCAUUUAAGGGUUGAAACACUUGUACUUUAACUAACAUUCAAUUAACAAAUUUGUCAAACCAAAAUUUAAUAUAAUAUUAUAAUCUUAAUCAUCAGAGAAUGGGGUUCUAAAACCACCAUUUCCAGCACCACUAAAAAAUGGAUUGCUACAAUAAACAUCAAUUAAAUUAUUAUUUUUGUAUGUAUAGUUAUUAUUAUGUCAAAUUUUUAUUUUAAACUUAUGGUCAAUUAAUUAUUUAGAUUUAAAAUAUCUUUCAAAUGAUAGCAUUUUUUACUUUGGCAUAAUGAUAAAAAAUUAACCCCUAAAAGUUGUUGCUUUGUCACUUUUGUUAUAUUUCUUUUUUUUUUUUGGACCACUUUGUCCCCUAGCAUUCAAAUUUUAGUUAAACUGCAUUUCUUUAGGUGAAAAUUUUGGUUAAACUAUUAAAAUUUUAAUGGCAUCAACAUGACAAUUUGCAUAUUCUUCAUAAAAAUUUAAAAAAUUAUUAAAAUUAUUAAAAUUUUGAUAAAGUUUAAAAAAUUCAGUAAUUUAUACUCUAAAAAGAAGUACAAGUAAACUAUUAUGUAGGGUACAACAUUAGUGUCAUUAAAAUUUUAAUAGUUCAACCAGAUUUCCAUCCACAAAAAAUAAUUUGACUAAAAAUUGAAGGUUGAUGACCAAGGUGAUCCAAAAAAAUAAGGUUAAAGUAACAAAAUGGAUAUACAUUAGGGGUUAAAUUUAUCAUUAUGCCCUAAGCUUUUUAAAAUAAAGAUAAAAUUAUUUUAAUAUGUAGUGGUUUGAAAUUUUAUAAAUUAUAUGAAUUCUUUUAUGUUUUUUUACCAUAAAAUUAUUUUAUAUUAUUAAAUAUUGCUAAUAAUAAAUAUAUUAUAUAAUAUACACAGUAAUAUCUUUCACGUGAGUUAAAACUAAUUCCAAUUUUCAGAAAAUGAGACAUGUCCAAAGCAAAUUCAAUUAUUUAAUCAUUUGAAACUUGAGUCUUCAUCCUUGCAACUUAUGUUAUGCUUCAAUAAAUGAACCCCACUUUGAGACAUUUUGAGGAGACAAAGUAGUUAUAGAAAUAAUUAUAAAAUGCAUAAAUAAAAUAAAACAAGAUCUCAAGAAAUAAAUUGAAACAACGCAUACAGAUUAAGCUCCAUCUAUUGUAAUUUAACACUAUAUUUCUCUCGAAACUAGGAAAUUUAGAAGCAAACUAUUUAAAAUCAUACACCAUCGGGCUGCUUUAGGUUCAAAUGUGAUUAUGUACAAAUGAUAAUCUGAUUACAUACUUAGCGAGCACCUUCAAGUUCAAAUGUGAUUCUGUUAUUUAUGCUAUCAUACCCCAUCCCUAUCGAGCUGCUUGUCACACCAUCGUCGUAAGUGCUGGGAAACUUA